rnacentral:lncRNA from 1 species
UUGCGGUAGCCGUGUCGGCUGACGAAUGUGAGGGUGAUCGACAGGCCAUGAUCAAGGAGUGUGCUAAGUAUCAACAAUGGUCAGCAAACCCGAAGCUAGAUCCGUCGGACGCAUGCUGCGCCGUGUGGCAGAAGGCAAACAUCCCAUGCCUUUGCGCUGGUGUCACCAAGGAGAAAGAGAAGAUAUAUUGUAUGGAGAAGGUUGCCUACGUUGCCAAUUUCUGCAAGAAGCCGUUCCCACAUGGCUACAAGUGCGGAAGUAAGUGAAAUAUAUUAAGGGAAUUAUGAUGAUCGGUAUUGCAUACAUGCAGUUUUGAUAUUUGUUAUUCUUCGGAUUCACACAAUUUUGAUUUUAGUUAUGCAUUUUAUAUGCUUAUUGUUCUAUUCUGAUCAUACGUUGGGUCAAAUUGAAUGGUCUUGCAGGUUACACAUUCCCUCCUCUGGCGUAGUGACUCUAGUUUAGCUAUGGGAGGAGGAGCGUUGGCUUUUACAUUCCAUGUGCCUGGCCUCACAAUAGGUUUCCUUCCAGAUCUGUAAUUCGUGAGGUUGUGCUCAGAAAAGUUUAUGUUAAGCACUUUGUAUGAGAACGUUUGUGAAACUAAUAAAGCCUUCUCCUCAAAUUGUCUAAAUUAUGUUUGUUCAUAUAUCAUAUUUUGGUUCUACUAGAAAAUAUGUGCCCGUGCGUUGCAACGGGAGAAAAACCAUCAGAUUAUGCAUAUGUGGUAGAGAUUAAAAAAAAUCUGAAACAUACGCCAGGAUGAGAUCGGGACCUUCGAAAUGUGAUUUCAUAAACUACGUCUAAAUCAUGUCAUGAUGAGAUAAGGAACUUCUAAAAAGAAUUUUUUUUCAAAAGCUAAAAAUGUGAUGGUCUCAUCACGACUUGAUUUCCUAAGGCACCACAACAAAAUAUCUUAUAGCUGAGAAAACUGUAUUGAUUUACCCUACCUGAGCUAGACUAAUGAAUGGUGUAUCUCGCCUUCACCGAGGGUCACGGUGUCUACCCUAACUAGUAAAACUAUAGUACCAGAAUAAACAUAGAUGUGUAUGGAGGCAAAUUAGAUAUUUAGUCAUUUUCAUACAUCUUACAAAAACUAAUCCGUAGGAAGUUUUGUCAAUUUUUUUGGGCUCAAUGCUGUGCAGAAUAUGGAAACCUUUUUUUACGCGACUCACAUGUACUAAAUAAAAGCAUAAAACAACCUCUACAUAUAAAAAACCCUCUAUAUAAGCAGGUAAGUUUUGUUCGUUAUUUGCAGAUCUGUUUGAUUCUAAAAUUUAAAUUUUUUCAAAUUCCCGAAUAAGUUUUGAAUACAUGAUCAUUUUUUCUAACAUCAUCAGUUUUUUUUUGCGAACAUUUUUUCAAAAUCAUGAUUUUUUUUAAAUGCAAACAUUUUUCAAAAUACUGGACAUUUUAUAUUUUUCCAGACAUUUUUUGAAUUCAUGAAAAUUAUAUGAUUUCGCAAAAACAAUGUGAAUAGUUUUUUAAAAUACUGGACAUUUUAUUAUUUCCUAAAAAAUUAUCGAUUCACGAACAUUUUAUGAUUUCUCCAAUAAAAUCCAAAACUGACAACUUUUGGAAAUCCCAAAUUAAUUUGAAGAAGGAAAAAUAGAAACAGGAAAAGAAAAAAGGGCCAAGUCAUGAGUUUUUUUUUGCGAACAUUUUUUCGAAAUCAUGAUAUUUUUUUAUAAAUUCAAAUUUUAAGAAAAAUACUGGACAUUUUAUGAUUUUCCAAAUAUUGUUUGAAUUCAUGAUAAUUUUAUGAUAUCGCGAAAAUUAUGCGAACAGUUUUUUUAAAUACUGGACAUUUUCUGAUUUGCUAAACAUUUUAUCAAUUCAUGAACAUUUAUGAUUUCUCAAACAAAAUUCAAAACUGACAACUUUUGGAAAUCCUGAAUUAAUUUGAAGAAGGAAAAACAGAAACAGAAAAAGAAAAAAGGGCGACAUGGCCCGACCCAUGAACACGUGCGGGGUGGAGGAGGCAUGCUCGAUGUAAAGAGAGAAAAGUAGAGGAAAAAAGGGUAGUACCUGGGAUCAAACCAGGGUCCUCGGGGUGAAAGACAGCGGCUCCAGCCAUUGUUGUACGCGUGUCCUUCUGAUAUAUGUAAGGGUAUCAUCGCAUAAGAGAUGAAUCCGACGACGACAACUAGAAAAAAUUGAAUCGUUUUCUUCACUCAUUGAUGGCAUUGUGGGUAAUUUAUGGCAACUUCGGAGGUAAUUUUCAUGACGUACCGCUAGAGGCAAUAGCCGCUUUAUUAUUAGGUAAAGAUUUACGACUUGUGGUAGGUGAAGGGGUCAAAGAUAUUAGAAGUUGGUGUUGUUAAAGCAACAACUUUCAUGUGUUUUCUUAUAUCCAAAGUUAAUGGGAACAUUUAUGCCCGAGCUCAACCAGUUUUUCGCCUUAGUAACUUUCAUUCCUAGCUGAUGCAAAGGUCCAAGUACAACCUAGUUUGCUAAAAGUGAGGAGACGGAUGGGGAAGGGGAAGAGAAAGACAAGUGGCAUAUUUAGUUAGUUUUACGAUUUCAGCCACAAAUCCAGUGUAGUUAGAUUCAACCAGUCUACUUAGAUUUCUGUGAUGCGUGCAAUGUCUAGUUUGUCAACCAAUUUUUUAUCAUAUGACUUUUCUUUUAAAUGAAUUGGUGAAAUUUUAAUAAUUUUUGAAAAAUGAUACGACCAUCACAAAAGUUUGUAUUAUUAAUAUAUUUAAUCACCUCGUUGGAGUGUGACUUAACCCUGUUUUGGGAUCACUAUGGUAGAAGUGGCUUGACUAGCAACUAGGCCUAGCCUCAAGAAUAUCAUUUUCCCGACAAAGUGAAGUGUUUCGACUAGCAGCUAUCCCCCUUAAGGUUCUUUUCAGCUCAUUCUUCUUUUGCUUAAUAUUGGACUUUCAUUGGCUUGGGAUUGACGGUUACCCAAAAAGGCUUCCACCCUGCUUUAUAUAUAAAGCAACACAGCCGAACUGAUAUAGUGUGAUGAGGAGAUCCACUUAAAAAUUAGAUCAAAGGAGAAUGCAUGAAUACAUGAGAGUCCACACCAUACCACAAAUAAACCUACACUACCAACAAGGAUGAAGACUCGCCGCCAAGGGAAACCGCCAGACCAUGUUUCGCCGGUCACACCAAGUUCCCACUGGAGAGGACCUCCCGUCCUCCCACUUAGGAUCGUGAAGCCUGAGACUGCUUGCGGAAAACAAGGCCCGCGGGUGGAACAAUGAGGACCCGCGUAAAAGAAUAGGAGGAAAGUGAAUCCGCCCACGCCAGAGCCAAGGAAGCUCUAAGUCCGGAUCUGAAAAUGCCCGCCAAUGACGGUGAGGUGCACACCAGAGGUAACAUGGGAUCCACAAUGACGCCCUUAAUAGGGAGACGACACAACAUGUCACAGUCGUCGAGACCGAGGAACCGGUCAAGGGUUUUUACCCGAAGCCCUGGCUCGGCGAGACGAACCUCAACGACACCCCCUAGAGGUACGUGACACCCGCAGGCAUCGCCAUCGCAAAUGCCAAAGCAUAAAUUAAAUCUUUAGCCUGGAGCAUCUCAACCUCGCCAAACCGAGGACUCUCGAUCACCUGCCCAACAAGAAGGAAGACAUGCCGCCACCAAACAGAACCUCCACAGCAUGAUCUGGAACCGUUGCUGCCAAGGCACCGCUGAAACCAGGGUUACCCAAUGCCACAUCCUCUGCCACCCACAUGACCAGAAAAGAGACCAUCUGCAUGCCAAGACGCCUAAUGAAAGCCGAAUUGGCGGACCGCCAACAAAGGUCGUCACCCUGACAUAAAAAAUAACCCACCACCUAGCACACACCAGUCACACCGUUGGCCGACAUGGAUACAUCCGACAGAGAGGACACACUACAACCCCUGUCUGCGCCUCCCGUCCUUUAGCCAAGAGGCCAAAACCAAGGAGGACCACCCGAUGACGGAAACACCACCUUUGAGUGGACAGGGGCGAUGGCCUCCUGGCCACAACCACCCAUCCGCCUCGGCGGCCACCACCCCCAAUCAAGGCAGGCAUCGGGCCCGAGAACCCCGUUGGGCCAUGGAUCUGGCUUGUAGCAGAAUCGAAUUCGGUGAGACACUAGGUCAAGGCAAGGAAAACGCAGGUCACAUAGAUGAAGCACCAUCAUCCGAAGUGGCAAAGAUCCUUGGAGAAGCGAGGAAGCCCCGCCGGGGGUGCCUCGACAACCCGCAGCCAACGGCGCCCUGAUCUGGGUGCACGAGAACCGCCACCGCCAUGGGCGACCGCACCAUGCAGCCCACUAUGCUGGAGACCAACACCCACGACCCAGCUGCCAAUGUCUGCCACCAUGUCGUAGACGCCAUGUGAGACUAGGUAGGAUCCUCGGGUAGGACUUUCCUACCGAGACAUCUGUAACAUAGACUUGGACAAGAAGGCUUUAGUUCUCAGAGAUAGCGCCGCACCAAAGUGCAUGCGUGAUUUACCUUUUUUUCUUUUACUAGUAAAUAUGCUCGUGCGUUGCAACGGGUUCACUGUAGAGCAAACACUUAGUCCUCCUUCUGUGAGUCGGUGAUGGGGAGCAGCGGGUCAAAUGAGAUCUUCAUCUGCACCUCGGGUCGCACACAAACACUGACCAUACAUGACCAGUAGACGACACUAACUUGGGAACUUUCAUACAAAUGGUGAUGGAGUGAUCUAAUUAUACAUACUUCACACAGAUUGAUAAUAUACAUACCGCGAAACCACCGUCAGAACUUUACUAAUUUAAUUUUUGCAAACAACAUCAAGCAAUUGUAUAUAUAGACCAAAUGAACACCAUUUGUGAUAAUGAACACUGCUUAGUUAGUCUCGGAGAACAAUUGAUAUGUACACCAAGUUAAGAACAACAUCGACAGGGCUACGUUAGCAGCAUAAGAUAGUCCAACAUGUGCAAAAAGAUUACCAAUAUCUUCCUAAUUUAUCCAAGAACUUUGCAAACUAACCAUCUUAGUCUGCUGUCAAGAAUAGCACAACAAAAGCAAGUGAAGAUGGCUGUAGUUGCAUACGUAGAGUAAAAACCAUAAAGCCUACGUUUUAACAAACCCCUGAGUCCAAGCCGAGGUGAAAUAUAAUACAGUUUACUCAUUUCUUAAACUUAAUACAUUUAACUCUUCAGCUUGAACAUGUAUCUUAGAAAUGCAUCAGUUUAUAAUCUGACCAAGUAAGGCGAACUCAAAAAAUAAUGUACGUAUGUUUUGAAUCAGAACCGGUGUUUAGCAAACAACCAAACUUAUAAAUUACUGCAUGCUUCUUCAUGUUGUGAGCCAUAUAAUAUUUUUCAGUUAGUCCUAUCCUCUCAAGAGACAUAGGGACUGAAUUAUCCCGCGAAAACAUAUACUUAAAAGCAUGAAGCAUGUGAACACCUAUUUGCAGCAAGGUGAGUCCUAAAGCACAGGACAAAAGCAUUAGCUACUAAUACAUGUAGGAACUUCCCAAGUAGAAGAAAAUCAAAGGGACUAAUAGAAACACUUGCUUCCCUGUCAAUUGAUGCCUAGUGGCUCCGAAGAACUACUAUGCCCAACCCUGAAGCAAAAUUACAUCUACAUUAGUAGGAAAUGAAGGUUAAGUCAUAUGCAAAGGAAGAAAUUGAUUGGCGCAAAGCUCAAGAGUGGAUUUUUGUAAAGGAAAUAGCAAUUAAAAUGGUCUUCAUUUUAGCAAUAUCUUCUUUAAUUAUUUCCCUCGAUUUGUCAUAUCAGUAGUGUGUUAUAAGAGGCCUCAUCAAGUUCUAUUAUCUCUGAGCAUACCGAAAAACUUAACUAUGAAGUUUAACCUCUCCAAACCAUGAUUGAAUAGCAUGACACAUCUCUACUUAUGCGGUAUACUGAAAGUCCAAUCCUCUAUCUGUAUUCUAGCUUGAGCGUGCAUGUGACAUUGACGAUACAUGACGGAUCUGCUACGUGGAUAACAAGACAUGUAUUAGAAGAAUAACAUACUCUUAGUUUUCUGAUUGUAGAUUAUCUAUCAGAGGAAAUUUCUUGGCAACCAACAAAUAUUUUCUAAACAAUAUUAGGUUACUGCAAAAACGAAAUUGAGGAUCCCCAAAUCCAAAUUGCAGAUCCCCAUUUGGCCAGGUCUUUACCUAAAGAAGCAACAUCAAAAGAGGAAGAAUUCAAUGACUGGCUAAUUACCUCCAGGAGCAGCAUCAGUAACUCCUUUUGUAAAUUUCUGUAAAUAAAAUCAACUAACAUACAUAACAGAAAAUAUAGGAAUGAACACACACGCUAGCUUGUUUUUAAACAAACAUAUUCAUCCAAUGGGGUCACUGAAGCAUCCUGUAUUUUUUUUAACCAGUGAACUCAUCUCAUACAUCUUCUUUUACGAAUUUAGUCUUCUGCUGUCAAGUACAAACAGAAUCCAUAUAUGUAGGAGGGCAUGUGUUGCUUGUCAGUCAAAUGUAGUCUACUGACGGCAACAACUAUGUUGGCUACAGUAAACUGACAAAUUGACAAACAGAUGAGACCCAUCAAAUGCUUCAAAAGUACCUGCGGCAAAUUAGGUCUAGGCGAUAGCUGAUGGUCUUCCUCCCAAGUUGGCGGAGGCUAUCGCAGAUGGCCUUGCGACGAAGUCGACGAAGAUGACGGCUGCAAAGUCAACUGAUACGGUAUAUUACAGAGAUGUCAAAACCAAUUAAAUGCACUCCACUGAAUACACCUCCUAAUCCUAUUUUGCUAGGUGCAGCAAGCAUAUCUAUUCACAUGUAUGCAAUUAAGCUAAUUGAUAACUAAAGAAAGAGCAGAAUAUAUGAAACUUCAAGAAUUACUCCAGCAUCAUGCCCAAGGAUUACUGUAACCAAGUUGAAGCCACCAUGUUCAGGUAUAUGUAGUCAGCAACAUGAAAUUUCUUGGUUCAAUCCUUGGCUAGUAACAAUAAUUUUGCGGAAAGAAACAAACUGAAACAGGGGCUUGUAUCAUAUCAUCCAAACUGAAAUAGUGAGCAAUCGGAAGUAGCACCAAUUUUCACAAAAAAUAAACUGAAACAGGGGUAGAUCCGAGUGGUGCAAAUCAGUUACAUUCAUUAUACAUCAGUGCAAACAAAGGAAUAUCGAUUGAAUUCAUGCAGCAGCGACAUGCAUGACCUUUGGUAACAUCUAAAUUUAUCAAAUCAACCAUGUAUUCGAACUUAGUCUUACCAAUACACAAUGUUUUUUUUUUGGUAUAAAAAAUUAUGAUUGUGUAACAUCUUCUUUUGGUAUAAAAAAUUAUGACCCAUUAAAUAUGAUAAUUCGAACUUAGUCUUACCAAUACACAAUGUUUUUUUUAAAAUCUCCACUGAUGAUUAUAAUCACAACGCAAAAGAAUUCAAUCGACACAAAAAAGUCAGUCACACAUCAAAUCUUGGGGCAUGCAUAGCCUGUUGCAUUUGGGAGAUGGGCUGCAGGGAGCCCUUUGUUUCAGUGAUCUAUUCCAGAUCCUUUCAGUACUAAGUUGGUAAGUUUAUUCAGUACAUGGAUUUUGUCUCAGCCAUCAUUUAUUUCAGUGUAUGUCUCUAUAUACUGCAUCUCUGUUUGGCUGCAUGCUCUGUUUCUAGAGCGGGGCAGUAGCUACUCCACUUCACUUUUCUUUGUGUAGCAGCAGAAGCAGAUUAACAUAUUCCACUUCCGUGCAAAGGGUAGCAGCAACGGAUUAACAUUAUAAUCUAUUUUGUUUGAUGUGUCAAUAGAUUAACAUUAUAAUUCUAACUACACCCACCCACCUCGUAUCAGUUUCAGAAUAUGGCCAGCAUGCCUCCUCUCUCUUUAAGAACCAGUCACUUAACUCUGAAUCACUUAGCAGUAUACAUUAUUAUUUCCCUGUUCUUAACGCAAUCACUUGAAGAAAGCCAACAUGCUUCACGACUAUAUAAAUGCCCGUGUGUGGUAUGACCAAUCUAGUAUGUACACAAAUGAACAAUCCGACUAAGCACAUUCAAAUUCCAACCAUUCAAGGUAUGAAUCCAUUGGUUCUAAGUAUCAUGUAAUUCCAUCUAUUAACCACCAAAUACUAACCAAUGGGAACCCGUGGAAUUUAGAAAAAAAGAUUAAACCUGAGGAAAUAUUGAGCGGUCCUUCUUGCAUCGUGGCAUUGGGCUAGGGUACCACUGCCAUGGCGCCAUACCACAUCACAGCUUCACCAAGGCAAGGAGCCGGCUUGAAUCAACUUUUUCAUUGCCGCUGGAUCACUGUUUCCCUUCAGGACUGGCAUGCAGAAGCUGGGGAGGCCUCGAUAGCAAUCUUGCAGUCAGAUUUGUACCCGUCCGGAGGAGGAUACAUGGAUGUGUUGCGGCCGUGAAUGUGCCCAUGAUCUCGACCGGUGUAGCGCCAGGGAAGUGGCCGACGUCAAGGUGCAGGAGGCAGAGCCAGUGCGGGAAGGGUCGCCGUCUUGCGAGGGUCAAGGCGCUCGAGGAUUCCACGAAGGAGGUUGUCGGGGAGUGCUGCUGCUUCUUCCAUUUGUUGGAACUCCUCAUCGUCCCUCGAACACCUCCGCUGUAUGCGAUGUCCUCGUCCUGUUCGCCUGUGUGUUCGUCUCCAACGGCAGCUGGCGAGGUGGCUGCGGGGCUCAACCGCUUAGGGGGCAUGGCGAGGCGUCUAGGACGGCUAGCUAGGUCGUAGAGAUUGGGGAUUUGGUCUCCGGCAGCGGCUGGCAAGCUCGCCAGGGCCACGAAGGCGGCCAGCCCCAUCAGCACAAGAUCCACGACGGCUCGGAGAUGGUGGUGAUGGAAAUAUGCUAUAGAGGCAAUAAUAAAAUGGUUAUUAUUAUAUUUCCUUAAUCAUAAUAAAGGUUUAUUAUUCAUGCUAAAAUUGUAUUGACCGGAAACUUAAAUAUAUGUGUGGAUACAUAAAUAAAUAUCGUGUCCCUAGUGAGCCUUUACUAGACUAGCUCGUUGAUCAAAGAUGGUUAAGGUUUCCUAACCAUAGACAUGAGUUGUCGUUUGAUACGGGAUCACAUCAUUAGGAGAAUGAUGUGAUGGACAAGACCCAACCGUUAGCAUAGCAUAUGAUCGUUCAGUUUAUUGCUAGUGCUUUCUUAAUGUCAAAUACAUGUUCCUUCGACCAUGAGAUCAUGCAACUCCCGGAUACCGGAGGAAUACCUUGUGUGCUAUCAAACGUCAUAAUAUAACUGGGUGAUCAUAAAGAUGCUCUACAGGUAUCUCCGAAGGUGUCUGUUUAGUUGGUAUGAAUCGAGAUUGGGAUUUGUCACUCCGUGUAUCGGAGAGGUAUCUCUGGGCCCUCUCGGUAAUACACUUCACAAGAAGCUUGCAAGCAAAGUGACUAAGGAGUUAGCUGCAAGAUGAUGUAUUAUGGAACGAGUAAAGAGACUUGACAGUAACGAGAUUGAACUAGGUAUAGAUAUACCGACGAUCGAAUCUCGGGCAAGUAACAUACCGACAGACAAAAGGAACUAUGUAUGUUGUCAUAAAGGUUCAACCGAUAAAAGAUCUUCGUGGAAUAUGUAGGAAUCAAUAUGGGCAUCCAGGUACUGUUAUUAGUUAUUGACCAGAGGGGUGUCUCGGUCAUGACUACAUAAUUCCCAAACCCAUAGGGUCGCACGCUUAACGUUCCUUGACGCCAGAGUAGUAUUGGGAUAUUUGAUGAGUGGUAACCAAAUGUUGUCCGGAGUCCCGGAUGAGAUCCCGAACGUCACGAGGAGUCUCGGAAUGGUCUAGAGGUAAAGAUUUAUAUAUGGGAAGUCAUAUUUUGGGUUCCGGAAAAAAGUGCAAUUUUUUCAAUAUUGUACCGGGAAUCUUCCAGAAGGUUCCGGAGGAUUCCGGAGGGGUACGGAAGUCCACAAGUGGGUUCACCACGACCCAAGGGCUAGAAUGGGCUGCGGGGAGGCGCCCUGGCCUUAUUGGGCUAGGCGCACCAAGUCCGUAAAAGCCCAUGUGGCUAGGGAAGGCAAAAAAAGGAAGGAGUCCUAGUAGGAAUAGGAUUGGACUUGGAGUCCAAGUCCUCUCCCCUUAGUUGUGCCCUAGGGCUUGGAGGGGAUGUUUCCCACGCCCCUCCACCUAUAUAUAGAGGGGAGGGGCGCCCCAAGAGGACACACCAAGCCCAUGGCGCCCCUCUCUCUCCCGUUACUCCGUAGUUCCACCGCCUCGUCCCGGCGACGCUUAGCGAAGCGCUGUCGGUGCUCCACCACCACUAUCACCACCACGCCAUCGUGUUGGUUGUGAUCCUAUCUACUUAUCCUCUCCUGCUUGCUGGAUCAAUAAGGAGGAGACGUCAUCAAGCCACACAUGUGCUAAACUCAGAGGUGCCGUCCGUUCGGCACUAGAUCGGUUCGAUCGUGAUCGGUUCGCGAAGAGUACGACUACAUCAACCGCGUGAUAAACGCUUCCGCCUAGCGAUCUACAAGGGUACGUAGAUGCUCUUCCCCUCUCGUAGCUAUGCAUCUCCAUGGAUAGAUCUUGCGUGUGCGUAGAAUUUUUUUGUUUUCCAUGCAACAUUCCCCUACAGUGGCAUCAUGAGCCAGGUCUAUGCGUAGAUGAUAUGCACGAGUAGAACACAAAGGAGUUGUGGGUGGUGAUGUUCAUACUUGUCGGGGGAAACGACACCUACGGGAUCAUGGGGAAUCCAUUUUGCUACGGUUGGCGGGCGUGGGGCUGUGGAAAGAGCGGGUUUGAAAGAUAAACGCAGGGGGAUUAUCCAGGUUCGGGCCGCAAGUGAUGCGUAAUACCCUAGUCCGGCUGGUUUAUGUUUAUCUGGUCUUCUUGGACUAGCUACAAAGCGUGCAGGGUCCAAAAAGUCUGAAUCGCCUCUCAGUACGCCGCAGGCCUCCUUUUAUAGUCAAAAGGGGCUGGCACAGUGGCACACAGGAGGUGGAAAGUUGUACGGUAGUCGAUUCUAUCUCCUGGCACCGUAGGACAAACGCAUUUAAUGUGCUGCCGACGUGCUCUUCUUGCUUUAUCGGGGACGGCAAGGAAGCUCGUCCCAGUUGUCGCCGCCUCACCUGGCUUCGACGCGCGUCCAAGCUGACGAGGCAUGUAGCGCCAUUCUGGCUGGCUGGCUGUUGAGUUGGUGUGAUGGCAGAGUCUUCACGAAGAUCUGCAUGCCACCACGCAGGUGCUUGGUGAGUUGGCCUAGAGGCCGUACGUCGCCACACAGGUGCUCGCCUAGUUGGUGGGCUAGCAGCUGCGUGGGAACGGCCGUGGAGUCUUGGCAGGUGUGGUCCUGGUUGUGGCCCCGCGGAUGUCUCCGGCAAGGGUCUUGCCGCGGCCCCGGCAAGGGUCUUGCCGCGGCCCCGGCAAGGGUCUUGCCGCGGCGUCGUGGGCGUCCCCGACAAGAGUCUUGCCGGGGGUUCUCGUGGGUAUCCUCGGCAAGGAUCUCGCCGAGGAUACCUGUCGGUGUACAAAAGGAGGGGCGCACUUUUGUACCCCUUUACCUGUGCACGGGCAGUCGGAGCCGCGCCCACGGUCACACCAAGAAGAAUAGGGGAGGUGAGCCAAGGUAAGACCGGAGCCCAAGAUAACCAGAGCAACGCCAAGGCCAAGACCACGAAGAGCAGAGGGACGAAGCAGGUUCCCCCGGCAAGACCCUUGCCGGGGUAGCUCGCCCCACACGAACAGAGCGAGCCACCCUUGAGCCCACGGUCCCCAACACCAUCAUCCACGUGGGGCCAGGACUCGGGAGGCACCUCUGUGGUGGCAUGCAGAUCUUUGUGAAGACAUAUUCAAGAUCAGAUGAGGAUUAGAAGACAGCGAUCCUCGGCAAGAUCCUUACCGAGGAGAGCCACAAGACCCCCGGCAAGAUCCUUGCCUGGGACGACAGCGCUCCACGACAAGACCCUUGCCGGGCCCCCCGGCAAGGCUCUCGCCGAAGAUGCCAACAGGGCCAAUGCCAGGCCCGCACCAGCCAAGUCUCCACCGCCGUUCGCAUGCAGCUGCCAGCCCAAACCAGCUGGGCAGGCACCUGCGUGGCAACAUGCAGCUUCCAGGCCAACUCAGCAGGCGCCUGCCUGGUGGCAUGCAGAUCUUCAUGAAGACCCUACCACCAUGCCACCUCAGCUGCCUGCCUGCCUACAUGGUGCCGCACGCAUCGCUAGCCAGGGCGCGUGUCAAAGCGAGGAGGAGCGGCGACGGACGGGACGGGCCUCACCCCCGUCCCCGAUAAAGCUAGGGGACACCUCGGCGGCGCAUUAAAUGUGACUUGUCCUGUAAUACGAGCGAUAAUCUCGCGAUACUGUACGCCUUUCCACCUCCUGUGUGCCACUGUGGCAGCCCCUUUCGACUAUAAAAGGAGGCCCAUGGCAUACUGGAGAAGGAUUAGACUCUUUCGAACCACACGCUCAAAACAGCUAGUUCGAGAGCUCAAGAACUCUCUAAAAUACACCCACCAAAGCAGGACUAGGGUUUUACGCAUCCCCGCAGCCCGAACCUGGGUAAACGAUCCUCGUGCUGGUUACUAAUCCUGCUCUUCUUGCAACCCUGCGCCCCGGCAACCGUAGUAGGGAUUCUUGUGAUCCCAUAGGUAUCGUUCCUCACCGACAUCUUUGGCGCGCCAGGUAGGGGGCACAAUUGUGAGAAUCUGGUCUAGUAGCUAGCCCAGCAGUUCUUCGUCGCAAUGGCUCCCAAGAAGAAGACGGCCACGGCGAUCGGCUUGUUGGGAGCCGAACGGCCCGUGCCGGUGCGGACGAGCAGUGGACCGGUUGCAGACAGGACCCGGGCCGUGGUCCGCGAGCACCAGUAUCGCCCUGGCAGUCAGAGCCUGGCGAGCGGCGUCGUUCGCGUGCCAGACGACCGGCCGGAUGUCGCCAGAUCCCAAGACGGAGCUGGGCCCCCUGUAGGCGGCGCGGGGCCCUCCAGGGGUGUCAUUGUGCCACCUCCGGGCGGCGCAGCGACCUCCGAGACGCCCACACCGGCGACCAUUGCGUGCUCUUCCCAUGGUGUGCGCGCCGAGUAGCGUCACCACGCUGGUGACCCUGGGCACCGCCGUGGGAAGAGCCCUGUGCAUCAUCCGCGGGAUGAAGGGGUUCAGCAUGCCCGCCGAAGUGCUGGCGAAAAUGGCACGCAGCCGCUGGGUCGUAACGGAGCUCCUUCUAACGCAGUUAGGAGUCGAAGCGCGUCGCGAUCCACGCAGCUGUCGCCGCCGCCCACGCCAGCAGAAGCUUUGGCGCGCGCGCAGCUGCUCCUUGACUUCCCUCUUGCCGCAGAGAAGCUCGACGAGUGGAGGGCCACCAUCCGGAGCCUCGUCGUCGUCGCCAACAAAGACGAUGCGCGACCGGCGGGGCCCUCGGGUCGGCACUCCACUGAGCCGCCACGUGCUGGCGCUGGGAGGACCGGGGGAGCUUGUGACACCCAAGUUUUUAUUUGGAUUUUUCAAAAGAUUUUUAUUUUUAACUUGAGGGGAGUGAUUUAAAUUUUUCUUCAAGAGAACUCCCCCUCUCAAAUAUUUUUCUUUAUGGCAAAAGUUUUGUUUGGAUUCACCCAAGGUCUGUCUUUAGUCUUGGAAGUUCUUGCCUUUCAUUUGGACUCAAGACAAAAUGUUUUUCAUUUGGGAGAAUAACUUCUGAAAAUCUUUUUGAAUUUGCACUAUGGCUUUUGGAAAGUCCUUUGCCACUUUCAACUAUUCCUUCUUGCCAUGGCAUUAGUGCAAAUCCUCUCCCCUAACCCUUCCCUCACCUUUGGAUCAUGAUUUGCAUCAAAUCCAGCAAGUUGAACCUCCCCAUGUGAUUAUUUCCAUUCAAAUUCUAUUCACAUAAAUUUCUGUCUUCUCUUCUAGCACUUGGAGAUUUACAAAGGGACUCCUUUUUCUGUUUUGAUUUUUGCCACCAAACCUUUUUCCCCUCCUAGUCCUUUGAACCCUCAACCUAGAACCAUGAAGAUCCACUGGUCUUCAGUUCAAAAUUUUCAAACUACACCUGCUGCAAGUUUGGACCAGAUUUGCCAAAUUUGAUGAAAUUCAUUCAAAACUCUCUCCAAAAAUUCCAAGUAAAAUCAUGCAGCCUCUGGGUGCAUUGAGUGGUCAUCUCACCAAGUUACAGCUCCAGAAAAAUUUAUCUCAUAGCCAAAACCUUCUGUCGAACACCUGUAGUGCAUGGUCAUGUCAAAUUCAGAAAAGUUUCAGAGAUUCAGUUCAGUGCUCACUGUCGUUUUCUUCAGAGAUGGACUUCGAUCUCGCCAGUGCCACCGCGUCGCCUUGCUCCUCGUCCCCGCCCUCUUGUUCCUGCACCGCACGAACGCCCGGCGCCUUGCAGGCGUCGGCGACGAGCAGCAGAAGGUGCGCCGCCCCGUGACCGACGCCGGCGGCGGCUUUGCGGACGCCAGCGGGAGACACGGCGCUGACGAUGCCACCCAGCGCCGCCCAAACCACCGGAGCCCGCCGCGUGGCCUUCCACUCCCCCAAAUGCGCUGCCGCUCUCGUCGUGAACCGCAGGGCGCGGAGCGCGCUCUCUGCCGCCGUUGAGCCCGUGCGGUCACCUCACCGUGGACCGACGCCAUUACGCCGAGACCAGCCCCGCUUAGCUGUGGAACAACUCCAGUAAUCUCCACUGAUGCUGCCUGGCCGCUCAAACCACCUGCCAAUCCACUGCUCCGCUGUAAUCGCUCGCCGGAGAUUCUCCGUUCACGGCCACCCCGUCGAUCUGCCUAUAAAUAGAGGCCCCGAGCUUCAACUCGAGCACCCACCAGCCCUGCACUCCCCCUAAAGCACGCCUAGCCACUGGAAGAGCCCCGAGGAGGUCUCCUUCCUCGACUCCGGCCGCCGCGACCCGCCACGGGAUCCAGCCCAAUUCGCCCCCGUGUGUGCUCCUCCGCCUCCAUUCUCUUGCCAGUAGCUUCACCUUGCAUCCCUCGUUCUGACCCGCGCCUCAAUUCGUAGUUUGCAGCCCUCCACCGGAGUUCCCCAUCCUCACCCGAGCCGCCGUCCGCCGGAGAAAGUGUCGCCGUCGACGUGGUGCUCCCCGUUGGACGAGUCCACCACCCACCGACGCGGAAGAAGACGCUGAAGCUCUUGGUACCCUCCGUUUCUCCUAACUCGCCAUGGUUCGACGCCGGCAUCCACCAGUCUUCGGGCGCCGGCGAGCCUUUCAAACCUGACAUGUGGACCCCGCGUGUCAGCCUCUGUUCUUUUAUUCGCGAACCGUUUUCUGUUGGCGCCUUCGGGCAAAAUACGCUUUCUCUCUUGCGCUUGCGCAUUUCCAAACGAACCGUUUUCUGUUUUCUUAGUUAAAACCCUGGAACUUUUCUGUUUCAUUACAGAUAAGUCCCUGGACAGAAACCUUUAUAACGUUUUAAUAAAAAGGUAUUUUUGAGUGAUUCUUUUUCUGACAUUCUUAAAAUUUUGUCUAGUUUUUUAUGGGAAUUAUUUGAAAAAUAUUUGGCAAAGUUUCUGUGCAUGUGUUGGUUUUCACGAUAGUACCCGUUUCGUGAUUGCCGUAGGUUCCGGGAGAGGUGACGGAGCCGCGAACUUCACCGAGCUAGACUCCGACUUCUCCGAACCAGGCAAGCAUGUUUUGAACAUUUGAUAUGGCAGGUGUUUUGCAUGUUUGCGUGAAAGUUGGUGCGUGGCAUAUGAGUGUCGGUAAAUACCUCGUUGCUUGUAAGGCAACUACCCGGUUGUUCCAAAGUCGUGAUGAUCUCUGAUGAGAGAUGGCCAAAUCAUGUGGUGACAUGAAGGGCAGCAAGGUGGUACUAUUGUAGCAUGCCAGCCUUGCGUCAUCCGACUUUCUCCGACGUUAACGUGGUUGGAGCCACGUUAUCGUUCUUCCUUUUUCGCACGUUCCAAAGUUGCGAUGAUCUCUGAUGAGAGAUGGCCAAAUCAUGUGGUGACAUGAAGGGCAGCAAGGUGGUAUUGUUGUAGCAUGCCAGCCUUGCGUCAUCCGACUUUCUCCGACGUUAAUGUGGUUGGAGCCACGUUACCGUUCUUUCCCCCUUCCGUGCUACCACAUGUCUCAUUGCGAGGGAUGCGGUUUAGUAAGUUGGUAACCUCUUUCCGUGUACACACCAAACAGAGAGGCCGGGAUGAUGGUACCUUGGCCCAGGAUUAAAGCCAGUCAUCCGGUCAGGGGGCAUGGGUGUUUCCGGUUGGGACCGAGAGGGGGGGCACCCCCUUAUAGCGCGCGUAUAGAAAUUUGAUCCCAUGCUACGCGAGGUUGUAGCCUCCCCGUCUCAAGGUUUUUCUUGAACGAUGCCGAGGGUGAUCCCUGGCUUCGGAAGGUUAAAUUGGGUGUGUACUGGUUAGACGUGUUUCUUCCAAAACACCGUAGACGGAACUAGUCCUCGUGACUACUGAAAUCCGUUGGCUGUGGUUAAGUACAAACUCUGCAGAGUCAAUUCUUUCCAAAUCAUCGUAUCCAUGAUCAAGUACUGAAACCAUUAUAUCCAUAUCUAUCCGCGUGGAAAACUUGUCCCCGGUGAACAAGCUCAGGUGGUAAUCCAGAUUUAUUGCUAUUCCUGUGAAUGGACUAACUUUAUAUUUGUUUCAUGCUCGUGAUAAAUUAUGUUCCCAAACUGUUGUAUUAUUGAGCUGUGUUAUAAGCCCUUUAUGUGACGUCGCACAGACGUCCGACUGUGGCGUGUUUUUGUUUCUUACCUUAAAUAUAAGCCCUUUAUGUGACGUCGCUCAGACGUCCGACUGUGGCAUGCACCGUCCUUAUUUUCUGUUAUAAGCCCUUUAUGUGGUGUCGCCUCGACGCCCGACUGUGGCAUUAUUAUUCCGCAUUUUCCGCUCGAGGAGUCUUUCAGACACUCGUUUGGCACCAGUAUUAUUAUUCCGCAUUUUCCGCUCGAGGAGUCUUUCAGACACUCGUUUGGCACCAGUAUUAUUAUUCCGCAUUUUCCGCUCGAGGAGUCUUUCAGACACUCGUUUGGCACCAGCAUUAUUAUUCCGCAUUUUCCGCUCGAGGCGUCAUUCAGACCCUCGCUUGGCACCCAGCUUUUACUACCUCUAUGUCUGAAUCGUACUGGUUAACUUAUUCAUGUACUUCAUGUUCGCAUUUGUUAUAUCUUAUGUCCGAACUGUCUUGCGAGUACUUUCAUAGUACUCACCUGGCUUGUUGAUUUGGCCAGAUGUUGACGAAGGCGAUCUCUUGGAUGAAGAGUUUGAUAGCGCGUCCGAUGCCUAGAGGAGUCCCAGUCAGUCCUGCGCGAUCCCGGAUUUUGGUCACUUGUAUUGUUUACGCUUCCGACACCCGCAAUAAGUCUUCUCGAGCCUCACUCCGACGCUCGAAGAGCUGUAGUCUUCUGGAAUCAUAUCACUCGCUUCGCGAUGGUAUUUCCACCACCGUUAUUAUCGUGAGUUAGUAGUUUGCCACCCUAUCCGCCGUAUUGUUUAUCGGCGGGCAUGUAAUAAAUUGUUGGGCAGUCUCUGCUCAACCUUGUAUUAUAUUUAGUACUCCUGGUAUUUUCUUCUGUGACCAAGAUAAUUGUCUAUCAGUGAGAAGAAAUUCUUCCUCGCUGGUCCGUAAAAGGGAUUGGUUUCUCAAUAAUUAUUUUAUUGAAAAACCGGUCGUGACAAGCUUGGUAUCAGAGCCAGGCUGACUGUAGGAAGCCACUAGGUGCGAUCGCUAAUCGGUUAUUAGCGUCUUUUGUGCUUUUUCAGCAUUUUACAAUUGUAGCUAUUUUCUAUUGGUCAUCAUAAAUUUAUGACAUGACUACUCAGAAUUUUUGCCUACUUUUGUAGAUGGCUGGCAGCAGCUGUGAGAAUCGAGUGUUCACCAACGUGCCCGAGGGGUUUGUCAAGCUCCUCGUCUCCAUCACCAAGCUCGCGAUCGGGCCAGCAGCUCGCCCGGAGUUCACACUCUAUCAGCACAAGCUCAGUGACGACGUGUCUAUGCACCAAGCCGUGGUACAGUUCAGGGGAGGACGAUCUGCUGCUCGCCACUUCCGUUUUACGGGAAGGGCCAUGCCUACAGAGAGGCAUGCCAUGCAGAUGGCUGCCCGUGAGGCGAUAGCUCGCCUUCGGGACAUCCUUCCUACGAUGAAGACUCGUCGCUACCGCUACCUCCCAUGCCAUGUGCCGUACACCAGCCACUAUGCGUUUGCCUGCCAUCGGGGAGAAAGAGACGAAGCCAUCGAGAUGGUUGUGGAGUAUCUCAAGGCUCUGGAGGAGUCUUUCGACAACCUCGUAGAUGAUCUUGUGGCCACCCGCAUGGACUUAGUCCGGGGCGGUCCUGCCAGCAGGAAGGAGCUUCUCCACACGGCGCCGCCUCUGACAUUCGUCUUGUCUUCAGCCUCGUAUGCACCGGCCGUUUUGGCCACUGCUCGCCGUCUGCCUACCACUGAGGAGUUCGACCGAGUCAUCGCUCCUACUCCAGUCAGAGCCGCACCGCCUGCCGCACGCGCUCUGCCACCAGUCGCCCCCGCACCAUCACCGCAGCGCAGCGUCACGCGCCAGGAGCCAGCUAGAGAGGAGGUGGAGGUUGACUCUCCUGGACCGCUGAGCCUUGCCAUCGGCAAGGGGAAGGAGAUCUUCACCAUCUCCGACUGAGAGCACCGAGUAGCCGCGUAUUAUGUCUGCUUGUAUGAUGUGCUGUUUUAUUUGUACGCUAGUUUUAAUAACAUGUCAGGAUUGUGUACGCGCAUCCUGAGUGCUGUAUCAUGUGUUUGCUUUUCGCAUGUAAGUUUUAUGUUAAGCACUUCUUCUCCAUGAAAAAUCAUUUGUGUUUCUUUGAAAACCUUGAACCAUUUUAAUUGUUGCCCUUGCAAGAUUUUUUUUUGGGGCUACACAGUUUCUCAUGGGUUUUGCAAAUAAUACCCCAGACUGGAAAUAUGUCUCGCCCAUGGACUCGCUCCAUGCCCAAUCAGCCAGAAGAGGUUUACGGGACACAGACCAGCAACAAUUUCACUCAGGGUCAGUCCAGCCAACAAGACAGCGAAGCAGCACUGUCUCAAGUAUGCCGUCUCUUCGAGCAAAGUCAGCAACAACACCAAGAGAUGAUGAACCAUGUCAUCAACAUGGGAAACCACCAUGAACACUAUCAACCACAUUCCAAGUUAUCCGAGUUACAGAAGACUCGCCCCUCAACUUUUGCUCACACCGAUAGGCCGCUGGAAGCCGAUGAUUGGCUUCGUGAGAUUGAAAGGAAACUGAUUAUUGCUCAAUGCUCAGAUCAUGAGAAGGUGCUUUAUGCACCACACUACCUUACUGGAGCAGCCGCAGCAUGGUGGGAAAACUUCCUACACAUGCAUACCAGGGAACACAACAUCACCUGGGAAGAGUUCAAGGAAGGCUUCCGUGGGGCACACAUCCCCAGGAGCAUCUUAAAGAUCAAGAAGAGAGAGUUUGAUGACCUGAAGCAAAGAGGCAUGUCUGUGACAGAGUACAAUGGUCAGUUCACUCAGCUGUCUCGUUAUGCCUACGACGAGCACAUGACAGAAAGCAAGAAAAUGGAAAAAUUCCUGGACGGCCUGGCACCAGCGCUAAGAUGCCAACUGAUUGUACACACCUUUCCGGAUUUUAAGACGCUGGUGGACAAGGCCAUCACCUUGGAGAAUGAGCGCCGUAGUCUGGAAGAUAUCUGUACGCGGAAAAGGGACAAGACGACUCUUGCCCGCAGCAACCGAGGCAAGACUGAGGUCCCAAGGACAGACACAAGGAGAUCCACGACUACCGAGCCAAGGCCCGUCGGACAGUUUCAUGCCAGGGACAAGGAGUUCACAUACCGUCCAGGGGUCACCUGCUAUGCUUGUGGUCAACAAGGGCAUUAUGCUCAACAGUGCCCGAAGCCAAGAGACUCGGCACCCAAGCCGAAUAAUGGUGGAAACAAUCCAGCCCCCAAGCGCAACAACUUCAAUCCCAACAACAACCACAGGAAGGGUCACCUAAACCAUGUGACUAGGGAAGAAGCGCAGAAUGCCCCAGACAUCGUGCUCGGUACGUUCCCUGUCAACACAGUACCUGCCACGGUUUUGUUUGAUUCUGGAGCUUCCCAUUCGUUUGUUUCGAAGAGUUUUGUUUCGCAACAUGGUUUUCCGAUACUCCCCUUGGAAAAGUCUAUGGUCAUCAAGUCCCCCGGAAAUAAGCAAAUCGUCCAAGGUUACUGCCAAGGAGUGGUCAUUGAGUUCGAAGGACUACAAUUCCACGCGAAUCUCAUCGUGUUGGAAAGUAAAGGACUGGAUGUCAUUUUAGGGAUGGACUGGUUGACCACCAACAAAGGAUUCAUCGACUGUUUCCAUCGGACAGUGAUUCUCACUCACCAUCACGGCAAGACAAUAAGAGUUUCCGCUCAAGAAAGGCCACGAUCACAGAAACCAAAACUGAACAAAAUGGACAUUGCAGAACUGAGAAAUGUUCCAGUGGUAUGCGAGUUCCCUGAUGUGUUCCCGGAAGAACUACCAGGCAUGCCACCAGACCGAGAGAUCGAAUUCAGCAUUGAACUAGCACCUGGCACCGCUCCCAUUUAUAAGAAGCCGUAUAGAAUGGCACCCUCGGAAUUGGUGGAGUUGAAGAAGCAGAUAAAGGAAUUAUUGGACAAGGGGUUUAUACGAGCCAGCUCCUCACCAUGGGGUUCGCCUGUGUUGUUCGCCAAGAAGAAGGAUGGGACACUGAGACUGUGCAUAGACUAUCGAGCCCUCAAUAUGGUCACCAUCAAAAACAAAUACCCGAUGCCACGGAUAAAUGAUUUGUUUGACCAGCUCGCACAAGCUAAGGUAUUUUCAAAGAUUAGUUUGAGAUCGGGAUACCAUCAACUGAAGGUACGGACAGAGGAUAUCCCCAAGACAACAUUCACUUCCAAAUAUGGGUUAUACGAGUUCACAGUGAUGCCUUUUGGUCUAACGAACGCCCCCGCAUAUUUCGUCCACCUCAUGAACAAAGUGUUCAUGAAAUUCAUGGACAAAUUUGUGGUGGUAUUCAUUGACGAUAUUCUGGUUUACUCAAGGACACCCGAAGAGCAUGCUGAGCACCUCAGAAUUAUUUUGGGAGAAUUGAGGAAGCAUCAGUUGUAUGCCAAGUUUAGCAAAUGCGAAUUUUGGCUAAGACAAGUUGGUUUCUUAGGCCAUAUACUGAACCAAGAAGGCGUAGCCGUAGACCCAGAAAAGGUCAAGGCCAUACUGGACUGGAAACCGCCCGCCAACGUCACAGAUGUGCGGAGUUUCCUAGGAAUGGCCGGAUAUUACAGAAGAUUUAUUGAAGGAUUCUCCACUGUGGCGAAACCUAUGACCCAACUACUCAAGAAGGACAAGAAAUUCGUAUGGACGGAAGCAUGUGAGCAGAGCUUCCAAGAACUCAAGAAAAGGCUGACAACCGCACCAGUCUUAACUGUGCCGGACAUACACAAGAGUUUUGAAGUAUAUUGUGACGCGUCCCGAAAAGGUCUCGGAUGUGUACUAAUGCAGGAUGGCAAAGUUGUCGCAUAUGCCUCCAGGCAACUGCGAAAACAUGAAGAAAAUUACCCAACACAUGACUUGGAGCUAGCAGCAGUCAUACAUGCACUCAAGGAGUGGAGGCACUUUCUGUUGGGAAAUCGUUGUGAAAUAUAUACGGACCAUAAGAGCCUCAAAUAUAUCUUCACACAGCCAGAGCUGAAUUUACGCCAACGACGCUGGUUGGAACUGGUCAAAGACUAUGACGUCGGCAUCCACUACCACCCAGGGAAAGCAAAUGUAGUGGCCGAUGCCCUUAGUCGAAACCCCAGCCCGGACAAUGACGGUCCGCAAAACUUGAGGCCUGAGUUUCAGCGAGAGUUCGCUAGGCUCAACAUGAUGUUAGUCUCCGAGGGCACCGUAUCAAAUCUGGAGAUACAACCCACCUUGGUGGAACGAAUUAAGAAGGCUCAACAGGGACACCCCAGCAUCGAAGGCAUAAAGAAGAAAAUGAAUCUUAGUAAGACUUCAGAGUUCGUCACAGACAGUGAAGGAACAUUGUGGUACCGAAACAGACUUUGCGUACCUAACAUUGAGGAACUCAAGCAGCAGAUCUUGACGGAAAGCCACACCGCUCCAUAUUCGAUCCAUCCUGGGGGAACCAAAAUGUACAAGGACAUCCAGGAAAGAUUUUGGUGGCACGGUAUGAAAAGAGAUAUAGCCACAUUUAUUGCUUGUUGCGAUUCAUGUCAGCGUACCAAGGCCGAGCAUCAAAAGCCAGCAGGGCUACUCCAGCCAAACAGAAUGCCGGAGUGGAUGGGAUGAAAUAGGAAUGGAUUUCAUCGUUGGACUACCCCGAUCACAACGCGGAAAUGACGCCAUAUGGGUCAUCACAGACCGACUAACCAAGGUUGCUCAUUUCGUUCCCGUGAAGACUACCUACUCCACACAAAGACUGGCAAAACUUUAUCUCUCCCGUAUAGUUUGCUUGCAUGGAGUCCCAAAGACUAUAAUAUCAGACCGAGGCACCCAAUUCGUCUCCAAAUUUUGGGAUCACCUACAACAAGCUCUGGGCACACAACUAGCUUUCAGUACAGCAUACCACCCUCAGAUAGAUGGACAAACGGAACGUGUAAACCAAAUCCUAGAGGAUAUGCUAAGAGCCUGUGUACUCACCUAUGGAUCCAGUUGGGAAGAGAGUUUGCCGUAUGCCGAAUUUGCGUACAACAACAGUUACCAAGCCAGCUUGCAAAUGGCACCCUUUGAAGCCUUGUACGGACGGAGGUGUCGUACCCCACUGAAUUGGUCAGAAACAGGUGACAGCCGUAUCUUCGGCCCAGAUAUGCUUAAAGAGGCCGAGGAAAAAGUUAAACAAAUCAGGGACAGACUCAAGACGGCGCCGAGCCGACAAAAGAGCUACUAUGAUCAGAAGCAUCGUGAGGUCAGCUUUGAACCCGGUGAUUCCGUAUACCUCCGAGUAUCUCCUAUGAGGGGUCUGCAACGGUUCAAAAUUAAGGGAAAGCUAGCCCCAAGAUUUAUUGGACCAUUUUGUGUGAAGGCACGAAGAGGCACGGUAGCCUACCAACUAGACCUACCCAAGGAGCUGUCAGACGUCCAUGACGUAUUCCACGUCUCGCAGUUGAGGAAAUGUGUGAGUAACCCGGAGAAACAUGUACCUCAUGAGGACAUUGAUAUGCAACCAGAUCUCACCUACAGAGAAAGGCGAGUAAAGAUUUUAGAAGAGUCUGAACGGAGGACCCGUCAGAAAACGACAAAGUUUUUCAAGGUCCAGUGGAGCAACCACACUGAGGAUGAAGCCACAUGGGAAAGGGAAGAUUUCCUCCGAGCAGAGUAUCCAUAUCUAUUUGAGGAUCAGCAGAAAUCUCGAGGAUGAGAUUUUUCCUAAGGGGGUAGGUGUUGUGACACCCAAGUUUUUAUUUGGAUUUUUCAAAAGAUUUUUAUUUUUAACUUGAGGGGAGUGAUUUAAAUUUUUCUUCAAGAGAACUCCCCCUCUCAAAUAUUUUUCUUUAUGGCAAAAGUUUUGUUUGGAUUCACCCAAGGUCUGUCUUUAGUCUUGGAAGUUCUUGCCUUUCAUUUGGACUCAAGACAAAAUGUUUUUCAUUUGGGAGAAUAACUUCUGAAAAUCUUUUUGAAUUUGCACUAUGGCUUUUGGAAAGUCCUUUGCCACUUUCAACUAUUCCUUCUUGCCAUGGCAUUAGUGCAAAUCCUCUCCCCUAACCCUUCCCUCACCUUUGGAUCAUGAUUUGCAUCAAAUCCAGCAAGUUGAACCUCCCCAUGUGAUUAUUUCCAUUCAAAUUCUAUUCAAAUAAAUUUCUGUCUUCUCUUCUAGCAAUUGGAGAUUUACAAAGGGACUCCUUUUUCUGUUUUGAUUUUUGCCACCAAACCUUUUUCCCCUCCUAGUCCUUUGAACCCUCAACCUAGAACCAUGAAGAUCCACUGGUCUUCAGUUCAAAAUUUUCAAACUACACCUGCUGCAAGUUCGGACCAGAUUUGCCAAAUUUGAGGAAAUUCAUUCAAAACUCUCUCCAAAAAUUCCAAGUAAAAUCAUGCAGCCUCUGGGUGCAUUGAGUGGUCAUCUCACCAAGUUACAGCUCCAGAAAAAUUUAUCUCAUAGCCAAAACCUUCUGUCGAACACCUGUAGUGCAUGGUCAUGUCAAAUUCAGAAAAGUUUCAGAGAUUCAGUUCAGUGCUCACUGUCGUUUUCUUCAGAGAUGGACAUCGAUCUCGCCAGUGCCACCGCGUCGCCUUGCUCCUCGUCCCCGCCCUCUUGUUCCUGCACCGCACGAACGCCUGGCGCCUUGCGGGCGUCGGUGACGAGCAGCAGAAGGUGCGCCGCCCCGUGACCGACGCCGGCGGCGGCUUUGCGGACGCCAGCGGGAGACACGGCGCCGACGACGCCACCCAGCGCCGCCCAAACCACUGGAGCCCGCCGCGUGGCCUUCCACACUCCCAAAUGCGCUGCCGCUCUCGUCGUGAACCGCAGGGCGCGGAGCACGCUCUCUGCCGCCGUUGAGCCCGUGCGGUCACCUCACCGUGGACCGACGCCAUUACGCCGAGACCAGCCCCGCUUAGCUGUGGAACAACUCCAGUAAUCUCCACUGAUGCUGCCUGGCCGCUCAAACCACCUGCCAAUCCACUGCUCCGCCAUAAUCGCUCGCCGGAGAUUCUCCGUUCACGGCCACCCCGUCGAUCUGCCUAUAAAUAGAGGCCCCGAGCUUCAACUCGAGCACCCACCAGCCCUGCACUCCCCCUAAAGCACGCCUAGCCACUGGAAGAGCCCCGAGGAGGUCUCCUUCCUCGACUCCGGCCGCCGCGACCCGCCACGGGAUCCAGCCCGAUUUGCCCCCGUGUGUGCUCCUCCGCCUCCAUUCUCUUGCCAGUAGCUUCACCUUGCAUCCCUCGUUCUGACCCGCGCCUCAAUUCGUAGUUUGCAGCCCUCCACCGGAGUUCCCCAUCCUCACCCGAGCCGCCGUCCGCCGGAGAAAGUGUCGCCGUCGACGUGCUGCUCCCCGUUGGACGAGUCCACCACCCACCAACGCGGAAGAAGACGCUGAAGCUCUUGGUACCCUUCGUUUCUCCUAACUCGCCGUGGUUCGACGCCGGCGUCCACCGCAGUCUUCGGGCGCCGGCGAGCCUUUCAAACCUGACAUGUGGACCCCGCGUGUCAGCCUCUGUUCUUUUAUUCGCGAACCGUUUUCUAUUGGCGCCUUCGGGCAAAAUACGCUUUCUCUCUUGCGCUUGCGCAUUUCCAAACGAACCGUUUUCUGUUUUCUUAGUUAAAACCCUGGAACUUUUCUGUUUCAUUACAGAUAAGUCCCUGGACAGAAACCUUUAUAACUUUUUAAUAAAAAGGUAUUUUUGAGUGAUUCUUUUUCUGACAUUCUUAAAAUUUUGUCUAGUUUUUUAUGGGGUUUAUUUGAAAAAUAUUUGGCAAAGUUUCUGUGCAUGUGUUGGUUUUCACGAUAGUACCCGUUUCGUGAUUGCCGUAGGUUCCGGGAGAGGUGACGGAGCCGCGAACUUCGCCGAGCUAGACUCCGACUUCUCUGAACCAGGCAAGCAUGUUUUGAACAUUUGAUAUGACAGGUGUUUUGCAUGUUUGCAUGAAAGUUGGUGCGUGGCAUAUGAGUGUCGGUAAAUACCUCGUUGCUUGUAAGGCAACUACCCGGUUGUUCCAAAGUCGUGAUGAUCUCUGAUGAGAGAUGGCCAAAUCAUGUGGUGACAUGAAGGGCAGCAAGGUGGUACUGUUGUAGCAUGCCAGCCUUGCGUCAUCCGACUUUCUCCGACGUUAACGUGGUUGGAGCCACGUUAUCGUUCUUCCUUUUUCGCAUGUUCCAAAGUUGCGAUGAUCUCUGAUGAGAGAUGGCCAAAUCAUGUGGUGACAUGAAGGGCAGCAAGGUGGUAUUGUUGUAGCAUGCCAGCCUUGCGUCAUCCGACUUUCUCCGAUGUUAAUGUGGUUGGAGCCACGUUACCGUUCUUUCCCCCUUCCGUGCUACCACAUGUCUCAUUGCCAGGGAUGCGGUUUAGUAAGUUGGUAACCUCUUUCCGUGUACACACCAAACAGAGAGGCCGGGAUGAUGGUACCUUGGCCCAGGAUUAAAGCCAGUCAUCCGGUCAGGGGGCAUGGGUGUUUCCGGUUGGGACCGAGAGGGGGGGCACCCCCUUAUAGCGCGCGUAUAGAAAUUUGAUCCCAUGCUACGCGAGGUUGUAGCCUCCCCGUCUCAAGGUUUUUCUUGAACGAUGCCGAGGGUGAUCCCUGGCUUCGGAUGGUUAAAUUGGGUGUGUAUUGGUUAGACGUGUUUCUUCCAAAACACCGUAGAUGGAACUAGUCCCCGUGACUACUGAAAUCCGUUGGCUGUGGUUAAGUACAAACUCUGCAGAGUCGAUUCUUUCCAAAUCAUCGUAUCCAUGAUCAAGUACUGAAACCGUUAUAUCCAUAUCUAUCCGCAUGGAAAACUUGUCCCCGGUGAACAAGCUCAGGUGGUAAUCCAGAUUUAUUGCUAUUCCUGUGAAUGGACUAACUUUAUAUUUGUUUCAUGCUCGUGAUAAAUUAUGUUCCCAAACUGUUGUAUUAUUGAGCUGUGUUAUAAGCCCUUUAUGUGACGUCGCGCAGACGUUCGACUGUGGCGUGUUUUUGUUUCUUACCUUAAAUAUAAGCCCUUUAUGUGACGUCGCUCAGACGUCCGACUGUGGCAUGCACCGUCCUUAUUUUCUGUUAUAAGCCCUUUAUGUGGUGUCGCCUCGACACCCGACUGUGGCAUUAUUAUUCCGCAUUUUCCGCUCGAGGAGUCUUCCAGACACUCGUUUGGCACCAGUAUUAUUAUUCCGCAUUUUCCGCUCGAGGAGUCUUUCAGACACUUGUUUGGCACCAGUAUUAUUAUUCCGCAUUUUCCGCUCGAGGAGUCUUUCAGACACUCGUUUGGCACCAGUAUUAUUAUUCCGCAUUUUCCGCUCGAGGAGUCUUUCAGACACUCGUUUGGCACCAGCAUUAUUAUUCCGCAUUUUCCGCUCGAGGCGUCAUUCAGACCCUCGCUUGGCACCCAGCUUUUACUACCUCUAUGUCUGAAUCGUACUGGUUAACUUAUUCAUGUACUUCAUGUUCGCAUUUGUUAUAUCUUAUGUCCGAACUGUCUUGCGAGUACUUUCAUAGUACUCACCUGGCUUGUUGAUUUGGCCAGAUGUUGACGAAGGCGAUCUCUUGGAUGAAGAGUUUGAUAGCGCGUUCGAUGCCUAGAGGAGUCCCAGUCAGUCCUGCGCGAUCCCGGAUUUUGGUCACUUGUAUUGUUUACGCUUCCGACACCCGCAAUAAGUCUUCUCGAGCCUCACUCCGAUGCUCGAAGAGCUGUAGUCUUCUGGAAUCAUAUCACUCGCUUCGCGAUGGUAUUUCCACCACCGUUAUUAUCGUGAGUUAGCAGUUUGCCGUAUUGUUUAUCGGCGGGCAUGUAAUAAAUUGUUGGGCAGUCUCUGCUCAACCUUGUAUUAUAUUUAGUACUCCUGGUAUUUUCUUUUGUGACCAAGAUAAUUGUCUAUCAGUGAGAAGAAAUUCUUUCUCGCUGGUCCGUAAAAGGGAUUAGUUUCUCAAUAAUUAUUUUAUUGAAAAACCGGUCGUGACAGAGCUGCAGCCACGGUGCACUCUCCUCCUCCUCGCCAGCCGCCGCGGGCGUCGGCCCGUCGUGACGACGCUUGUGAUAACAUCUCCAUAGCGUCGUCCGACCCGCGGACCCUCCGCGACCAGUGCUAAGUUCUUCGAGAACGGGCUCACGAAGAUGCUCGGACCACCAUCGUGCACGGUGCGAUACACGCCACCAGUCGGACAAGCGGGCGGGACCCGCUAUGGACCGCCCAGCACCGGGGGGCUCCGGCGGCCUACCUUACGAGGUGGGCUGCCCGGCCUUUACCCGUGAGCUGCGGCAGUUCCAGUGGCUGUCCCACCGCACGUUCAAGCCUAACGUCGGCGAGAAGUACACUGGCAAGACCCAUCCGUCCGAGUUCCUCAGCAUCUACACCAUCGCGAUGCAGGCUGCCGGAGCUCGCGACGACAAGCUGCUUGCCAAUUAUUUCCCGCUGGCACUGAAGCCCAAUGUUAUGUCUUGGUAGCACUUGCCUGCGGAUUCCAUUUCUUCUUGGUCGGAUCUGUGCCAUGAGUUCGUUGGCGCCUUCACAGGAGGCCACCAAGCUCAUGGCCAGGCCAGUGAUCUGCAUAUCAUUCCCCAGAAGGAAGGGGAAACCCUGCGCAAGUACAUCCAGAGAUUCAGCCGGGUGCAGUACAACAUCCCCGACAUUCAUCCCGUCGCUGUGAUCAAUGCGUUCCAUCAGAACGUGCGCAACCACAAGAUGCGCGAAGAGCUAGCGAUGACCAAGGUUAACGAUGUGGCCGAGCUCUACGUUCUGGUCGAUAGAUGCGCCCAGGCUGAAGAGGGAAGGAAGUACCCUGGCGAAGAUGCCGGUGCGGAAACCGACUCUACCGACGAAGACGCCGCCACCCUGAUGAAGAAGGGCCGGCGUCGCAACAGGAAACGCAAGGGCAAGGUCGUACUUGCCGUCGAGGGGUCUGACGGCACCAGCGCUGCCAAAAAGGUCAAGGUAGACGGCCCCGACAAGGAGAUUGCUGGGUGCGCAGCUUGCCGGGCCUUAGCAGCUACCGACAAGCCAGGAGGCUCCGGCAAGCAGUGCUGCAAGAUCCACCGCACCAAGGGCCACGACCUUCGGAACUACUGACAAGUCGAGCCGCUUGCUGAAAAGCAAAGGGCCGAGUACGAAAGGCGGGACAAGGGGAAAGGUCAGGACGGUGCCGAGGGAUCCGGCAAGAAGCAUGGCGGCCAAGGAAGCCGCCCCGGCAAGGAUAAUGUCAGAGUAAAUGACCACGAGUAGCCUAACCGACUCCCCCUGGCUCAUCAAAAAAUUAUCAGGCCGAUCGAGCCUUCAAGCACCCAAAGCAUGGGGCCGCCUUCCCCUGGCCGGCCAUCUCACAGGCCGACUGCUGGAAGGCGGCCCGACCUUGAAACCCUCCUGAAGAGAGCCAAAAGAAGGCCGACUCCUAGAAGCCGGCAAGAAGGUCGACUCCAAGAAGCCAGCCACAAGAAGGCCAACUCCAAGAAGCCGGCCACAAGAAGACCGACUCCCGGCAAGCGGCUAAGAUUGCACCCUCCAGGAGAGCACCCACAUAACGGUGACAAGACCGGGCGUGGCUACUGUAAAGUGUGCCACCCCCGAAUCCCGGAGCACGCAUGGCCACAGUGCGCCGUACGGGUCGGCCAUCCCCCGUCCGGCGCGGCACUGUAGCCAUGUUGACCAUGACGCCACCCAUGACGGGUUGUCAGUACGGCCCGCGGGCGGUGGGCCCCUACAGCCAGAGAGACGCUCGAAGGCGGUCAAGCCCCCUUAUAGUCGGCCUGGGGUGUAGCCGGCUCCCAAUAGCUGGCUACCUCACUCCCUCGAAGUAUGUGCAUCAUUAAGAAGACAAGAUGAGGUAAGGCUACAGUGAGAGUUCGCCGGAGGGCGGCACUGUAGCCAUGCUUACCUCAGCAAAGCCCUUGUCAUCAGGGGCGAGGCUACAGUAACCAGCAGCCAGCGGGACCCACCAGUCGGCGGGCCCCAGCGGUCGGCGGAGAAGCCGGCGGAUACAAAAACUGACGGCCUGGACCCACAUCCAGCCGGAUUACCAUUGUACCCCUGGGGGGUAGGCCUAUAUAAACCCCCCAGGGCACCCAUGCAAAGGGUUGAUCUCUUAGAGUUUCAGACACCACGUAGAGAGAAGAUGAUAGCUAGCCUUGCCCUUCUUCCUCCUCUAGCAAAACAGCUCAAGGAGCCACUUGUAGCCACUUGUGUUGAUCUAGUGAUCAUGCGGAGACCCCGCAGAGCAGGACUAGGGGUGUUAUCUCCACGGAGAGCCCCGAACCUGGGUAAGAUUCGCCGGCGUGCAUGUCUUCGCCUUAUCCCAUUUCCAGGCAUCAAUGAUGUCUUACUGGCUCCCACAAUGAUAAGCCACCCGUUGGCAUAUGUCGCACCUACCACCCGACAUUUGGCGCCUGCCAUGGGGCCAGGUGCACCGUCGUCCGGAGACCUGUUCUGGACGGGAACCCAUUUCCUUCCCAGCGAGCGUAGCCAGCCCGGCACGCCUGAUGGCGCUUGCCCCGACGCGCUGCAAGGCGCCGACGACGCCUGCACGGCGAGCUGCCUCGCCAAUCUUCUUGGCGAGGCUCGCAUCUCCGACGAGCCUGCGUCCGACGCGGGCACAGACUACCCUGAGAGCCGCCUCGUCAGCCUCCUCGACCAGCUUCACGUCUCCAGUGAGCCUGCUGUGGAUUUGGAGUCGGUCGGCUCCACUGACCCGAUGCUUGUCGACUCCGACACGACAUCGCUUGACGCCUUCCCCACCAACGUGGUGAUCAUCGACGACCCUCUUCCUCGAGCCGACAGUGGCAGUAGCGCUGUCACUGAGGUGCUGGUCAUCAGCCAUGGUGCCACCUCAGGCGAGAACGCCCACGACGCCCUACAAGCAGCGCUACACGACCUGUCCGCCCCCUUCCCGGCCGACGCGGACGCCGAGACACUGGAGGCACGCCGCCUCGCCCUCAUCGCGAAGGGCCAGAAGAUAGCAUCCAUGAGACGCCUCACUGAGGCUCACCAGCGCGAAGUCGACCUCGCCGCCUUUGGUACGCCGCCUCCUGGCGGGCCGAGCCAAGCCGGCAUCGUCAAGAAGCGCGGUGCGACCAUCGCCAGCAUGCUCGGAGCAGACUGCCCAGUCUACGCCAUGCCACUCGAGAACCUGUGUGCCGCUCAGGCGGCCGUAGACGAGCUGAACGGGCUGGGGGCCGACGAGCUCCCCUACAUGACUAGACGCAUCCAGCAGCUGAUCGACGCGGCCGCAGAGCGGCAUGAAGCCGGCGCCAGCGCAAAAAGUCCUCCCCCACGCCGAGAGCACGCCGCGACAUCCUGGACGCCGACUCCAAGCGGCGCCCGCGCAAGAAAAGACAAAGAGCCGGCUGCUAGCCGCAGUCGGACUCGUCUCACCAUUGAGCGCGACGGAGAAGGCCGCCCCCGAGCUGUGGAACGACAAGGCAAUCCGCCUCCUCCCCCGCCUCGUGGGGAGAGAUAUCCCACCCCGCCGCCUGUCACGCAUCCGACUCUCGGCGACUGACUAGGCCACCGCGAAGGAGUCGGCAAGAAUGACGCCCGCCAUCGGAUCGACCGCCUAGCGCGAUCCCUGGCGCUAGAAGAAGAAGAUGAUGUCGGCCCGCCUUGCUUUGGCCCCCGCAUCCGCGACGAGCCCUUCCCCAAAGGGUUCUCACUCCCAAGAGACACGCCAAAAUACAACGGCUCCGUGAAGCCGGAAGACUGGUUGAUCGACUACUCCACCGCAGUCAACAUAGCAAACGGCAACAGGCGCGUUGCCGUGAAGUACGUCCCGCUCAUGCUUCAAGGCACGACACGCACUUGGUUGAACAGCCUCAAGCCCUACAGCGUCAACAGCUGGCUCGACUUCACGGAAGUCUUCAUCCGCAACUUCACCAACACAUACAAGCGGCCUCCGAAGCCUCGCCAGCUUUCCUUGUGCGUCCAAGGGCCUAGCGAAUCAACUCGCGACUACCUCACGCGUUGGGCCGAGCUCCGCAACUCCUGCGAAGGGGUGCACGAGGUUCAGGCCAUAGAGUACUUCACCGCCGGGUGCCGAGAGGGCACCCUCAUCAAGCACCGACUCCUCUGCGACGAGGCGACUACCCUCGACGAGCUGCUGAUCAUAGCAGACAAGUACGCCACGGCCGACUCUUCAAUGAAGAGCGAGCUUCGAGUGGAUGCCUCUGGAAAGGUGCUCGCUCCGGCUCCCAAGACGCCGGCUGGAGACUCCAAUCGACGCCCGCACCCGAACAACCACAAGCGCAAGGCCCCUAUGCCGCCUUCCAGCAGCCGGCAAGUAGCCACAGUCGAAGACGAACAACCUGAAGAGCGGCCCGUGCCCAAGAAGCAGAAGGGCGGCAGGCCAGCUUGGCAGCCGGCUUUCUCCUACGAGAAAACCCUUGAUGCCCCCUGCAAGUUCCACAGCGGCGCGAAGCCGUCCAACCAUACGACUCGGAAGUGUCAUUGGCUCACGCGAAUCUCCAAAGGCGAGGGACUGGUGCCGCCUCCAGCUCCUCAGCAGCCGGCUGCUCGACCAGCAGUUGGAGCCAUUCAAGAUGAGUUCCCGAACGAGCAUGCCGCCUACGUCGUCUUCAUAAGCCAAGCUGAAGACAGAUGCAGUCGGCGCCUCCAACAGCAAGAAGUCAAUGCGGUCGCCUCCAACAACCCAGAGUUUAUGCAUUGGUCUGAGAAGCCUAUCAACUGGAGCCGGGCUGAUCACCCAGAGGUGAUGUCGUCUCCCGGCUCUUAUGCGUUGGUAUUGGACGCCACCCUCGCGAUAGAAAGACGAGCUGCCCGUUUCUCCCGAGUACUGAUUGACGGAGGGAGCAACAUCAACAUACUGUACUGUGACACCAUGGAGAAGCUGAACAUCAAGACGAAGCAACUCAUGCCAAGCCGGACUGUGUUCCAUGGCAUCGUACCCGGCCUGGCCUGCUCACCAAUCGGCAAGAUCAAGAUAGAUGUUCUCUUCGGAGACAAGGAUCACUUCCGCCGAGAAGCAGUCUGGUUUGAAGUGGUGGAUCUAGAGAGCCCUUACCACGCGUUGCUUGGCCGACCUGCCUUGGCCAAGUUCAUGGAUGUGCCCCACUACGCCUACCUCAAGAUGAAGAUGCCGAGUUCAAAGGGGAUCAUCACCAUAGCCGGAGAAUACAAGAAAUCCUCCGAGUGUGCUGCAGCCAGCAGCCGGCUGGCCGAGUCCCUUGUGAUUACCGAAGAAAGGAAGAUGCUGGACCGAGUCGUGGCCAUGGCCGAUAAGUAGCCGGCCCUGUCCCCUGACCCCAAGGAAUAUGAUGCUCAAGGCUCCUUCCAGCCGGCCAAGGAAACAAAGAAGAUACCUCUGGACCCGGAGAACCCGGAGAGGUUUGCUGUCAUUGGUGCAAACCUGGACAGCAAAUAGGAAGGCGAGCUCGUCGAUUUCCUCCGUGAGAAUCGGGACAUCUUUGCAUGGUCCCCAAAGGACAUGCCGGGUGUUCCGAAGGAUUUCGCCGAGCACAAGUUACACGUCCGAGCAGACGCAAAACCAGUCAAGCAACCCCUCCGCUGACUGUCGGAGGAAAAGAGAAGGAUUGUAGGAGAAGAGAUAGCCCGGCUUCUGGCAGCCGGCUUCAUUAUGGAGGUGUUUUUUUCCAGAAUGGCUUGCCAACGCGGUCCUGGUGUUGAAGAAAAACAAUAAAUGGCGCAUGUGUAUAGAUUACACCAGCCUCAACAAAGCCCGCCCCAAAGAUCUGUUUGCCUUACCUCGAAUCGAUCAAGUGAUAGACUCCACAGCCGGAUGCGAGCUGUUGAGUUUUUUGGAUGCUUACUCAGGCUACCAUCAGAUCAAGUUGGAUCCAGCCGACCGCCUGAAGACCGCCUUCAUCACACCAUUCGGAGCUUUCUGCUACCUGACUAUGACAUUCGGCUUGAGAAAUGCCAGUGCCACUUUUCAGCGUUGCAUGCAGAAAUGCCUCCUCAAGCAACUUGGUAGAAAUGCCCACGUCUAUGUAGACGAUAUUGUGGUGAACACGGAGAAGCACAGCACCCUGCUGGAAGACCUCAGAGAAACAUUUGCCAACUUGCGCCGGUUUCAGAUCAAGCUCAACCCCGAGAAAUGCGUGUUCGGAGUACCAUCCGGCCAGCUUCUAGGAUUUUUGGUCUCCGAACGCGGCAUCGAGUGCAACCCAGUGAAGAUCAAGGCCAUAGAGAGAAUGGGGAUUCCUACCAAGCUGCGAGAAGUCUAGAAGUUUACCGGGUGCCUAGCCUCCCUGAACAGCUUCAUCAGCCGGCUGGGAGAAAAGGCUCUCCCUCUGUACCGACUCAUGAAAAAGUCCACCCACUUCGAGUGGAACGACCAAGCAGACCAAGCUUUUCACGAGUUGAAGAAGAUGUUGACCACGCCGCCUGUCUUGGCGGCGCCGACUGAGAAAGAGCCCUUGCUCCUUUACAUUUCCGUGACUAGCCGAGUGGUCAGCACAGUUAUUGUGGUCCAACGCCCAGAAGAAGGCUGAGCUCAGUUAGUCCAGAGGCCGGUGUAUUAUUUGAGUGAAGUACUGUCCACCUCGAAGCAAAACUACCCGCACUACCAGAAGAUGUGCUAUGGAGUGUACUUCGCCGCCAAGAAGCUGAAGCCCUACUUUCAAGAGCACCCCAUCACGGUCGUAUGUACUGCCCCGCUUGCCGAGAUCAUAGGCAGCCGGGAUGCAUCCGGCCGGGUGGCCAAGUGGGCCAUUGCGCUGGCUCCUUACACGAUCUUCUACCAGCCUCGCACCGCCAUCAAGUCCCAAGCAUUGGCCGACUUCCUUGUCGACUGGGCCGAGACCCAGUACCUACCGCCAGCUCCCGACUCCACUCAUUGGCGGAUGCACUUCGAUGGAUCCAAGAUGCGCACCGGCUUGGGAUCCGGCAUCGUCCUCACCUCUCCCAAGGGCGAUAAACUCAGAUACACAUUGCAAAUUUAUUUUGCCGCCUCCAACAACGUGGCCGAGUACGAGGCGCUCAUACAUGGGCUCCGGCUAGCCAAAGAGCUUGGCAUCCGCCGGAUCCUGUGCUAUGGCGACUCGGAUUUGGUAGUCCAACAAUCAUCUGGUGACUGGGACGCCAAGGACGCAAACAUGGCGAGCUACCGAUUCCUCGUUCAGCAAAUCAGCGGAUACUUUGAAGGAUGCGAGUUCCUCCACGUACCACGGGCCGACAACGAGCAAGCAGAGGCCCUGGCACGGAUCGGCUCCACCCGACAAGCUAUACCAACUGGCGUCUCCCUCCAACGACUCCUCAAACCGUCUGUCAAGCCGUCUCCAGAAUCAGACUCCAUCUUCGUACCGCCUGCCCCUGAUGCAGUCGGAUCCGACUUGGGGAACCCAGCAGGCGGCUCGGGGACUUCGACAGGCGGCCCGGGGACUGCCGUAGUCGCACCCGGCUCGGGGACUCCAGAACCCGGCCCGGGGACUGCAACGACACAACAGGCGGUGGCCGACUCCAAUUCUUCACCACCCAACCCACCCACCCGGGUCGCAGUAGCCGUAUUGGCGAUAGAAGAAGUCACAGCUCCAUCAUGGGCCCAACCCAUCCUCAACUUCCUGGUAAACAGAGAGUUGCCGACUGACGAGAUCUCGGCAAGACAAGUUCAACGCCGAGCCGGAGCAUACACAGUAAUAAACAGAGAACUCGUUAAGCGCAGCGUCACUGUUGUCUUCCAGCUCCGCGUCGAGCCAGAGAAGGGCAUAGCAAUCCUUGAAGACAUCCACCAAGGCGAGUGCGGCCACCACGUGGCCUCAAGAUCACUUGUCGCCAAAGCUUUCCGCCGACUGCUUUGGAAGACGCCAAGGAAUUAGUCAAAUGCUGCAAAGGGUGCCAAGUCUUCAGCUCCAAGCAACACCUGCCGGCUUCUGCACUCAAGACCAUCCCCCUCACCUGGCCCUUUGCCGUCUGGGGGUUGGAUAUGGUGGGCCCAUUCAAGACAGCGCGCGGCGGCAUGACUCAUCUGCUUGUCGCCAUGGACAAAUUCACCAAGUGGAUUGAAGCGAAGCCAAUCAAGAAACUGAACGGGCCGACUGCCAUGACAUUCAUCGAAGAUAUCACAACCCGGUAUGGCAUACCACACAGCAUCAUCAUCGACAAUGGCACGAAUUUUGCCAAAGGAGCACUCGCACGUUUCUGCGUGACACAGGGCAUCCAACUGGACUUAGCGUCCGUUGCCCACUCGCAGUCAAACGGCCAAGUCGAGCGAGCAAACGGCCUCAUCCUCUUCGGCAUCAAGCCCCGACUGGUCGUACCACUGGAGCGUUCGGCCGGCUGCUGGCUCGAUGAGCUGCCGGCUGUCCUCUGGAGUCUGCGUACUACCCCGAACAAGUCAACCGGCUUCGCCCCUUUCUUCCUUGUAUAUGGUGCCGAGGCUGUCAUCCCAACUGACAUCGAGUUCGACUCGCCUCGGGUCACCAUGUACACGGAGGCGGUCCGCCAUCUACCAGCAGGGUCUGCGCCGUUACCACAACCGGAAGGUCAAGCCAAGAUCCUUCCAAGAAGGCGAUCUUGUGCUCCCGCUGAUCCAGCGAACAGCCGGCCAGCACAAGCUCUCGGCCCCUUGGGAAGGCCCCUUCGUCGCCAGCAAGGCUCUAGGCAACGACUCCUACUACCUGAUCGAUGCACAGAAGCCGAAGGCAUGCAAGAGAGAUGAUUCCGGCAAGGAGUCGGAACGACCAUGGAACGCCAAUCUCCUCUGAAGAUUUUACAGCUAAAUGCAGUAUGUACCACGCUACCUUUUGUAUUAAGUACAAGACAAAGGGCCCCCCGAGGAGCACUCGGGGACUACCCUUCUUUAUCUAUGUAUGAUGAGUGUCAUACCUAUGAAUGCAUUAUUACAUUUGAUUUUCUGUCCGGCACCGGGUUCGACCAGUCGGCCCGGGGACUUGCCGCCUUGAGCUAUAUUAAAGUUCUACCUGCAGUCAGACAAGUAGUGUGCCGGCACCCAAGCCCUCUCUUGUUGAAAGUCACAGCUCGAAGAACCGACUGUCCGACUGGCAAGAGUCAAAGGCAGGAAAGGAUGCCCACACGAAAAACGGCUAAGGACUAACGAACUUAUAUAACACAAGCCGGCCUCCCACCCCGCCAACCGGCUGUUAGAACAGUCGGCUGGCCGGCUUCCGAUUCACCUUACUACAAUCUAAAAAAGCUAGAGUACUUGCCCUCCCAAACGGCCAAGCCCUUCCCCAGCCACAGACUACAGAGCAGCUGUCCGGCUGGGAAGGCGGCAACCAAGGAGGGCGGCAAAGGAAACAACCAAAAAGAUGAAAAGCAAAUACAAUCGGAAGGCAAGCACAUGCAUGAUUAUAUUUACACAAAAGGCCUUCGAAAGGCCGGCAUUCAACAUAGUUUGAAUACACACCCAGUGGCUGGAACUACGCAAAUUUAACAGAAUAUUGUUCAAAGAGUAACAAAACAGGAAAGUAAAGGCGGCAGAUCAGGCUAAAGGUGCAACAGGCGAGCCGGGCAGGUCAGUGGAGGCGGCAAUGCCGGCUGGAGGAGUGGCCGGCUGGCGAGUCUCGGCUUGAUCAUCGCCGUCUGUAGGCGCGCACUCGCACGCGCUUCGUUGCUGGAGGCACGAUCAAGCUGAGGCUGGCCGGUCGCUCCACCGUUUGGCACGGCGUCUUCACCAUCCUCUCCCUCCUCCUCUUCGCCCUCGUCGCUGGAGUCGAUCUCCUCCGCCGAGUCCUCACCAUCUGCUGGGUUUAGCCCGAACCAUUCCUCCGGCUGAGCAAUGCCGUCAUCAUCCACCUCAGGAGCAAAGGCGCUGGUGUCGGUGUAGUCGGCGAUUGCCGAGGCACGCUGGAUGAUAUCCGCCCGCACCGCCUCCAGCUCCUCGACGGCCUCCUGCCGCCAGGUGGCCAGCUGGUCCAAGCUCAGCUCGGGAUACCAAGCUUUGACGAACUCCAGCGCCCGCCUGGCGCCUGACCGAGCUGCAGAAGCCUUCCAGGCCUCGAAGCGGCCAACCGCUACCUCCAGCCAGUCGGUAGUCCAACUGGGGAUACGGGGAACCACCUCGCCGGGCCAGAGGGCGGCCAGCACUUGCGCCCCAACACGCUGAAGACGGCGGAGCAUGCGGUGAGCCGGCUGGAGGCAGGCUUGGAUCGCCAGAAGCUGCUCGUCAAGCGACCGGCGAGCGUCCGGCGCGAUCUCAGCACCAGUAUGCCUUUGCACCUCGCGGUGAGCCUCGACGAUUUGGUUGGCGGCAGUGGAGUAACCAGGGAAGUACUCUGCACAAGUAAGAAAGCAAGAGAGAAAACACAAUCAGAAAAUGGACCAAAUGGCAGGCGGCAAGCGAAUGAACGAAGAAGGCAGCCUACUGUCAACCAAAUCUUUGAUCUGGCCGUAGCCGUUGAUCAGCGAUUGCCUUGCCUCAGCCCAGCCCGCUGCCUCGAUCUCGUAUUCGGCUUGGAGGGCGGCCUCGCUGUCCUGUGCCGCCUUCAGGGCCGCCUUAUGGCUCUCCUCCUGGUCGGCCAGCCUCUUGGCCAAGCGGUCACGCUCCUGGGCCAAGGUGUUGCACUCGGCUUCCUUGGCGCGAAGGGCGGUCUGGGCCCCACCCAACUGCGCCCUCAGGUCGGCAUUGGCCUCUGCAGAUAUGGCAAAGAAAAAAGCAAUAAGAGAAGUCGCCAGGAAAGAUCGAGCCCGACUGCUCAGCAGUCGGCCCGAAUCUCGGGGACUACACCCAGUGGGUGCGCUGACGCGCCCCCUGUUGGGGAACGUAGCAAUAAUUCAAAAUUUUCCUACGUGUCGCCAAGAUCAAUCUAGGAGAUGCUAGCAACGAGAGAGAGGGAGUGCAUCUUCAUACCCUUGAAGAUCGCUAAGCGGAAGCGUUACAAGAACGCGGUUGAUGGAGUCGUACUCGCGGCGAUUCAAAUUGUGGAAGAUCCGAUCUAGCGCCGAACGGACGGCGCCUCCGCGUUCAACACACGUACAGCCCGGGGACGUCUCCUCCUUCUUGAUCCAGCAAGGGGAGAGGAGAAGUUGAGGGAGAACUCCAGCAGCACGAUGGCGUGGUGGCAAUGGAGCUCGUGGUUCUCCGGCAGAGCUUCGCUAAGCACUACGGAGGAGGAGGAGGAGUUGGAGGAGGAGAGGGCUGCGCCUUGGGAAAGGUAUGGCUGCCCUCCCACCCCUCCACUAUAUAUAGGGGCAAGGGAGAGGGGGGCCUGGCCCCUCAGAUCCCAUCUGGUGGGAGGGGCGGCGGCCAGGGAGGGUGGCUUGCCCCCCAAGUCAAGGGGGGCGCCCCCUCCAGGGUUUCCCCCAACCCUAGGCGCAUGGGCCCUAGGGGGAGGUUGGUGCCCAGCCCACUUAGGGGCUGGUUCCCUUCCACCUACAGCCCAUAAGGCCCUCCGGGGUAGGUGGACCCUCCCGGUGGACCCCCGGAACCCCUUCGGUGGCCUCGGUACAAUACCGGCAUAACCCCGAACACUUCCGGUGACCGUAUGAUGACUUCCCAUAUAUAAAUCUUUACCUCCGGACCAUUCCGGAACUCCUCGUGACGUCCGGGAUCUCAUCCGGGACUCCAAACAACCUUUGGUAACCACAUACUAAUUCCCAUAACAACUCUAGCGUCACCGAACCUUAAGUGUGUAGACCCUACGGGUUCGGGAACCAUGCAGACAUGACCGAGACGUUCUCCGGCCAAUAACCAACAGCGGGAUCUGGAUACCCAUGUUGGCUCCCACAUGUUCCACGAUGAUCUCAUCGGAUGAACCACGAUGUCGGGGAUUCAAUCAAUCCCAUAUAAAAUUCCCUUUGUCAAUCGGUAUGUUACUUGCCCGAGAUUCGAUCGUCGGUAUCCCAAUACCUUGUUCAAUCUCGUUACCGGCAAGUCACUUUACUCGUUCCAUAAUGCAUCAUCCCGUGACUAACUCAUUAGUCACAUUGAGCUCAUUAUGAUGAUGCAUUACCGAGUGGGCCCAGAGAUACCUCUCCGUCACACGGAGUGACAAAACCCAUUCUCGAUUCGUGCCAACCCAACAGACACUUUCGGAGAUACCUUUAGUGUACCUUUAUAGCCACCCAGUUACGUUGUGACGUUUGGUACACCCAAAGCAUUCCUACGGUAUCCGGGAGUUGCACAAUCUCAUGGUCUAAGGAAACGAUACUUGACAUUAGAAAAGCUCUUAGCAAACGAACUACACGAUCUUGUGCUAUGCUUAGGAUUGGGUCUUGUCCAUCACAUCAUUCUCCUAAUGAUGUGAUCCCAUUAUCAAUGACAUCCAAUGUCCAUGGUCAGGAAACCAUAACCAUCUAUUGAUCAACGAGCUAGUCAACUAGAGGCUUACUAGGGACAUGUUGUGGUCUAUGUAUUCACACAUGUAUUACGGUUUCCAGUUAAUACAAUUAUAGCAUGAACAAUAGACAAUUAUCAUGAACAAGGAAAUACAAUAAUAACCAUUUUAUUAUUGCCUCUUGGGCAUAUUUCCAACAGUCUCCCACUUGCACUAGAGUCAAUAAUCUAGUUCACAUCACUAUGUGAUUGUAAUGAAUCCAACACCCAUGGAGUUUGUUCAGAUCUCGCUUGUGAGAGAGGUUACUAGUCAACGGGUCUGAACCUUUCAGAUCCGUGUGUGCUUUACAAAUCUCUAUGUCAUCUUAUAGAUGCAGCUACCACGUGCUACUUGGAGCUAUUCCAAAUAACUGCUCUACUAUACGAAUCCGGUUUACUACUCAGAGUCAUCCGGAUUAGUGUCAAAGUUUGCAUCGACGUAACCCUUUACGACGAACUCUUUUCCACCUCCAUAAUCAAGAAAAUUCCUUAGUCCACUAGUUACUAAGGAUAAGUUCGACCGCUGUCAUGUGAUCCAUUCCUGGAUCACUAUUGUACCCCUUGACUAACUCAUGGCAAGGCACACUUCAGGUGCGGUACACAGCAUAGCAUACUGUAGAGCCUACGUCUAAAGCAUAGGGGACGACCUUCGUCCUUUCUCUCUCUUCUGCCGUGGUCAGGUCUUGAGUCUUACUCAAUACUCACACCUUGUAACACAACCAAGAACUCCUUCUUUGCUGAUCUAUUUUGAACUCCUUCAAAAUCUUGUCACGGUAUGUAUUCAUUUGAAAGUAAUAUUAAGCGUUUUUGAUCUAUCCUUAUUGAUCUUGAUGCUCAAUGUUCAAGUAGCUUAAUCCAGGUUUUCCAUUAAAAACACUUUUCAAAUAACCCUGUAUGCUUUCCAGAAAUUCUACAUCAUUUCUGAUCAACAAUACGUUAACGACAUAUACUCAUCAAAAAUCUAUAGUGCUCCCACUCACUUCCUUGGAAACACAAGUUUCUCAUAAACUUUGCGUAAACCAAAAAUCUUUGAUCAUCUCAUCAAAGCGUACAUUCCAACUCCGAGAUGCUUACUCCAGUCCUUAGAAGGAUUGCUGGAGCUUUGCAUACUUGUUAGCAUCUUUCAGGAUUGACAAAACCUUCUGGUUGUAUCACAUACAACCUUUCGUCAAGAAAAUCGUCGAGGAAACAAUGUUUUUGACAUCCUAUCUGCAAGAUUUCAUAAAUAAUGCAGUAACUGCUAAUAUAAAUCCAACAGACUCUUAGCAUCGCUACAAGUGAGAAAAUCUCAUCGUAGUCAACUCCUUGAACUUGUCGGAAGACAUCUUAAUGACAAGUCGAGCUUUCUUAAUGGUGACACAUACCAUCAUUGUCCGUCUUCCUUUUAAAAUCCAUCUGCACCCAACAGCCUUACGACCAUCAAGUAGUUCUUCCAAAGUCUAUACUUUGUUUUUAUACAUGGAUCCUCUCUCGGAUUUUAUGGCCUCGAGCCAUUCAUCGGCAUCUGGGCCCACCAUCAUUUCUCCAUAGCUCAUAGGUUCAUUGUUGUCUAGCAACAUGACUUCCAAGAUAAGAUUACGUACCACUCUGAAGUAGCAUGCAUCCUUGUCGUCAUAUGAGGUUUGGUAGUGACUUGAUCUGAAGUUUCAUGAUCACUAUCAUCAGCUUCCACUUCAAUUGGUGUAGGUGCCACAGGAACAACUUCCUGUGCCCUGCUGCACACUAGUUGAAGUGACGGUUCAAUAACCUCAUCAAGUCUCGACCAUCCUCCCACUCAAUUCUUUCGAGAGAAACCUUUCCUCGAGAAAGGACACGAUUCUAGAAAUAAUCCCUUUUGCUUCCAGAUCUGAGACAGGAGGCAUACCCAACUGUUUUUGGGUGUCCUAUGAAGAUGCAUUUAUCCGCUUUGGGUUCGAGCUUAUCAGCCUGUAACUUUUCACAUAAGCAUCGCAACCCCAAACUCUUAAGAAACGACAGCUUAGGUUUCUCUAAACCAUAGUUCAUACAGUGUCAUCUCAACGGAAUUGCGUGGUGCCCUAUUUAAAGUGAAUGCGGUUGUCUCUAAUGCCUAACCCAUAAACGAUAGUGUAAUUCGAUAAGAGACAUCAUGGUAUGCACCAUAUCCAAUAGGGUGCAGUUAUGAUGUUCAGACACACCAUCACACUAUGGUGUUCCAGGCGGUAUUAGUCGUGAAACAAUUUCCACAAUUUCUUAAUUGUGUGCCAAACUCGUAACUCAGAUAUUCAUCUCUAUGAUCAUAUCAUAGACAUUUUUAUCCUCUUGUCACGACGAUCUUCAACUUCACUCUGAAAUUACUUGAACCUUUCAAUAAUUCAGACUUGUGUUUCAUCAAGUAAAUAUACUUAGCAUCUACUCAAAUCAUCUGUGAAGUAAGAACAUAACGAUAUCCACUACGUGCCUCAGCACUCAUUGGACUGCACACAUCAAAUGUAUUACUUCCAACAAGUUGCUCUCUUGUUCCAUCUCACUGAAAACGAGGCCUUUCAGUCAUCUUGCCCAUGUGUUAUGAUUUGCAUGUCUCAAGUGAUUCAAAAUCAAGUGAGUUCAAACGAUCCAUCUGUAUGGAGUUUCUUCAUGCAUAUCUACCAAUAGACAUGGUUCGCAUGUCUCAAUCUUUUCAAAACCGAGUGAGUCCAAAGAUCCAUCAACAUGGAGCUUCUUCAUGCGUUUAUACCAAUAUGACUCAAAUGGCAGUGCCACAAGUAUGUGGUACUAUCAUUACUAUUUUAUAUCUUUUGGCAUGAACAUGUGUAUCACUACGAUCGAGAUUCAAUAAACCAUUCAUUUUAGGUGCAAGACAACACAUAUCGUCAUCUCACCUUUAGUUAGUCUCCGUUUAUUCCGCAGCUUUUAUUUCGAGUUACUAACACUUAGCAACCGAACCGGUAUCUAAUACCCUGGUGCUACUAGGAGUACUAGUAAAGUACACACUAAUAUAAUGUAUAUCCAAUAUACUUCUGUCAACCUUGCCAGCCUUCUCAUCUACGAAGUAUCUAGGGUAGUUCCGCUUCAGUGACCGUUCCCCUCAUCUCAGAAGCACUUAGUCUCGGGUUUGGAUUCAACCUUGGGUUUCUUCACUAGAGUUGCAACUGAUUUGCCGUUUCAUGAAGUAUCCCUUCUUGCCUUACCCUUCUUGAAACUAGUGGUUUUACUAACCAUCAACAAUUGAUGCUCCUACUUGAUUUCUACUUUCACGGUGUCAAACAUCGCGAAUAGCUCAAGGAUCAUCAUAUCUAUCCCUGAUAUGUUAUAGUUCAUCACGAAGCUCCAGUAGCUUGGUGGCAAUGACUUUCGAGAACCAUCACUAUCUCAUCUGGAAGACAACUCCCACUCGAUUCAAGCGAUUGUAGUACUCAGACAAUCUGAGCACAUGCUCAACGAUUGAGCUUUUUCUCCCUUAGUUUGUAGGCUUAAGAAACUUGUCGGAGGUCUCACACCUCUUGACGUGGGCACAAGCCUGAAAUCCCAAUUUCAGCCCUUGAAACAUCUCAUAUGUUCCGCGACGUUUCAAAACGUCUUCGGUGCCUCAAUUCUAUACCGUUUACAUUACGCACUGAACUAUCACGUAGUCAUCAAAACGUGUAUGUCAGAUGUUCGCAACAUCCACAAAUGACGCUCGAGGUUUAGCACACCGAGCGGUGCAUUAAGGACAUAAGCCUUCUGCGCAGCAUUGAGGACAAUCCUCAAUUUACGGACCCAGUCCGCAUAAUUUCUACUAUCAACUUUCAACUAAAUUUUCUCUAGGAACAUAUCUUAAACAGUAGAACUAAAGCGUAAGCUACGACAUGAUUUGCAAAGAACUUUUGACUAUGUUCAUGAUAAUUAAGUUCAUCUGAUUAUUUAAUGAACUCCCACUUAGAUAGACAUCCCUCUAGUCAUCUAAGUGAUACAUGAUCCGAAUCGACUAGACCGUGUCCGAUCAUCACGUGAGACGGACUAGUCAUCAACGGUGAACAUCUCCAUGUUGAUCGUAUCUACUAUACGACUCAUGUUUGACCUUUCGGUCUCUUGUGUUCCGAGGCCAUGUCUGUACAUGCUAGGCUCGCCAAGUCAACCUAAGUGUUUCGCAUGUGUAAAUCUGGCUUACACCCGUUGUAUGCGAACGUUAGAAUCUAUCACACCCGAUCAUCACGUGGUGCUUCGAAACAACGAACCUUCGCAAUGGUGCACAGUUAGGGGGAACACUUUUCUUGAAAUUUUAGUGAGGGAUCAUCUUAUUUAUGCUACCGUCGUUCUAAGCAAAUAAGAUGUAAACAUGAUAAACAUCACAUGCAAAUCAUAAAGUGACAUGAUAUGGCCAAUAUCAUCUUGCGCCUUUGAUGUCCAUCUUCGAGGCGCGGCAAGAUCAUCUUCGUCACCGGCAUGACACCAUGAUCUCUGUGACACCCAAGUUUUUAUUUGAUUUUUCAAAAGAUUUUAUUUGACUUGAGGGAGGUGAUUUAAAAUUUUCUUCAAAAGAACUCUCCCUCUCAAAUAUUUUUCUUAUGGCAAAAGUUUUAUUUGGAUUCACCCAAGAUCUGUUUUUGGUCUUGGAGGUUCUUGCUUCUCAUUUGGACUCAAGACAAAAUGCUUUUCACUUGGGAAAAUGCCUUUUGAAAAUCUCUUUGAAAUUUGCACCAUGGCUUUUGGAAUAGUCCUUUGCCACUUUCAACUUUUCUCUCUUGCCAUGGCCUUAGUGCAAAUACUCUCCUAAACCUCCCCUCAUCUUUGGAUCAUGUUUGGCAUCUAAUCCAGCAAGUUGAACCUCCCCUAUUCAUUUUCCAUUUAAAUCUCAUUCAAAUAAAUUUCUGCCUUCUAUUCUAGCCAUUGGUGAUUUACAAAGGAACUCCAUUUUCUGUCUUGAUUUUCACCCCCAAACCUUUUUCCCCUCCUAGUCCUUUGAACCCUCAACCAGGAUCCAGGAAGAUCCACUGGUCUUCAGUUCAAAAUUUUCAAACUACACUUGCUGCAAGUUUGGACCAGAUUUGUCAAAUUUGGUGAAAUUCAUUCAAAUUCUUUUCCAAAAAUUCCAAGAAAAAUCAGGCAGCCACUAGGUGCAUUGAGUGGUCACCUCACCAAGUACCAGAUCUAGAAAAUUCAUCUCAUUGCCAAAUCUUUCUGUCGAACACCUCCAGUGCAUGGUCAUGUCAAGUUCAGAGAUUCAGUUCAGUGCUACUGUCGUUUUCUUCAGAGCUGGUUGUCGAUCUCGACAGUGCCUCGAUGUCGCCUUGCUCCUCGUCCCCUCCCCCUUGUUCCUGCACCGCACGAGUGCCUGGCACCUUGCGGACGUCGGCGACGAGCAGCAGAAGGUGCGCCGCCCCGUGACCGACGCCAGCGGCGGCUUUGCGGACGCCAGCGGGAGGCACGGCGCCGACAGCGCCACCCAGCGCCGCCCAAACCACCGGAGCUCGCCGCGUGGCCCUCCCGUCGUGAACUGCAGGGCGUGGAGCGCGCUCUCCGCCGCCGUCGAGCCCGUGCGGCCAUCUCACCGUGGACCGACGGCAUUACGCCAAGACCAACUCCGUUUAGCUGUGGGAUGGCACCAGUAACGUCCACUGAUGCUGCCUGGCCACUCAAACCUCCUGCCAAUCCACUACGUCGCCGUAAUCGCUCGCCGGAGAUUGUCCGUUCACGGCCACCCCGUCGAUCCGCCUAUAAAUAACGGCCCCAAGCUUCAACUCGAGCACACACCAUCCCCGCACUCCACCUAGUGCACGCCUAGCCACUGGAAGAGCCCCGAGGAGGUCUCCUUCCUCGACUCCGGCCGCCGCGACCCGCCACGGGAUCCAGCUCGAUUCGCCCCCGUGUGUGCACCUCUGCCUCCCAUCUCUUGCCAAUAGAUUCUCUAUGCAUCCCUCCUUCUGACCCGCGCUUCAAUUCGGUCUUUGCAGCCCUCCACCGGAGUUCUCCACCCUCACCCGAACCGCCGUCCGCCGGAGAAAGUUUCACCGUCGACGUGGUGCUCCCCGUUGGUCGAGUCCACCACCCACCGACGCGGAAGAACAAGCUGAAGCUCUUGGUACCCUCCGAUCCUCCUAACUCGCCGUGGUUCGACGCCGGCGUCCAUCGCAGUCUUCGGGCGCCGGCGAGCUUUUUAAACCUGACACGUGGGACCCCCCUGUCAGCCUCUCUUCUGUUUCCCCACGCGAAACGUUUUCUGUUGGCGCCUUAGGGCAAAUACGCUUUCCCUCUUGAGCUUGCGCAUUUCCAACCGAACCGUUUUCUGUUUUCUCAGUUAAAACCCUGGAACUUUUCUGUUUCAUUACAGAUAAGUCCCUGGACAGAAACCUAUAUAACUUUUUAACAAAAAGGAAUUUUUGAGUGAUUCUUUUUCUGGCAUUCUUAAAAUUUUGCCUAGUUUUUUAUGAAAUUUAGUUGGAAAUUUUUUGGAGAAGUUUCUGUGCACGCGUUGGUUUUCACGUUAGUGCCCGUUUUCGUUAUUGCCGUAGGUUCCGGGAGAGGUGACGGAGCCGCGAACUUCGCCGAGCUAGACUCCGACUUCUCCGAACCAGGAAAGCAUGUUUGAACAUUUGAUAUGAUGAGUGUUUUGCAUGUUUGCUUGAAAGUUUGUGCGUGGCAUGUGAGUGUCGAUAAAUACCUCGUUGCUUGUAAGGCAACUACCCGCAUGUCCCGAAGUUGCGAUGAUCUCUGAUGAGAGAUGGCCUAAUCAUGUGGUGACAUGAAGGGCAGCAAGGUGGUACUGUUGUAGCAUACCAGCCUUGCGUCAUCCGACCUCCUCCGACGUUAACGUGGACGGAGUCACGUUACCGUUCCUUUUCCCGCAUGUUCCAAAGUUGCGAUGAUCUCUGAUGAGAGAUGGCCUAAUCAUGUGGUGACAUGAAAGGGCAGCAAGGUGGUACUGUUGUAGCAUACCAGCCUUGCGUCAUCCGACUUUUUCCGACGUUAACGUGGACGGAGUCACGUUAUCGUUCUUUCCCCCUUCCGUGCUACCACAUGUUUCAUUUGCCAGGAUGCGGUUUAGUAAGUUGGUAACCUCUUUUCGUGUACACACCAAACAGAGAGACCGGGAUGAUGGUACCUUGGCCCAGGAUUAAAGCCAGUCAUCCGGUCAGGGGGCAUGGGUGUUUUCGGUUGGGACCGAGAGGGGGGGCACCCCCUUAGAGCGUGCCUAUAGAAAUUUGAUCCCAUGCUACGCGAGGUUGUAGCCUCCCCGUCUCAAGGUUUUUCGUGAACGUUGCCGAGGGUGAUCCCUGGCUUCGGAAUGCUAAAUUGGGUGUGUACUGGUUAGACGUGUUUCUUCCAAAACACCGUAAACGGAACUAGUCCCCGUGACUACUGAAAUCCGUUGGCUGUGGUUAAGUACAAACUCUGCAGAGUCAAAUCCUUCCAAAUCAUCGUAUCCAUGAUCUAGCAGUGUAAUCUUUGUAUCCAUAUCUAUCCGCGUGGAAAACUUGUCCCCGCUGAACAAGCUCAAGUGGUAAAUCCAGAUUUAUUGUUAUUCCUGUGGAUGGACUAACUUUAUAUUUGUCUCGUGCUUGUGAUAAUUUAUGUUCCCGAACUAUUGAAUUAUUAAACUGCAAUAUAAGCCCUUUAUGCGACGUCGCACAGACGUCCGACUGUGGCGUGUUCUUGUUUCUUACUUUAAAUAUAAGCCCUUUAUGUGAUGUCGCUCUGACGUUCGACUGUGGCACGCACUGCCUUUAUUUUCUGUUAUAAGCCCUUUAUGUGGCGUCGCCCCGACGCCCGACUGUGGCAUUAUUAUUCUGCAUUUUCCUCUCGAGGAGUCAUUCAAACACUCGUUUGGCACCAGUAUUAUUAUUCUGCAUUUUUCUUCUCGAGGAGUCUUUCAGACACUCGUUUGGCACCCGUAUUAUUAUUCUCGCAGUUUCCUCUCGAGGAGUCUUUCAGACACUCAUUUGGCACCAGUAUUACUAUUCUGCAGUUUCCUCUCGAGGAGUCAUUCAGACCCUCGCUUGGCACCCAGUAUUUAUUAUCUCUAUGUCUGAACGCACUGGAUAAAUUGUUCAUAUGCUUCAUGUUUACAUUUGUUAUAUCUUAUGUCCGAACUGUCUUGCGAGUACUUUCAUAGUACUCACCUGGCUUGUUGAUUUGGCCAGAUGUUGACGAAGGCGAUCUCUUGGAUGAAGAGUUUGAUAGCGCGUUCGACGCCUAGCGGAGUCCCAGUCAGUCCUGCACGAUCCCGGAUAUUGGUCACUUGUUUUAUAUACGCUUCCGCCACCCGCAUUAAGUCUCCUCGAGCCUCACUCCGACGCUCGAUGAGCUGUAGUCUUCAGGAGUCAUAUCACUCGCUUCGCAGUGAUAUUUCCACCACCGUUAUUAUCGUGAGUUAGUAGUAUGCCACCCUUUCCGCCGUCUUGUAUUAGCGGCGUGCAUGUAAUAAAUUGUUGGGCAUCCUCCGCUCAACCUUGUAUUAUAUUCAGUACUCCUGGUAUUUUUCUUCUGUAACCAAGAUAUUGUCUACCAGUGAGAAGGAAUUCUUCCUUACUAUUCCGUAAAAGGGAUUGGUCUCUCAAUAAUUAUUUUAUUUAAAAACCGGUCGUGACAAUCUCCAUCAUCGUGUCUUCAUGAAGUUGUCUCGCCAACUAUUACUUCUACUACUAUGGCUAAUGGUUAGCAAUAAAGUAAAGUAAUUACAUGGCAUUUUUCAUUGACACGCAGGUCAUACAAUAAAUUAAGACAACUCCUAUGGCUCCUGCCGGUUGUCAUACUCAUCGACAUGCAAGUCGUGAUUCCUAUUACAAGAACAUGAUCAAUCUCAUACAUCACAUAUAUAUAAUUCAUCACAUCCUUUUGGCCAUAUCACAUCACAUAGCAUACCCUGCAAAAACAAGUUAGACGUACUCUAAUUGUUGUUGCAUGUUUUACGUGGCUGCUAUGGGUUUGUAGCAAGAACGUUUCUUACCUACGCAAAAGCCACAACGGUGAUAUGCCAAUUGCUAUUACCCUUCAUAAGGACCCUCUUCAUUGAAUCCGAUCCGACUAAAGUGGGAGAGACAGACACCCGCUAGCCACCUUAUGCAUCAAGUGCAUGUCAGUCGGUGGAACCUGUCUCACGUAAGAGUACGUGUAAGGUCAGUCCGGGCCGCUUCAUCCCACAAUGCCACCGAAUCAAAAUAAGACUAGUAACGGUAAGCAAAUUGAACAAAUCAUCGCCCACAACUACUUUGUGUUCUACUCGUGCAUAGAAUCUACGCAUAGACCUAGCUCAUGAUGCCACUGUUGGGGAACGUAGCAAUAAUUCAAAAUUUUCCUACGUGUCACCAAGAUCAAUCUAGGAGAUGCUAGCAACGAGAGAGAGGGAGUGCAUCUUCAUACCCUUGAAGAUCGCUAAGCGGAAGCAUUACAAGAACGCGGUUGAUGGAGUCGUACUCGCGGCGAUUCAAAUCGCGGAAGAUCCGAUAUAGCGCCGAAGGGACGGCGCCUCCACGUUCAACACACGUACAGCCAGGGGACGUCUCCUCCUUCUUGAUCCAGCAAGGGGAGAGGAGAAUUUGAGGGAGAACUCCAGCAGCACGACGGCGUGGUGGUUCUCCGGCAGAGCUUCGCUAAGCACUACGAAGGAGGAGGAGUUGGAGGAGGAGAGGGCUGCGCCUUGGGAAAGGUAUGGCUGCCCUCCCACCCCUCCGCUAUAUAUAGGGGCAAGGGAUAGGGGGGCCGGCCCCCUCAGGUCCCAUCUGGUGGGAGGGGCGGCGGCCAGGGAGGGCGGCUUGCCCCCCAAGUCAAGGGGGGCGCCCCCUCCAGGGUUUCCCCCAACCCUAGGCGCAUGGGCCCUAGGGGGAGGUUGGUGCCCAGCCCACUUAGGGGCUGGUUCCCUUCCACCUACAGCCCAUAAGGACCUCCGGGGCAGGUGGACCCUCCCGGUGGACCCCCGGAACCCCUUCGGUGGCCCCGGUACAAUACCGGCAUAACCCCGAACACUUCCGGUGACCAUAUGAUGACUUCCCAUAUAUAAAUCUUUACCUCCGGACCAUUCCGAAACUCCUCGUGACGUCCGGGAUCUCAUCCGGGACUCCGAACAACCUUCAGUAACCACAUACUAAUUCCCAUAACAACUCUAGCAUCACCGAACCUUAAGUGUGUAGACCCUACGGGUUCGGGAACCAUGCAGACAUGACCGAGACGUUCUCCGGCCAAUAACCAACAGCGGGAUCUGGAUACCCAUGUUGGCUCCCACAUGUUCCACGAUGAUCUCAUCGGAUGAACCAUGAUGUCGGUGAUUCAAUCAAUCCCGUAUACAAUUCCCUUUGUCAAUCGGUAUGUUACUUGCCCGAGAUUCGACCGUCGGUAUCCUAAUACCUCGUUCAAUCUCGUUACCGGCAAGUCACUUUACUCAUUCCGUAACGCAUGAUCCCGUGACUAACUCAUUAGUCACAUUGAGCUCAUUGUGAUGAUGCAUUACCGAGUGGGCCUAGAGAUACCUCUCCGUCACACGGAGUGACAAAUCCCAUUCUCGAUUCAUGCCAACCCAACAGAAACUUUCGGAGAUACCUGUAGUGUACCUUUAUAGCCACCCAGUUACGUUGUGACGUUUGGUACACCCAAAGCAUUCCUACGGUAUCCGGGAGUUGCACAAUCUCAUGGUCUAAGGAAACGAUACUUGACAUUAGAAAAGCUCUUAGCAAACGAACUACAUGAUCUUGUGCUAUGCUUAGGAUUGGGUCUUGUCCAUCACAUCAUUCUCCUAAUGAUGUGAUCCCGUUAUCAAUGACAUCCAAUGUCCAUGGUCAGGAAACCAUAACCAUCUAUUGAUCAACGAGCUAGUCAACUAGAGGCUUACUAGGGACAUGUCGGGGUCUAUGUAUUCACACAUGUAUUACGGUUUCCAGUUAAUACAAUUAUAGCAUGAACAAUAGACAAUUAUCAUGAACAAGGAAAUACAAUAAUAACCAUUUUAUUAUUGCCUCUAGGGCAUAUUUCCAACACCCCCACGUGAGAUAAAAGAUGAAGCACUUACUCCGGCUCUCAGUUAGAUCAGCGGUCUUCUGGGUCAGCUCCCGAGCCUGGGAGUUGAAGGCAGCCGCGCGGAGGUUAUGGUAGUCCUGCAAGUCGGACAGAGAAGCGAAUAAGAACAAGAUAAGAAAUCAAAGUCUACUAAGAAGUUCCAAGCCGCCUGCUCAGCAGCCGACUCGGAACUCGGGGACGCGCCCCCACGGAAGAAAUCAAGAUCAAGAAACAGAAAAGUGGGAAGACUCGCCCGAAUGGCCGUCCGUGUCGCGAGGAACUCCUGAUUGUACUGCCUUAGCACGGCGGCCUGGGACUGAACCGGUUCCGGACUUCUUGCCACUACUGGAAUCAGCUAAUUUGCCAUCUGCCAGAUCUUUGCCGUCUGCUAGCUGACGGCAAAGAAGCUCUUUGCCAUCAGCUACCCAAAAGCAGACGGCAAAGAAAAGGCUGACGGCAAAGAAGCUCGUUGCCAUCUGCCAGCUCUUUGCCGUCUGCCAGCAGACGGCAAAGAAUCUUUGCCGUCCGCUGGCAGACGGCAAAGAGUGAGGUGGCCCCCACCCCCCGCUCGUUUGAAAAAAUCUUAACGGCCCACCUCUUUGUCGUCCGCUAGCAGACGGCAAAGAGGCAAAAAGGCGGACGACAAAGGCUGGCGGACNNNNNNNNNNNNNNNNNNNNNNNNNNNNNNNNNNNNNNNNNNNNNNNNNNNNNNNNNNNNNNNNNNNNNNNNNNNNNNNNNNNNNNNNNNNNNNNNNNNNNNNNNNNNNNNNNNNNNNNNNNNNNNNNNNNNNNNNNNNNNNNNNNNNNNNNNNNNNNNNNNNNNNNNNNNNNNNNNNNNNNNNNNNNNNNNNNNNNNNNNNNNNNNNNNNNNNNNNNNNNNNNNNNNNNNNNNNNNNNNNNNNNNNNNNNNNNNNNNNNNNNNNNNNNNNNNNNNNNNNNNNNNNNNNNNNNNNNNNNNNNNNNNNNNNNNNNNNNNNNNNNNNNNNNNNNNNNNNNNNNNNNNNNNNNNNNNNNNNNNNNNNNNNNNNNNNNNNNNNNNNNNNNNNNNNNNNNNNNNNNNNNNNNNNNNNNNNNNNNNNNNNNNNNNNNNNNNNNNNNNNNNNNNNNNNNNNNNNNNNNNNNNNNNNNNNNNNNNNNNNNNNNNNNNNNNNNNNNNNNNNNNNNNNNNNNNNNNNNNNNNNNNNNNNNNNNNNNNNNNNNNNNNNNNNNNNNNNNNNNNNNNNNNNNNNNNNNNNNNNNNNNNNNNNNNNNNNNNNNNNNNNNNNNNNNNNNNNNNNNNNNNNNNNNNNNNNNNNNNNNNNNNNNNNNNNNNNNNNNNNNNNNNNNNNNNNNNNNNNNNNNNNNNNNNNNNNNNNNNNNNNNNNNNNNNNNNNNNNNNNNNNNNNNNNNNNNNNNNNNNNNNNNNNNNNNNNNNNNNNNNNNNNNNNNNNNNNNNNNNNNNNNNNNNNNNNNNNNNNNNNNNNNNNNNNNNNNNNNNNNNNNNNNNNNNNNNNNNNNNNNNNNNNNNNNNNNNNNNNNNNNNNNNNNNNNNNNNNNNNNNNNNNNNNNNNNNNNNNNNNNNNNNNNNNNNNNNNNNNNNNNNNNNNNNNNNNNNNNNNNNNNNNNNNNNNNNNNNNNNNNNNNNNNNNNNNNNNNNNNNNNNNNNNNNNNNNNNNNNNNNNNNNNNNNNNNNNNNNNNNNNNNNNNNNNNNNNNNNNNNNNNNNNNNNNNNNNNNNNNNNNNNNNNNNNNNNNNNNNNNNNNNNNNNNNNNNNNNNNNNNNNNNNNNNNNNNNNNNNNNNNNNNNNNNNNNNNNNNNNNNNNNNNNNNNNNNNNNNNNNNNNNNNNNNNNNNNNNNNNNNNNNNNNNNNNNNNNNNNNNNNNNNNNNNNNNNNNNNNNNNNNNNNNNNNNNNNNNNNNNNNNNNNNNNNNNNNNNNNNNNNNNNNNNNNNNNNNNNNNNNNNNNNNNNNNNNNNNNNNNNNNNNNNNNNNNNNNNNNNNNNNNNNNNNNNNNNNNNNNNNNNNNNNNNNNNNNNNNNNNNNNNNNNNNNNNNNNNNNNNNNNNNNNNNNNNNNNNNNNNNNNNNNNNNNNNNNNNNNNNNNNNNNNNNNNNNNNNNNNNNNNNNNNNNNNNNNNNNNNNNNNNNNNNNNNNNNNNNNNNNNNNNNNNNNNNNNNNNNNNNNNNNNNNNNNNNNNNNNNNNNNNNNNNNNNNNNNNNNNNNNNNNNNNNNNNNNNNNNNNNNNNNNNGAGACCGACACGACACCCCGACCCCCGACACCUCCCGAAAAGGUGUUCUUUGGCCUUCUAGAAGCCGACGGGGUCAUAUAUUUGUGAAUUAUUAGUUAGGUCAUAUAUCUUUCGAUUUUGUUAUGAAAAACAUCAUAUAUAAUUGUGUUGAUCGGGUAGUUUUAAAUGUGCAGUUGUUUCAUCGCUGCGAGGUUUGGUGUUCGACGACCUCGCCAUCCGUUUGACGAGCUCUGCCCCUUCGUUCAUGGGUGAGCACAAAUGACAUGUCCUCCUCCCCCAUUAAUUAUUUGAUCUAUUCCGAUGAAACUUGAUAGCUAGAUAUAUAUGUGUCUUGAAUCAUCAGUAUGCGUAACCAAUAUGUGUCUCCCGUUUGAAAGCGUCAUAGUUAUAAAUAUGCAUGCAUUUGCAUAUUUAUAACCUUGAUUCUUUCGAAUUAUCCAACGCUAUCCAUGGACAGGCCGAGUAUGUUUAGAUUGGGUUCGUUUUCCCAUAUGCUUUGCUCCGGAUCCGACGCAUAAAUUUCAUCAGUGCCUCCCCUGUUGUUCUCCGGGUACACAUCCUCUCUGUUUAUUGCAGAGACGUGUAUCAGGAGAACAGCGGGGAGGUGCUGCCGAAAUUUUGCGUAGGAUCCGGGGCAUAGCAUGGGAAAAUGAACCCAAUCUAAACAUACUCGGGUGGGAUUAGGACCUAUCAUUACCUAUUAGAGUGUAGGUUGCAUGGACGUAAUAAAAUUGACAAAGUAGAUCAACUCAUGAAUACAUACAUGGUGAAUUAUAUAUAUAUAUAUAUUUGUUGUGUGUCUAGUAGCUCUGAAAGUCAAGAUGAGUGAUCGUGCGUGGAUGUACACCGGUCACACUGGUCAGAACAAAUGGAGCACUGAAUGGUUCACAAAAACCAAGGGGUUUGUGCGAGCCGCAUUUGCAAAUGGCCAGAGGAAAACCUGGUGCCCCUGUUUACGGUGCGGCAAUUGGGAAAAGAGGACAGAGGCUAAAAUGGGCAAACACCUGCAGAAGAGUGGUUUUAUGCCCGAUUAUACGGUGUGGACAUUUCGUGGUGAGUCUGCCCAACGUGACCGAGCUGAGGUGGAUCGUCGUCGCACCGACAAGCAUGGUACCGGGAUGGAAAACAUGGUGCAAGACUUUGAUGAUGCUCGGGAUUCGGACGAGGAGAUGGAGGAAUCUGCAAAGGCCUUCAAUGAAAUGUUGGAGUCUUCAAAACGUCCGCUCCAUGAGCACACUCAGCUUUGUCAGUUGGAUGCCAUCUCACAAGUAAUGGCUCUGAAGGCUCAGUUCAACUUGGGCAGAGAAUGCUACGAUGCAAUGAUGACAGUAUUUGGACGCUUUCUACCCAAAGGCCAUGUAAUGCCUGCAAACCUAUACCAGUCGGACAAAAUCCUCCGUGCACUGAAGAUGCCCUAUGAUAAGAUACAUGCCUGUGAGAAAGGAUGUGUCUUGUUUAGGCUUGACUAUGCGGACUUGAACUAUUGUCCCAUUUGCAAGUCUUCCAGGUAUGUUGUGGUAGACAACGGUAUGGGUGAGAAGACACAGACCAAAAUCCCCGUUAGUGUUCUUCGGUAUAUGCUAAUCGUACCAAUACUUCAACGUCUUUUCAUGGUCGAAGAGACGGCCAGACAGAUGACAUGGCACAAAACGGGCAAACGAACCGAACUAGAUGCAGAUGGGAAUCUGAUGAUUGUACACACAUCGGAUGGUGUUGCGUGGAAAAAGUUUGAUGAAUUACCUGGUGACAAAGCGGCAGAUCCGAGGCAUCCUCGAGUCGGCAUCAGCACGGAUGGGUUCAGUGUGUUGGCCCGUAUACAGUUGUUGGCCCGUAUUUGUCUUUCCACUCAAUCUCCCCCCCCGGACAGAUUAUGCAAAGAAAGAACAUUUUCCUGACGUUGAUAAUUCCAGGGCCAAACUAUCCGGGGAAAAAUAUGAAUGUGUACAUGCAACCGCUUAAGGACGAAUUGCAAGAAGCCUGGGAUAAUGGGUUCAAGACAUACGAUGCCUAUAGCAAACGGAACUUCAUAAUGCGUGUCUGGUACAUGUACUCGACGCAUGACUUGCCGGCGUAUGCGCUAUUCGUUGGCUGGUGUGUGCAUGGAAGGUUCCCGUGCCCCACAUGCAAGGGAGCUCUUCAGUUUCGUUGGCUUCAGGCCGGUCGCAAGUUUUCUUGCUUCGACAUGCAUAGACAGUUCCUGAAUCCUCGCCAUAAGUUCAGGAAAGACAAGAAGAACUUCAUCAGAGGUAGAGUUGUCAAAAACUCUGCACCACAUGCAUUGACAGGCCAACAGACCCUGGAUCAGUUAAACGCUCUCGAGCCAGAUCCAGAGCGUCCAGGGUACUUCAAGGGGUAUAAUUCUAAGCACGCCUGGACUCACAAAACAUGCUUAUGGGAUCUGCCUUACUUCAAAGACCUCCUUUGCCCACACAACAUCGACGUGAUGCACACUGAGAAGAAUAUCGCCGAGGCACUUUUUGGUACAUUGUUCGGCAUAGAUGGGAAGUCAAAGGAUAAUACUAAGGCUAGAGUCGAUCUGGAGGCGCUAUGUGAUAGGCCGUUACAAAACAUGAAAGAACCGAAAGGAAAGCAGAACUGGACGAAGCCAAAGGCAUGGUUCAAUCUUGGAAGGCCAGCUAUGAGGGAAAUUAUCUUGUGGGUGAAAAUGCAGUUGAUGUUCCCCGAUGGGUAUGCAACGAAUCUACAGAGGGGAGCCAGUCUUGAUAAAUUGAAGAUAUUUGGUCUUAAGAGUCAUGAUUGGCACAUAUGGAUUGAGCGGGUAAUGCCGGUGAUGUUGCGUGGCUUCAUCCCUGAGGAUGAAUGGCUAGUACUGGCAGAACUCAGCUAUUUCUUCCGUGUUCUUUGUGCGAAAGAACUAUCGCCUGGCGUGCUAGAAGAAAUGGAAGAGUUGGCGCCGGAGUUGAUCUGCAAGUUAGAGAAGAUCUUUCCACCGGGCUUCUUUAAUCCAAUGCAACAUUUGAUUUUGCAUCUCCCGACCGAGGCAAGAUUGGGGGGGCCCGUGCAAAAUCGUUGGUGCUACCCAACUGAGAGGAUGCAGAAGACGCUUCGACAAAAAUGUAAAAAUAAACGUAGAAUUGAAGCAUCGAUGGCUGAGGCAUUCAUCACUGAGGAGGCGGCAAACUUCGUGACAGCACACUACGAAGCCAAAAAUCGUCAUUUGCAUAAUCUGAAGCCUCGGUACAAUGCUGACGACCCUAAAAAGGGUGGAUCCAACCUCAGCCUAUUCAAAGGGAAUCUCGCACCAGCCAGUGUUUCAAAUCCAGUAUCUUUGGAUAACGAACAAUGGCGGACCAUUUUGUUGUAUAUCUUCAACAACCUGAUAGAAGUGCGGCCGUACAUCGAGUAAGUUCUCGGUACAUAGUUUCGCAACUUCUAUUUCCUUUGAACUACUCUUAUUCCCGGAUAUUUCAUACAGUCGAUACGUCGCCUUAUUCUCGUAUGGAGCGGUGAUCCAAAAGGAUUCUGUCGAAGAGUAUGAGCUUCUCGCAAAGCAAGGAGGCGGCUAUCCCGGUUUCAUCUCUUGGUUCAAACAAACGGUAAUUUCUAUUAGACUUGUAGGCUAAUUUGUAGGCGGCUAUCCCGGUUUCAUUCGCUAAUUUGUGCGUAAUGCAACAAUCCUUUCAUAUUAAACUUGUAGGCUAAUUCAGAGUCUAUGGACGCCGAAUUGAGACAAGUCGCUAAUGGUUUUGACUAUAAGGUCCGUUCAUUUGACAAAUACGACAUCAACGGGUAUCGCUUUCGUACCUAUGGCAAAGAGCUAUCUAUGGCCGACCGAAAGUCUACAAAUUGUGUUGUAUCUGCUAUCGGCGAAGGAGGUACCAAGUAUUCUGGGAGAGUUGAAGCAAUUUAUGAACUUCUAUUCUAUGGUGAAAACCCACCGAAUGUCGUAGUCUUCAAAUGUUAUUGGUUUCAUCCGAAGGAGACUAGAAGGACUCAUGAACAUAUAGGGCUAGUUGAAAUCAACCAAAGCACCCAUUUAGAUGUUCCUGAUGUCUAUAUUACGGCUCAACAGGCGACCCAAGUAUUCUAUCUACCAUGGGCCUGCCAAACUAAUCCAAAUCUGAAAGGUUGGGAUGUCGCUUAUGAAGUGCCGCCACGUGCUAGACUAUCUCCCCCAAAGGAAGAGGAUUAUGAACCUCACAUUAACCCAGACACAUAUGAAGGAGAAUUCUUCCAAGAGACACGUCUUUCCAAAAAGCGUUUCAAGAACCGCUAUACUUCACCCCAAAACAUUGAAGUAGACAGCGACAGUGAAUCCGACAUCACCCCAGAGGAGGAACAAGAAGAGCCGGAACAAGAAGAGGUUACUGCUGCGGAUGACCUGUCAUUGCUUGACCGAUUACGUCAAGGUGGCCUUGCACAUGAUGAUGCCACUGAACCCAAUGAGCCCGUCAUUGAUUAUAGUAAUGAUGAUGAUUAUGCAUUUAUUGAUGAUAUUGAUCGAGAUUAUUAGUAGUGUCAGGUAUUAAAUUUUUUAAUGUUGUACUUGAUGAUGAUACACUUAAGUGAUACACAUAUUAUUAUUCAUGUCGGUCUUUUUUUUAUGUUGUACUAAUUUUGUUUACUGUUUGUCAUGGCAGGUGUUGAAAGAUGGUGGGCGCUGGUCGGGAGCGCGCCAAGGCCCCUUCUUCGUCGGCGCGUGGUCUGAGGUCUUCGAUUCCAGACGUACCUCUCCGCCGAGCGUUGCUGGACAGUAUGUCCACACCGCCGGGCCCUUCUUCGUCGACCACGGUGCCCAGCAGGGGACGAGGUAGGAAGAGAGGAGGUGGGGCACGUGGUCGCGGGAGAGGAGGUAGGGUGACUGCUACGGCGCCUUCCUCGCCGCCACCCCCAGCUGUUUCACCCGAGCACGUGACUGCUAGGGUGGACUCGUCCGAGGAGGAGGCUACACAAACUCCGGUCCACGAGCCUCCGGUCCACGGGUCUUGGGCCCACGAGCCUCGGGUCGACUGGCCUUCGGCCCACGAGAGUUCGGCCCACGAGACCCCGGAGGAGCACACGUCCGGAUGGGGUACCUGGCCGGAUCAGCCCGAGGAGACGAGUGGCCAUGCUGAUGAUGGCGGGGAGCCGACUGAUCUUGAGGAGGAGGGUGGCACCGUCUACCAGCGUGGUGCUACACGGCUCCCGUCCGUGCCGCCGACCCGCGAGCAGAGGUGGUUGAUCUUCCCUUAUGGGGAGAGGUACGUAAGUGCAUUUAAUAUUUUUGUACCUUCUACAUUCACGUUUCUUCAAAUAACUAAUGCGUUGGCCUUGUCAUGCUGCAGGGGUUGGGACCACCAUCAUAGUGUCCACCGGCCCAACUCCGUCCUUGGAGUUCUUUGCCGGCAAAACUUCCCGGGGUUUGUCACGUUGCCUGGUGAGGGUCGGCUUCCAGAGCUUGGGUUGAGCUGGGAGCACUAUGUGGCUGCACCGGCCCCGCCGGAUGUCAUUAUCGACGGUGUCGUGUGCGACACGAGGGCAGACAUGGUGAUCAGGACGUUCUGGGUAAUUUCUCCUUUACACAUUUCAAAAUCUUCAACUAGCUAGUUAUUAAUUGUACUAAUCAAUAUUGUCUCAUUUGAUUGCAGACAUUCUACAGGUGUGAGGAGGGAUACGAGGAGGACAGCGCAAAUGUUAUCCAGAACGUCUGCAAGCGCCUACUCCAGAACUUACGGCACGAGGCUCGGGUGCGGGCUGUUCGAGACUACUACGCCUUGCGUGGUAUCAAGAAGACCAAGCCGGCGUGCCGCGAUAAGUUCCUGAGUAAGGAGCAGUACAUGAAGGUAAUUCUUAAGGCCUUCUACUUAAGUUCCUUCAUUUAGUAAUUCUUAGCCGGAGCGCUCAAGUUUCUAUUUGCUAACUUAGGCGCCUCCGAGAUGGUGUGCGGAUCGGAUGGAUUGUUGGGAGGUGUUGGUCGAUGAGUGGUGCUCACUAGAAUGGCUAGCCCUCCACAACCAGGCCAAGGACAAACGUGCCCAAAUGGAAGGUGUGCCACACCAUCAAGGCAGCUCAAACUUAUAUCAGUUCGGGCGCAACUGGGUAUGUGGUUUGCUUCAUGAUUCAUGCAAUUCAUUCAUCAUGCUAGCUUGAGCCCUUUAAUUACUAAUUUUCAUUGUUUCUCUCUUUCAGGCACGCCACAAUAAGGCGGAUAAGGUGCCAGAGGUGUACGACCUGUAUGCCAUGGCCCACACUGGCUCUUUCAAGAAAGUCAAGGCUUUCUCUCAGUCUGACCUCGAUGAUGCAAACAACUUCACCAACAUCUCCUCCCACAACAAGCUCGUGAGAUAUAGAGAUGAGGGGAAGGUGAGGAAAGGGGAGGACUUUAACCCGAGCCAGGGUCCCAUUGAUCCAGAGCUGGUGAUGAUAUCUAGUGGCGGGAGGUCCCAUGGCUCCAUAGCCAUUAGAGAUGGACUUAUCCGUUGUCCUAGCACUCUCCCGGAGAUCAAGGCGCGCCAGUCCAGCUCCGCUCCUAAGAUAAGGCCUCGUGAACGGCCAGUGCAACUCGCCAUCAAGGUUAGUGAUACGUACUUAGUUAUCUUUCUCCAUUACAUUGUGUGCGCUUCCAUCAAUGAUUACAAAUGGUCAUGUGAGUGGUGUUGCAGGCUGCUAUACAGACUGAGAGAGAUAGAACGGAGAAACUUCUGGCGGAGGCGGCGGAGAGGCAGCGGGAGAUGGAGGAGAGGACGAGAAAGAUGAUGGAGGAGGAGAGGGCACGGAAUGACAUGCAGGCAAGGGCCAUGUACGAGCUCCUUGUGGUAAGUUUCUUCUGCAGAUUACUUGCUAGUCUUAACAUUUGAGUCUCAUUACUAACUAGUAUGACUCUGUUCUGAAAACCAAAUGUGCAGUCUGUGUGCGAGAAGUCCGGUCAGCCCGCUCCGCCGAUGCCAGUGAUUGCUCCUGGGAGCACGGUGAGUUUAGUUUGAAUGGACAUUACUUGGUAGUCUUAACAUUUGAGUGUUGUAAUGCUAACGAGACAUUGGAAAUGAUCUUUGGUGCAGCUUAACUCCAGAAACGCAUCGCACGAUCCUUCUCCAGGUAGCGGCACUAGCCACCCCGCUCCUACACCUCCCUGAUCACGGUAAGUUUCUCUAGUGUUUUGCUUAACAAAUGCAUAAAGACCUAGACUUAGCUUUAUUUCCUCCAAUAUGCUUACCAUAAUGACCUAGAGUUAGCUUAUUUUCCUCCAAAAUGACCCAUUUUACCUAGGUUAGCUUAUAAAUGAUGCAGUUCAUCCAAGUUAGCUCAAAAAUGACCCAUUUUACCUAGAUUAGCUCCUAAAUGAUCCAUUUUACCUACGUUAGCUUUAAAAUGGCCCAUUUCACCUAGGUUAACUCCAAAAUGACCCAUCUUACCUAGGUUAUCUCAUAAACGAUCGAUUUCAACUAAUUUAGCUCAUAAACGAUCCAUUUGACCUAAGUGAGCUAAAAAACGAUCCAUUUCACCUAAAUUAGCUCUUAAAUGAUCCAUUUCACCUAAGUUAGCUCAAAAAGAUCCAUUUCAACUAAAUUAGCUCUAAAAUGACCCAUUUUACGUAGAUUAGCUCCUAAAUGAUCCAUUUUACCUACGUUAGCUUUAAAAUGACCCAUUUCACCUAGGUUAGCUCCAAAAUGACCUAUUUCACCUAGGUUAGCUCCAAAAUGACCCAUCUUACCUAGGUUAGCUGAUAAAUGAUCCAUUUUAUCCAAGUUAGCUCUAAAAUGACCCAAUUUACCUGAGUAGCUCCUAGGUUAGCUUAUAAAUGAUCCAGUUUAUACUUCUUGUUCUAGUCUUCUUCUUGUUCUAGUCACCUAUUUCUAACUUUCUUAUUUACCAUUUUGCAGAUUUCAUUCACUUCAUGGAAGCUAGCUUGCUAUGAUGGAGUGCUUGCUUUUCCUUUGAUGAAACUUUGCAUUGUAUCUAGCUUGCUAUGAUGGAACUUGCUAUCUUGAUGAAACUUUGCAUUGUAAUAUAUAUGGAUGGAACAAUGUGUAUGGAUGGAACUUGCUUAUGUAUGAACAAUGUGUAUGGAUGAAACUGAUGUGAUAUGUGAUAUGUGAUAUGAAACUUAUGUGCUGGAUAUGUGAUAUGGAAAUAUAUCUAUAUAUGUCAUAUAUAUUUUCUGUGCAAAUUGUGGGAUUUAAUAAAAAACAGAAAAAACAGCCAAUAUGCAGGCUCUUUGCCGUCUGCCACCGACGGCAAAAGAGCUCUUUGCCGUCUGCCGCGGACGGCAAAGAAGCCACGUGGCAGCCAACUGUGCUUCCUGGGAGCUGACCCAUUUGGUCAGUUUGCCUACAGGGGCAGACGGCAAAGACUUUGCCAUCUAUGGCAGACGGCAAAGAACCUGCACUUUGCCAUCUGUGGCAGAUGGCAAAGACCAGAGAAAUUUUGCCGUCAGCGGCGAACGGCAAAGGUCUCCCGUUAGCCACUUAACGGACUGACAGCGCAAUUAUUGCCGUCCGCCCUCUUUGCCGUCCGCCGCAGACGGCAAAGAGCCUUUGCCGUCCGCCGCCAGGAAGCAGACGGCAAAGCAGCUGUUUACCGUAGCCUUCUUUGCCGGAGCCUUUUGCCGUCCGCGGCUGACGGCAAAGGUCUUUGCCGUCUGCCUUUUGAGCCUUUGCCGUCCGCCGUGGCAGACGGCAAAGUAGCUGUUUACUGUAGUGUGCGCUGCCACGUUCACCACGGCCAUCCCACCACCUGGCGUCCACCUCGAGCUAGCGCUGGCCGUCUCUAGAUCCUGGGCCGAUGAGCUAGAGCCCGCGGCCUUCUGCGGGUCCGGCGCCGAAGUCGCCUUCCCCGCGCGCUGGCGCGAUGGCGACCGGACCACCAGGUCCGUCCUCGCAGCCGGCUCACCUCCAGCCGGCUGCACGGGCGGCGCGUUAGGCCGGCUGCCUCGCUCCGCCCCAGUCGGCGAUGGCGGUGCCGCCUCCCUCUCCCGGACGACAACGUCGUCCUCCUCCCUCUCCAUCCCCGGCGGGUCGCCACCGGCUUCCUCCGGCGGGGGCUCCGGGAUCACGGGCGCCACGGCACGCAGGGGGACGACAAACAAGGCCCCGGCCGCAGUCUCUGCGGCUGCAGCCUCCGCCUGAGCCUUGGCCGCCGCGUCGGCUUGUGCCUUCGCCGACUCCUCCGCCAUCUCCUGCGCCGCCUUGGCAGUGGCCGCCCUCAGCUCCUCCGCCUCCCGCUCCUCCCUUGCCUCCCACGCGUUCCGCUCUGUUGCCGCUUGAAGCUCGGCAUGGGGGUCCACGCGGCAGGUGCUUGUGGAUCCUCCCGCCGAUCCAACCACGGAGGCGGCAGCGGUCCGCUCAAGAGAGAGCGGAGCCCUGCUUGAUGAAUCAAGACAAAGACUUAGAAGAAGUUUAUCGACAAAAAAGAAGAAGGAAUAUGCGAGAGAAUCGACACUGACGCCGAAACCUUUUGUGGCUGCUUCACCACCUUGCGGAAGCGGUCCGCCUUCGCGGCUACCUCGUCCCGUUUGGUCGCCGCCGCCGUGCUCUUGGGCCUCUUCGGCCGACUGCCGAAUAGGCUUGGCGCGGCCCGGCGCUUCUGCGCGCCGCCUCGAGUAGCCGGCGCGGUAGACGAGCCCGCGCCAUGGUCGGCGCCGGCUGGGGGCGCGGGAUGAUUUCCGCCUCAUCAUCAUCCGGCUAGUCGUCGAAGCUGGCUCCAACAUGGAGCCGCCUGCUUCGCCGCCUGCUUCGCUGCCUCCCCCCUCGGUGUUGUCUUCCAUAGCAGCCGCCCCCAAGUCGGGGUCGUCCAAGUCAUGCGCCACCCGGCCGGGGAGAAAUUGGCGCUCCGCCCCCGCUGCCCUGGCCGCCGGCCGAAGGAGAGGGCUCUGCCAAGACAAACCGACUGGUCAAAGUCGGCCAAGAGAAACUUGGUGACAAAAGUAAAGAAGAGAAGAUAAAGAAAACUUACCAUAGGCCGGGGAUGGGCACGGGAGUACGGCUCCUUGCCAAACUGCCACUCGUCGGUGAGCUUGCAGUUUGCGAGGUAGUUCACCAUGAGAGCUACCUCGGAGUGAGGCAUCUCCUUGGUGCACAUCUGACUCGGAUCAAGUUGGCCGCUCAUUUGACAGAUCAAAUGAGGCCGGCCUUAGAGCGGGAGCACCCGGCGCACCACGAAGGCGGCCAGCAGGUCGGACCCGGUCAGGCGCUCCGACUGGAUGAUUACCCGGAGUCGGGCAACGGCGGCGGCUCCAGCCGGCGACAGCGUUCUGGCCCGAUAGGACCACUAGGGCCGCCUCCCAGCCGGCGGGCCGGCUACAUAAGCCGGCAAGUUGACGAAGUCGCCUUGCGGGGCGACGUUCUUCCUGUAGAAGUAGGAUUUUUGCCAGAGCUUCACCGACUGGAUCAGCGUGAUGGCAGGGAAGGGGUUGUCGGCUACCGGCCUCUGCACCGCGAUGAAGGCGCCGCUCUGAGCCGGCACGCCAUGCAUGCGGGUGCCGAGCUUGGAUUGGAAGAAUUCCCCCCAAAGCUCGAGGGUGGGAAGGACGCCAAGGAAGCCCUCGCACAGAGUGAUGAAGGCAGACAACAGCACCACCAUGUUUGGAGUGAGGUGGUGUGGCUGGAGCUGGUAGAAUUCGAGGAAGGAGCAGAAGAAGGCACUCGCAGGCAGGCCGAGGCCGCGCAGGAAGUGUGAGCGGAAGAUUACCUGCUCACCUUCCUCCGGCGCCGGCGAGAUCUCCUUCUUCAGCGCAAGACGGACCCGCACCUGGUCCUCACCGGGCAACCGCCGCGUCUUGCGGAGGAAGUCGAUGUGGUCCACGUGGACAUUGGAGCCGUCCCAGUCCCCGCCGUGCUGCAUGACGGCAAGAAGCUGAUGAAAGAGGGCGCUGCGACGACGAAACCACGGCCCCGCGGCGGCGAAGCUGCGGGGUAGUGCAAAGACUAGAGGGACGGUGCGGCGGCGAGGGGCUGCGGCGACGGAGAGAAAGAAGAAGAAGAUGGCGGAGCGAGGGUGAGCGUGCGAGCAUCUGCGGCUCCCCCUCCUCCCCCUAUUUAUAGCCUCGUGCGGCGGAGCCGAGGAGGCGAGGCGUGGGGGGAACGUGGGAUUAACUGCGCCCACUCCCCCACGUCCCGCGAUAAUUGUGCCCUAACGGCGUGCGGAAACUGCCGUUGGAAGGCGAAUGGCCCGUUUUCGGCCACAGAAGAUCCACACCCGGGCCGAGGCGUGGAAGUGGCGGGCCCCGGCCUGCGGCGGCGUCCCGUCAUGCGCGUGGGGUGGCAGGCUCUCCCAGCCGGAGGGUGCCACGUGGUGCGCGGGCGGCAGGCGGCCGGCCCGCAACCAGGCGCGCGCGCCAGCUGAUUCCCGCCUUCAGAUUUUGAGGCCUCACCAAGACGGCGCACCUGAUCAAAGCCGGCUCCUAGCUGCUGGCUCCUCAAGAUAGGAAGCUGAUUAAGCUUCUCGUCCUCCUUUCAGCCACGAAGCCCAACCAGCUUCGGGGACUACUAUCGGAGUAAAUGACCACGGGUAGCCUAACCGACUCCCCCUGGCUCUUCAAAAAAUUAUCAGGUCGAUCGAGCCUUCAAUCACCCAAAGCAGGGGGCCGCCUUCCCCUGGCCGGCCAUCUCACAGGCCGACUGCUGGAAGGCGGCCCGAUCCUGAAACCCUCCUGAAGAGAGCCAAAAGAAGGCCUUCUCCAAGAAGCCGGCAAGAAGGCCGACUCCAAGAAGCCAGCCAGAAGAAGGCUGACUCCAAGAAGCCAGCCACAAGAAGACCGACUCCCGGCAAGCGGCCAAGAUUGCACCCUCCAGGACAGCACCCACAUAACGGUGACAAGACCGGGCGUGGCUACAGUAAAGUCUGCCACCCCCGAAUCCCGGAGCACGCAUGGCCACAGUGCUCCGUACGGGUCGGCCAUCCCCCGUCCGGCGCGGCACUGUAGCCAUGUUGACCAUGACACCACCCAUGACGGGUUGUGUAACACCCCAAAAAUUUGACCUUGUUUUGUCAAUUAAAAUUUUGCCAGGAAAUUAAAAAAUUUAUUUUUCUGGAUUUCUCCUUUGAUUUCAGAACCCUCUUCCUUUUAAUAUUGUGGGUUUUUACCUCAAAUGGAAAACUUUCCAAAAGUAUUAUUGGAACUUGCAUGCCCUCUUCAAAAAAAACAAUCCUUUAUCAGUGGAUUUAUUUGCAUAAUUAUUUUUCAUGGGCUUUACUCUUUUAAAAUGAUCUUUCAGAAAAUUUGGAGCCCCUUUUUGCACUUCAACCAAUUGAUAAAUGCUUUUAAAAUUUUCACCAAAAUUUGGGGAGGUCAUGUGAGGUUUCCACAUCACUUUUAUGCAAAAAUACCUUUUGGUUAUUGGAGAUUUUGAGCUCUACAUCAAUUUUUCAAAUCUGGUCCAGUAGGUAUUUUUGUACUACAACCUAUUUAAAUAUUCUUCUAAAAAAAUUUCCAAGUGUUUGGAGAUGUCAGUGGAUACUUAUUAUUCAACUUCAUGCAAAAACCCAGUGAUGUUCUUUGAAAAUUUUGAGUGAAACAUCUUCAUUUUCAUUCUGGUCCAGUUUGGUGAUUUGUACUGCAACUCCAUUUUAUUUUGCUCUAGUGCCCAUGAGCUUUUUCCCUACUUGUAGUCCUCCCUACCAAACACUUAAGUCCAGGAGAUUGGACUCAUUGGAGUAUGUUUAGUGCAUGCAAUGAUAGCUUUUAGUUUCUGCCCAAAACUGGUUUUCUCAAAUCUUGCACUAACAAGUUCUUGUUUUUGCCAAACUAACCUUACCACCUUCUUGAGCUCCUAAAGAGACUAGGAUCUGGAGAGUUUGGCCACCCCAAGAGUUGCCUAGAUGCCCAUGGCAUUCUGUCGAACACCCUGUGUGCAGGAACAGUUUUGGCAUGUCUGCUAGCUUGCAUUGUGGACUUGAGCCCCUGACCCAUCCAGCAUGUCCAGUAACCUCCUAGCUAUCCCUAACCCUGGCCUGUUUACUACCCACAUCACCCAAGCUCUCUAGAGCGCGCUGGCAUUUCGUCGAACACCUGGUGUGCGUGCUCUGGGCGCGCCCAGAGCGCACGUUUUGCACGCGCGCGCACUGAGCCGCCGCGUCGCACUACCGCCCUCGUCGCGUCCCGUCUCUGGCCCCUGCUCGCCUGCUGAACCACGCCAUGCACUCGCCCACUCACCAGUUCCCUCCAAGCACUCCCUGGCGCCCUACAGCGCCGCCUUGGCGGCACGCCGGCGUCGGCAACGGGCUCUGCCGUGGACGGCGCCGCCCACACCACCCGCGCGCGCCAGCUGCCCCCUGGGAACAGCCCGAGCUCAUCCACUUGCUCGUCGGCACGCGCUCGUCGCCACCAUGACGUCCUGCAGCUACAGAACAGCGACUCGUCGUCGAUCUUAUCCACCGCCGCGGGAGCCAGCCCCGACGCGCUAUAAAAGGGGACCCCGAGCUCAACCGAGCACUCAAGCAACCCCAGGCCACCCCCAUAGUACUCCCGCAGCCAGCAAUCGAUGGGGAAGGACCUUCUUCCUCGUCUCCGGCCAGUUCGGCCGCCGCCGAGCUCCGGUACAAUACUUCGCAGCCAGGCCUUCCCCCGCCUAUCCAACGCCACCAGACGUCUCCCCAUGGUCUUGCGGAGCUGCCCAGCACCUCAGCCUCGACCAAGGCCCACCAUAGCCCGAAGCUCACUUUGCUCCCGAACCUCCGUCCGCCGCGGAGCUCGCCGCCGGUGACUUCCUCCGUCCCCGCCUGCCUAGCGCCCACCGGGAGGACCGCCCCGGUCUGGCGGAUCCAUCCCUGCCCUCGGGGCCCCAUGGGGAACUGCUGUUCGCCGACGGCGAUCGCCGGAGGCCGCCACCAUUCGGGCAGAGAGAAAGGAGGGAGAGGGAGACCAGUCAAACCUGACCAGUGGGUCCCCUGGACCCACUGUCAGUGACCCGCUCGCCCGUCCUCUCUGGUUAAGUCGAAGCGCAAAGUCCGGAGUACGUCUCCUCUGCUUCAAAGGCGUAUUCUUCCCCGAAGCGUUUUCCUUUUUCUGAUUUAAAAAAAAACAAACAGAGAUUUGACCAGACUUUGACCAGCUAUACCUUUUAAAGUAAAACUCCAAAUGAGUUGAUUCUUUUUCCUACCUCUCUCAAAUUUCAUCUAGUUUAUUUUAAGAUUUAUUUCAAAAAUAUUUGGGACAACUUUUUGUACUGUAUUUGAAAUGUGUGUUAUUUGGAUAUUUCUCAAAAUAGGAUUUUGGAGAAAAGGCAACCUUCAAAAAAUGCACCCCACAUGCAUACACUUGAAGGCAAGCAUUCUAAACCCUGGUUUAAUAUUUUUGGAUGUUGUUGAUACGGUUACAACAUCACCUUGACCUGGAGCAUACGCUAUUUUAUGUGAUGGUAAGAUCAUACGCAUGAGUGCAUAAGUGGAGAUUUCUUUGAUGUUAUAAACGGAUAUGCUGGUGAUAGUGAUCAUCCUCGUAAGCUUCUCAUGCAUGCCGGAAGGAAGUUGGGAAAAUCGCGGUCUUGGGUAGAUGCGAGCUUGUCCCUAGUCCCUCGUUGAGACGAGUAUAUCCGGUAUGGCAUGGUGGGGCUUGAUGAGUGUUAAGCUUAUCUGUUAUUGGAAAUAUUUUUGUUAUGCUAAUCAUGCAGGGAACACUUGAACCUCCUGAGUCGGCCUUAGAUCGAGUCUUGUCCAGUAACCCCCACACUUGCUUCGUACUACCACUUGUCCCUGCCAUAGGUAGGGUACGGUUCAGUAAGUUGUCAACCCCUUUCUAGCACACACCAUACAGAGAGGCCGUGAUGAGGGUCCCGGGGGCAUGGGUGUUUCCGGUUGGGACCGAGAGGGGGGCACCCCUUAGAGCGCGCAUAUAUAAAUUUGAUCCCAUGCUACGUCGAGGUUGUAGCCUCCCCACUUAGAGUUUGGCUUGACAGGUGUUGUGGGUGAUUCCAGACACCGGUGAGUUAAGCUGGUGUGUGUAGGUCAGGCGUGUUUUCAAUUAAAAGACCGUAGAUGGAAUUAGUCCCGAUGGACUAAAGAAAUCCGUUACCCGUGGGUAAAGAGUACACCCUCUGCACAGAUUAUACACCUAUUCGAAUAGCCGUGUCCAUGGUUAAGGACUACAGUCUGGGAUAGGUCAAGUGUCGGUCUUAGUGUCGGUCUUCGGAGGAAAAACUGCUAAACCAGAACUUUGAUUAUGAACUAUGACACAUAUGGAUUAUGAUCAUUAUUAUUGUGGACUAACCAUUUACUUUGUUUGAAUUAUUGAGAAUCCCUGGGACUGUUCUACCUCCUGGAUAUUCACUGUGAUUAUCCUUUAUAAGCCCUUUAUGUGGUGUCGCUCAGACGCCCGACUGCGGCAUGCUUGUUAUUUAUUUAUUCUUUAUAAGCCCUUUAUGCGGUGUCGCUCAGACGCCCGACUGCAGCAUGCUUGUUACUUAUUUAUUCUUUAUGAGCCCUUUAUGCGGCGUCGCUCAGACGCCCGACUGCGGCAUGCUUGUUAUUUAUUUAUUCUUUAAAAGCUCUUUAUGAGGUGUCGCUCAGACGCCCGAUUGUGGCAUGCUUGUUAUUUAUUUAUUCUUUAUAAGCCCUUUAUGCGGUGUCGCUCAGACGCCCGACUGCGGCAUUGUUAAUUUAUUUGCACCCCUUAUUCGAGGAGUCAUUUCAGACACUUGAUCACUGCAUUCUAUUUAUAUAUUGCAUAUUCUUAUUUUACCCGCAUGCGUUCAUCAUGGACUUCGCAUAUUUCGUGACUGACGUGAUGGUCAUAGAAUAAUUUCGGAGCAUGAUUACCCCUUGUUAUAUGUUAUACCCGUGUUCCAAAUGUUUGCGAGUACAUUCAAACGUACUCACUGGCUUGUCCCUGGCUAUUGUCUUGGCCAGAUUUCUUGCAUGGAGAAGAGCGUUACGACGACAGCCCCGGAACCCUUGUAAAGGUGAUAGCAACCUCGCGAACAUAGGAGUUACCCUGGUCAGCUGUUCUUGUGGGAAAUGGAGUCCCAUAGACGCAGAUGAACCUCAAACCGCUUCCGCCAUCAACCACUAGAGACCAAGUGUUGUACUCAUAGGCCACAAUGGUCUUGUACUACAUAUUUUGUAGUUUGCUUGGAAUUCUUGUAUCAAGUUGGUGCCUCAUCAGCUAACAGUAAUCCUGGGGCUGGUGAGCACAAGGGCCGUUUUCUGGAGAAUGAAUAUCCCGAAAAUCCGGUCGUGACAGGUUGUCAGAACGGCCCGCGGACGGCGGGCCCCUACAGCCAGAGAGACGCUCGAAGGCGGUCAAGCCCCCUUAUAGUCGGCCUGGGGUGUAGCCGGCUCCCAAUAGCCGGCUACCUCACUCCCUCGAAGUAUGUGCAUCAUUAAGAAGACAAGACGAGGUAAGGCUACAGUGAGAGUUCGCCGGACAGCGGCACUGUAGCCAUGCUUACCUCAGCAAAGCCCUCAUCAUCAAGGGCGAGGCUACAGUAACCAGCAGCCAGCGGGUCCCACCAGUCGGCGGGCCCCAGCGGUCGACGGAGAAGCCGGCGGAUACAAACACUGACGGCCUGGACCCGCAUCCAGCCAGAUUACCAUUGUACCCCUAGGGGGUAGACCUAUAUAAACCCCCCAGGGCACCCAUGCAAAGGGUUGAUCUCUUAGAGUUUCAGACACCACACAGAGAGAAGAGGAGAGCUAGCCUUGCCCUUCUUCCUCCUCUAGCAAAAUAGCUCAAGGAGCCACUUGUAGCCACUUGUGUUGAUCUAGUGAUCAUGCGGAGACCCCGCAGAGCAGGACUAGGGGUGUUAUCUCCACGGAGAGCCCCGAACCUGGGUAAGAUUUGCCAGCGUGCAUGUCUUCGCCUUAUCCCGUUUCCAGGCACCGGCGAUGUCUUACUAGCUCCCACAAUGAUAAGCCACCCGUUGGCAUAUGUCGCACCUACCACCCGACAGACAAACAGCAAGAGAGGCCUCCCCGGGGCCAUGACAAGAGACAAGAAGACGAUGAUCACGACGAGGAUGACGAGUCCGGUGAGCAAGAGUUCCAGAAGGCUACGGAGGCCAUGUGCGUCGGUGGUGGUGCCUCGCUGCAUACUUCUCACCGCCAGCUCAAGCAGUGGGCUCGUGAGAUUACGGCAGUGGAGCCGUCGUUCGACGAUCAGAAGCCGCUAAAGUGGUCCAGCACGCCCCUCAUCUUUGACACCGAGGACCACCAUAACCGCACAACCGCGGUCGGGUGUUUGCCAUUGUUGGUCUCACCAAUGAUAUGCAACCUCAAGGUGAACAAGAUGUUGGUUGAUGGCGGGGCCGGCCUGAACUUGAUCUCGCCUGUCGUGAUCAAAAGGCUACAAAUUCCUGAAGGACACCUUGAGGAAACGGGCACGUUUCAAGGGGUCAAUACGGGGAGGAGCCAGCCGAAGGGGAAGGUCACACUGCCCAUGACGUUUGGAGGAGAGUUGAACUACAGGACGGACAGGAUCACCUUUGACGUGGCCGAGAUCCCCUUGCCCCACAACAGGAUCCUCGGCCGCCCGGCACUAGCCAAGUUCAUGGCAGCAUCACACUACGCCUACAACAUGCUAAAGAUGCGCGGGCCGUUGACCAUCAUCUCCGCCCCCUCCGACAAGAAGGACGCGCUGAUCUGCGCCGACCAACUCUACCGAGAAGCAGUUGCAGCAGCUGCCGUCAAGGCACCUGCUCCGGCCGCCGAAGGCCGAGAAGGGAAGAGAAAGCCCGGCAAGACCUCUCGCACCCACUCCGGAAGCACGCCUCUUCGGAGUGCUAUGCUACCGUCGAGGACGUGCCAGAGAGCUCUACCGGCAAGAGCAAGAAAUCCAAAGCCGAGCCACCGCAGACCAAGAAGAUGUUCGCCGGGGAGGAUGGCACGGGAGGGGCCCUCACCAUAGGCUCCACCCUCAACAGCAAAUAGGAAGGCGCGCUCAUCACCUUCCUGCGGGCGAACGUCGACGUGUUUGCGUGGCAAGCAUCCGACAUCCCCGGUGUUCCCAGGGAGCUGGUUGAGCACCACCUAGCUGUCUGCCCUCAUGCGCGGCCCGUCAAGCAGAAGGUCAGAAAGAAGGCUCUGGAGAGGCAGGAGUUCAUCACAGAGGAGAUCAGGAAGUUGGAAGCGGCAGGUUUGGUGAGAGGAGUGCUCCACCCGACGUGGCUGGCCAAUCCGGUAGUGGUGCGCAAGGCGAAUGGGAAGUGGAGGCUGUGUAUUGAUUACACAAAUAUCAAUAAGGCUUGUCCUAAGGACCCCUUCCCGUUGCUGCGCAUCGACCAGAUUGUUGACUCCACGGCCAGGUGUGAUCUGUUAUCAUUCCUCGACGCCUACUCGGGCUACCACCAAAUCUUCAUGACAAGAGAGGAUGAAGAAAAGACAGCAUUCAUCACCCCAUGUGGUACGUAUUGCUUUUUACGGAUGCCUUUCGGGUUGAAGAGUGCUGGCUCGACGUUUGCAAGAGCAGUCCAAAUUGGUUUUGAACCUCAGCUCCAUAGAAAUAUGGAGGCAUACAUGGAUGACAUAGUGGUCAAAACCAAAGACAGGGCAACUCUUGUGCAAGAUCUGGAAGAGACAUUUGCCAACCUGCGCAAGAUCAACAUCAAGCUGAACCCUGAGAAGUGUGUCUUCGGCGUUCCGUGCGGCAAGCUUCUCGGGUUCUUUGUGUCGCAGUGUAGGAUCGAGGCAAACCCAGACAAAAUCAAGGCUAUUGAGCAAAUUGAGGCGCCCAAGCGGAUCAAGGAUGUGCGUCGGCUCACCGGCUGCGUCACCGCCAUGAGCCGAUUCAUCUCCAAGUCCGCCGAGCGCGCCCUUCCUUUCAUCAAAAUCUUGAAGAAGGCAGGCCCAAUGGAGUGGACCCCAGAAGCCGAGGCAGCAUUGCAGGAUCUGAAGGAAUACCUUUCCUCCACGCCAAUACUGGUUGCACCUAAACCACAAGAGCCGUUGCUGCUGUAUCUGGCGGCGACAAAUCAAGUGGUCCGCGCCGCACUGGUGGCACGGAGGGAGGUUGACGAGGAGGCAGUGGCGGCGGCAGAACCAGCGGAUGGCGAACCAAAGAUUCCCCCGGCAGGGCCUAGUGCCGGCAAGGCGAGGCCCCCGGCAGAGUCUGAUGCCACCAAGGCAGUGCCCGCGCGGUUGAGUGAGGUGGUGCAGAACAAGAAGAUGAUGCAGCACCCGGUUUACUUUGUCAGCUCCCUCUUGCAGGGAGCUAGAUCGAGGUACUCCGGUGUGCAGAAAUUGCUCUUCGGCCUCCUUAUGGCCUCGAGGAAGUUGCGUCAUUACUUCCAAGCCCACGAGAUCACUGUCGUCACCCGCCUCCCGUUGCAACGGAUACUACAUAACCCAGAUGCAACCGGAAGGAUUGUGGAAUGGGCCUUGGAGUUAUCAAGUUUUGGUUUGAAGUUUGAAAGUACCUCGACAAUCCAGAGCAGAGUCUUGGCGGAGUUCAUUGCAUAAUGGACCGCAAUGCCUGACGAAGAAAUCCAGGAGACCACUCUCCCCGGCAAGGAAGCAGACCACAACUGGAUCAUGUACUUUGAUGGGGCUUUCUCGCUGCAAGGCGCCGGUGCCGGUGUGCUGCUCGUCGUGCCCACCGGAGAGCACCUCAAGUAUGUGAUCCAGAUGCACUUCCCUAGGGAGAUGUCCACCAACAACACUGCUGAGUACGAGGGAUUGCUCGCCGGUCUCAGGAUCGCGACAGACCUCGGGGUUAAGAAGCUCAUCGUCAGGGGUGGCUCGCAGCUUGUUGUUAGGCAGGUCAACAAGGAUUAUGAGAGCCCAUUGAUGGAGGCCUACGUAGAUGAGGUGAGGAAGCUAGAGGAACACUUUGACGGUAUCCAAGCGGGGCACGUCCCCCGAAUGGAGAACGACAUCGCCGAUUACCUGUCAAAGCGUGCUGCAUUCAAGCUACCUGUGGAACCAGGUACCUUUUUGCUCCGGUUAACUCAACCAUCCGUCGAGCCAUCAACGGGGCAGAACAAGCGGAGGAAGUCAGGUCCCGGCAAGUACUUUCCUACCGAGCCCCCUGGGGCUGCCGGCAAGGGUGCUACCGCGGACGCUGGGCCUGCCCAAGAGCAACUGGCUCCAGCAGGGCGUCAAGCCCUGGCGUAGAGACAGCCGCUCCCAUGGCGGAAGAGAUGCCUUUGGUCCUUGUCGUCGAGCCCCAGGCUCCGGCAUGGGCGCAGCAUACCGUCCAAUUCCUCCAAACAGGGGAGCUUCCUGAGGAGCAGGAAGAAGCGGAGAAAGUAGCCCGUUGGUCCGCCCUGUACCAGUUCGUCGAUGACGUCCUGUACAGGAGAAGGCCGAACGGUGUGAAACUGAAGUGCAUCCCCCGGGAGGAAGGACUGGAGCUGUUUGCAGAGAUACAUGGAGGCAUAUGUGGCUUCCACAUAGGGUCGAGGGCCCUUGCCGGAAAGGCAUUCCGGCAAGGUUUCUUCUGGCCCACCACCCUCCAGGAUGCGACGGCACCAGUAACCAAGUGUGAAGCGUGUCAGUUCCAUUCAAAGAAGCUUCAUCAACAAGCUCAAGCCCUUCAAACAAUCCCUCUCUCCUGGCCAUUCUUGGUCUGGGGGCUCGAUAUACUGGGCCCUUUCCCCCACGCUGUCGGGGGCUUUGAGUACUUGUACGUUGCAAUCGACAAGUUCACAAAGUGGCCGGAGGUGGAAGCAGUGAGAAAGGUGACUGCUCAACCAACCGUCAAGUUCUUCAAGGGAUUGGUCUGCCGUUUUGGUGUGCCAAACAGAGUCAUCACCGACAACGACACGCAGUUCACAAGCCACACCUUCAUGCAAUACAUUCAAGACCUCGGUAGCAAGGUCUGUUUUGCUUCCGUGGCACACCCACGAAGCAACGGCCAAGCGGAGAGGGCAAAUGCUGAAGUGUUGCGAGGCCUGAGAACGAAGACCUUUGACAAGCUGCACAAGAGUGGAAGGUGCUGGAUUGAUGAGUUGUCGGCGGUUCUUUGGUCGAUCAGGACGACGCCAAAUCGAGCCACCAGCCAGACACCUUUUGCCCUCGUAUACGGGGCAGAAGCAGUUCUCCCCACGGAACUCAUAUACGGGUCACGUCGAGUGCUCGCUUAUGAUGAGCUUGAGCAAGAGCAGUUGCGCCAAGAUGAUGCGACGCUCCUUGAGGAAGAUCGUCUUCGGGCGGCUGUGAGAGCAGCACGCUACCAGCAAGCCUUGCGCUGCUACCAUAGCCGCAAGGUUCAUGCCCGAAGCUUUGAGGAAGGCGACCUUGUUCUUUGGCGCGUUCAGUCGGCCAAGAAUUCCAACAAGUUGACGCCAAAGUGGGAAGGCCCUUAUCGGGUAAUGCGAGUCACCAGGCCCGGCACAGUCUGCCUGGAGACCGAAGAUGUUGUCCCAGUGAGCAAUUCUUGGAACAUCGAGCAUCUUCGCAAGUUUUACCCGUAAGGCGCGGCUUGCCGGGCCUCCCGGCAAGCCACCUUUUGUACAAGCUUUGCCGGCAAGGCAUGUAACCCUUCGUACAAAGCCAGGCGCAGACCCUGAGCAUAAAUAAAUGAAGCACUGGCGCCCUAAGUUAUAGCAUGCAUGCUAGGUUGAGUCUCUUCCUUGGUUAGGGUUGAUAGUGCUUAGCGGCGACUAACCCCUAGCCUAGAGGUCAAGUGCGCGUCUAUCUGUUUCUUUUCUGUCCUCCUUUGGUUCGCAGGGCACAUGAGCACUUCUGCUGAGCUACUUGGAAGAAAGGAAACGGACCGGCAUCCCGAGCCCUGCAAACCAGAGUUGCCGGGGGCUGUAAGCACAAGGAUCCAACCAUGGCAAGACAUGGUUGCCGGGGGCUGCAGAUCCAGAUAAGUCUUUCAUCCUCUAUCAUGCAUUUCGGAACGGAACUGGGAUAUGUGAAACCUCGUUUUAUUUCUAGGCCAGCGUGCUCCCCUUUUCUAUACCCAAGGAUUAUCUCCUGGGCCCGAAUUUGGUUGUAGUCGCGGUGGCAAGGAAGUAGAACGAGGAGCCUAAGCCCGCUUCAUCGCUGCCUCCGCCAAGGGCACGAGAAUGGCCGAGCGAAGUGGGGGGACCGCAAGGCCUGUUGCCGGGUGAAAACGUCUAUCUUAAAUUGUAACAAGGAUUCACUCCUUGUCGCGGGGUCUACCCACGAAAGAAAAACCCGGCAAACAUCCCUUUUUCAUUAAAAACAUCCCACACAAGUACAGUCCGUACGGAAUGAAAAACAUGAACAAGGGGGAUUACAAGCUUUAAAUUUGACAAGGCCCGAUGGCUUACAGAUUAAAAAAGAGAUGAGAUGCCCCUGAUCCCUUUCUUGUCCCUCUCCUAAGGAGGUAGGUCAAGGAGGCGAAAGGGCAAAAGGGGCGCCUAGGCGAGCUACGAGCAGCAGAAAGCACCAUGACAACACCUCGGUGGCCGCCCACGGGUGGGCCGGUGAUGACGGUGCCGGGAAAGGAGCUGGAAGACGAGGCGGCAGGACCGGCAAUAUGCGAUGAAGGUGUCUGUGCCCGCGUACUCCGAGUUGACGGCCUUGCUGCCCGCCCUCUUCCUCUUCUGUAGCCUCCCGACGCCAGCCGCCCAAGGAGACGGCCCCGAGAAGUUCAAGGAGCUGGCCCCAGCCCCGGCAAAACUCUGCUGGAGGAGCGGCCAGGUGCAGAUGCUGCUUCUGCCGCACCCGCCCAGGCGCGGGGCGUCCGACGCCUAGUCGGACUCGUCCCCGUCAUCUGCCCCGCUGUCCUCCUCGUCACUUUCGCUCGAGGAAGAGCUUCCAUCAUUGGAAUCUCCGUCGGAGGAGCUCUCCAUGCAGCACUUCAGGCGAGUCCCGAAGUCUCCGAAGACCUUGACGGAGAGCAGGCCAUCCUCCAUUAAUUUGAAGUAGAGGACGAGCCCCGCCGUCAGGCUGUGGAUGCGAGCGAACGUCUUCCAUCCGCGACGAAGGUACAUGACCCGAGGAGCCGGGAAGUCGACGUCGACCCGCGUGCCCCCAUUCCCAUAGCCCCUCAUAUGCAAUCUGAGGGAUUGUGGCGGGUCACGCUCCAUCUCCCGAGCAAACGGGGCGGGAAGACGAAGACGGCGAUGCAGAGGCCGGCGCAGCCUGAUGAAGAACUCGCGGGGCUGGUCCCCGACAUGGCCUUCCAUCGGAAAAGGCAUCAUUGGCGGGGGCGAAGCCAGCGCGCCGCCCCGUUCUCCUCUUCCUCGAAGCACUACGACCUCUGCCCCGGCCUCGCCCAUGGCCUCGCCCCCUCCCCCUUCCCCUCGCGGCCGGCUCCACCAUCGCGGGCUCAGGAGGGGGAGGGACGCGCUGUCGAGCAGCGAACCUCGCCGCCACCGGCGAAGGACCAGGAUUCCCUUUCUCCAUGGCGAGUGAAAGGUGAAGGAAAUAUGCCCUAGAGGCAAUAAUAAAGUAUUAUUUAUUUCCUUAUAUCAUGAUAAAUGUUUAUUAUUCAUGCUAGAAUUGUAUUAACCGGAAACAUAAUACAUGUGUGAAUACAUAGACAAACAGAGUGUCACUAGUAUGCCUCUAAUUGACUAGCUCAUUAAUCAAAGAUGGUUAUGUUUCCUAGCCAUAGACAUGAGUUGUCAUUUGAUUAACGGGAUCACCUCAUUGGGAGAAUGACGUGAUUGAGUUGACCCAUUCCGUUAGCUUAGCACUCGAUCGUUUAGUAUGCUGCUAUUGCUUUCUUCAUGACUUAUACAUGUUCCUAUGACUAUGAGAUUAUGCAACUCCCAUUUACCGGAGGAACACUUUGUGUGCUACCAAACGUCACAACGUAACUGGGUGAUUAUAAAGGUGCUCUACAGGUGUCUCCAAAGGUACUUGUUGGGUUGGCGUAUUUCGAGUUUAGGAUUUGUCACUCCGAUUGUCGGAGAGGUAUCUCUGGGCCCACUCGGUAAUGCACAUCACUAUAAGCCUUGCAAGCAUUGUAACUAAUGAGUUAGUUGCGGGAUGAUGUAUUACAGAAUGAGUAAAGAGACUUGCCGGUAACGAGAUUGAACUAGGUAUCGAGAUACCGACGAUCGAAUCUCGGGCAAGUAACAUACCGAUGACAAAGGGAACAACGUAUGUUGUUAUGCGGUUUGACCGAUAAAGAUCUUCGUAGAAUAUGUGGGAACCAAUACGAGCAUCCAGGUUCCGCUAUUGGUUAUUGACCGGAGAGGUGUCUCGGUCAUGUCUACAUAGUUCUCGAACCCGUAGGGUCCGCACGCUUAACGCUACGAUGACAGUUUCAUUAUGAGUUUAUAUGUUUUGAUGUACCGAAGGUUGUUCGGAGUCCCGGAUGUGAUCACGGACAUGACGAGGAGUCUCGAAAUGGUCGAGACCUAAAGAUUGAUAUAUUGGACGACUAUAUUCGGACACCGGAAGUGUUUCGGAGAAGUUUCGGAAAAAACCGGAGUGCCGGAGGGGUUACCGGAAGCCCCCGGGGAAGUAUUGGGCCUUAGUGGGCCUGAGGGGGGAGAGAGGGCAGCAGCCAGGAGGUGGCGCGCCCCCUCCCAUGAGGAUUCCUAAUUGGACUUGGGGAGGGGGGCGCAGCCCCUCUUUCCCUCUCCCUCUCCCUCUCUUUCCUUCCCCCCCUCUCUUCCUAGUAGGACUAGGAAAGGGGAGUCCUACUCCUACUAGGAGGAGGACUCCCCCCCUCUCCUUGGCGCGCCCAAGGAAGCCGGCCUCCCCCUUGCUCCUUUAUAUACGGGGGCAGGGGGCACUCUUGACACACAAUUGAUAUACGAUAUUUUAGCCGUGUGCGGUGCCCCCUCCACCAUAUUACACCUCGAUAAUAUCGUUGCGGAGCUUAGGCGAAGCCCUGCGUCGGUAGAACAUCAACAUCGUCACCACGCCGUCGUGCUCACGAAACUCUCCCUCAACACUCGGCUGGAUCGGAGUUCGAGGGACGUCAUCGAGCUGAACGUGUGUUGAACUCGGAGGUGCCGUGCGUUCGGUACUUGAUCGGUCGGAUCGUGAAGACGUACGACUACAUCAACCGCAUUGUGUUAACGCUUCCGCUUCCGGUCUACGAGGGUACGUGGACAACACUCUCGCCUCUCGUUGCUAUGCAUCACCAUGAUCUUGCGUGUUCGUAGGAAAUUUUUUGAAAUUACUACGUUCCCCAACAGUGGCAUCCGAGCCUGGUUUUAUGCGUUGAUGUUAUGCACGAGUAGAACACAAGUGAGUUGUGGGCGAUAUAAGUCAUACUGCUUACCAGCAUGUCAUACUUUGGUUCAGCAGUAUUGUGAGAUGAAGCGGCCCAGACCGACAUUACGCGUAUGCUUACGCGAGACUGGUUUCACCGUUAUGAGCACUCGUUGCUUAAAGGUGGCUGGCGGGUGUCUGUCUCUCACUUUAGUUGAACCGAGUGUGGCUACGCCCGGUCCUUGCGAAGGUUAAAACAGCACCAACUUGACAAACUAUCGUUGUGGUUUUGAUGCGUAGGUAAGAACGGUUCUUGCUAAGCCCGUAGCAGCCACGUAAAACUUGCAACAACAAAGUAGAGGACGUCUAACUUGUUUUUGCAGGGCAUGCUGUGAUGUGAUAUGGUCAAGACAUGAUGCUAUAUUUUGUUGUAUGAGAUGAUCAUGUUUUGUAACCGAGUUAUUGGCAACUGGCAGGAGCCAUAUGGUUGUCGCUUUAUUGUAUGAAAUGCAAUCGCCAUGUAAUUGGUUUACUUUAUCACUAAGUGGUAGCGAUAUUCGUAAAAGCAAUAGUUGGCGAGACGACAACGAUGCUACGAUGGAGAUCAAGGUGUCGAGCCAGUGACGAUGGUGAUCAUGACGGUGCUUCGGAGAUGGAGAUCCCAAGCACAAGAUGAUGAUGGCCAUAUCAUAUCACUGAUAUUGAUUGCAUGUGAUGUUUAUCUUUUAUGCAUCUUAUCUUGCUUUGAUUGAUGGUAGCAUUAUAAGAUGAUCUCUCACUAAAAUUUCAAGAUAAAAGUGUUCUCCCUGAGUAUGCACCGUUGCGAAAGUUCUUCGUGCUGAGGCACCACGUGAUGAUCGGUGUGAUAGGCUCUACGUUCAAAUACAACGGGUGCAAGACAGUUUUGCACACGCGGAAUACUCAGGUUAAACUUGACGAGCCUACCAUAUGCAGAUAUGGCCUCGGAACACGGAGACCGAAAGGUCGAGCGUGAAUCAUAUAGUAGAUAUGAUCAACAUAGUGAUGUUCACCAUUGAAACUACUCCAUCUCACGUGAUGAUCGGACAUGGUUUAGUUGAUUUGGAUCACGUAAUCACUUAGAAGGAUUAGAGGGAUGUCUAUCUAAGUGGGAGUUCUUAAGUAAUAUGAUUAAUUGAACUUGAAUUUAUCAUGAACUUAGUCCUGAUAGUUUUUUGCAAAUUAUGUUGUAGAUCAAAAGCUCGCGUUGUUGCUUCCCUGUGUUUAUUUUUGAUAUGUUCCUAGAGAAAAAUUAUGUUGAAAGAUGUUAGUAGCAAAGAUGAGAUUGGAUCCGUGAUCUGAGGAUUAUCCUCAUUGCUGCACAGAAGAAUUAUGUCCUUGAUGCACCGCUAGGUGACAGACCUAUUGCAGGAGCAGAUGCAGACAUUAUGAACAUUUGGCUAGCUCAAUAUGAUGACUACUUGAUAGUUUAGUGCACCAUGCUUAACGGCUUAGAAUCGGGAUUUCAAAGACGUUUUGAACAUCAUGGACCAUAUGAGAUGUUCCAGGAGUUGAAGUUAAUAUUUCAAGCAAAUACCCGAGUUGAGAGAUAUGAAGUCUCCAACAAGUUCUAUAGCUAAAAGAUGGAGGAGAAUCGCUCAACUAGUGAGCAUGUGCUUAGAUUGUCUGGGUACUACAAUCGCUUGAAUCAAGUGGGAGUUAAUCUUCUAGAUAAAAUAGUGAUUGACAGAAUUCUCUAGUCACCAUCACCAAGUUAGUAGAACUUCGUGAUGAACUAUAGUAUGCAAGGGAUGACGAAAGUAAUUCCUGAGCUCUUCGUGAUGCUGAAAUCGACGAAGGUAGAAAUCAAGAAAAACAUCAAGUGUUGAUGGUUGACGAGACCACUAGUUUCAAGAAAAGGGCAAAGGGAAGAAGGGGAACUUCAAGAACGGCAAGCAAGUUGCUGCUCAAGUGAAGAAGCCUAAGUCUAGUCCUAAGACUGAGACUAAGUGCUUCUACUUCAAAGGGACUGGUCACUGGAAGCGGAACUACCCCAAGUAUUUGGUGGAUAAGAAGGAUGGCAAAGUGAACAAAGAUAUAUUUGAUAUACAGAUUAUUGAUGUGUAUUUUACUAGUGUUCGUAGCAACCCCUCGGUAUUAGGUACUGGUUCAGUUGCUAAAGAGUAGUAACUGGAAACGGGAGUUGCAUAAUGAACAGAAACUAGUUAAGGAUGAAGUGACGAUGUGUAUUGGAAGUGGUUCCAAGAUUGAUAUGAUCAUCAUCGCACACUCCCUAUACUUUCGGGAUUAGUGUUGAACCUAAAUAAAUGUUAUUUGGUGUUUGCGUUGAGCAUGAAUAUGAUUUGAUCAUGUUUAUUGCAAUAUGGUUAUUCAUUUAAGUUAGAGAAUAAUUGUUGUUCUUUUUACAUGAAUAAAACCUUAUAUGGUUACACACCGAAUGAAAAUGGUUCGUUGGAUCUCGAUCGUAGUGAUACACAUAUUCAUAAUAUUGAAGUCAAAAGAUGCAAAGUUAAUAAUGAUAGUGCAACUUAUUCGUGGCACUGCCAUUUAGGUCAUAUUGGUGUAAAGCGCAUGAAGAAACUCCAUGCUGAUGGGCUUUGGAAUCACUUGAUUAUGAAUCACUUGAUGCUUGUGAACCAUGCCUUAUGGGCAAGAUGACUAAAACUCCGUUCUCCGGAACGAUGGAGCGAGCAACUGACUUAUUGGAAAUAAUACAUACUGAUGUAUGCGAUCCGAUGAGUGUUGAGGCUCGCGGCGGGUAUCGUUAUUUUCUGACCUUCACAGAUGAUUUGAGCAGAUAUGGGUAUAUCUACUUGAUGAAACAUAAGUCUGAAGCAUUUGAAAAGUUCAAAGAAUUUCAGAGUAAAGUGGAAAAUCAUCGUGACAAGAAAAUAAGGUUUCUACGAUCUGAUCGCAGAAACAAAUAUUUGAGUUACGAGUUUGGUCUUCAAUUAAAACAAUGUGGAAUAGUUUCGCAAAAUUCGUGCCACCUGGAACACCACAGCGUAAUGGUGUGUCCGAACGUCAUAACGUACUUUAUUGGAUAUAGUGCAAUCUAUGAUGUCUCUUACCGAUUACCACUAUCGUUUUGGGGUUAUGCAUUAGAGACAGCUGCAUUCACGUUAAACAGGGCACCGUCAAAAUCCGUUGAGGCGACACAACAUGAACUAUGGUUUGGCAAGAAACCAAAGUUGUCGUUUCUUAAAGUUUGGGGUUGCAAUGCCUAUGUGAAAAGGUUUCAUCCUGAUAAGCUCAAACCCAAAUCGGAGAAAUAUGUCUUCAUAGGAUACCCAAAGGAGACAGUUGGGUACACCUUCUAUCACAGAUCCGAAGGCAAGUCAUUCGUUGCUAAGUAUGGAUCCUUUCUAGAGAAGGAGUUUCUCUGGAAAGAAGUGAGUGGGAGGAAAGUAGAACUUGAUGAGGUAACUGUACCUGCUCCCUUAUUGGAAAGUAGUUCAUCACAGAAACCAGUUUCUGUGACGCCUAUACCAAUUAGUGAGGAAGUUAUUGAUGGUGAUCAUGGAACUUUAGAUCAAGUUAUUACUGAACCUCGUAGGUCAACCAGAGUGAGAUCCGCACCAGAGUGGUACGGUAAUUCAGUUCUGGAGGUCAUGUUACUUGACCAUGACGAACCUAUGAACUAUGAGGAAGCGAUGAUGAGCCCAGAUUCCGCAAAAUGGCUUGAGGCCAUGAAAUCUGAGAUGGGAUCCAUGUAUGAGAACAAAGUGUGGACUUUGGAUGACUUGCCCGAUGAUCGGCAAGCCAGAGAAAAUAAAUGGAUCUUUAAGAGGAAGACGGACACUGAUAGUAGUGUUACUAUCUACAAAGCUAGACUUGUCGGAAAAAGGUUUUUGACAAAGUUCAAAGUGUUGAAUACGAUGAGAUUUUCUCACUCGCAGCGAUGCUUAAGUCUGUCCGAAUCAUGUUAGCAAUUGCCGCAUUUUAUGAAAUCUGGCAAAUGGAUAAACAAAACUGCAUUCCGUAAUGGAUUUAUUAAAGAAGAGUUGUAUAUGAUGCAACUAGAAGGUUUUGUCAAUCCUAAAGGUGCUAACAAAAUAUGCAAGCUCUAGUGAUCCAUCUAUGGACUGGUGCAAGCAUCUCGGAGUUGGAAUAUACGCUUUGAUAAGUUGAUCAAAGGAUAUAGUUUUAUACAGACUUGCGGUGAAGCCUGUAUUUACAAGAAAGUGAGUGGGAGCACUACAGCAUUUCUGAUAAGUAUAUGUGAAUGACAUAUUGUUGAUCGGAAAUAAUGUAGAAUUAUUCAGCAAAGCAUAAAGGAGUGUUUGAAAGGAGUUUUUCAAAGAAAGACCUCGGUGAAGCUGCUUACAUAUUGAGCAUCAAUAUCUAUAGAUGUAGAUCAAGACGCUUGAUAAGUUUUUUCAAUGAGUACAUACCUUAAUAAGAUUUUGAAGUGGUUCAAAAUGGAACAAUCAAAGAAAGAGUUUCUUGCCUGUGUUACAAGGUGUGAAAUUGAGUAAGACUCAAAGCCUGACCAUGGCAGAAGAUAGAAAAAGAAUGAAAGUCAUUCCCUAUGCCUCGGCCAUAGGUUCUAUAAAGUAUGCCAUGCUGUGUACCAGAUCUAUUGUAUACCCUACGCUGAUUUUGGCAAGGGAGUACAAUAGUGAUCUAGGAGUAGAUCACUAGACAUUGGUCAAAAUUAUCCUUAGUGGAAUAAGGAUAUGUUUCUCGAUUAUGGAAGUGAUAAAAGGUUCGUCGUAAAGGGUUACGUCGAUGCAAGUUUUGACACUAAUCUAGAUGACUCUAAGUCUCGGUCUAGAUAUAUAUUGAAAGUGGGAGCAAUUAGCUAGAGUACCUCCGUGCAGAGCAUUGUAGACAUAGAAAUUUGCAAAAAUACUUACGGAUCUGAAUGAGACAGACCCGUUGACUAAAAUUAUCUCACAAGCAAAACAUGAUCACCUUAGUACUCUUUGGGUGUUAAUCACAUAAGCGAUGUGAACUAGAUUACUGACACUAGUAAACCCUUUGGGUGUUAGUCACAAGACGAUGUGAACUAUGGGUGUUAAUCACAUGGUGAUGUGAACUAUUGAUGUUAAAUCACAUGGCUAUGUGAACUAGAUUAUUGACUCUAGUGCAAGUGGGAGACUGAAGGAAAUAUCCCCUAGAGGCGAUAAUAAAGUAUUAUUUAUUUCCUUAUUGACCCAUCGAAAAAGGCAUCAUUGGCGGGGGCGAAGCCGGCGCGCCGCCCAGUUCUCCUCUUCCUCGAAGCACUACGACCUCUGCCCCGGCCUCGCCCACGGCCUCACCCCCUCCCCCUUCCCCUCGCGUCCGGCUCCACCACCGCGGGCUCAGAGGGGGAGGGACGCGCUGUCGAGCAGCGAACCUCGCCGCCACCGGCGAAGGACCAGGAUUCCCUUUCUCCAUGGCGGGUGAAAGGAAGAAGCGGAAGCAGGAGGACAUAGAUGACAGCAGAAUGUGGGAUGCCAUCCCCCCUUCCCCCUCCUUAUAAAGGGGCGGGGUCGGGGCUCGGCCGCCUCGCUCGGCCAAUCCAGCCACCAGAGGCGCAGGGAACCGGGACCGACCCGCUGCCCCAACCAGCAACGGCCCGGUUUCCCGCCUCCACCGCCUGCCACCCCAAGUGCAUGGAGGACGCGUGGCGAACAUGCAGAAUCGAGGGGACGGGUGAGGAGACCUCUCCCCACCCCGUAAUCAUGGGGUGUGGAUGCCUUGAAGACCGCGACCCGGCCCCGCGCGGUAAAUGAGCCGCACCUCCACGCCUCCCUCUUUUUAUGGGGAAGGCGCGAGCCGCCUCUUUACUACGAUGUGACGCAUGCGUGCAGGAACCGCCCCACGCAUGCUGCCCACGUCAUGCACACCCCGCCACGCCGCGCCACGCCGUGCGUGGGUCGUGAGAAGCGAAGCGCGCGAAAAGUUUUACCACGGUAAAAACCGCCCCGCCUGCCCGCGCAACGUUUUGGGCCUGGCCCAACAACGUGUCGCGCUUAUGUGUGGCCCAGGCCCGGGGGCUCCUAUCGGUGUACAAAAGGAGGGGCGCACUUUUGUACCCCUUUACCUGUGCACAGGCAGUCGGAGCCGUGCCCACGGUCACACCAAGCAGAACAGGGGAGGUGAGCCAAGGUAAGACCGGAGCCCAAGAUAACCAGAGCAACGCCAAGGCCAAGACCACAAAGAGCAGAGGGACGAAGCAGGUUCCCCUGACAAGACCCUUGCCGGGGCAGCCUCAGCAGCCCGGGCAAGACCCUUGCCGGGGCAGCUCGCCCCACACCAACAGAGCAAGCCACCCUUGAGCCCACGGUCCCCAACACCAUCAUCCACGUGGGGCCAGGUCUCGGGAGGCACCUCUGUGGUGGCAUGCAAAUCUUUGUGAAGACAUAUUCAAGAUCAGAUGAGGAUUAGAAGACAGCGAUCCUCGGCAAGAUCCUUACCGAGAAGAGCCAUAAGACCCCCGGCAAGAUCCUUGCCGGGGACGACAGUGCGCCAUGGCAAGACCCUUGCCGGGCCCCCCGGCAAGGCUCUCGCCGAAGACGCCAACAGGGCCACUGCCAGGCCCGCACUAGCCAAGUCUCCACCGCCGUUCGCAUGCAGCUGCCAGCCCAAACCAGCUGGGCAGGAACCUGCGUGGCAACAUGCAGCUUCCAGGCCAACUCAGCAGGUGCCUGCGUGGCGGCAUGCAGAUCUUCGUGAAGACCCUACCACCGCGCCACCUCAGCUGCCUGCCUGCCUACAUGGCACCGCACGCAUUGCUGGCCAGGGCGCGUGUCGAAGCGAGGAGGAGCGGCGACGGACGGGACGGGCCUCACCCCCGUCCUCGAUAAAGCUAGGGGACACCUCAGCGGCGCAUUAAAUGCGACUUGUCCUGUAAUACGAGCGAUAAGCUCGCAAUACUGUAUGCCUUUCCACCUCCUGUGUGCCACUGUGGCAGCCCCUUUCGACUAUAAAAGGAGGCCCAUGGCAUACUGGAGAAGGAUUCGGCUCUUUCGAACCACACGUUCAAUACACCCACCAAAGCAGGACUAGGAUUUUACGCAUCCUCGCGGCCCGAACCUGGGUAAACGAUCCUCGUGCUGGUUACUAAUCCUGCUCUUCUUGCAACCCCGCGCCCCGGCAACCGUAGUAGGGAUUCUUGUGAUCCCAUAGGUGUCGUUCCACACCGACAAUAUCCGUCUUCUGAUUCUCAUCUAGUCUUGUAUGUUCUUGGUCUUCACAAAGAUCUGCAUGCCACCACGGAGGCGCCUCCCAAGCUUUGGUUCCAAUGUGGUUGAGGACGUCGGAACUCUUUGGCUCAAGGCUAGCAGCCCUGCUAUCGUUGGGCGAGUUGCCCCAGCAAGGUGAUGUCUACUACGGAACCUUCUUCUUGUAGACGUUGUUGGGCCUCCAAGUGCAGAGGUUUGUAGAACAGUAGCAAAUUUCCCUCAAGUGGAUGACCUAAGGUUUAUCAAUCUGUGGGAGGCGUAGGAUGAAUUUGGUCUCUCUCAAGCAACCCUGCAACCAAAUAACAAAGAGUCUCUUGUGUCCCCAACACACCCAAUACAAUGGUAAAUUGUAUAGGUGCACUAGUUCGGUGAAGAGAUGGUGAUACAAGUGCAAUAUGGAUGGUAGAUAUAGGUUUUUGUAAUCUGAAAAUAUAAAAAUAGCAAGGUAACUAAUAAUAAAAGUGAGCACGAACGGUAUUGCAAUGCGUUGAAACAAGGCCUAGGGUUCAUACUUUCACUAGUGCAAGUUCUCUCAACAAUAGCUACUGGUACAUACCCUCAGCCUCAAGGGUGAACUACUCCCCCCUCGUCAUGGAGAGCGCCGAGAUGAUGAAGAUGGCCACCGGUGAGGGAUCCCCCCUCGGGCAGGGUGCCGGAACAGGGUCCCGAUUGGUUUUUGGUGGCUACAGAGGCUUGCGGCGGCGGAACUCCUGAUCUAGGUUAUGUUCUGGAGGUUUCUGUAUAUAUAACAGGUUUUGGUAUCCGGAACAAGUCAGGGGGGUCUCCAGGCUGUCCAUGAGGUAGGGAGGUGCGCCUAGGGGGGUGGGCAUGCCCCCACCCUCGUGGGCAAGCCGGGACUCUUCUGGCCCAACUCUUUUACUCCAUGGCCUUCUUUUGGUCCAAAAAUUAGUUCCGUGAAGUUUCAGGUCAAUUGGACUCCGUUUGGUUUUCCUUUUCUGCGAUACUCAAAAAUAAGGAAAAAACAGAAACUCGCACUGGGCUCUAGGUUAAUCGGUUAGUCCCAAAAAUCAUAUAAAAUAGCAUAUAAAUGCAUAUAAAACAUCCUAGACGGAUAAUAUAAUAGCAUGGAACAAUUAAAAAUUAUAAAUACGUUGGAGACGUAUCAAGCAUCCCCAAGCUUAAUUCCCGCUUGUCCUCGAGUAGGUAAAUGAUAAAACCAAAAUUUUUGAUGUGGAAUGCUACCUAACAUAUUUAUCAAUGUAAUCUUCUCUAUUGUGGCAAGAACAUUCAGAUCCAUAAGAUUCAAGACAGAAGUUUAAUAUUGACAUGAAAACAAUAAUACUUCAAGCAUACUAACAGAGCAAUCAUGUCUUCUCAAAAUAACAUGGCCAAAGAAAGUUCAUCCCUACAAAAUCAUAUAGUUUGGCUAUGCUUCAUUUUUGUCACACAAACAUGCUCUCAUCAUGCACAACCCAGAUGAAAAGCCAAGCAAUUGUUUCAUACUUUAGUAAUAUCAAACCUUUUUCAACUUUCAUGCAAUACAUGAGCGUGAGCCAUGGACAUAGCACUAUGGGUGGAAUAGAGUAUAAUGAUGGGGGUUGUGUGGAGAAGACAAAAAAGGAGAAAGUCUCACAUUAACGUGGCUAGUCAACGGGCUAGGGAGAUGCCCAUCAAUUGAUGUCAAUGCGAGGAGUAGGGAUUGCCAUGCAAUGGAUGCACUAGAGCUACAAAUGUAUGAAAGCUCAACAAAAGAAACUAAGUGGGUGUGCAUCCAACUUCCUUGCGCACGAAGACCUAGGGCAUUUGAGGAAGCCCAUUUUUGGAAUAUACAAGCCAAGUUCUAUAAUGAAAAAUUCCCACUAGUAUAUGAAAGUGACAAUAUAAGAGACUCUCUAUCUUGAAGAUCAUGGUGCUACUUUGAAGCACAAGUGUGGAAAAAGGAUAGUAGCAUUGUCCCUUUUUAUUUCUCUUUUUUUCUUUUUUUUCUCCUUCUUUUCUGGGCCUUCUUUUUUUGGCCUUUCUCUUUCUUUUGGGACAAUGCUCUAUUAAUGAUGAUCAUCACACUUCUAUUUAUUUACAACUCGAUACUAGAACAAAGUAUGACUCUAUAUGAGUGCCUCCGGCAGAGUACCGGGAUGUGCAAUGAAUCAAGAGUGACAUGUAUGAAAAAUUAUGCAGGGUGGCCUUGCCACAAAUACGACAUCAACUACAUGAUCAUGCAAGGCAAUAUGAAAAUGAUGAAGCGUGUCAUAAUAAAUGGAACGGUGGAAAGUUGCAUGGCAAUAUAUCUCGGAAUGGCUAUGGAAAUGCCAUAAUAGGUAGGUAUGGUGGCUGUUUUGAGGAAGAUAUAAGGAGGUUUAUGUGUGAUAGAGCGUAUCAUAUCACGGGGUUUGGAUGCACCGGCAAAGUUUGCACCAACUCUCGAGGUGAGAAAGGGCAAUGCACGGUACCAAAGAGGCUAGCAAUGAUGGAAAGGUGAGAGUGCGUAUAAUCCAUGGACUCAACAUUGUAAGUGCAUCUAGUGCCACCCCUAGUUCGUUUUGGAGUAUUGAUGACAAACCUGGUUGAGGGACUAAUGUGUUUGUGAGAACUGCAGGAUAACACAGGUAGUAGUCCCUCAUUGAUUCGGUUUACCUACCGGAGAUGACCCCUAAAAAUGUAUGAAGACAUUGAAGACGAUGGUGAUAUGUGAAGAUAUUCACAUUGAAGACUAUGACAAGAGAAGGCAUUGCGUGAAGACUAUGGAGCGCGAAGACCUAGUUGUUUUGUUGUUUCCUUUUCUUCUUUGUUGAGUCGUAGGAACCACCGUACUAUUAAGUGGGGUCCCAGUGAACAAAGUUAGAGUGACUGAAGUGAUGCUCAACCAAAAUCCUAUGUCUUCGAGUGAAGACAAUGAGAGCAAAUCUUAUCCAGAGCUGGAUGAGUCAGCUUUACUUGUAGCCCAAGUCAAGCUGUCGCGUGUGUUUGAAAUCUGACCGUUGGAACACGUCUUAGUUCCUUAGUGACCCAGGGUCAUUUCGGACAAAUCAGGUCGGGUUGCCUAGUGGCUAUAAAUAGCCCACCCCCUACACCAUAAAUUGGUGGCUGCUCAGAGUUAGUGCACGGCUUUUGUCGUUUGAGAGCAACCCACCUCCGAAGCUUUUGAGAGAGAGAAAUCCUUGCGAGGACAAAGCCCAAACACCCAGAGCCAAAGAGUGUUAGGCAUCACUGAAGUCUUUCUGUCCGCGUGACCUGAUGACUUGUUACACUUGAGGACUAUGAAUCCUCCAGCCGGUUAGGCGUCGCGUUCUGAGCAUCCAAGAGUCAUUGUGGAUCGCCGGUGACCGAAGUCUGUGAAGGUUUGGAAGUCUACCUUGAAGACGUACCAGAGUAAUUGGGCGAGGACUGGGUGUCCUUAGCUCAAGGGAAAUAAGGUGAAGACGCGGUCUUCUGAGUUAAAUCUCAGCCUCCCUAACCAGACGUACAGUUGUCACAACAACUGGAACUGGUCCAACAAAUCAUGUGUCCUCAACAAGUGACUGGUUCUAUCAUCUCCCUCUCUUUACUUACAGUUCGUGAAGUCAUUGCUUGUUUGCUUUACCUAUUUGUCUUCACUGUGUGACUUCUAUCGUUGUUUGGCUUCAUACCAUCUUCCAUCCUGAUCCGUACUACCUAGAUGCUAUUAGUCUUCGCACUUUCACUUCAUUGAAUACUUGACUAUGGCUUGCCUAGUGUAGUCUACCUUGCGCUGCAUAUCAAUAGGUUCAUUUCUAUUGUCUGUCUUCGAAACUCUCAUGUUUUGAAGACUUCCAUAAAAAUCGCCUAUUCACCCCCCCCUCUAGUCGAUAACUAGCACUUUCAAUUGGCAUCAGAGCAAGGUACUCCCUUGUUCUGUGUGAUUCGGUUUAACCACCUGGAGUUUUAGCUAUGUCGCCUGCAGGGAUAAUCAAAGUCUCCGCUGCUUGCCCCGUCUUCGAUGGAACUGAAUAUCCCUACUGGAAGAAUAAGAUGCGCAUGCAUCUUGAAGCCAUUGAUGUCGACCUCUGGUAUGUCGUCAAGAAUGGCGUUCCCAAGACUGGUGAAGGUGUCACCCCUGCUGAUGUCAAGAAGUUCAUUCAACUGGAUUCUACUGCCAAGAACAUCAUCUGUGGUCAUCUGACCAAAGGACAGUAUGGCCGUGUGAGUGCUCUAGAAACGUCGAAGCUAGUCUGGGACUGGCUCUCCAAGGUCAACGAAGGCGUCUCAACCCAGAGAGAUCAAAGGAUCAGUGUUCUUCGCAUCCUCUUCAACAGCUUCAAGAGAAACGAUAAUGAGAAUGUCCAGCUCAUGUUUGAUCGCCUCACUGACAUCACAAAUGAGCUUCAUGCUCUCGGCGCCACUGAGAUUACCAAGCAUGAAAUCGUCAAGACACUACUGAGAUCACUUGACAGCUCGUUCGACACCCUUGCCCUCAUGAUACAAGAACGCCCUGACUUCAAGACACUCGAUCCGUCUGAUAUACUUGAGAGGCUCAACACACAUGAGUUCCAGCUAUCUGAGAAAAGAGAUAUCUAUGGUCCCAACUACGGCCGAACUCGUGCUUUGAAGGCAAAAGUUGUUUCCUCAUCUGAAGAAGAAACUGACUACAGUUCUGAUGAUCCUGAAGACAUUGGAAAGGAACUUGCUAUGCUUGUGAAGAAGUUCCAGAAGUUCACUACGAAGAAGGGCUUCAGAAAGUAUUCACGAUCCAGCUCAAGAAAUGAUGAAGCUUCCACUCAUGUCUACAAGAAGAGAACAUGUCACAAGUGCAAGAAACCUGGACACUACAUCUCUGAGUGUCCACAGUGGGACAAUGAGAACAACAAGAAGAAGAAGAGCAAGGAAUAUGAUUCUGAUGACAAGAAGAAGAAGAAAUCCUCAUAGUCUUCUUCCAAGUCCUCAUCCAAGUCUUCAUCUCAUAAGAAGAGCUCAUCUGGCAAGGCUCGUGCUUUUGUCGGCAAGGAGAUGGAUUCAGAGGAGGAGUUUGCUUCUGAGGAGGCGGAGGUGGAGUCUGAGGAGGAGUCCGACCCUGGCGUUGCAAGUUUGGCUCUAGCUACAGCCUACGUUGCCAAGUCCAUCUUCAACACUGAAGACAAUGGCUCCGUCACCAACACUGAAGCUAAUGAUAAGGACGACUCUGCUCCCACCUACUGCUUCAUGGCACGUGGUGCCAAGGUAAAAUCACGCGAUGCUUAAUUUCAAACAUCUAGUGAAGAUGACUCUGAUUGUGAAUCCAAACCCAGCUACAAAACACUUGCUGAAAUUGCAACUGAACAACAGAAAGCUAUGGAACAUACUCAAAAACUGUUAGAUAAAAGCGAUGACCUGUUGGACACUGAAAUGACUCGUUCUCAGUCCUUAAUUGAAGACAUAAAAAAUCUUCAUGUUAAGUACCAGGAACUUGAAAGUCGUCAUGGAACGCUCUCAACAACUCAUGAAAAGCUCUCCUAUGAUUAUCUUCAAAGGAAGCAAGAGCUUGAGAAAUUGAGAGCGACUCAUGAAGAUCUUCAAAAAGAGAAUGAGUCACUUCGCGCUCAACAGAUCAGUUCCGCUCAGGAAGGAUUUGAACCACCAUGUCUAAAAUGCCUUGAGCGUGAUAACGCUACUUAUAUUGCUAAAUGUUCUACUGCUGCUACUGUUGCAAUAUCUUCAACUGCUGAUGUGGUAACUAACCCCUCUGCUGAGGAUACCUCUACUAUUGCUAAUGAAAAUGCUAGGUUGAAGACAUUGCUUGAAACAGGGAUGUACAAAAGUCUCAAAGGGCAUCAGACACUAUGCGAUGUCCUCAAAAAGCAGAUUCUAAACCGAAACCCUGGGAAAGAGGGUGUUGGGUUCGAGAGGAAAAUGAAUGUUGAUGGCUCCUACUAGAAGCCUGAGCAGUACCCCAAAACCACAUGGGUUGCUGCAAAGGGACCUUCAGUGGAUCCAUCCACCUUAUCUGGCUUCACCUGUGCUAACCCUAUUAUCAUUGAUGAAUCCUUUGAUGCAAACUAUAAACUGUUUAAGAAUCAGAAUGGUGAAGUGUUUGCCAGGUAUAUUGGUACUAACUGCAGGAAUGGGCCACCUAUGAAGAAGAUCUGGGUUCCCAAAAGUUGUCUUGAGAAUCUUCCUGUGAAUGUCAUCAUGACACCACCUGGGAAGAAGACAAAUCCCAGACCAAAGGCUUCAUAUGGUCCAAAGGCUUCAUACAGACAGAGGACUCACCUGAGUCAACCUAACGCCAAUGUUUUGCAGGGAAACCAUACUCAGACUUAUGAAUAUGAGCGUGUUUCUUCAAACCGCUAUGUUCAUAAGACUAAGAACUUUUCUGCUUAUUCAUAUGAGUAUCAUUCAUCUCCUGCAAGGCUAUUUGCUAGGGCUCCAAAGCCGAAGUUCUCAGAUGCUGCACUUAGACUCAUUGCUUCUAAGCCACCCUUGAAGAUGUGGGUGGUUAAGAAGAAUUAACUUUUUUUUGCAGGGAAAGGUCUCUAGCCGAAAAUCAAAGGCGUCUGAUGCUAUUGCUGGGGACCUAAAACAUCUUGUAGGGCGCAAGAUCAAAUUCCCAAAUGGUCUCACUAUGUAUUUUGUUCCUGAAUCGAUUGCCAAUCAUCCUAUCAGUCCUAAUCUUGAUCUGAGCUUUGAUAAUCCUCUUGCCCGUCAAAUGUUUAUGCUUCACAAUACUCUUGGUGAAGCCUAUCCCCCUAACUGUACUGUAGGGUAUGACACCUCAUGCUUCAGAAUGGAUUAUGGACAGCGGAUGCACUAAUCAUAUGACUGGUGAUCGAAGUCUUCUCAUGGACUCAACCUUACGUCCAUCUGACAAGAGUCACAUCACAUUUGCUGACACUGGUAAAAGCAAGGUAUUGGGUCUAGGUAGAGUGGCAAUCUCAAAGGAUCAGCACAUGGAUAAAGUGAUGCUUGUUGAAUCCCUUGGUUUCAACUUAAUGUCUGUCUCAAUGCUUUGUGACUUGAACAUGAUUGUGAUAUUUGGAAAAUAUCGUUGCCUUGUACUUAUGGAAUCUGACAAGUCUCUAGUCUUUGAAGGGUACCGGAAAGAUGAUCUAUACAUGGUGGAUUUCUCAGCAGGGCCAUAGCUUGUCGUAUGCCUUCUUGCAAAAGCUUCAGAGUGCUGGCUCUGGCAUCGGAGGCUAGGGCAUGCUGGCAUGAGGAACUUACACACUCUCGCAAAGAAGAAGCAUGUCAUAGGCAUCGAGGGCGUCAAGUUCAAGAAGGAUCACUUGUGCGGUGCCUGCGAAGCUGGAAAGAUGACUAGGGCCAAGCAUCCCUCGAAGACAAUCAUGACGACAUCUCAACCCUUCGAGCUGCUUCACAUGGACUUAUUUGGCCCUACUCACUACUCUACUCUCACUACAACUGCUUGUCUCUAUGGCUUCGUCAUUGUUGAUGAUUAUUCAAGAUAUACAUGGGUUCACAUAAUUCUCUACAAGACUGAAGUGCAGGAUGUCUUCAGACGCUUCGCCAACCGUGCCAUGAACAACUAUGGCGUCAAGAUCAAGCAUAUUAGGAGUGACAACGGCACAGAGUUCAAAAACACCGGCCGAUCUGUACUUGGAUACAUUAGGCAUCACUCAUGAGUUCUCAGCUCCGUACACCCCUCAGAAGAAUGGCAUCAUGGAGCGCAAGAACAGAACACUCAUUGAGAUGGCUCGGACGAUGCUUGAUGAAUACAAGACACCCAGAAAGUUCCGGCUUGAAGCUAUUGAUACUGCAUGCCAUGUCAUCAACCGUGUUUAUCUUCACAAGCUUCUGAAGAAAACAUCCUAUGAACUCCUCACUGGUAAGAAGCCAAAUGUCAGUUACUUCAGAGUAUUUGGUGCUAGGUGCUGGAUCAUGGAUCCACAUCACACUUCAAAAUUUGCACCGAAAGCACAUGAAGGCUUUAUGCUCGGUUACGGAAAGGACUCGCACUCCUACAGAGUCUUCAACCUCUUUCACUAUAAAGUGGUGUCACGACCGGUUUUCAAUAAAAUAAUUAUUGAGAGACCAAUCCCUUUUACGGACCAGUGAAGAAGAAUUCCUUCUCAAGGGUAGACAAUAUCUUGGUCACAGAAGAAAAUUACCAGGAGUACUGAAUAUAAUCCAAGGUUGAGCAGAGACUGCUCAACGGUUUAUUACAUGCACGCCCAUAAAACAUAACGGCGGGUAGGGUAGCAUAACUACUAACUCACGAUAACAACGGUGGUGGAAAUAUCAUAGCGGAGCGGGUGAUAUGACUCCUGAAGACUACAGCUCUUCGAGCGUCGGAGUGAAGCUCGAGGAGUUUUAUUACGAGUGGCGGAAGCGUAUGUAAUACAAGUGACCAAUAUCCAGGAUCGCACGGGACUGACUGGGACUCCUCUAGGCGUCGGACUCGCUAUCAAACUCUUCAUGCAAGAGAUCGCCUUCGUCAACAUCUGGCCAAAUCAACAAGCCAGGUGAGUACUAUGAAAGUACUCGCAAGACAGUUCGGACAUAAGAUAUAACAAAUGCAAGCAUGAUGCAUAUGAACAGGUUAACAAGUGCACUCAGACAUAGAGGUAAUAAUGCACGGGAAAUAAAGAGAAGUCGGGCGGUAGUCCUCCCGAAAUCCCAAAAAUAAAUACUGGGUGCCAAACGAGGGUCUGAAUGACUCCUCGAGAGGAAAAUGCAAGAAAUACAAUGCCGCAAAAAUACUGGGUGCCAAACGAGUGUCUGAAUGACUCCUCGAGAGGAAAAAUGCAAGAAUAACAAUGCCGCAGUCGGGCGUCAAAGCGACACCACAUAAAGGGCUUAUAUCAAAAGUAAAAAACAAACAUGCCAUAGUCGGUCGUCUGAGCGACAUCACAUAAAGGGCUUAUAUCAAAAGUAAAUAACAAACAUGCCACAGUCGGACGUCUGAGCGACAUCACAUAAAGGGCUUAUAUCAAAAGUAAAUAACGAACAUGCCACAGUCGGACGUCUGAGCGACAUCACAUAAAGGGCUUAUAUCGUAGCUCAAUAAUUUAGUAGCUCGAGAAUAUAAAUCAUUACAAGUACGAGACGAAGAAAAAGUUAGUCCAUCCACAGGAAUAACAAUUUAACUGGGUUUACCACUUGAGCUUGUUCACCGGGGAUAAAAUUCCACGAGGAUAGAUAUGGAAAAACUGAUCACUCUACUUGAUCAUGGACACGAUGAUUCGGAAGGAUUUGACUCUGCAGAGUUUGUACUUUAACCACAGCCAACGGAUUUCAGUAGUCACGGGGACUAGUUCCGUUUACGGUGUUUUGGAAGAAACACGUCUAACCAGUACACACCCAUUUAACAUUCCGAAGCCAGGGAUCACCCUCGGCAACGUUCAAGAAAAACCUUGAGACGGGGAGGCUACAACCUCGCGUAGCAUGGGAUCAAAUUUCUAUACGCGCGCUCUAAGGGGUGCCCCCCUCUCGGUCCCAACCAGAAACACCCAUGCCCCCUGACCGGAUGACUGGCUUUAAUCCAGGGCCAUGGAACCAUCAUCCCGGCCCCUCUGUUUGGUGUGUACACGGAAAGAGGUUACCAACUUACUAAACCGCAUUCUGGCAGAAAACAUGUGGUAGCACGGAAGGGGGAAGGACGAUAACGUGACUCCGUCCAUGUUAACGUCGGAGUUUGUCGGAUGACGCAAGGCUGGUAUGCUACAACAGUACCACCUUGCUGCCCUUCAUGUCACCACAUGAUUAGGCCAUCUCUCACCAGAGAUCAUCGCAACUUUGGAACAUGCGGGUCGUUGCCUCACAAGCAACGAGGUACUCACUGACACUCAUAUGCCACGCACAACCUCUCACGCAAACAUGCAAAACAUCUAUCAUAUCAAAGGUUCAAACAUGCUUGCCUGGUUCGGAGAAGUCGGAGUCUAGCUCGGCGAAGUUCGCGGCUCCGUCACCUCUCCCGCAACCUACGGCAUAACGAAAACAGGCACUAACGUGAAAACCAACGUGUGCAUUAAAAUUGUUCCAAAAAAUUUCCAAAUAAAUCCCAUAAAAAACUAGACAAAAUUAUAAGACUGUCAGAAAAAGAAUCACUCAAAAAUCACUUUUUAUUUAAAAGUUAUAAGGGUUUCUGUCCAGGGACUCAUCUGUAAUGAAACAGAAAAGUUCCAGGGGUUAAACUGAGAAAAUAGAAAACGCUUCGGAAAGAAAUGCGCAAGCCCACAGAGAAAACAUAUUCUGCCCGAAGGCGCCAACGGAAAACGGUUCGCGGGGGAAAGAAAGAGAGGCUGACAGGGGGGGUCCACAUGUCAGGUUUAAAAAGUUCGCCGGCGCCCGAAGACUGCGGUGGUCGCCGGCGUCGAACCACGGCGAGACAGGGUGAUCGGAGUGUACCAAGAGCUUCAGCGUGUCCUUCCGCGUCGGUGGGUGGUGGACUCGAUCGUCGGAGAGCACCACGUCGACGGCGACACUUUCUCCGGCGGACGGCGGCUCGGGCGAUGGUGGGGAUCUCCGGUGGAGUGCUGCAAACUUUGAAUUGAAGCGCGGGUUAGAUGGAGGGUUGCAUUAGAGGGUUACUGGCAAGAGAUGGGAGGCAGGGGUGCGCGCACGGGAGCGAAUCGAGCUGGAUCCCGUGGCGGGUCGCGGCGGCCGGAGUUGAGGAAGGAGACUUCCUCGGGGCUCUCCCAGUGGCUAGGCAGGGUCUAGGUGGAGUGUAGAGGUGGUGUGGGUGCUAGCUGGAGCUCGGGGCCUCUAUUUAUAGGCGGCCCGAGGGUAUGGCCGUGAACGGAGUUGCUCCGGCGAGCAAUUACGGCGAGGCAGUGGUUGAGCAGGGGGUUUGAGUGGCCAGGCAGCAUCAGUGAGGUGUGCUGGUGCUGUUCCACUGCUAAACUCGGUCGGUCUUGGCGUAAUGGCGUCGGUCCACGGUGGGGUGGCCGCACGGGCACGACGGCGGCAGAGAGCGCGCUCCGCGCCCAGCGGUUCACGACGAGAGUGGUAGCGCGUUCUGGGGAGUGGAAGACCACGCGGCGAUCUCCGGUAGCUUGGGCGGCGUUGGGUGGUGCCGUCUGCGCCGCGCCUCUCUCUGGCGGCCGCAAAGCCGCCGCUGGCGUCGGUCACGGGGUGGCGCACCACCUCCUGCUCGUCACCGACGUCCGCAAUGCUCCAGGGGAUCGUGCGGUGCAGAGACAAGGGGAAGGGGACAGGGAGCGAGGCGACACCAGGGUACUGGCGAGAUUGAGAUCGAACACUGAAGAAAACGACAGUGGUUUCAGACACUAUUAACUGAACUUGACUGAACUUGAUAGCAACAGUGUCCAGCAGGUGUUCGACGAAAUGAUUUGGCAUGAAGAAAAAUUUUCCUGGGGUUGGGACUUGGUGAGGUGACCUCUCAAUGCACCCAGGGGUUGCCUGAUUUUUCCCAGAAUUUUUGGAGAAGGAUUUGAAUGAAUUUCAUCAAAUUUGGCAAAUCUGGUCCAAACUUGCAGCAAGUAUAGUUUGAAAAUUUUGAACUGAAGACCAGUGGAUCUUCAUGGAUCCAGGUUGAGGGUUCAGAGGACUAGGAUGGGGAAAAGGUUUGGAGGCAAAAAUCAAAACGGAAGUGGUAGCUCCUUUGUAAAUCUCCAAUAGCUAGAAUAGAAGGCAGAAAUUGUUUUGAUAAGAUUUAAAUGGAAAAUAAUCAUAUGGGGAGGUUGAACUUGCUGGAUUUGAUGCAAAUCAUGAUCCCAAGAUGAGGGAAGGUUUGUGGGAGUGGAUUUCCACUUAGGUCAUGGCAAGAGAGAUUUUUUUUGAAAGGGGCAAAAGAUCACUUCAAAAUGCCAUGGGGCUAUUUAAAAGAUUUUUCAAAAGAAAUUUCCCAAGUGAAAAGCAUUUGGUUUUGAGUCCAAAUAAAAGGAAAAACCUCCAAGACCAAAAAUCAAGUCUUGGGUGAAUCCAAAUAGAACACUUGCCAUAAAAGAAAAUAUUUGAGAGGGUGAUUCUUUAGAAGAAAAUUUAAAUACCCUCCUCAAAUAAAAGUUUGAAAGUUUGAAAAAUCCAAUUAAAAAUUUUGGGUGUCACAACACCUACCCCCUUAGGAAAAAUCUCGUCCUCGAGAUUUCUGCUGAUCCUCAAAUAGAUAUGGGUAUUCUGCCCGAAGAAAAUCUUCUCUUUCCCAAGUAGCUUCAUCCUCAGUGUGGUUGCUCCACUGAACCCUGAAAAAUUUUGUUGUUUUCUGACGGGUCCUCGUUUCAGACUCUUCCAAGAUCUUUACUGGUCAUUCUCUGUAGGUGAGAUCUGGCUGCACAUCGAUGCUCUCAUGGGGUACAUGCUUCUCCGGGUUACUUACACAUUUUCUCAAUUGAGAGACGUGGAACACAUCGUGGACGUCUGAUAGUUCCUUGGGUAGGUCUAGUUUGUAAGCUACUGUGCCUCUUCGUGCAGUCACACAGAAUGGUCCAAUAAAUCUCGGGGCUAGCUUCCCUUUAAUUUUGAACCGCUGUAGGCCCCUCAUAGGAGAUACUCGUAGGUAUACGGAGUCACCAGGUUCAAAGCUGACCUCACGAUGUUUUUGAUCGUAAUAGCUCUUUUGUCGGCUUUGUGCUGUCUUGAGUCUGUCCCUGAUCUGUUUAACCCUCUCCUCGGCCUUCUUGAGCAUGUCUGGGCCGAAGAUACGACUGUCACCCGUUUCUGACCAAUUCAGAGGGGUACGGCACCUCCGUCCGUACAAUGCUUCAAAGGGUGCCAUUUGUAAGCUGGCUUGGUAACUGUUGUUGUAACCAAACUCGGCGUAUGGCAAACUUUCUUCCCAACUGGAUCCAUAGGUGAGCACACAGGCUCUCAGCAUGUCCUCUAAGAUUUGGUUUACAUGUUCCGUUUGCCCAUCAGUCUGAGGGUGGUAUGCUGUACUGAAAGCUAGUUGCGUGCCCAGAGUUUGUUGCAGGUGAUCCCAGAAUUUAGAGACAAAUUGGGUGCCUCGGUCGGAUAUUAUAGUCUUUGGGACUCCAUGCAAACAAACUAUACGGGAGAGAUAAAGCUUGGCUAGCCUUUGAGUGGAGUAGGUUGUCUUCACGGGAAUGAAAUGGGCUACCUUGGUUAGCCUGUCUGUGAUGACCCAAAUGGCAUCAUUUCCGCGUUGCGAUCGAGGUAGUCCGACAAUAAAGUCCAUCCCAAUCUCAUCCCACUUCCAUUCAGGUAUCCUGUUUGGUUGCAGCAGUCCCGCUGGCUUUUGAUGCUCGGCUUUUAUGCGUUGACAUGAAUCGCAACAAUCAAUAAAUGCGGCUAUAUCCCUUUUCAUACCGUGCCACCAAAAUCUUUCCUGCAGGUCUUUGUACAUUUUGGUCCCUCCAGGGUGGAUCGAGUAUGGAGCGGUGUGGCUCUCGGUUAGGAUUUGUUGCUUGAGUCCCUCAUCGUCAGGUACGCAAAGUCUGUCUCCGUACCAUAAUAUUCCUUCAUUGUCUGUGACGAACUCGGAUGCUUUGCCAAGACUCAUUUUUCUCUUUAUACCUUCGAUGCUGGGAUGCCCCUGCUGGGCCUUCUUAAUUUGUUCCAUAAGGGUGGGAUGUAUCUCCAGAUUUGAUAUGGUGCCCUCAGAGACUAACACCAUGUUGAGUCUAGUGAACUCUUGUUGAAACUCAGGCUUCAAGUUUUGUGGGCCGUCGUUGUCCGGGCUGGGGUUUCGACUAAGGGCAUCGGCCACUACAUUUGCUUUCCCUAGAUGGUAGUGAAUACCGACAUCAUAGUCCUUGACCAAUUCCAACCAGCGUCAUUGGCGUAAGUUUAGCUCUGGCUGUGUGAAAAUAUAUUUAAGGCUCUUAUGGUCCGUAUAUAUUUCAUAAUGAUUUCCCAACAGAAAGUGCCUCCACUCCUUGAGUGCAUGUAUGACUGCUGCUAGCUCCAAGUCAUGUGUUGGGUAAUUUUCCUCAUGUUUCCACAGUUGCCUGGAGGCAUACGCGACAACUUUGCCAUCCUACAUCAGCACACAUCCGAGACCCUUCCGGGAUGCGUCACAAUAUACUUCGAAACUCUUGUGUAUGUCUGGCACAGUUAAGACUGGUGCGGUUGUUAGCUUCCUCUUGAGUUCUUGGAAGCUUUUCUCGCAUGCUUCCGUCCAUACAAACUUCUUUUCUUUCUUGAGCAACUGGGUUAUUGGUUUUGCCACAGUGGAGAAUCCUUCAAUAAAUCUCCGGUAAUAUCCAGCCAUUCCUAGGAAACUCCGUACAUCUGUCACGUUGGCUGGUGGCUUCCAGUCAAGUAUGGCUUUGACCUUUUCUGGGUCUACGGCUAUGCCUUCUUGGUUCAAUAUAUGGCCCAGAAAACCAACUUGUCUUAGCCAAAAUUCACACUUGCUAAAUUUGGCGUACAAUUGGUGUUUCCUUAGUUCUCCCAAAACGAUUCUGAGAUGCUCAGCAUGCUCUUCUGGUGUUCUUGAAUAAACCAGAAUAUUGUCAAUGAACACCACAACAAAUUUGUCCAUAAACUUCAUGAAUACUUUGUUCAUGAGGUGGACGAAAUAAGCGGGGGCGUUCGUCAAUCCAAACGGCAUUACUGUGAACUCAUAUAAUCCGUAUCUGGAAGUGAAUGCUGUCUUAGGGAUAUCUUCUGUCCGUACUUUCAAUUGAUGGUAUCCCGAUCUCAAAUCAAUUUUUGAGAACACCUUGGCUUGAGCGAGCUGGUCAAACAAAUCAUUUAUCCGUGGCAUCGGGUAUUUGUUUUUGAUGGUGACCAUAUUGAGAGCUCGAUAGUCUAUACACAAUCUCAGUGUCCCAUCCUUUUUCUUGGCGAAUAAAACUGGCGAACCCCAAGGUGAGGAGCUGGCUCGAAUAAAUCCUUUGUCCAACAACUCCUUUAUCUGCUUCUUCAAUUCUACCAAUUCUGAGGGUGCCAUCCUGUAAGGUUUCUUAUAGAUGGGAGUGGUGCCAGGUGCUAGUUCAAUGAUGAACUCAAUCUCUCGGUCUGGUGGCAUGCCUGGUAGUUCUUCGGGAAAUACGUCAGGAAACUCGCAUACCACUGGAACUUUUCUCAAUUCUGAAAUGUCCACUUUGUUCAAUUUUGGUUGCCGUGACCGUGGUCUUUCUUGAGCUGUAACUUUUAUCAUCUUGCCGUGAUGAUGAGUGAGAAUCACAGUCCGAUUGAAACAGUCAUGAAUCCCUUGUUGGUGGUCAGCCAGUCCAUCCCUAAAAUGACAUCCAGUCCUUUAUUUUCCAACACGAUGAGGUUUGCUUGGAACGGUAGUCCUUCGAACUCAAUGAUUAAUCCUUGACAGUAACUCUGAGUGAUUUGCUUAUUUCUGGGGGACUUGAUGAUCAUAGAUUUUUCCAAGGGAAGUAUCGGAAAACCAUGUUGCAAAACAAAACUCUUCGAAACGAACGAAUGGGAAGCUCCAGAAUCAAACAAAACCGUGGCAGGUACUGUGUUGACAGGGAACGUACCAAGCACGAUGUCUGGGGCAUUCUGGGCUUCUUCUCUUGUCACAUGGUUUAGGUGACCCUUCCUGUGGUUGUUGCUGGGGUUGAAAUUGUUGCGCUUGGGGGCUGGAUUAUUCCCACCAUUGUUCGGCUUGGGGGCCGAGUUCCUUGGCUUUGGACACUGUUUGGCAUAGUGCCCUUCUUCACCACAAGCGUAGCAAGUGACCCCUGGACGGUACGUGAAAUCCUUGUCCCUUGGAUGAAACUGUUUGACUGGCCUUGGAUCAGUAGUCGUGGAUUUCCUUGCUUCAGUCCUCGGGACCUCAGUCCUACUUCGGUUGUUGUGAGCAAGAGUCGUCUUGUCCCUCUUUCGCUUACGGAUAUCCUCCAGACUACGGCGCUCAUUCUCCAAGGUAAUGGCCUUGUCCACCAGAGUUUUAAAAUCUGGGAAAGUGUGUACGACCAGUUGGCAUUUUAGUGCCGGCGCCAGGCCGUCCAAGAAUUUCUCCAUCCUCUUGUUCUCAGUCAUAUGCUCGUCGUAGGCAUAACGAGAUAGCUGGGUAAACUGACCGUUGUAUUCUGUCACUGACAUGCCUCUUUGCUUGAGGUCAUCAAAUUCUCUUUUCUUGAGUUUUAUGAUGCUCCUGGGGAUGUGCGCCCCACGAAAGCCUUCCUUGAACUCUUCCCAGGUGAUGUUGUGUUCCCUGGGAUGCAUGUGUAGGAAGUUUUCCCACCAUGCUGCAGCUGCUCUAGUAAGGUAAUGUGGUGCAUAAAGCACCUUCUCAUGAUCUGAACACCGAGCAAUAAUCAGUUUCCUUUCGAUGUCACGAAGCCAAUCAUCGGCUUCAAGUGGCCUAUCGCUGUGGGCAAACGUUGAAGGGCGAGUCUUCUGUAACUCAGACAACUUGGAGUGUGGCUGGUACGGCUCACGGUGGUUUCCCAUAUUGAUGACGUGGUUCAUCAUCUCUUGGUGUUGCUGUUGGCUUUGUUCAAACAGGUGGCAUACUUGAGAUAAGGCGGCCUCACUGUCUUGUUGACUAGACUGUCCCUGAGUGAAGUUGUUGCUGGUCUGAGUCCCAAAUACUUCUUCUGGCUGAUUGGGCAUGGAACGAGACCAUGGACGGGAUAUUUUCCACUCUGGGGGUAUUAUUUGCAAAAAUCAUGAGAAGAACUGCGAGGUGCAAGGAAAAUCUUGCAAAUACAAAAUUUUUAAAAGACCUCAAGAUUUUCAAGAAAACAUAAACAACUCUGCACGGAGAAGAGACGCUUAACACAAAUCUUACAGGCGAAACGCAAACAUACGAUACAGCACUCAGGAUGUGCGUACACAUUCCUGACAUGUUAUUAGCACGCCCUCUGGGGUGCAGCGAGCACAACUACUACAAACUAGCGUACAGAUAAAACACAUCAUACAGGCAGACAUAACGCGCGGCUACACGGCGCUCUCAGUCGGAGAUGGUGACGAUGUCCUUUCCCUUGCCGAGAGCAAGGCUCAGCGGCGCAGGAGAGUCAACCUCCACCUCCUCUCUAGCAGGCUCCCGGCGCGAAGCACUGCGCUGCGGUGAUGGCGCGGGUGCGACAGGCGGUAGUGCGGGUGCGGCAGGCGGUGCAGCUCUGACUGGAGUAGGAGCGAUGACUCGGUCGAACUCCUCAGUGGUAGGCAGACGGCGAGCAGUGGCUAAAAUGGCCGGUGCAUAAGAUGCUGAAGACGAGAUGAAAGUCAGAGGCGGUGCUGUGUGAAGAAGCUCCUUCCUGCAGGUAGGACCGCCCCGAACUAAGUCCAUCCGAGCAGCCACAAGAUCGUCCACGAGGUUGUCGAAAGAUUCCUCCAGAGCCUUGAGAUACUCCACAACCAUCUCGAUGGCUUCAUGUCGCUCUCCCCGAUGGCAGGCGAAUGCAUAGUGACAAGUGUAUGGCACAUGGCAUGGGAGGUAGCGGUAGCAACGAGUCUUCAUCACAGGAAGGAUGUCCCGAAGGCGAGCUAUCGCCUCACGGGCAGCCAUCUGCAUGGCAUGCCUCUCCGUAGGCAUGGCCCUUCCCACAAAACGGAAGUGGCGUGAUGCAGAACGUCCUCCCUUGAAUUUCACCACGGCCUGGUGCAUGGACACGUCGUCGCUGAGCAUGUGCUGGUAAAGCGUGAACUCCGGACGAGUCGCUGGCCCGAUCGCGAGCUUGGUGAUGGAAACGAGGAGCUUGACAAACCCCUCGGGCACUAUCGUGAACACUCGAGUCUCGCAGUUGCUGCCAGCCAUCUACAAAAGUAGGCAAAAAUUCUGAGUAGUCAAGUCAUAAAUUUUAUGAUGACCAACAGAAAAUUGCAAAAAUUGCAAAAAUGCUGAAAAAUCACAAAAGACGCUAAUAACCGAUUAGCGAUCGCACCUAGUGGCUUCCUACAGUCAGCCUGGCUCUGAUACCAAGCUUGUCACGACCGGUUUUUCAAUAAAAUAAUUAUUGAGAGACCAAUCCCUUUUACGGACCAGUGAAGAAGAAUUCCUUCUCACAGGUAGACAAUAUCUUGGUCACAGAAGAAAAUUACCAGGAUUACUGAAUAUAAUACAAGGUUGAGCGGAGACUGCUCAAUGGUUUAUUACAUGCACGCCGAUAAAACAUAACGGCGGGUAGGGUAGCAUAACUACUAACUCACGAUAACAACGGUGGUGGAAAUAUCACAGCGGAGAGGGUGAUAUGACUCCUGAAGACUGCAGCUCUUCGAGCGUCGGAGUGAAGCUCGAGGAGUUUUAUUGUGAGUGGCGGAAGCGUAUAUAAUACAAGUGACCAAUAUCCAGGAUCGCACGGGACUGACUGGGACUCCUCUAGGCGUCGGACUCGCUAUCAAACUCUUCAUCCAAGAGAUCGCCUUCGUCAACAUCUGGCCAAAUCAACAAGCCAGGUGAGUACUAUGAAAGUACUCGCAAGACAGUUCGGACAUAAGAUAUAACAAAUGCAAGUAUGAUGCAUAUGAAUAGGUUAACAAGUGCACUCAGACAUAGAGGUAAUAAUGCACGGGAAAUAAAGAGAAGUCGGGCGGUAGUCCUCCCGAAAUCCCAAAAAUAAAUACUGGGUGCCAAACGAGGGUCUGAAUGACUCCUCAAGAGGAAAAUGCAAGAAAUACAAUGCCGCAAAAAUACUGGGUGCCAAACGAGUGUCUGAAUGACUCCUCGAGAGGAAAAAUGCAAGAAUAACAAUGUCGCAGUCGGGCGUCAAAGCGACACCACAUAAAGGGCUUAUAUCAAAAGUAAAUAACAAACAUGCCACAGUCGGACGUCUGAGCGACAUCACAUAAAGGGCUUAUAUCAAAAGUAAAUAACAAACAUGCCACAGUCGGACGUCUGAGCGACAUCACAUAAAGGGCUUAUAUCAAAAGUAAAUAACGAACAUGCCACAGUCGGACGUCUGAGCGACAUCACAUAAAGGGCUUAUAUCGUAGCUCAAUAAUUUAGUAGCUCGAGAAUAUAAAUCAUUACAAGUACGAGACAAAGAAAAAGUUAGUCCAUCCACAGGAAUAACAAUUUAACUGGGUUUACCACUUGAGCUUGUUCACCGGGGAUAAAAUUCCACAAGGAUAGAUAUGGAAAAACUGAUCACUCUACUUGAUCAUGGACACGAUGAUUCGGAAGGAUUUGACUCUGCAGAGUUUGUACUUUAACCACAGCCAACGGAUUUCAGUAGUCACGGGGACUAGUUCCGUUUACGGUGUUUUGGAAGAAACACGUCUAACCAGUACACACCCAUUUAACAUUCCGAAGCCAGGGAUCACCCUCGGCAACGUUCAAGAAAAACCUUGAGACGGGGAGGCUCCAACCUCGCGUAGCAUGGGAUCAAAUUUCUAUACGCGCGCUCUAAGGGGUGCCCCCCUCUCGGUCCCAACCGGAAACACCCAUGCCCCCUGACCGGAUGACUGGCUUUAAUCCAGGGCCAUGGAACCAUCAUCCCGGCCCCUCUGUUUGGUGUGUACAUGGAAAGAGGUUACCAACUUACUAAACCGCAUUCUGGCAGAAAACAUGUGGUAGCACGGAAGGGGGAAGGACGAUAACGUGACUCCGUCCACGUUAACGUCGGAGUUUGUCGGAUGACGCAAGGCUGGUAUGCUACAACAGUACCACCUUGUUGCCCUUCAUGUCACCACAUGAUUAGGCCAUCUCUCACCAGAGAUCAUCGCAACUUUGGAACAUGCGGGUCGUUGCCUCACAAGCAACGAGGUACUCACUGACACUCAUAUGCCACGCACAACCUCUCACGCAAACAUGCAAAACAUCUCUCAUAUCAAAGGUUCAAACAUGCUUGCCUGGUUCGGAGAAGUCAGAGUCUAGCUCGGCGAAGUUCGCGGCUCCGUCACCUCUCCCGGAACCUACGGCAUAACGAAAACGGGCACUAACGUGAAAACCAACGUGUGCAUAAAAAUUGUUCCAAAAAUUUUCCAAAUAAAUCCCGUAAAAAACUAGACAAAAUUUUAAGACUGUCAGAAAAAGAAUCACUCAAAAAUCACUUUUUAUUUAAAAGUUAUAAGGGUUUCUGUCCAGGGACUCAUCUGUAAUGAAACAGAAAAGUUCCAGGGGUUAAACUGAGAAAACAGAAAACGCUUCGGAAAGAAACGCGCAAGCCCACAGAGAAAACGUAUUCUGCCCGAAGGCGCCAACGGAAAACGGUUCGCGGGGGAAAGAAAGAGAGGCUGACAGGGGGGUCCACAUGUCAGGUUUAAAAAGUUCGCCGGCGCCCGAAGACUGCGGUGGUCGCCGGCGUCGAACCACGGCGAGACAGGGUGAUCGGAGUGUACCAAGAGCUUCAGCGUGUCCUUCGCGUCGGUGGGUGGUGGACUUGAUCGUCGGAGAGCACCACGUCGACGGCGACAGUUUCUCCGGCGGACGGCGGCUCGGGCGAUGGUGGGGAUCUCCGGUGGAGUGCUGCAAACUUCGAAUUGAAGCGCGGGUCAGAUGGAGGGUUGCAUUAGAGGGUUACUGGCAAGAGAUGGGAGGCAGGGGUGCGCGCACGGGAGCGAAUCAAGCUGGAUCCCGUGGCGGGUCACGGUGGCCGAAGUUGAGGAAGGAGACUUCCUCGGGGCUCUCCCAGUGGCUAGGCAGGGUCUAGGUGGAGUGUAGAGGUGGUGUGGGUGCUAGCUGGAGCUCGGGGCCUCUAUUUAUAGGCGGCUCGAGGGUAUGGCCGUGAACGGGGUUGCUCCGGCGAGCAAUUACGGCGAGGCAGUGGUUGAGCAGGGGGUUUGAGUGGCCAGGCAGCAUCAGUGAGGUGUGCUGGUGCUGUUCCACUGCUAAACUCGGUCGGUCUUGGCGUAAUGGCGUCGGUCCACGGUGGGGUGGCCGCACGGGCACGACGACGGCAGAGAGCGCGCUCCGCGCCCAGCGGUUCACGAUGAGAGUGGCAGCGCGUUCUGGGGAGUGGAAGACCACGCGGUGAUCUCCGGUAGCUUGGGCGGCGCUGGGUGGUGCCGUCUGCGCCGCGCCUCUCUCUGGCGGCCGCAAAGCCGCCGCUGGCGUCGGUCACGGGGCGGCGCACCACCUCCUGCUCGUCGCCGACGUCCGCAAGGCUCCAGGGGAUCGUGCGGUGCAGAGACAAGGGGAAGGGGACGGGGAGCGAGGCGACACCAGGGUACUGGCGAGAUUGAGAUCGAACACUGAAGAAAACGACAGUGGUUUCAGACACUGUUAACUGAACUUGACUGAACUUGAUAGCAACAGUGUCCAGCAGGUGUUCGACGAAAUGAUUUGGCAUGAAGAAAAAUUUUCCUGGGGCUGGGACUUGGUGAGGUGACCUCUCAAUGCACCCAGGGGUUGCCUGAUUUUUCCCAGAAUUUUUGGAGAAGGAUUUGAAUGAAUUUCAUCAAAUUUGGCAAAUCUGGUCCAAACUUGCAGCAAGUAUAGUUUGAAAAUUUUGAACUGAAGACCAGUGGAUCUUCAUGGAUCUAGGUUGAGGGUUCAAAGGACUAGGAUGGGGAAAAGGUUUGGAGGCAAAAAUCAAAACGGAAGUGGUAGCUCCUUUGUAAAUCUCCAAUAGCUAGAAUAGAAGGCAGAAAUUGUUUUGAUAAGAUUUAAAUGGAAAAUAAUCAUAUGGGAAGGUUCAACUUGCUGGAUUUGAUGCAAAUCAUGAUCCCAAGAUGAGGGAAGGUUUGUGGGAGUGGAUUUCCACUUAGGUCAUGGCAAGAGAGAUUUUUUUGAAAGGGGCAAAAGAUCACUUCAAAAUGCCAUGGGGCUAUUUAAAAGAUUUUUCAAAAGAAAUUUCCCAAGUGAAAAGCAUUUGGUUUUGAGUCCAAAUAAAAGGAAAAACCUCCAAGACCAAAAAUCAAGUCUUGGGUGAAUCCAAAUGGAACACUUGCCAUAAAAGAAAAUUUUUGAGAGGGUGGUUCUUUAGAAGAAAAUUUAAAUACCCUCCUCAAAUAAAAAUUAAAAAGUUUGAAAAAUCCAAUUAAAAAUUUUGGGUGUCACAAGUGGUUGAAACUGUGGAUGUGCGGUUCGAUGAGACUAACGGCUCGCAAAGAGAGCACCUGCCAAAUGUGCUAGAUGAAGUUCCACCCAGUGAAUCCAUCAAGCUAAUGGGAACUAGAGAAAUCAUACCGUCUGAAGCUCAGCCUGAAGAGGAACUUAUCAUUUCUGCACCUAAUCAACCUGAAGACAAUGCUCAGCCCGAAGACAAUCCUCCUAACAACGACAAUGAUCAGCAAGAGCAAAAUAUUCAUCCGGUUCAUCCUCGUGUUGCAAAUGAAGUACAGAUCAAGAAGAUAAUUGGCAGCAUCAAUGCGCCUGGUCCACUCACUCGUUCAAGAGCAACACAGCUAGCAAAUUUCUGUGGGCACUUUGCAUUUGUCUCAACAUCUGAACCCGAGAAAGUUGCUGAAGCCUUCGUGGGACCUGAAUGGAUUCAAGCUCUGCGAGAAGAGCUUCAACAGUUCAAGAUGAACAAUGUUUGGGAACUUGUCAAGCGUCCUGACCCCCGCAAGCACAACAUAAUAGGCACAAAAUGGAUAUAUCACAACAAACAAGAUGAGCAUGGUCAAGUUGUCAGAAACAAAGCUCGUCUCGUUGCUCAAGGAUACACUCAAAUUGAAGGGAUUGACUUCGAUGAAACAUUUGCUCCUGUGGCUAGGCUUGAAGCUAUUCGCAUACUGCUAGCCUAUGCUAACCAUCACAACAUCUUGCUGUAUCAAAUGGAUGUGAAGAGUGCAUUUCUCAACGGCAAGAUUGAAGAAGAAGUGUAUGUCGCACAACCUCCUGGCUUUGAAGAUCCAAAACAUCCUGAUAUGGUGUACAAGCUAAACAAGGCACUGUAUGGCCUCAAACAAGCCCCUCCCGCUUGGUAUGACACGCUCAAAGACUUCCUGAAGAGCAAAGGCUUCAAACUUGGUUCCCUGGAUCCCACACUCUUCACGAAGACAUAUGAUGGUGAACUGUUUGUGUGCCAAGUAUAUGUGGAUGACAUUAUCUUCGGCUGCACUAACCAGAAAUACAGUGAUGAGUUUGGACACAUGAUGCAAGAGCAAUAUCAGAUGUCCAUGAUGGGUGAGCUGAAGUUCUUCCUUGGUCUUCAAAUUUGUCAGCAAAGAAAUGGCAUCUUCAUAUCUCAAGAGAAAUACCUCAAAGAUUGUCUGAAGAAGUUUGGAAUGCAAGACUGCAAAGGUUACACGACGCCAAUGCCAACCAAGAGUCAUCUGGGUCCUGACACCAAUGGUAAAGAGUUCGAUCAAAAGUUAUACGGCUCCAUGAUUGGUUCUUUACUUUAUUUAUGUGCAUCUAGGCCAGAUAUUAUGCUUAGUGUUUGCAUGUGUGCUCGAUUCCAAGCGGCACCAAAGGAAUCGCAUCACUUAGUUGUGAAGCGAAUUCUUCGAUAUUUGGCUUACACCCCAACAUUAGGAUUAUGGUAUCCAAAGGGCUCAGAGUUUGAUCUAGUUGGAUUCUCGGAUGCUGAUUAUGCUGGUGACAAGGUGGAUGGCAAGUCUACAUCAGGCACAUGUCACUUUCUGGGAUGAUCACUUGUCUGUUGGUCUUCAAAGAAGCAGAACUGUGUAUCACUCUCCACUGUUGAAUCUGAAUACAUUGCUGCUGGAUCAUGCUGCGCUCAGCUUCUAUGGAUGAAGCAAACACUCAAGGACUAUGGCAUCCAUCUGAAACAAGUACCACUCUACUGCGACAACGAAAGCGCCAUCAAGACUGCCAACAACCCAGUUCAGCACUCGAAGACAAAGCAUAUUGAAAUUCGUCAUCACUUUCUCAGAGAUCAUGUCAUGAAGGAAGAUAUUGAUAUCAUACACGUAAACACUGAAGAGCAACUGGCAGAUAUCUUCACAAAGCCCUUGGAUGAGAAAAGGUUUUGCAAGUUACGGUGUGAGCUAAAUAUCUUGGAAUCCUCAAAUGUCAUGUGAUCAGGCACACAUCCUAACACUUAUGCAUGAUGAUGACUUAGAUGUGCAACACACGAAGUAAAGUAUAUCUUCAAUCAAUGAAGACUUACAUUCUAAGUGUGAAUACAUUAACGUGGAAUUUGACUUCGGAGCGCCACGAUAAUUGUGCGCCGUGUCUGGGUCUAAUACUUCCUAUACGGUGGGUAACGACACCACCAAAUUCUUCUGUUUGAAGUGUUUUUCUCAUGGCGUUACAUUUGCUAUGUCUUCGCAUUUGGUUUGUCUUCAAUUUCAAUUUGUCUUCAUGAUUAUCUUCACUAUGUUGAUUUGGUUGCAUUCUGAUAUAUACAUAUAUUAGUGUUCUGUCCUCUACAGCAUUCACUUAUUGCUAUGUCUUCUCGUUUGAAUCUUUUGAGCUAAGUGAAUGUGAUCGGACCCUAACCUCUCUAUGCUUCCUACCUCAAACUCUAUCUAUCCAAAUCAUAUGCAUUCUGUUGAAACUGUCGAAUGUCUUCUCUGCGUCCUUGUCAGCAGAAGAUACGGAGACAAACAUUAAAUCUGUUUUAAAUGUUCAAUUCUUAUUGCCUGAAACCCAGAGAAGCCGGAACGACCAUCCGACAGUCCAGGCGGGCGUGGGAACAUGGGACAACUCCCAAUGUGUUGCAUGUUCGCCACGUGUCCCUCAGAUGUGAACCGCCAGGGGUACCUGCGUAAUUGCGUUGUGCCGUCCCUUUCCCUAUAAAUACACAUCCAAUCGUGGUCAAAAUCCUUCUUCCACCUCUCCACCUCGACAAACCCUAGCGCCAUCGCUAGCUCUCGACGACGCCAGCGAUGAAGCGCUUAGCUGCCGCGACCUCUCCGACGCCGUCUUCACGCCGGCCGCGGACAUCGUCUUCUCCGCCGCCGCCAUAGGUGUCCUCCGUCGCCAAGUUAGGGCACAGAAGAUCGAACUGCUCGGCCUCAUCUUCUACUCCGUCUAGCAGUUCAUCGUGUGGUAAAUUAAAACCCUCUUUUUACCGUCUUUUUGAUCCUAUAGAUUCAUCCUUUUUUACCAAAAGUGGUUUCUGCCUCCCCAAAUUUGGAUCUAUCCUGUCUGCAUCUCAUAUAAUGCCUAGUAUAUUCACUUAUGCUUCACACAUAGUUGGAUUCCUCACUUGUACUUAUUCUUGGAUGCGUACAAAUCUAGAACCAACUCUCAACAUAUAAGUGAAUGUCUUCGCGCUAUGAGGUCAAUGUCUUCUAAACUGAUUUAUCUUCAAAAUCUUCUGAGAAUGCAUAUGACCUCUUCCCCUUCCCUCGCAUCUCUAAUGCUGUCACAGGUACAUGUCCGUGGGAGAAUCCCUUGGUCCUCAUAGUCUGCAUUCAUUUGCAGAAUUCUUACAGCAUCACAUCAACUCUCCCGAAGCCAGUUCCUGGCUGACCAGCAGACGGAAGCCUUUGACAGUGUUGAAGCCAUUCAGUCUGAACUUCAUGGCAACAGAGAAGUCUGCAAGGAAGGGUGGCAGACAGCGCCGUGGGAACACCUCAAGAGAUUUGCCUCCUGACCUCUAUGAGCUAUACAAGACAGAUCCAGAGGAGGACUAGAAUCAGCGAAAAACCCGAAUCCAAUGGAUUCGAAGAUAUUGGGCAGAACAAUGGUACAAGUACAGGUUCGUGACCCAGGAAUAUGCUGAGAAGAAUGCCAUCAAGCGACCAUGGGGAGACAUUUUGUACAAAAAUCUUCCACCUAGGUCCAGAGCUGAAGCCAUUGAACAAGGCUUCUACCCUUGCAUGGUCCGUGGACCACAGCCUGCAGAUGCCGACCCAUCUUCAUUGCUAUGGUGUCGUGACGACAAUUUGUUCAAGCGCAACUUCCAGUUUGCCAAGAACUCUGCCCAAGAAAACAAGAAAUCGCGGGGAUUAGACUUCAAUCCAGGCCCCUCUGCUCCUCGUGCUGAUGGCACCCGCGAAGCUGAACCCAAUCUUGUUGGGCCCUUCUACAACCUAGAAGGUCUCAUCACUCAUAUUAUGGUUCAAGGGACAGCCGUGGAUGAGCCUGCAGACGACGCUGAUUCUGACGAAGCGCCUGCACCACCGAAGCCAAAGAAGCUGAAGAAACCUAAAGCUUCGAAGCCUUCCCCUACACCAAUAGCUUCACGAGUGAAGCCUCUGGCCAUUGCUCCUCCUGCACCAAGUGUGCGGUCUGAAGAUCUCUCACGCAUCUCCAAGUGCUGAGAAGAAGAAAAAGAAGCCUAUGCACUCCACUGGUCCAGCUCUGACCCCUGCUGCUGUUCUGAGGAACGAGAAUGACGCCAUUGAUCUGUCAAGUGACGACGAUCUUGCUGAUGACGCUCUUGACCAGCUGAUAAAGAGCAAGCAAGAGGCAGGAAUCUUCAAUGAUUUGCCUCUCUUUGACGUGGAAGUAUUGAACAACAUCAUUGAUGAGUGGUUUGACACCCCCAAUCUCAGCUUUGACGAUCUGCAACUUCCAAUUGGCCUAAGCGUCUCCUUCCAUGGAGCCAUUGCUCCUGAGCUGGCUCUUGCUCAGAAAAUUAUUGAGCUGAAGCAUAAGAUCGAUUAUGAAAAGGCUCAGUUCAAUAAGCAUGUGGCCAAGCUCAGCGUGGCAGACGUCCAGAACUUCAAGGUCAUGCUGCAUGAGCUCAAGGAAGCAUUUCACAAGAAACAUGAUGAAGUCAAAGGUUCUCGUGAGCGCAUGAAGAUUCUCGCUGCCAAGUGUGUUCAAGCUUACAAUGAAGCUGAGAAGCGCAAGGCACUUGGGCGUCCUAGCAUCGACCCUAAGAUGGCUGCCAAGCAGAAGAAGAAGCCAUCUGUGGACCAAACUGAACCAUCCAGGCGGGAAGAACCUCGCAUUGUCUUCCCAGCCAGUAUGACAGGCGUGAAGCCUAAGGUCACCACAGUGGCUUCAGAGCUUCAGAAGACAAGGGCAGCUGAAGCCAAGGCCAGAAAGCGCAAGACCAAGAACACCACUGAUGAUGCUCCACCCACCAAGAAGCGCAAGACCAAGAAGAGAGAUCAGGCUGCUCCAACAGAGCCCCUUGUAGUCGAGCCGAUUUCUGUUGCUCGUCCUGAAUCUGCACAACAAGAACGUCGAAUGAUAGUUCAUGAGCCUUCUUCCACAGAGGCUCCUGAAGCUGAAGACAUUCCAGCUGUUGACCCCACCGCAGCCGAAGACAUUGGUCAUCAUGACAAUGUUGAAGAUGAUGAAGUCCUUCCUCAGAUCGAGCACAACGUGGUAUCAUCGCAUGUUCUUACGAACAGCGAACUCAUCAGCAUUGGUCGUCCAUUGACGCCAACUGCCCAGGAUGACUCAUGGGCUGAUCACCCACAAGACUCCCCCCGUCAAGAAGAAACACCUGUUACUCCCACAACUCAAGUCACCACUCCGGUGAUUGAAGAUGAAGACUUUGUGGCCCAACCAACUCCAUCUCCACAAGCGUCGCCAACAUUUCGCAGGCUUCGCAAAGGACCAAGGCCACAUGUCACUCUGUCAAGUGUUCCAGAAGGAGAAGAGCGCCAAUCCAUUUCACGCCAAGUCUUUCCUGAAGCCUCUCCAACUGUGAACAACCCCGAGACUGAAGCCAAUAUGGCUGAAGAUAUUCCGGCUGCAUCAGCCAAUGACCAAGAAGAACCAAGAGAAGAAGAAGCACAUGUUGCUACACCAAGGCGUGCUGACCCUCUAGCUACUCAAGUGGAGGUUAACAACAUUGAGGUGGCCACCAACACCAACACUGAAGCCAAUGACGUUGUCAUGGCUGAAGCUAAUGUGGCGCCUGAAGUCAAUGAGGUGCCUGAAGUGAUAGCACCUGAAGUCAAUGCUGCACCUGAUGCCAAUCUGCAGCCUGAAGUCACUGCCACUGUCACUGCCACUGCUCCUGUACCGCCUCCCAGGCCACAUACUAUUGAGCAAGCAUACAACUAUGGUCAGCUGGUCACUGUCAGAUGGCCUAUUUUGGUUCCUCCUCCUGCUGUUGGUCCGCAAUUUGACUAUAUGAACCUGGUUGUCAGCUUCACCGCAAUGCUCUGGAGAGUAUCUUCCACAAGCCAGAGCCCAACAUGAGCCAAAUGCUGAGCAUGAUGAAGCCUCUGCCACAUGACGCUGAUUAGCCAAAGGAGUUCUUUGUCAAAGAUCUAGAGUAUCUGCCACGCACUAUUUAUCACAUCAUCAGGCGAACUCUAUGGCCUGUCAAAGGACAUUCUUCAGCAGCAAAACUUGAAGGAGCAAUGAAGACUUUGGUCUUUUAUAUCUUCAACGGCAUCAGCUUCAAUGCUCAAGACUUCUUUAUCAGGCAGUUGGCUGCAUCAGGCUCUGAUCUCUUUGGACUGAAGUUCUACGCUCCGUGGGUCAUGCGCCUCAUCAAGCUACACUCAGCUGUCAACUAUCAUCCCUCUGCUCACAACCAUCUUAUCUUUCUACCGGAGGUUGAUAUGUCAGUUGAAGCCAUAUACCCAGAGCCCGCCAAGGAGCCUGUUUGUCUUCACAAUGCUGAUCACCAAAGCUUCACGCAACCCAUUGAAGGAGUCGAGGCAGUCACUCGUGUUUAUCCUUUGGCUGGCAAUACAUGCUUACCUCACCGUGCUCAAACUGAAGCCACUGAAAGCACUAUUGCUCAAAGGCCUCGGAAGCGAUCUCGUGUUCUCAAUGACCGAGAACUUCUCGUUGCCCUGCAUCAGAAACAGGAUAAGCAUCACUUCUGGCUGAAGCGGCAGAUGCAAAGCCUCUUGGUGGACGUCAAUCGCAUUCGCAAUCUUUCCACCAAGAAUGCCUUUGUUACACAUGAAACCUGUCGGAGGUCAUGGAAGAGUUUGACAUUGCUCAGUGCUGAAGCAGAUCUUCAAGACGAUGGCUUCACUGGAAGAUUCAAGUUUGACUCCACUCCUCCAAGAAAUGCUGUUUUGCGUCGAACUCCGUCUCUUAAAGACUCUGAUUAUUCCUCCUCCGCUGCAAUGGUGAAUGCCAGAGUAAUCGAUGAUCAAGAUGAUGCAACUUCACCUCCUCCAACUUCAGCGCGUAUCGACACUGCACCAAGUUCGUCUGCACCGCCAAACCCCGACGCCGACCCUGCAUCCUCUCCUACUCCUUCUGGGAACGAGUAGAGGCUCUAUGUCUUCAAACCUUUUUGGUCCUUACUGACAAAAGGGGGAGAAGCAUAUGAGUUGAUAGUCUUCAAGCGGGUCCAUAUGGGCGGUUGCUUUAUAUUUUGCCUAGUGUUUACAACUCUCGCUUUUGAUAUAGUUGGUUCUUUGAGUUGUAACAUUUAAACUUGAUGGCCGUCUGCUACUUGUUUGCUAUUCUGUGAUGCGAUGAUAAAUUCCGCAUGUGCGAUGAUAAAUUCCGCACUUAGUCAUUUUGCAGACGCCCAUUUCUCAUUAUGCAUGGCAUUAUCCUUGUUAUAUCAAAUCAUGCAUGAUGAAUUGUCUUCAUAAGUUGAAGAGGAUCUCCACAAGUACAACCUGCCAUGUGCAUUUGCAUUCCAAAAGCAAAUUACUUAUAUGCACAUCUUCAGGGGGAGCCUUUUGCUACUUACGAAGACAAUACCUCUAUCAUUUACAAUUUCACAUACUUUUAUCCUCGUUGAAAACUUCAACCAGUUUGUCAUCAAUCACCAAAAAGGGGGAGAUUGUAAGUGCAUCUAGUGCCACCCCUAGUUGGUUUUGGAGUAUUGACGACAAGCCUGGUUGAGGGACUAAUGUAUUUGUGAGAAUUGUAGGAUAACACAGGUAGUAGUCCCUCAUUGAUUCGGUUUACCGACCGGAGAUGACCCCUAAAAAUGUAUGAAGACAUUGAAGACGAUGGUGAUAUGUGAAGAUAUUCACAUUGAAGACUAUGACAAGAGAAGGCAUUGCGUGAAGACUAUGGAGCGCGAAGACCUAGUUGUUUUGUUGUUUCCUUUUCUUCUUUGUUGAGUCAUAGGAACCACCGUACUGUUAAGUGGGGUCCCAGUGAACAAAGUCAGAGUGACUGAAGUGAUGCUCAACCAAAAUCCUAUGUCUUCGAGUGAAGACAAUGAGAGCAAAUCUUAUCCAGAGCUGGAUGAGUCAGCUUUACUUGUAGCCCAAGUCAAGCUGCCGCGUGUGUUUGAAAUCUGACCGUUGGAACACGUGUCAGUUCCUUAGUGACCCAGGGUCAUUUCGGACAAAUCAGGUCGGGUUUCCUAGUGGCUAUAAAUAGCCCACCCCCUACACCAUAAAUUGGUGGCUGCUCAGAGUUAGUGCACGGCUUUUGUUGUUUGAGAGCAACCCACCUCCGAAGCUUUUGAGAUAGAGAAAUCCUUGCGAGGACAAAGCCCAAACACCCAGAGCCAAAGAGUGUUAGGCAUCACUGAUGUCUUUCUGUCCGCGUGACCUGAAGACUUGUUACACUUGAGGACUGUGAAUCCUCCAGCCGGUUAGGCGUCGCGUUCUGAGCAUCCGAGUCAUUGUGGAUCGCCGGUGAUCGAAGUCUGUGAAGGUUUGGAAGUCUACCUUGAAGACUUACCUGAGUAAUUGGGCGAGGACUAGGUGUCCUUAGCUCAAGGGGAAUAAGGUGAAGACGCGGUCUUCUGAGUUAAAUCUCAGCCUCCCUAACCAGACAUACAGUUGUCACAGCAACUGGAACUGGUCCAACAAAUCCUGUGUCCUCAACAAGUGACUAGUUCUAUCCUCUCCCUCUCUUUACUUAUAGUUUGUCUUCGUGAAGUCAUUGCUUGUUUGCUUUACCUAUUUGUCUUCACUGUGUGACUUCUAUCGUUGUUUGGCUUCAUACCAUCUUCCAUCCUGAUCCGUACUACCUAGAUGCUAUUAGUCUUCGCACUUUCACUUCAUUGAAUACUUGACUAUGGCUUGACUAGUGUAGCCUACCUUCCGCUGCAUAUCAAUAGGUUCAUUUCUAUUGUCUGUCUUCGAAACUCUCAUGUUUUGAAGACUUUCAUAAAAAUCGCCUAUUCACCCCCCCCUCUAGUCGAUAACUAGCACUUUCAAACAUCAGUCAUAAAGAACUCACAUACGUAUUGCAAAAAUCUACAAGUCAUCAAAAACCAAGCAUUACGCGCAUGCUCCUAGGGGGAUAGAUUGGUAGGAAAAGACCAUCGCUCGUCCCCGACCGCCACUCAUAAGGAAGGCAAUCAAAGAACACCUCAUGCUUCUAAUUUGUCACACAACGUUUACCAUACGUGCAUGCUACGGGACUUGCAAACUUCAACACAAGUAUUUCUCAAAUUCACAAUUACUCAACUAGCACAACUCUAAUAUCACAAUCUUCUUAGCUCAAAACAAUUAUCAAGUAUCAAACUUCUCAUAGUAUUCAAUGCACUCUAUAUGGAAGUUUUUCUUAUACCCAUCAUGGAUGCCUAUCAUAUUAGGACUAAUUUUAUAACCAAAGAAAAUUACCAUGCUGUUCUAAAGACUCUCAAAAUAAUAUAAGUGAAGCAUGAGAGAUCAACAAUUUCUUCAAAAUAAAACCACCGUCGUGCUCUAAAAGAUAUAAGUGAAGCACUAGAGCAAACGACAAACUACUCCGAAAGAUAUAAGUGAAGGUCAAUGAGUAGUUGAAUAAUUAUGUAACUAUGUGAAGACUCUCUAACAUUUAAGAAUUUCAGAUCUUGUUAUUUUAUUCAAAUAGCAAGCAAAAUAAAAGAAAAUAAAAUUACGCUCCAAGCAAAACACAUAUCAUGUGGUGAAUAAAAUAUAGCUCCAAGUAAAGUUACCAAUGAACGGAGACGAAAGAGGGGAUGCCAUCCAGGGCAUCCCCAAGCUUAGGCUCUUGGUUAUCCUUGAAUAUUAAGAGGGGAUGCCAUCCAGGGCAUCCCCAAGCUUAGGCUCUUGGUUAUCCUUGAAUAUUACCUUUGGAUGCCUUGGGCAUCCCCAAGCUUAGGCUCUUGCCACUCCUUAUUCCAUAGUCUAUCGAAUCUUUACCCAAAACUUGAAAACUUCACAACACAAAAUUCAACAGAAAACUCGUAAGCUCUGUUAGUAUAAGAAAAUGAAACCACCACUUAGGUACUGUUGUGAACUCAUUCUAAAUUUAUAUUGGUGUAAUAUCUACUGUAUUACAACUUCUCUAUGGUUCAUACCCUCCGAUACUCCUCAUAGAUUCAUCAAAAUAGGCAAACAACACAUAGAAAACAGAAUCUGUCAAAAACAGAACAGUCUGUAGUAAUCUGUAUCAAACGGAUACUUCUGGAACUCCACAAAUUCUUAAAUAAAUUGGUGGACCUGAGGAAUUUGUCUAUUAAUCAUCUGCAAAAAGAAUCAACCUAAAAGCACUCUCCAGUAAAAAAUGGCAGCUAAUCUCGUGGGCGCUAAAGUUUCUGUUUUUUAAAGCAUGAUCAUAAAGACUUCACCCAAGUCUUCCCAAAGGUUCUACUUGGCACAAACACUAAUUAAAACAUAAAACCACAUCUAACCAGAGGCUAGAUAGAUUAUUUAUUUCUAAGAAGGAGCAAAAAGCAAGGAAAAAUAAAAUAAAAUUGGGUUGCCUCCCAACAAGCGCUAACGUUUAACGCCCCUGGCUAGGCAUGAUGAUUUCAAUGAUGCUCACAUAAAAGAUAAGAAUUGAAACAUAAAGAGAGCAUCAUGACGAAUAUGACUAGCACAUUUAAGUCUAACCCACUUCCUAUGCAUAGGGAUUUUGUGAGCAAACAACUUAUGGGAACAAUAAUCAACUAGCAUAGGAAGGCAAAACAAGCAUAGCUUCAAAACUUUAAGCACAUGGAGAGGAAACUUGAUAUUAUUGCAAUUCCUACAAGCAUAUAUUCCUCCCUCAUAAUAAUUUUCAGUAGCAUCAUGAAUGAAUUCAACAAUAUAAUCAGCACCUAAAGCAUUAUUUUCAUGAUCUACAAGCAUAGAAAAUUUUCUACUCUCUACAUAAGCAAAAUUCUUCUCAAUCGGAAUAGUGGGAGUAUCAUAAGAGACUCGAAUACUAUAAAUUGUUUCCACGUUAAAAGAGUAGUGUUCAGAAAAAGGGUAAUCAUAAUCAUGACAAGUUUUAUAAAUAUAAUCAUUACUACUUUUAAUAGCAUAAGUGGCAUCACAAUAAUCAUCAUAAGUAGCAACUUUGUUCUCAUCAUAAUCGAUUGAAACCUCUUCCAAGAUAGUGGAACCAUUACUAAAUAAAGUCAUGACCUCUCCAAAUCCACUGUCAUAAUUUCCACAAUAAGAUUCAACACCCUCCAAAAUAGUGGGAUCAUUACUUCCUAAAGUUGACACUCUUCCAAACCCACUUUCUUCAAUAUAACCAUCAUAAAUAGGAGGCAUGCUAUCAUCAUAAUAAAUUUGCUCAUCAAAACUUGGGAGGAUAAACAUAUCAUCUUUAUAAAACAUAGCAUCCCCAAGCUUGGGACAAACAUUAGUUGCAAAUAUAUUCUCAAACAUGUCAUUCUCAUCAAACAUAUCAUCCCCAAGCUUGGGCCUUUUCAUAUCAUAAGCAUAAUCACUCUCAUUAUUAAUAGUAUGGAUAGCACCAAUAGUAUAGCAAUUAUCAUCAUCACAAUGAGUAAUAGGAGCAACAUCAUUUAGGAGAGAUACCUUUUUACCUUUGCUUCUCCGUCUUUUCUUUUUCUUCUUCACAUCAUGUGUGGGUUUAAUCCUCUUUUCGGAGCUCCUUAUUAAUGAGAUUGGUUGAAUAGAAGGCUCCUCCUCGUUACCUGAUUCAUCAUAAGAAAUAAUAGGAGAAUAUUGGGAAGUCUCUUCCCUUUCAUUAGUAUUCUCUUCAUCUUCUAUUUGUUUUAUUAUCUUUAUGUAAUUGGCAAUAUAAGGAUUUUCAAUGCAAUUCACCGCACAAUACAUAAAAAUUUCUUCUAGAUCAAAAUCAAGAAAUCUAUCGAGAUUAAAUUUUGGAAUACCCUCGGUUAUACGUUUCAUUUCUUCAUACCCCAAAAGAAGACUAAGCUCUUUAUGAUGCUCAAGGGUAAUCAAGUUAUCACAAUUUUUGGACACGAUUUGAUCAUGAAACAAAUAGCAUUGGAGCUUUAAAUGACCAUGUUCAUUGCAAAGUUCACAAGGAUGCGAUAAAUAUUGAAUCUUUCAGCACAAUCAUCUAGCCUUUCUUGCAACCAUUCAGUUUCCAACUACUUAUGCCUCUUGCAAAAUCUAUCUUCCCUAUUUGGUGUGUACUUGCAAGCUCUAUCUAUUCCACAAAAGUUGACAUGCUUAUAAGAGACAUUUUCAUCAUGACUAGUGCAAUCAUCAUUAGUACUAUGGAUAUUCAAAGAGUUCAUACUAACAACAUUGCAAUCAUGCUCAUCAUUCAAAGAUUUAGUGCCAAACAUUCUAAUGCAUUCUUCCUCUAGCAAUUGAGGACAAUUAUCGGAAUUCUUAUUUUCACGAAAGACAUUAAAAAGAUGAAGCAUAUGAGGCUACCUUAAUUCCAUAUUUUUGUAGUUUUCUUUUAUAGACUAAACUAGUGAUAAAACAAGAAACAAAAAGAUUCGGUUGCAAGAUCUAAAGAUAUACCUUCAAGCACUCACCUCCCCGGCAACGGCGCCAGAAACUGCUUGAUGUCUACAACGCAACCUUCUUCUUGGAGACGUCGUUGGACCUCCAAGUCUAGAGGUUUGUAGGACAGUAGCAAAUUUCCCUCAAGUGGAUGACCUAAGGUUUAUCAAUCCGUGGGAGGCGUAGGAUGAAGAUGGUCUCUCUCAAGCAACCCUGCAACCAAAUAACAAAGAGUCUAUUGUGUCCCCAACACACCCAAUACAAUGGUAAAUUGUAUAGGUGCACUAGUUCGGUGAAGAGAUGGUGAUACAAGUGCAAUAUGGAUGGUAGAUAUAGGUUUUUGUAAUCAGAAAAUAUAAAAACAGCAAGGUAACUAAUAAUAAAAGUGAGCACGAACGGUAUUGCAAUGCGUUGAAACAAGGCCUAGGGUUCAUACUUUCACUAGUGCAAGUUCUCUCAACAAUAAUAGCAUAAUUGGAUCAUAUAACGAUCCCUCAACAUGCAACAAAGAGUCACUCCAAAGUCACUAAUAGCGGAGAACAAACGAAGAGAUUAUUGUAGGGUACGAAACCACCUCAAAGUUAUCCUUUCUGAUCGAUCUAUUCAAGAGUCCGUAGUAAAAUAACAUGAAGCUAUUCUUUCCGUUCGAUCUAUCAUAGAGUUCGUACUAGAAUAACACCUUAAGACACAAAUCAACCAAAACCCUAAUGUCACCUAGAUAAUCCAAUGUCUCCUCAAGUAUCCGUGGGUAUGAUUAUAUGAUAUGCAUCACACAAUCUCAGAUUCAUCUAUUCAACCAACACAAAGAACUUCAAAGAGUGCCCUAAAGUUUCUACCGGAGAGUCAAGAUGAAAACGUGUGCCAACCCCUAUGCAUAAGUUCACGAGGUCACGGAACCCGCAAGUUGAUCACCAAAACAUACAUCAAGUAGAUCACGUGAUAUCCCAUUGUCACCACAGAUAAGCACAUGCAAGACAUGCAUCAAGUGUUCUCAAAUCCUUAAAGACUCAAUCCAUUACAAGAGAGUAGAGGGGGAGAAACAUCAUAAGAUCCAACUAUAAUAGAAAAGCUCGCGAUACAUGAAGAUCGUGCCAAAUCAAGAGCAUGAGAGAGAGAGAGAUCAAACACAUAGCUACUGGUACAUACCCUCAGCCCCGAGGGUGAACUACCCCUCCCCCCUCGUCAUGGAGAGCGCCGGGAUGAUGAAGAUGGCCACCGGUGAGGGAAUCCCCCCUUCGGCAGGGUGCCAGAACAGCGUCUCGAUUGGUUUUUGGUGGCUACAGAGGCUUGCGGCGGCGGAACUCCCGAUCUAGGUUAUGUUCUGGAGGUUUCUGUAUAUAUAAGAGGUUUUGGCGUCAGGAACAAGUCAGGGGGGUCUCCGGGCUGUCCACGAGGUAGGGAGGCGCGCCCAUGGGGGUGGCGCGCCCCCACCCUCGUGGGCAGCCCGGGACUCUUCUGGCCCAACUCUUUUACUCCAUGGCCUUCUUCUGGUCCAAAAAUAAGUUCCGUGAAGUUUCAGGUCAAUUGGACUCCGUUUGGUUUUCCUUUUCUGCGAUGGUCAAAAACAAGGAAAAAACAGAAACUGGCACUGGGCUCUAGGUUAAUAGGUUAGUCCCAAAAAUCAUAUAAAAUAGCAUAUAAAUGCAUAUAAAGCAUCCUAGACGGAUAAUAUAAUAGCAUGGAACAAUAAAAAAUUAUAGAUACGUUGGAGACAUAUCACAAGGUUCUUGCCGGGGCCGUGAAGGCCGCCCCCGCAAGGACCUUGCCGGGGGAGUUUCACCUCGCCCCUCAGCUCUUCAUGCUUAUGGUCUUGAGCAUGGUUCUGGUAAUCUUUGCUUCUUCUGCCCCGCCAAGCAUGGCCACGGGCGUGGGGCUACGACUGCCCGCGCACAAGUAAAGGGGUACAAAAAGGGACCCCUACUUUUGUACACCGAUAAUACUGCUUACCACCAACGUCUUAUUUUGAUUCGGCGGCAUUGUGGGAUGAAGCAACCCGGACCAACCUUACAUGACAACAUACAUGAGACCGGUUCCACCGACUGACAUGCAACUUGUUUUGCAUAAAGGUGGCUGGCGGUUGUCUGUUUAUCCUACUUUAGUUGAAACAAAUUUGACUACGGCCGGUCCUUGAAGAAGGUUAAAACAGCAAACUUGAUAAUCACCGUUGUGGUUUUGCGUAGGUAAGAAUGGUUCUUGCUAGUUGCCCACAGCAGCCACGUAAAACUUGCAACAACAAAGUAGAGAACGUCUAACUUGUUUUUGGAGGUUAUGUUGUGAUGUGAUAUGGUCAGGACGUGAUGUGAUAUAUGUUGUUGUAUGACAUGAUCAUGCUUUGUAAGAUCGACAACCGGCAGGAGCCUUAGGGUUGUCUUUUAAUUAUUGUAUGACAUGUGUGUCAAUCAUUAAGCGCCAUGUAAUUGAUUUACUUUACCGCUAUGCGCUAGCAAUAGUUGUAGUAACAAUAGUUGGCGAGACGACCCUGACGCAAUGAUGGAGAUCAGGGUGUUGAGUCGGUGACGAUGGAGAUCAUGCCGAUGCUUUGGAGAUGGAGAUCAAAAGCACAAGAUGGUGAUGGUCAUACCAUGUCACAUAUUUUGAUUGCAUAUGAUGUUUAUCCUUUAUGCAUCUUAUUUUGCUUAGAAGGAUAGCCCAAUAAAUUUUAAAAAAAGUAAACAAAUUCAAACAAUCCUUGAUUGUUUUUGCAAAAAAUUAUUAAUGUUUUUCUACACGCAUGCGAAUUUUUGCGAUGGAGUCACAUUUGUGGAGGUGUGGACAAAAAAAUCGAUGUCCCAAAAUGCUCAUGUACUAUAUUUGCACAAAAACAUGUAGAAAAUUUGCAUGCAUGAAGGAAAAACAUCAAUUUCUUGCCGAAAAUCGAUGCUCCAAAAAUUGAUACUCCAAAAUGCUCAUGAAAAUUUGCAUGCAUGUAGAAAAGGCAUCAAUUUCUGGCCGAACUUUUUGUUUUCUAUUUUUUAACUAUAUUUUUGGAUUUUAGUAUAUACAAAUAGAAACGUCGGCAAAAAAAGAUAUGUGGGCUCAACCAGUAAAAGCCUGUAAGUAAGAAGGGCCAAUUGAUAAGCCCAGAGUAAUAGCACGGGCAAAAUGAAAAAACUGUCUCACAUGAGUCAACAAUCUAUACCUCUAUUACCUACUAAUAAAGCAAGGUGCGUUUCUCCGAUUUUUUCAUCGGUUCACCAACGUAAAGUUUUUUUUCUAUCCGAGGUGGUAUUAAAUUUUUGUGCAUCCGUCUGCUAGAAAAGAUAAAAUAAUUUCCGUACAUGGGCCGCACGCGCUGUGGCCCGGUGAAGCCAGCCCAAAUAUUUAUCUGCCCAGACAGCUGUGAAAGCCUAUUUGCCGCAUGCAGCAUCUAAUAGUUGAAGCUUCGCACAUGACGCCGAAGACUGGGCCGGCCCAUUUUCUUUUUCUACGUGUUCUGUUUAUAUUUUUUCCUAUUCCUUUCUCUUUUUCUUUCAUGAUUCUUUUUCCUACCAAUUUUACAUUAUUUUCCCUUUUCUCGGAAAUUAAAAUCUUAAACAAAUCGUCCAAAAUUUCAAGUUUUCCAUAUUUAGACAAAAAGUUAGAAUAUAAUUUUUUUAGUUCCUAUCUUGUAAAAUGUUCAAAACUUUAAUUAAUUUUAUUCCCAUUCCAAAAUGUGUUCAAAAUUAAAAAUGUUCCCAUUUUUAAAAAUGUUUGUGAAUCACAAUAAAAAAUCAAAAUUUUCAAUGCAAGUUGUAUUUUGAAAAAUACUCCAGAUUUAUAAAACAUUCUUCUUUUAGUGAAAUGUUCACAAAUUCAAAAUAAUGUUUGUGGUUCAAAAACAUAUGUUCUGAACUUUUUCUAAAUGUUCAAAACAUGUUCACACAUUCAACAAAUGUUCGUGUUUUUUCAAAAGGAUCAUGUUGUCAAAAAAUGUUUAAGUAUUUUUUUUAAGAAAAUCUACCUAUUUCAAGUGAUGUUCGUCUUUUCCAAAAAUGAAUGAAAUUUGACAAAAUGGUUCGUAUUUUUUAAAACUGUUCGGGGUUUCAAAAAUUAUUCAUGUUUCCAAAAAUAUUCGGCAAUUCAUUAUAUUAAUUUGAAAUUUGGAAAAAUUCAGAAAAAAACAAAAAACUUGAAUCUGAUGAUACAACAUAUUCUUAAAUAUUAAUUAGUUAGCAGGACCCAUUUGUUCGAGUGACUAGCAGUCGAUGGUCGAGUUUUUGAGGUCGCGAGUUCGAUCUUUCAAUACGUCUUUUUUUUCAAUUUAGAGACAGUCUAUUUUCCGCAUGUAGCGCGAAAUGGUUGGAAGUUCCCACAGCACGCCCAAAGCUGGGCCCGCCCAUUUUCUUUUUCUCUGUAUUCUUUUUUUCCUGUUCUUUUCUCUUUCUCUUUCAUGAUUCUUUUUUCCUAACAAUUUUAGAUUAUUUUCCCUUUUCUCGUAAAUUAAAAUAUUGAAAAAAUCGUUCAAAGUUUCAAUUUUCUUCCAUAUUUUAGAAGAAAACAAAUCAGAAUUUAAUUCUUUUGUUCCUCUUUUGUAAAAUGUUCAAUUUUUUUUUAAACAAUUCCAGUUCCAAAAUAUGUUCAAAAUUUAGAAAAAAAUUCAACUUUUUCAUAAAAUGUUUGUGUAUUACAAAUUAAGAUUUUCAAAAUAAGUUGGAUUUAAAAAUAUUACAGAUUUUAAAAAUUGUUUUCGUGAAAUAUUUGCAAAUUCAAAAUAACUUUCUUGGUUACAAAAACACAUUUUCUGAACUUGCUCUAAAUGUUCAAAACAUGUUCCCACAUGCAACAAAUGUUCAUGUUUUUUCAAAAGUUUCAUGUUGUCAAAAAAUGUUUAAGAAUUUUGAAGAAAAAUCUACCUAUUUCCAAAAAUGAACGACAUUUUUAAACAUGGUUCGCAUUUUUGAAAAUUGGUCGGGGUUACAAAAAUUGUUCAUGUUUUCAAAAAUAUUUGGCAUUCAUAAAUAUUAAUUUAUUUUCGCAAAAAAUCAGAAAAAAUAAAAAAAAUUGAAUCUAACGCUGCAACAUAUUGUUAAAUAUUAGUUGGUGGUUUAGCAGCCCGUGGAUGACUUUUUGAGGUCGCGAGUUCGAUCCUUCAACACGUCAUUUUUAAAAUUUAUAUUAUGCCUUACAAACAUAGGUCGUUUUGGUGCUUGUCAAUGGGCCGACCCAGAUGUGAACUGUUGGGCGUCCCACACGCUAUUUGACGAUAGAAAAGAAUAUGUUUGUUUGCUAUAAUUGAAAUAUAUUGUGGGUACAUGUCAAUGAAAGAGAAUAUGUUGGUUUGACUCUAAUUUUGAAGAACUGUGGGCACGUGAGGGUUGAAAAAGAGAAUAAACCCUGGUAAAGAAGGUAUUGUCUGAUUAUGCAUGGAUUAUGCUAAUAAAACGGGAUUUAUGCGUAAUCCAUUUGGUUACGUUAUCGUCGGAGAGACUGGUCGAAGCUACCGUGCCCCAAGGGUCGCCGCGCAGCUACCAAAUGAGGAGACAACCACUGCUCUAACACGGAGGUGAACCUGAAGGAAAAAAACACAAGUUGUCUGGUAAUGUCACCACUAUCAUGCCGACUAAUGUCACCACUAUCAAGAUUUCGCGGGACAAACAUGACUCGUGAAAAGACCACAGCUCCUCGCUCUGUCGCCCCACCAUUGUGAAUACUGUUGAUGCCUUUUUGGUGAACACAUAAUUUAUUUAUCUCGUUGCUUCUCGAAAAAUAUUUCUCCCGUUGCAACGCACGGGCAUAUGUGCUAGUUAGAUACCUAAGCUUUUAUGUGGGAAAGACGAGUCGUGCCCUAAGGUUUCGCCCAUGGGUUCAAUCUAAUUUUUUCUAUGGUCAAUUAAUGUACGUAUCCAAUGUCUUACAUACUAUGAUAUAUAGGCGGUGCAUAUUUACAAAGUGUGAUGCAAUAUUCUAGCCAUUUGCUGUUAAUGUUGUAGCCGGUAGAUAAAAAACGGCCCUAAAUAUGAUCUGACUUAUGAAAAAAGUGUCAUGCUACUUUAUAAAAAAACCAUCUCUCUAAUUUUAUAAAUAUACAGAUGACUGAUUGAAAAAUAGUUGUAUGAACUAUAAAAGUAAAAAAAUACCAUGCUAAAAAUUUAAAAAUACCAUCAUCUGAACAAAAAGUGCCAUAUGAACAUAAAAGAAAAAAGUGCCAUAUCUUAAUAAACCAAAAAAAUGCCAUCUCUUGAUAAAAAAUACAAUCUCCGAAUAAUAAAAAUUCCAUCUCUUAAUAUAAAAAUGACAUCGCUUAAAUAGUAAAAAAUGCCAUCUCUUAAUAUAAUAUCCGAUAAGACAUAGGAGAUAUUUCCGGCCGACAUGGAUACAGUCGACAGAGAGGACACACUACAACCCUUGUCUGCGCCUCCCGUCCUUCAGCCAAGAGGCCAAAACCAGGGAGGACCACCCGAUGACAGAAACACCACCUUUGAGUGGACGGGGGCGAUGGCCUCCUGGCCACAACCACCCAUCCGCCUCGGCGGCCACCACCCCCAAUCUAGGCAGGCAUCGGGCCCGAGAACCCCGUUGGGCCAUGGAUCUAGCUUGUAGCAUAAUCGAAUUCGGCGAGACACUAGGUCAAGGCGAGGAAAACGCAGGUCACCUAGAUGAAGCACCAUCAUCCGAAGUGGCAAAUAUCCUUGGAGAAGCGAGGAAGCCCCGCCGGGGGCGCCUCGACAACCCGCAGCCAACGGCCCCCUGAUCUAGGCGCACGAGAACCGCCGCCGCCAUGGGCUACCGCACCACGCAUCCCACUAUGCUGGAGACCAACACCCACGACCCAGCUGCCAAUGUCCGCCACCAUGUCUUAGACGCCAUGUGAGACUAGGUAGGAUCCUCGGGUAGGACUUUCCUACUGAGACAUCUAUAGCAUAGACUUGGACAAGAAGGCUCUAGUUCUCAGAGAUAGCACCGCACCAAAGUGCAUGCGUGAUUUACCUUUUUUUUCUUUUACUAGUAAAUGUGCUCAUGCGUUGCAACGGGUUCACUGUAGACAAAACACUUAGUCCUCCUUCUGUGAGUCGAUGAUGGGGAGCAGCGGGUCAAAGAGAUCUUCAUCUGCACCUCGGGUCACACACAAACAAUGACCAUACAUGACCAGUAGACGACACUAACUUGGGAACUUUCAUACAGAUGGUGAUGGAGUGAUCUAAUUAUACAUACUUCACACAGAUUGAUAAUAUACAUACCGCGAAACAACCCUCAGAACUUUACUUAUAUAAUUUUUGCAAACAACAUCAAGCAAUUGUAUAUACAGACCAAAUGAACACCAUUUAUGAUAAUGAACACUGCUUAGUUAGCCUCGGAGAACAAUUUAUAUGUGCACCAAGUUAAGAACAACAUCGACAGGGCUCCGUUAGCAGCAUAAGACAGUCCAACAUGUGCAAAAGAUUACCAAUAUCUUCCUAAUUUAUCCAAUAACUUUGCAAACUAACCAUCUUAGUCUGCUGUCAAGAAUAGCACAACAAAAGCAAGUGAAGAUGGCUGUAGUUGCAUACGUAGAGUAAAAACCAUAAAGCCUAUGUUGGGAGGAGGGUUCUGGUAAGAAGUGUGCUUUCUGCAAUGCCCGCCAUGACUGUCCUCCAUCUGCCAAAGAAGCUUCUCAAAGAAAUAGACAAGACAAGACGUAGAUUCCUAUGGGCACAAGAAGAAGAGCUGUUGGGAGGGAAGUGCUAAGUGAAUUGGAAGACAUUAUGUUCACCAAUCGAGAAGGGGGGCUUGGGAUACAAGAUAUUCCGUGUUUCGGCAGAGCUCUUCGGCUACGGAGGCUCUGGAUGGCCUGGACACAUCCAUCCAGGCCAUGGAAAGACUUUCCCACACCCUGCAAUCAGGAAGAUGAUACGUCCAUUUUGCAUCAUGUUUUCUUACUGUUAUUUAUAAUGUUUUUAUCCAUAAGAAUGCUUUUUGGAGUAAUUCUAAUGCCUUUUCUCUCAUAAUUUGCAAGGUACACACCAAGAGGGAGAAUUCCGACAGCUGGAAAUCUGGACCUGAAAAAGCUAUGUCAGGCCACCUAUUCUGCACAACUCCAAAUGAGCUGAAACUCCACGAGGAUUUUUUAUGAAAUAUUUAAGAAAUACUGGAGCCAAUAAACACCAGAGGGGGGCCACCAGGUGGGCACAACCCACCUGGGCGCGCCAUGCCCCCCUGGCGCGCCCUUGUGGGUUGUGGCCUCCUCGGCCCACCUUCGGUGCCCAUCUUCUGGUAUAUAAGUGAUUUUGACCUAGAAAAAAUAAGGAGAAGACUUUCGGGAUGGAGCGCCGCUAUCUCAAGGUGGAACUUGGGCAGGAGCACUUUUGCCCUCCGGCGCAGCGAUUUUGUCGGGGGAACUUCCCUCCCGGAGGGGGAAAUCAUCGUCAUCAUCAUCACCAACAGCUCUCCCAUCUUAGGGAGGGCAAUCUCCAUCAACAUCUUCACCAGCACCAUCUCAUCUCAAACCCUAGUUCAUCUCUUGUAUUCAAUCUUGUUAGCGGAACUAUAAAUUGUUGCUAGGGGGUGACUAGUAGUGUUGAUUACAUCUUGUAGUUGAUUACUAUAUGGUUUAUUUGGUGGAAGAUUAUAUGUUUAGAUCCAUUAUGCAUAUUAAUACCCCUCUGAUCAUGAGCAUGUUGGUUAUUUGUGAGUAGUUACUUUUGUUCUUGAGGUCACGAGAGAAAUCAUGUUACAAGUAAUCAUGUGAACUUGAUAUGUGUUCGAUAUUUUGAUAGUAUGUAUGUUGUGAUUCCCUUUGUGGUGUCAUGUGAACGUCGACUACAUGACACUUCACCAUAUUUGGGCCUAAGGGAAUGCAUUGUGGAGUAGUAAAUAGAUGGUGGGUUGCGAGAGUGACAGAAACUUAAACCCAAAUUUAUGCACUAUUUCGUAAGGGGCCGAUUGGAUCCUAGAGUUUAAUGCUAUGGUUAGGAUUUAUCCUUAAUACUUUCCUCAUAGUUGCGGAUGCUUGCGGGAGGGUUAAUCAUAAGUAGGAGGUUUGUUCAUGUAAGAACAACACCUAAGCACCGGUCCACCCACAUAUCAAAUUAUCAAAGUAGCGAACACAAAUCAAACCAACAUAAUGAAAGUGACUAGAUGAAAUUCCUGUGUACCCUCAAGAACGCUUUGCUUAUCAUAAGAGACCGUUUUGGCCUGUCCUUUGCCUCAAAAGGAUUGGCCUACCUUGCUGCAUACUUAUUGCUACUAUCAUUAUUUGCUCGUUACAAAUUAUCUUGCUAUCAAACUACUUGCUACUUACAGUUCCAGGACUUGCAGACAUUACCUUACUGAAAACUACUUGUCAUUUCCUUCUGCUCCUCGUUGGGUUCGACACUCUUACUUAUCUAAAAGAGCUACAAUUGAUCCCCUAUACUUUUGGAUCAUCAAGGCUAUUUUUUGGCGCCAUUGCCGGGGAGUGAAGCGCCUUUGGUAAGUGGAAUUCUGUAAGGAAACAUUUAUAUAGUGUGCUGAAAUUUAUUGUCACUUGUUAGUAUGGAAAACAAUCCUUUGAGGGGUUUGUUCGGGGUAUCUUCACCUCGUCCGGAACCACAAUUAAUUGCCCCUGAACCUACUGCAGCUACUAAAAAUAUUGAAUAUGAGAUUCCUUCGGGUAUGAUAGAACAACUGCUAGCUAAUCCUUAUGCAGGAGAUGGAACCGAACAUCCUGAUAUGCACCAGAUACAUGUGGAACAAAUUUGUGGAUUGUUCAAGCUUGCAGGUUUACCCGGAGAUGAGGUGAUGAAAAAGGUUUUCCAUUUAUCUUUGAAAGGAAAAGCAUUGGCAUGGUAUAGGCUAUGCGGUGAUAUUGGAUCAUGGAAUUGGAAUCGUUUAAAAUUAGAGUUUCACCAAAAAAAUUAUCCUAUGCAUCUAGUUCAUCGUGAUCGGAAUUAUAUAUAUAAUUUUUGGCCUCGUGAAGGAGAAAGUAUCGCUCUCUCUUGGGGGAGGCUUAUGUCAAUGUUAUAUUCAUUCCCCAAUCCUGAGCUCUCAAGAGAAAUUAUUAUUCAGAACUUUUAUGCUCGGCUUUCUCGUAAUGAUCAAACCAUGCUGCAUACUUCUUCUGCUGGCUCUUUUAUGAAGAAAACUAUUGAAUUCCGAUGGGAUCUUUUGGAAAGAAUUAAACGCAACUCUGAAGAUUGGGAACUCGACGAAGGUAAAGAGUCAGGUAUAAAGCUUAAGUAUGACUGUCUUAAAUCUUUUAUGGAUACCGAUGCUUUUCAAAAGUUUAGCACUAAAUACGGACUUGACACUGAAAUAGUAGCCUUCUUUUGUGAAUCAUUUGCUACUCAUGUUGAACUCCCUAAAGAGAAGUCGUUUAAAUAUAACCCACCUAUUAAUGACGAAAUUAAAGAACCAGUACCAGUUAAAGAAGAAACUAUACUCUAUAAUGUUGAUCCGGUUGUUCCUACUUCUUAUAUUGAGAAACCACCUUUUCCUGUUAGAAUAAGGAGCAUGCUAAAGUUUCAACUGUGGUUGACAAAAUCUUUGUUAGAACACCUCAACCUGAUGAACAAAUUAGAGUUGAACUGUAACAUCCCAAAUUUUUGAAAUGUUAUACAUUAGAUCAUCAUUGCAUAUCAUAUUUUUAUUACAUUUUGGCUUGAUCCUAGAAAUCCUACGCAGCUCAAGGACCCACGGAGAGAGUUGGGGAUUUCAUUAUUUUCAUAUUUGAGUUUUCUCAAAUUUUGAAAAGAGGAUCGUUUGAUUUUAAUUAUUUUCUCUCCGAAUAUUUCUUUUAUGAAAAUAAAAGAGAGGGGAUAAAAUGACUUCCUCAAAAUAAAGAAAUAUUGGAGAUUUAAUAUUAAAAUCAAAUAAGAUUUUUAUUCAGAGUUUUAUUGCUAUUUUAUUUGAAUUAGGAAAAAUAUGCGUUUUUCAAAAUUGCAUUAGAGUCCCAAAUAAAUGUUCACCUUGUCCGGUAGAUUUUUAGAGGACAGGGAAAAUUUAUUUCAGAAUUUUUGAGUCUGUUUAGUAUUUCUUUUCUUUGUUUUUCUGCGCGGAAUAGUUAAAAAAAAAAGAGGAAACCGACUUCGGGCCGUACCCGAGCGGGAUCCGCCCAGGGGGGCUUNNNNNNNNNNNNNNNNNNNNNNNNNNNNNNNNNNNNNNNNNNNNNNNNNNNNNNNNNNNNNNNNNNNNNNNNNNNNNNNNNNNNNNNNNNNNNNNNNNNNNNNNNNNNNNNNNNNNNNNNNNNNNNNNNNNNNNNNNNNNNNNNNNNNNNNNNNNNNNNNNNNNNNNNNNNNNNNNNNNNNNNNNNNNNNNNNNNNNNNNNNNNNNNNNNNNNNNNNNNNNNNNNNNNNNNNNNNNNNNNNNNNNNNNNNNNNNNNNNNNNNNNNNNNNNNNNNNNNNNNNNNNNNNNNNNNNNNNNNNNNNNNNNNNNNNNNNNNNNNNNNNNNNNNNNNNNNNNNNNNNNNNNNNNNNNNNNNNNNNNNNNNNNNNNNNNNNNNNNNNNNNNNNNNNNNNNNNNNNNNNNNNNNNNNNNNNNNNNNNNNNNNNNNNNNNNNNNNNNNNNNNNNNNNNNNNNNNNNNNNNNNNNNNNNGUGCAGCCCCGCCGCCAACGCCGCCCGCUGCCGCGCCGCCCCGCCGCCCGCGCCGCCGGAACCGCCACCCGCCGCCGCGUCGCCGCACCGUCACCGCCGCCGUCCUCGGUUUUCGCGAGAAAACCGAUCGGUUUUUUUUGAAACCCUAGAUCUGUUUUUUUCGAUCUUGUUCGGUUUUUUUUCGGUUUAGUUAUUUAGCGGACGUUCGUCCGUACGUUCGUUUUAACGAACGGUUUUCGCACGUUAGCCGCAGAUAAUGAACAUUCGUUCGUUAGCCUGUUCGUCAGUUUUUCUUUUUGUCGGAUUUUUCGUGAUUAUUUUCGAUCGCGAUUUAUGGUCCGAUUUUCGUUCUAGUAUAACUUUUCGCUCGUUUAUCGGAAUCAGGCGAUUCAAGCACCUAGAGUUUCGUCUCGAAGCCCUCUUUCUGUUUAACCAACUUAAACAAGAUUUUUCUAUUGUAAAAUUUGACUUUAGUCCAGAUUAGUAAUCGGAUCUUGUUUCUUUCGCAGUUUGAGUUUCGUUGCUUCGUUUGAUUUGAUUCUUUUUGCAAACCGGAGUUCUUAAGUUGAACUUUCUGGUUAGAUUUCUUAUUUGAGUUUUACCCGUGCUUCCUGCUUGAUUGCUUAUUGUAUGUUUGUUUGUUUGCGAUAGAGUACCCGGAGUGCGAAGCGUGUUACUACAAGUCUCUAGGUUUCACGGAUCAUCAGCAAGGCAAGUAACACUUUGAUCAUACCUCUUUACUACCUAGUUUUAUUGCAUUAAAUCAAUCCUCAAACAAUUGCAUGGUUAGGAUGUGAUUAAAUUGUGGGUUUGGGAAGCAGAUGAGUUAGUACCUAUUCACCUGUUAUUUAUCAAACCUUUGGGAGUUACUUCUACAUUGCUUAUGCUGCUAUGCUACGCUCGUAGGCGUGGAUUGGGUUUGAGUGUAUUCAUGACAGAUGUGAGUUUGUUAAUUAAUGGUUCAAUUUAAGGUGGCAACUUAAAUACACAUCUGGGUGGAUUGCUUGUGGGCACCUGGAGAAUCCAGUGUUGUCCUAGGAUAUCCCGGAGGACCCGUGUGAUCAUCUUACGGCCCGCCACCCAGGCUCAAAGGGAUCAUAAGAUUAUUCAUGCUAGAAACUUCCGUGUGCAGCCACAAGCCAUUAUGGGCUCUGGCAUAGUUGAGUAAGUUGCAUGAAGCUCUUGAAGAGGUAGACUACCAGAUGUAGUGGGUUGUAGGUGGUACUGUCUAUCCAGAGUAGAGAGUUAAUGCUUCAGAAAGACUGUGUCUCGAAUCUCCGACCAUGGAUGUAUUCGAGUCUUGUGGGGAAAAGUGUGCAAACCUCUGCAGAGUGUACAAACUAAUCAUGAUUAGCCGUGUCCCCGGUUAUGGACAUCUUGAGUAUCAAGUUCUUGGAUUAUCAUGUGGAUCUCAUCACUCUUAAUAUAAAUUUUGAUUGGGAUUAAUGAUGAUUUUUUUAUUGGGAUUGAGUUGGAGGAACCUUCUUCUCAAUGUUUAACAACUACCAUGAUAGUUGAAUAAAAUUUAUUCCUUUGUUGUAGGGGAAAAUUGGCUUUUCGGAAAACAUAUUAACCAUACAGCCUCCACCAGCCAUAUACGCAUGUAGCGAUAGCAUUAUUCUGUUCAUUACUCUCUUGUGUUGCAUUGCCAGCAUAUUACAUGUGCUGACCCAUUUCGGGCUGCAACGUAUCAUGUUGCAGACUUUUCAGACAACGAGUAAGGUGCCUUAGGUCGUGGUCUUUCACUCAGUGAUGCCGUUGGAGUUGAUGGACUCGCUUUAUCUUCCAAGCCUUCCGCUGUUAUCGUAUUAGAUGGCCUUAAGCCAUAUUUAUUGUAAUAAGUUCUCUUUUGAGAUAUUCGAUGUAAUAAGUGUGUGAUUGCUACUCUGUUAUAAAUCCUUCAAGUACUGUGCGUGUCAGCAUUACCGAUCCAGGGAUGACACUGAUGCACAGAGAUCAGACUGUUUGAGGUCUGGUCGCUACAAGAUGGUAUCAGAGCACACGCUGACUGUAGGACACGACCACUAAGCUAAAACCCUAGAUCACUGCUCUCUUCUCAUUUCUGACUCCUCUCCAUUUUCUACUCUUUAGGAUGGCGGAUUCAAGGAACAAGUUUGCACAACCGGAUGAAGACACAACUUUUGGACGACACUUGAAGGAAGUCACUAGGUACCUGAACAUCGGAAUACCAAGCUUCACCAGGACUUAUAACGCCACUUUACCAGAAGAGGAGCGCUGGAUGAUUCAAGUUCAAGUUCCAGGAAGGACAUUUACGCCAGUCACUGAGCCCAUAGAGUUUUCCUUUGACGCACCCACCUGGAGUCUAGGCAAAAGCAUGGCAGCCCACAUCACCAUGGGACGCAUUGGAGAAGUCUACCACAAAGAUCUCAAGGAUACUAUCUACCAGAUUUGUGGGUGCUACCUCUUGAGCACUGCGUUGGUUUUCCCUUGAAGAGGAAAGGGUGAUGCAGCAAAGUAGCGUAAGUAUUUCGCUCAGUUUUUGAGAACCAAGGUAUCAAUCCAGUAGGAGGCCACGCACGAGUCCCUCGCACCUACACAAACAAAUAAAUCCUCGCAACCAACGCGAUAAGGGGUUGUCAAUCCCUACACGGUCACUUACGAGAGUGAGAUCUGAUAGAUAUGACAAGAUAAUAUUUUUGGUAUUUUUAUGAUAAAGAUGCAAAGUAAAAUAGAAGCAAAAUAAAAGGCAAUGGAAAUAGCUUGUUGAUGGGAGAUUAAUAUGAUGGAAAAUAGACCCGGGGGCCAUAGGUUUCACUAGUGGCUUCUCUCAAGAGCGUAAGUAUUACGGUGGGUGAACAAAUUACUGUUGAGCAAUUGACAGAAUUGAGCAUAGUUAUGUGAAUAUCUAGGUAUGAUCAUGUAUAUAGGCAUCACGUCCGAGACAAGUAGACCGACUCUUGCCUGCAUCUACUACUAUUACUCCACACAUCGACCGCUAUCUAGCAUGCAUCUAGAGUAUUAAGUUCAUAAGAACAGAGUAACACUUUAAGCAAGAUGACAUGAUGUAGAGGGAUAAACUCAUGCAAUAUGAUAUAAACCCCAUCUUGUUAUCCUCGAUGGCAACAAUACAAUACGUGCCUUGGUGCCCCUACUGUCACUGGGAAAGGACACCGCAAGAUUGAACCCAAAGCUAAGCACUUCUCCCACUGCAAGAAAGAUCAAUCUAGUAGGCCAAACCAAACUGAUAAUUCGAAGAGACUUGCAAAGAUAACCAAUCAUACAUAAAAAAAUUCAGAGAAGAUUCAAAUAUUGUUCAUAGAUAAACUUGAUCAUAAACCCACAAUUCAUCGGUCUCAACAAACACACCGCAAAAGAAGAUUACAUGGAAUAGAUCUCCACGAGAGAGGGGCAGAACAUUGUAUUGCGAUCCAAAAAAAGAGAAGAAGUCAUCUAGCUAAUAACUAUGGACCCGAAGGUCUAAGGUAAACUACUCACACAUCAUCGGAGAGGCUAUGAUGUUGAUGUAGAAGCCCUCCGUGAUCGAUGCCCCUUCCGGUGGAGCUCCGGAACAGGCCCCAAGAUGGGAUCUCACGGGUACAGAAGGUUGCGGCGGUGGAAUUUGGUUUUUGGCUCCGUAUCUGGUAGUUUGGGGGUACAUAGGUAUAUAUAGGAGGAAGGAGUAAGUCGGUGGAGCAACAGGGGGCCCACGAGGGUGGAGGGCGCACCCCUCUACCUCGUGCCCUCCUGGUUGAUGUCUUGACGUAGGGUCCAAGUCCUCUGGGUUCAUUCCGAAAAUCACGUUCCCGAAGGUUUCAUUCCAUUUGGACUCCGUUUGAUAUUCUUUUUCUGCGAAACUCUGAAAUAGGCAAAAAAUAGCAAUUCUGGGCUGGGCCUCUGGUUAAUAGGUUAGUCCCAAAAACAAUAUAAAAGUGUAUAAUAAAGCCCAAUAAUGUCCAAAACAGAAUAUAAUAUAGCAUGGAACAAUAAGAAAUUAUAGAUACGUUGGAGACGUAUCAAGCAUCCCCAAGCUUAAUUCCUGCUCGUCCUCGAGUAGGUAAAUGAUACAAACAGAAUUUUUGAUGUGGAAUGCUACUUGGCAUAAUUUCAAUAUAAUUCUUCUUAUUGUGGCAUGAAUGUUCAGAUUUGAUAUGAUUCAAGAUAAAAGUUUAAUGUUGACAUAAAAACAAUAAUACUUCAAGCAUACUAACUAAGCAAUUAUGUCUUAUCAAAAUAACAUAGCCAAAGCAAGUUAUCCCUACAAAAUCAUAUAGUCUGGCUAUGCUCCAUCUUCCCCACACAAAAUAUUCAUAUCAUGUAUGACCCCGGUUUUGGCGAAGCAAUUGGUUCAUACUUUUAACGCGCUUCAGCCUUUUCAACUCUUACGCAAUACAUGAGCGCAAGCCAUGGAUAUAGCACUAUGGUGGAAUAAGGUAUAAUGGUAGGGGUUAUGUGGGAAGACAAAAAAGGAGAAAGUCUCACAUCAACGAGGCUAAUCAACGGGCUAUGGAGAUGCCCAUCAAUUGAUGUUAAUGCAAGGAGUAGGGAUUGCCAUGCAACGGAUGCACUAGAGCUAUAAGUGUAUGAAAGCUCAAAAAGAAACUAAGUGGGUGUGCAUCCAACUUGCUUGCUCACGAAGACCUCGGGCAUUUGAGGAAGCCCAUCAUUGGAAUAUACAAGCCAAGUUCUAUAAUGAAAUUUCCCACUAGUAUAUGAAAGUGACAAAAUGAGAGACUCUCUAUCAUGAAGAUCACGGUGCUACUUUGAAGCACAAGUGUGGUAAAAGGAUAGUAACAUUGUCCCUUCUCUCUUUUUCUCUCAUCAUCUUUUUUAUUUGGGCCUUUUCUCUUUUUUUAUGGCCUCUUUUUUUUAGUCCGGAAUCUCAUCCCAACUUGUGGGGGAAUCAUAGUCUCCAUCAUCCUUUCCUCACUUGGGACAAUGCUCUAAUAUUGAUGAUCAUCACACUUUUAUUUACUUACAACUCAUGAAUUACAACUCAAUAUUUAGAACAAAAUAUGACUCUAUAUGAAUGCCUCCGGCGGUGUACCGGGAUAUGCAAUGAAUCAAGAGCGACAUGUAUGAAAGAAUUAUGAACGGUGGCUUUGCCACAAAUACAAUGUCAACUACAUGAUCAUGCAAAGCAAUAUGACAAUAAUGGAGUAUGUCAUGAUAAAUGAAACGGUGGAAAGUUGCAUGGCAAUGUAUCUCGAAAUGGCUAUGGAAAUGCCAUGAUAGGUAGGUAUGGUGGCUGUUUUGAGGAAGAUAUAAGGAGGUUUAUGUGUGAUAGAGCAUAUCAUAUCACGGGGUUUGAUGCACCGGCAAAGUUUGCACCAACUCUCAAGGUGAGAAAGGGCAAUGUGCGGUACGGAAGAGGCUAGAAAAUUGCGGAAAGGUAAGUGUGCAUAUAAUCCAUGGACUCACAUUAGUCAUAAAGAACUCAUAUACUUAUUGCAAAAAUUGAUUAGACCUCGAAGCAAAGUACUACUAUGCAUGCUCCUAGAGGAAGGGUUGGUAGGAGUUAACCAUCGCGCGAUCCUGACCUCCACACAAAGGAAGACAAUCAACAAAUACUUCAUGCUCCGACUUCGUUACAUAACGGUUCACCAUACGUGCAUGCUACGGGAAUCACAAACUCCAACACAUGUAUUUUUCAAUUCCACAAUUACUCAACUAGCACAACUAUGAUAUUACUACCUUUAUAUCUCAAAACAAUUAUCAAGCAUCAAAUUUCUCAUUAUAUUAAUUAAAGCAAAUUGCCAUGCUAAUUUAAGACUCUCAAAAUAAUAUAAGUGAAACAUGAGAGAUCAAUAGUUUCUAUAAAACAAAUCCACCACCGUGCUCUAAAAGAUAUAAGUGAAGCACUAGAGCAAAAACUAUAUAGCUCAAAAAAAUAUAAGUGAAGCACAUAGAGUAUUCUAAUAAAUUCUGAAUCAAGUGUGACUCUCUCAAAAGGUGUGUACAGCAAGGAUGAUUGUGGUAGACUAACAAAUAAAGACUCAAAUAAUACAAGACACUCCAAGCAAAACACAUAUCAUGUGGUCAAUAAAAAUAUAGCUCCAAGUAAAGUUACCGAUGGAAGUAGACGAAAGAGGGGAUGCCUUCCGGGGCAUCCCCAAGAUUUGGCUUUUAGGUGUCCUUAGAUUAACUUGGGGUGCCAUGGGCAUCCCCAAGCUUAGGCUCUUGCCACUCCUUGUUCCAUAAUCCAUCAAAUGUUUCACCCAAAACUUGAAAACUUCACAACACAAAACUCAGCAGAAAAUCUCGUAAGCUCCGUUAGCGAAAGAAAACAAAAGACCACUUCAAGGUACUGUAAUAAACUCAUUCUUUAUUUAUAUUGGUGUUAAACCUACUGUAUUCCAACUUCUCUAUGGUUUAUAAACUAUUUUACUAGCCAUAGAUUCAUAAAAUAAGCAAACAACACACGAAAAACAGAAUCUGUAAAAAACAGAACAGUCUGUAGUAAUCUGUAACUAAAGCAAACUUAUGAAACUCCAAAAUUCAGUCAAAAUAGGAAGACCUAGACAAUUUUUUUAUUGAUCAGCAGCAAUUGGAAUCAAUAUUUUAUCACGUUCUGGUGAUUUUUAACAAUUAUUUUUGUGAACAGAAAGUUUCUGGAAUUUACAGCAAGAUCAAAUAACUAUCAUCCAAGAAGAUCCUAUAGGUUAAACUUGGCACAAACACUAAUUAAAACAUAAAAACACAUCUAACCAGAGGAUAGAUCAAAUAUUUAUUCCUAAACAGAAGCAAAAAGCAAAAAAACUAAAAAUAAAAUUGGGUUGCCUCCCAACAAGCGCUAUCGUUUAACGCCCCUAGCUAGGCAUAAAAGCAAGGAUAGAUCUAGGUAUUGCCAUCUUUGGUAGGCAAUCCAUAAGUGGUUCUCAUAAUAGAUUCAUAAGGUAAUUUUAUUUUCUUUCUAGGGAAGUGUUCCAUGCCUUUUCUUUAAUGGAAAAUUGGAAUCUAAUAUUCCCUUCCUUCAUAUCAAUAAUUGCACCAAUCGUUCUAAGGAAAGGUCUACCAAGAAUGAUAGGACAUGAAGGAUUGCAAUCUAUGUCAAGAACAAUAAAGUCUACGGACACAUAGUUCCUAUUUGCAACAAUAAGAACAUCAUUAAUUCUUCCCAUAUGUUUCUUAAUAGUGGAAUCCGCAAGGUGCAAGUUUAAAGAGCAAUCAACAAAUUCACGGAAACCUAAUAAAUCACAUAAAGUUUUUGGAAUCGUGGAAACACUAGCACCCAAAUCACACAAAGCAUAGCAUUCAUGAUCUUUAAUUUUAAUUUUAAUAGUAGGUUCCCACUCAUCAUAAAGUUUUCUAGGGAUAGAAACUUCCAACUCAAGUUUUUCUUUGUAAGAUUGCAUCAAAGCAUCAACGAUAUGUUUGGUAAAGGCUUUAUUUUGACUAUAAGCAUGAGGAGAAUUUAGCACGGAUUGCAACAAGGAAAUACAAUCUAUCAAAGAGCAAUUAUCAUAAUUAAAUUCCUUGAAAUCCAAAAUAGUGCGUUCAUUAAUAUCUAAUGUUUUGAUCUCUUCAAUCCCAUUUUCAUCAAUUUUAGCAUCAAGAUCUAAAAACUCCGAAUUUUUGGAACACCUUCUAGGUAAAGGUGGAUCAUAUUCAGUCCCAUCAUUAUCAAGAUUCAUAUUGCAAAACAAAGAUUUAAUAGGGGACACAUCAAUAACUUUUAGAUCUUCAUCUUUAUUUUCAUAGAAAUUUGAAGAACACGCUUUCACAAAGCAAUCUUUCUUAGCACGCAUCCUAGCGGUUCUUUCUUUGCACUCAUCAAUGGAAAUUCUCUUGGCUUUAAGAGACUCAUUGAUAUCAUGCUUAGGAGGAAUAGAUCUAAGUUUUAAAGGAUCAACAUCAAGAGAAAUUCUAUCAACGUUCCUAGCCAAUUCAUCAACUUUAAGCAAUUUUUCUUCAAGCAAAGCAUUGAAAUUCUUUUGCGAAUUGAUAAAUUCCUUAACACUAGUCUCAAAUUCAGAAGGCAUCUUAUUAAAGUUUCCAUAAGAAUUGUUGUAGGAAUUACCAUAAUUAUUAGAGGAAUUACUAGGAUAAGGCCUAGGAUUAAAGUUUCCUCUAUACGCGGUUUUACCAAAAUUAUUCCUACCAACAAAAUUCACAUCCAUAGGUUCAUUAUUAUUCUCAAUCAAGGUAAACAAAGGCAUAUCAUUAGGAUCAGAAGAAACACUCUUAGUAGCAAAUAAUUUCAUAAGUUCAUCCAUCUUUCCACUCAAAACAUUAAUUUCUUCUAUCGCAUGCACUUUUUUAUUAGUAGAUCUUUCAGUGUGCCAUUGAGAAUAAUUAAUCAUAAUACUAUCUAGGAGUUUAAUAGAUUCUCCUAAAGUGAUUUCCAUAAAAGUGCCUCCCGCGGCCGAAUCUAAAAGAUUUCUAGAAGCAAAAUUCAAUCCGGCAUAAUUUUUUUGUUUAAUCAUCCACAAAUUCAAACCAUGCGUAGGGCAAUUACGUAUCAUUAAUUUCAUCCUCUCCCAAGCUUGUGCAACAUGUUCAUGAUCAAGUUGCUUAAAAUUCAUAAUAUCGUUUCUAAGAGAGAUGAUCUUAGCGGGAGGAAAAUAUUUAGAGAUAAAAGCAUCUUUGCACUUAUUCCAAGAAUCAAUACUAUUUUUAGGCAAAGAUGAAAACCAAGCUUUAGCACGAUCUCUAAGCGAAAAAGGAAAUAACUUCAAUUUAACAAUAUCAUUGUCCACAUCUUUCUUCUUUUGCAUAUCACACAAAUCAACGAAGCUAUUUAGAUGGGUAGCGGCAUCUUCACUAGGAAGGUCGGCGAAUUGAUCUUUCAUGACAAGAUUCAACAAAGCAGCAUUGGUUUCACAAGAUUCAGUAUCGGUAAGAGGAGCAAUAGGAGUGCUAAGAAAAUCAUUGUUGUUGGUAUUGGUGAAGUCACACAAUUUAGUAUUAUCUUGAGCCAUCGUGACAAACAGGCAAUCCAACACACGAGCAAACAAGAAGCGAGUGAAAAAGGCGAACUGAAAAGAGAGGGCGAAUAAAACGGUAAGGGUGAAGUGGGGGAGAGGAAAAUGAGAGGCAAAUGGCAAAUAAUGUAAUGCGGGAGAUAAGGGUUUGUGAUGGGUACUUGGUAUGUUGACUUUUGCGUAGACUCCCCGGCAACGGCGCCAGAAAUGGCUCGUUGUCGGGAGUGCAAAUCUUGACUUGACCUUGCGUAAGCCUCCCCGGCAACGGCGCCAGAACUCCUUCUUGCUACCUCUUGAGCACUGCGUUGGUUUUCCCUUGAAGAGGAAAGGGUGAUGCAGCAAAGUAGCGUAAGUAUUUCCCUCAGUUUUUGAGAACCAAGGUAUCAAUCCAGUAGGAGGCCAUGCACGAGUCCCUCGCACCUACACAAACAAAUAAAUCCUCGCAACCAACAUGAUAAGGGGUUGUCAAUCCCUACACGGCCACUUAUGAGAGUGAGAUCUGAUAGAUAUGAUAAGAUAAUAUUUUUUGGUAUUUUUAUGAUAAAGAUGCAAAGUAAAUAGAAGCAAAAUAAAAGGCAAUGGAAAUAGCUUGUUGAUGGGAGAUUAAUAUGAUGGAAAAUAGACCCGGGGGCCAUAGGUUUCACUAGUUGCUUCUCUCAAGAGCAUAAGUAUUACGGUGGGUGAACAAAUUACUAUUGAGCAAUUGACAGAAUUGAGCAUAGUUAUGAGAAUAUCUAGGUAUGAUCAUGUAUAUAGGAAUCACGUCCGAGACAAGUAGACCGACUCCUGCCUGCAUCUACUACUAUUACUCCACACAUCGACCACUAUCCAGCAUGCAUCUAGAGUAUUAAGUUCAUAAGAAUAGAGUAACACUUUAAGCAAGAUGACAUGAUGUAGAGGGAUAAACUCAUGCAAUAUGAUAUAAACCCCAUCUUGUUAUCCUCGAUGGCAACAAUACAAUACGUGCCUUGCUGCCCCUACUGUCACCGGGAAAGGACACCGCAAGAUUGAACCCAAAGCUAAGCACUUCUCCCAUUGCAGGAAAGAUCAAUCUAGUAGGCCAAACCAAACUGAUAAUUCGAAGAGACUUGCAAAGAUAACCAAUCAUACAUCAAAGAAUUCAGAGAAGAUUCAAAUAUUGUUCAUAGAUAAACUUGAUCAUAAACCCACAAUUCAUCGGUCUCAACAAACACACCGCAAAAGAAGAUUACAUCGAAUAGAUCUCCACAAAAGAGGGGGAGAACAUUGUAUUGAGAUCCAAAAAGAGAGAAGAAGCUAUCUAGCUAAUAACUAUGGACCCGAAGGUCUAAGGUAAACUACUCACACAUCAUCGGAGAGGCUAUGGUGUUGAUGUAGAAGCCCUCCGUGAUCGAUGCCCCUUCCGGCGGAGCUCCGGAACAGGCCCCAAGAUGGGAUCUCAUGGUACACAAGGUUGCGGCGGUGGAAUUAGGUUUUUGGCUCCGUAUCUGGUAGUUUGGGGGUACGUAGGUAUAUAUAGGAGGAAGGAGUACGUCGAUGGAGCAACACAGGGCCCACGAGGGUGGAGGGCGCACCUUGGGGGGGGGGGGGUAGGCGCGCCCCCUACCUCGUGCCCUCCUGGUUGAUGUCUUGACGUAGGGUCCAAGUCCUCUGGAUCACGUUUGUUCCGAAAAUCACGUCCCCGAAGGUUUCAUUCCGUUUGGACUCCGUUUGAUAUUCUUUUUCUGCGAAACUCUGAAAUUGGCAAAAAACAGCAAUUCUGGGCUGGGCCUCCGGUUAAUAGGUUAGUCCCAAAAACAAUAUAAAAGUGUAUAAUAAAGCCCAAUAAUGUCCAAAACAGAAUAUAAUAUAGCAUGGAACAAUAAAAAAUUAUAGAUACGUUGGAGACGUAUCAGUGGGCGCCGAGAUGAGCAAUGGGAGAUGAUCAACACCAGGAAGGAUAGAUCUAUUGCAGCUUUCAUCCAGGAGUUAAACCAACACAUUCGUCGCCAGGAGAACCAGAUGUGCGCAGGCAUGAGGGAUCUGAAGAAGGUGAUGACAAGGAUCACAGAGCUGGAGGAAGAACUCAAGGCUACUCGCGAAGAUUAUGAGGAGGAAAUUGUCGUACUAGUGGAGAUGAAUGACGACCUGACAAGGAAGCUAGGAGUAUUCAUGGGAGAUCCCGUGCCAGGAGGAGAAGACGAUGAUUCCACUUACCCGGAGAACUAUAUCAUCAUCGACGACACCGACUCGGACCCCGACGAUAGUGAUGAUGAUUACGUUGAUGAAGCUGGAGCGGAUAUCAUGGAGUCUUUGACCAAGCAAUUUUUCUAGUCGACCACCAUAUCAGUAGUGGUAUUCCCCCAUGUAUAUAGUAUAGUCCGAGCACUUUUGUAAUGAUAGUUAGACCGAUUGUAUGCCCUUGCUUGAUUGAUUGAGUGAUAUGUUUGUGUUUAUAUCAUGUGCAUAUGGGUAGUGUUUUCCCCCUAGACCUCAUUCUAUUAUGUUUUCUCACCUUUUCUAAACCCAGCAGAUGCCUCCGAGACGCGACAAUGGAUUUGCCUUCCCACCGGAGCUCCCUCAGUUGAUCCAGCAGCAGAAUGCAUUGAUGCAGAUACUAGUCCAUAAUCAGAAUCAGGGGAACAACAACAACAACCCACCACCACCACCACCCGUUGAUCACUUAGCCCGUUUUCUAAGGCUGAAUCCGCCGGUGUUCUCCAGUAGCACCAAGCCGAUAGUUGCGGAUGAUUUGCUCCGCAAGAUUGGAAGGGAGCUGACCACUGCAGGAUGCAUAGAUGUGGGGAGAGUGUGUUUCGCCGCACAUCAGCUUGAUGGACCCGCAGCGUCAUGGUGGGAGAAUUUCACAGCCACUUACCCCAUUGACAAUGUUACAUGGGACCAGUUUCAGCAAGCUUUUCGCACUGCCCAUGUAUCAGCAGGAGCUAUGGCCAUGAAGAAGCGCGAGUUUCGCAACUUACGCCAAGGAGGACGCACCGUUGGCCAGUAUGUGGAUGACUUUAGUAAGCUAGCACGUUAUGCCCCACAUGACGUUGCUACGGAUGCAACUAAACAGGAGAAGUUUCGGGAAGGACUGAAUGAUGAGCUGAGCAUGCAUUUGAUGGUGGCAAAUUUUAAUAACUACCAGGAGUUGGUAGAUAGAGCUCUCAUGAUUGAAGGGAAGUAGCAGCAGAUUGACAACCGCAAGAGGAAGUAUGGACAAGGGAAGUACAAUCCUGGAGCUAUGCAGAGACCCCGUUUUACCCCGAACUCGGGAGUACCCCUUCAACAUAACCAUGGAGGUCACAAUCACAAUGGAGGGAUGUUGCACAACCAUAGUAGCUCCAAGAACGGGAAUGGUAAUGGAGGAAGCAACGGACAGAACCGUUCCAAUCCAGCAACGCCCGCCAAGAAAGAUCUAAGUCACAUUACUUGUUUCAAGUGCGGGAAGAAUGGACAUUAUGCCACGGAGUGUUCUGAAGCAAAGAAUGGAAAUGGCAAUGGAAGCUCUGGGAAGAAGCCCAACCCUUUCAACAGGGGACAAGUGAACCAUGUUAGCGUAGAGGAGGUUGAAGCGCAACCCGAUGCAGUAGUAGGUAAGUUUAUGGUUAAGUCAUUUACUGCAAUCGUUCUUUUUGAUACUGGAUAAGUUUAAACUGCCAACCCAAGCCCUUAGGUCACCCAUGUUAGUAACCUCGCCAGGAGCAGAGUAUAUGGCUAGCCUAUGGUGUGAUCGGUUACCAUCAAGGAUUGGUAACUACCUGUUUCCUCGGACCUAAUAGUAUUGGAGUCACAAGGACUGGAUGUGAUAUUAGGCAUGGAUAGGUUAUCGAAGUAUGGAGGGAACAUUGACUGCGCCAGCAAGUCGAUUUUGCUUAUCACCCCAGAAGGGAAGGACCAAGUAUGUAUCCCGGCAUGUGCCGAGUAGGACUCAAGUGAAUUCCUUGUCAGGAGUUGUAUAGGAGGAAGUACCAGUGGUGAAGGAUUUUUUGGAUGUAUUUCCAGAAGAGUUGCCAGGCAUGCCACAGGAUAGAGACAUUGAGUUUUUGAUCGAGCUUUUGCCAGGCACAGGACCAAUAUCUAAGAGACCGUACAGAAUUCUCACAAAGGAUUUGGAGGAAAUUAAGAAGCAGACAAAGGAGUUACUGGAUAAAGGCUAUAUUCACCCAAGUUCGUCACCUUGGGGCUCACCAGUACUUCUAGUGGAGAAGAAGGACGGAUCGUUGAGGAUGGUUGUUGAUUAUCGAGGAUUGAAUGAGGUGACGAUCAAGAAAAAGUACCCACUGCCGAUGAUAAAUGACUUGUUUGACCAGCUGCAAGGAGCUAAGGUGUUUUCCAAGAUCGAUCUACGAUCAGGGUACCACCAACUGAAGAUUCGAGAGCAGGAUAUACCUAAGACAACCUUUACCACAAGGUACGGGCUAUAUGAGUAUACCGUUAUGUCAUUUGGUCUGACGAACGCACCUACCUUAUUUUAUGAACUGAUGAACAAAGUGUUUAUGGAGUUUUUGGAUAAGUUCGUCGUGGUGUUCAUUGAUGAUAUUCUGGUCUACUCGAAGAAUGAAGAGGAACAUAAGGAGCAUUUGCGUUUGGUACUUGGGAAGCUCAGAGAACAUCAGCUAUACGCCAGGUUCAGCAAGUGUGAGUUUUGGUUGAAGGAAGUUGGAUUUCUUGGACAUGUUAUAUCUGGAGAAGGAAUAGCGGUAGACCCCACCAAAGUUGUCACAGUGACAAAUUCGGAAGCACCCACAUCAGUUGGAGAGAUCCGUAGUUUUCUUGGACUCGCAGGAUACUACAGGAGGUUCAUUGAGAAUUUCUCGAAGAUUGCAAAGCCUAUGACGGAGUUGUUAAAGAAGGACACCAAGUUCAAAUGGACUGAGGAAUGUGAGGCCAGUUUUCAGGAGUUGAAGGAACGCUUGGUUACAUCACCAGUGUUGAUUCUGCCAGAUCAACGCAAGGAUUAUGAAGUGUAUUGUGACGCUUCUCGUCGAGGACUUGGAGCUGUACUUAUGCAGGAGGGAAGAGUUGUUUCAUAUGCCUCACGACAACUUAAACCCCAUGAGUUGAAUUGUGCUACACAUGAUUUGGAGUUAGCAGCCGUAGUGCAUGUGUUGAAGACGUGGAGACACUUUCUCAUCGGAAACCAUUGUGAGGUGUACACGGAUCACAAGAGUUUGAAGUACAUCUUCACUCAGAAGGAGUUGAAUCUCAGGCAGAGGAGAUGGUUAGAGCUCAUUAAGGAUUAUGAUAUGAAGUUGCAUUAUCAUCCCGGAAAGGCUAACGUAGUAGCCGAUGCGUUGAGCCGCAAGAGUCAUGUCAAUACACUCAUGACCGGAGAGUUACCCAAGGAGUUAGCGGAGGAUCUUCGUGAGCUAUGUUUGGAAAUAGUUCCGAGAGGUUAUGUAUCAGCACUGGAAAUUCAGUCAACUUUGAUGGAUAAGAUCAGGGAAGCUCAGAAGACGGACAAGGAGAUUGCCGAGAUAAAGGAAAGAAUGAGCAAAGGAAAAGCUAAUGGAUUUCGUGAAGAUAAGCACGAUACCCUAUGGUUUGAGGACCGCGUUUAUGUGCCUAAUGAUCCGGAGAUCAGGAAGUUGAUUCUGCAAGAGGCCCAUGAUUCGCCGUAUUCGAUUCACCCAGGAAAUACCAAGAUGUAUCUGGAUUUGAAGGAUAGUUUUUGGUGGACCGGAAUGAAGAAGGAUAUUGCUGAGUAUGUAGCAGUUUGUGAUGUAUGUCAGAGAGUGAAGGCAGAACAUCAGAAGCCAGCAGGAUUACUACAACCACUGCCGAUUCCCGAAUGGAAGUGGGACAAGCUAGGCAUGGAUUUUAUCAUGGGAUUGAAGGAAAUAUGCCCUAGAGGCAAUAAUAAAGUUAUUAUUUAUUUCCUUAUAUCAUGAUAAAUGUUUAUUAUUCAUGCUAGAAUUGUAUUAACCGGAAACAUAUUACAUGUGUGAAUACAUAGACAAACAGAGUGUCACUAGUAUGCCUCUACUUGACUAGCUCGUUAAUCAAAGAUGGUUAUGUUUCCUAGGCAUAGACAUGAGUUGUCAUUUGAUUAACGGGAUCACCUCAUUAGGAGAAUGACGUGAUUGACUUGACCCAUUCCGUUAGCUUAGCACUCGAUCGUUUAGUAUGCUGCUAUUGCUUUCUUCAUGACUUAUACAUGUUCCUAUGACUAUGAGAUUAUGCAACUCCUGUUUACCGGAGGAACACUUUGUGUGCUACCAAACGUCACAACGUAACUGGGUGAUUAUAAAGGUGCUCUACAGGUGUCUCCAAAGGUACUUGUUGAGUUGGCGUAUUUCGAGAUUAGGAUUUGUCACUCCGAUUGUCGGAGAGGUAUCUCUGGGCCCACUCGGUAAUGCACAUCACUAUAAAGCCUUGCAAGCAUUGUAACUAAUGAGUUAGCUGCGGGAUGAUGUAUUACAGAACGAGUAAAGAGACUUGCCGGUAACGAGAUUGAACUAGGUAUCGAGAUACCGACGAUCGAAUCUCGGGCAAGUAACAUACCGAUAACAAAGGGAACAACGUAUGUUGUUAUGCGGUUUGACCGAUAAAGAUCUUCGUAGAAUAUGUGGGAACCAAUAUGAGCAUCCAGGUUCCGCUAUUGGUUAUUGACCGGAGAGGUGUCUCGGUCAUGUCUACAUAGUUCUCUAACCCGUAGGGUCCGCACACUUAACGCUACGAUGACAGUUUGAUUAUGAGUUUAUAUGUUUUGAUGUACCGAAGGUUGUUCGGAGUCCCUAUGUGAUCACGGACAUGACGAGGAGUCUCGAAAUGGUCGAGACAUAAAGAUUGAUAUAUUGGACGACUAUAUUCGGACACCAGAGGUGUUCCGGAGAAGUUUCGGGAAAAACCGGAGUGCGGGAGGGGUUACCGGAACCCCCCGGGGAAGUAUUGGGCCUUAGUGGGCCUGAGGGGAGAGAGAGGGCAGCAGCUAGGAGGUGGCGCGCCCCCUCCCAUGAGGAGUCCUAAUUGGACUAGGGGAGGGGGGCGCAGCCCCUCUUUCCCUCUCCCUCUCCCUCUCUUUCCUUCCCCCCUCUCCUUGGCGCGCCCAAAGGCAGCCGGCCUCCCCCUUGCUCCUUUAUAUACGGGGGCAGGGGGGCACCUCUAAACACACUUGAUAUACGAUAUUUUAGCCGUGUGCGGUGCCCCCCUCCACCAUAUUACACCUCAAUCAUACCGUUGCGGAGCUUAGGCGAAGCCCUGCGUCGGUGGAGCAUCAUCAUCGUCACCACGCCGUCGUGCUGACGAAACUCUCCCUCAACACUCGGCUGGAUCGGAGUUCGAGGGACGUCAUCGAGCUGAACGUGUGCUGAACUCGAAGGUGCCGUGUGUUCGGUACUUGAUCGGUCGGAUCAUGAAGAUGUACGACUACAUCAACCGCGUUGUAAUAACGCUUCCGCUUUCGGUCUACGAGGGUACGUGGACAACACUCUCCCCUUUCGUUGCUAUGCAUCACCAUGAUCUUGCGUGUGCGUAGGAAAUUUUUUUGAAAUUACUACGUGCCCCAACAGGGAUUACCCAGGACUCGUUCAGGCUAUGAGUCGAUAUGGGUUGUAGUCGAUCGUUUGAAGGAGGGAGCUCAUUUAAUCCCAGUGAAGACCACUUACACCAGUGUUAAGUUGGCAAAGAUAUACAUGACCAGGAUCGUGUGUCUGCAUGGAGUUCCGAUGACCAUUUUAUCAGAUAGAGGAACCCUGUUUACCUCCAAAUUUUGGAAUCAGUUGCAUGAGACUUUGGGAACCAGGCUAGAGUUCAGUACAGCUUUUCACCCGCAGAUAGAUGGACAGACUGAGAGAGUCAAUCAAAUUAUGGAGGACAUGUUGAGAGCUUGUGCGCUAGACUAUGGAUCUAGUUGGGAUGAUAAUUUGCCGUAUGCAGAGUUCUCUUACAACAACAGCUAUCAAGCUAGUUUGAAGAUGGCCCCUUUCGAAGCAUUGUACGGAAGGAGGUGCAGGACACCGUUGUUGUGGGAUGAAGUUGGAGAUCACCAGUUGUUUGGACCUGAUUUGAUUAAAGAAUCUGAAGAGAAGGUUAAGCUAAUUCGCGAUAGACUCAAGGUAGCGCAGUCCAGGAAGAAGAGCUAUGCGGAUUCUAAAUGCAAGGAGACAGUUUACGAAGUUGGAGACAGAGUGUAUCUUCGUGUAUCCCCACUUCGAGGAGUGAAGCGUUUUGGAGUUAAGGGAAAGUUAGCCCCGAGAUUUGUAGGACCUUACCGUGUUUUGGAACAUAUGGGAGAAGUUUCCUACAAGUUGGAAUUGCCCGAAGGAUUGUCAGGAGUUCACGAUGUGUUCCAUGUUUCUCAGUUGAAGAAGUGCCACGCAAAGAUGGCUGAUAUCCCUCUGAGAGAUACAGUGCCACUGGAAGCGAUACAGUUGGAUAGCGAUUUGACAUACGAGGAGAAACCAGUCAAGACUCUCGAGUUUGCCAGCCGAGUUACACGCAACAAGGUUAUCAAGUUCUGCAAAGUUCAGUGGAGCCACCAUACCGAGGAUGAAGCCACCUGGGAACGAGAGGAAGACCUACGGAAGGAUAACCCUCACCUAUUUUCUAGCCAACCCGAAUCUCGAGGGCGAGAUUCAUCUUAAGGGGGGUAGGUUUGUAACAUCCCAAAUUUUCAAUUUGGAAUGUUAUACAUUAGAUCAUCAUUGCAUCUCAUAUUUUAUUGCAUUUUGGCUUGAUCCUAGAAAUGCUACGCAGCUCAAGGACCCACGGAGAGAGUUGGGGAUUUCGUUAUUUUCAUAUUUGAGUUUUCUCAAAUUUUGAAAAGAGGAUCGUUUGAUUUUAAUUAUUUUCUCUUCAAAUAUCUCUUUUAUGAAAAUAAAAGAGAGGGGAUAAAAUGACUUCCUCAAAAUAAAUAAAUAUUGGAGAUUUAAUAUUAAAAUCAAAUAAGAUUUUUAUUCGGAGUUUUAUCGCUAUUUUAUUUGAAUUAGGAAAAAUAUGCGUUUUUCAAAAUUGCAUUAGAGUCCCAAAUAAAUGUUCACCUUGUCCGGUAGAUUUUUAGAGGACGGGGAAAAUUUAUUUCAGGAUUUUUGGAGUCCGUUUAGUAUUUCUUUUAUUUAUUUAUCUGCGCAGAAUAGUAAAAAAAGAGGAAACCGACUUCGGGCCGUACCCGAGCGGGACUCCGACCGGGGGGGCUUUAUAAGCNNNNNNNNNNNNNNNNNNNNNNNNNNNNNNNNNNNNNNNNNNNNNNNNNNNNNNNNNNNNNNNNNNNNNNNNNNNNNNNNNNNNNNNNNNNNNNNNNNNNNNNNNNNNNNNNNNNNNNNNNNNNNNNNNNNNNNNNNNNNNNNNNNNNNNNNNNNNNNNNNNNNNNNNNNNNNNNNNNNNNNNNNNNNNNNNNNNNNNNNNNNNNNNNNNNNNNNNNNNNNNNNNNNNNNNNNNNNNNNNNNNNNNNNNNNNNNNNNNNNNNNNNNNNNNNNNNNNNNNNNNNNNNNNNNNNNNNNNNNNNNNNNNNNNNNNNNNNNNNNNNNNNNNNNNNNNNNNNNNNNNNNNNNNNNNNNNNNNNNNNCCGCCACCCACCGCCCCGCGCCGCCACCCGCCGCCACCCGCAGCCGCACCGCCGCAUCGGAGCCGCGCCUCCGCCGUCCUCGGUUUUCACGAGAAAACCGAUCGGUUUUUUCGAAACCCUAGAUCUGUUUUUUCAGAUCUGGUUCGGUUUUUUUGGUUUAGUUAUUUAGCGGAUGUUCGUCCGUACGUUCGUUUUAACGAACGGUUUUCGCCCGUUAGCCGCAGAUAACGAACGUUCGUUCGUUAGCCUGUUCGUCGGUUUUUUUUUUCUCGGAUUUUUCGCGAUUAUUUUCGAUCGCGAUUUCUGGGCUGAUUUUCGUUCUAGUAUAACUUUUCGCUCGUUUAUCGGAAUCAGGCGAUUCAAGCACCUAGAGUUUCAUCUCGAAGCCCUCUUUCUGUUUAACCAACUUAAACAAGAUUUUUCUACUGUAAAAUUUGACUUUAGUCCAGAUUAGUAAUCGGAUCUUGUUCUUUCGCAGUUUGAGUUUCGUUGCUUCGUUUGAUUUGAUUCUUUUUGCAAACCGGAGUUCUUAAGUUGAACUUUCUAGUUAGAUUUCUUAUUUGAGUUUUACCCGUGCUUCUUGCUCAAUUUCUUAUUGUAUGUUUGUUUGUUUGCAAUAGAGUACCCGUAGUGCGAAGCAUGUUACUACAAGUCUCUAGGUUUCACGGAUCAUCAGCAAGGCAAAUAACACUUUGAUCAUACCUCUAUACUACCCAGUUUUAUUGCAUUAGAUCAAUCCUCAAACAAUUGCAUGGUUAGGAUUUGAUUAAAUUGUGGGUUUGGGAAGUAGAUGAGUUAGUACAUAUUCACCUGUUAUUUAUCAAACCUUUGGGAGUUACUUCUACGUUGCUUAUACUGCUAUGCUAUGCUUGUAGACGUGGAUUGGGUUUGAGUGUAUUCAUGACAGAUGUGAGUUUGUUAAUUAAUGGUUCAAUUUAAGGUGGCAACUUAAAUACACAUCUGGGUGGAUUGGUUGUGGGCACCUGGAGAAUCCAGUGCUGUCCUAGGAUAUCCUGGAGGACCCGUGUGAUCAUCCUAAGGCCAGCCACCCAGGCUCAAAGGGAUCAUAAGAUUAUUCAUGCUAGAAACUUCCGUGUGCAGCCACAAGCCAUUAUGGGCUCUGGCAUAGUUGAGUAAGUUGCGUGAAGCUCUUGAAGAGGUAGACUAGCAGAUGUAGUGGGUUGUAGGUGGUACUGUCUAUCCAGAGUAGAGAGUUAAUGCUUCAGAAAGACUGUGUCUCGAAUCUCCGACCAUGGAUGUAUUCGAGUCUUGUGGGGAAAAGUGCGCAAACCUCUGCAGAGUGUACAAACUAAUCAUGAUUAGUCGUGUCCCCGGUUAUGGACAUCUUGAGUAUCUAGUUCUUGGAUUAUCAUGUGGAUCUCAUCACUCUUAAUAUAAAUUUUGAUUGGGUUUAAUGAUGAUUUUUUUAAUUAGGAUUGAGUUGGAGGAACCUUCUCAAUGUUUAACAACUACCAUGAUAGUUAAAUAAAAUUUAUUCCUUUGUUGUAGGAAAAAAUUGGCUUUUCGCAAAACAUAUUAACCAUACAGCCUCCACCAGCCAUAUAUGCAUGUAGCGAUAGCAUUAUUCUGUUCAUUACUCUCUUGUGUUGCAUUGCCAGCAUAUUCCAUGUGCUGACCCAUUUCGGGCUGCAACGUAUCAUGUUGCAGACUUUUCAGACAACGAGUAAGGUGCCUUAGGUCGUGGUCUUUCACUCAGUGAUGCCGUUGGAGUUGAUGGACUCGCUUUAUCUUCCAAGCCUUCCGCUCUUAUCGUAUUAGAUGGCCUUAAGCCAUAUUUAUGGUAAUAAGUUCUCUUUUGAGACAUUCGAUGUAAUAAGUGUGUGAUUGCUACUCUGUUAUAAAUCCUUCAAGUACUGUGCGUGUCAGCAUUACCGAUCCAGGGAUGACACUGAUGCACAGAGAUUAGACUAUCUGAGGUCUGGUCGCUACAUGAAUCUAAUAUUGCUAUGGUUAAAGAUCACUUAGAAGAAGAUUUGGAUGGGCAUGUUAUCUACUUCUGUGCAGAAGCUGCUAGAAUUGGCAAACCCGAAAAAGGGAUAAAAAUAGACCAGUUGUUGGCCUGCCUAUCAUUUCAGUUAAAAUAGGAGAUCACUGUUAUCAUGGUUUAUGUGACAUGGGUGCUAGUGUGAGCGCUAUUCCUUACAAGUUAUAUCAAGAAAUUAGGGAAGACAUAGCACCUACAGAGUUAGAAGACAUAGAUGUUACUAUUAAACUUGCAAAUAGAGACACCUUAUCACCUUGUAGGAUUAUUAGAGAUGUCGAAGUCUUGUGUGGGAAAGUAAAAUACCCUACCCAUUUUCUAGUUCUUGGUUCCCCACAAGAUGAUUUCUGUCCCAUUAUCUUUGGUAGACCUUUGUUGAACACAGUUAAUGCGAAGAUAGAUUGCCAGAAACAAACUGUGGGUGUUAGCUUUGAUGAUGAGUCUCAUGAGUUUAAUUUUUCCAAGUUUAGGAGAAAUCAUCAUGAAAAAGAAUUGCCUGGUAAAGAUGAAUUAAUCGGUCUUGCUUCUAUUGCUGUACCACCUACUGAUCCUUUAGAACAAUACUUGCUAGACCAUGAAAAUGAUUUACAUAUGCAUGAAAGAAAUGAAAUAGAUAAGAUUUUGUUUGAACAACGUCCUCUGCUUAAACACAAUUUGCCUAUUGAAACCCUAGGGGGUCCUCCUCCACCUAAAGGUGAUCCUGUGUUUGAAUUAAAACAAUUGCCAGACACUUUGAAAUAUGCUUAUCUUGAUGAAAAGAAGAUAUAUCCUGUUAUUAUCAGUGCUAACCUUUCAGAACAUGAAGAAGAAAGAUUAUUGAAAGUUCUAAGGAAGCACCAGGCUGCUAUUGGAUAUACUCUUGAUGAUUUAAAGGGCAUUAGUCCCAAUCUAUGUCAGCACAAAAUUAAUAUGGAACCUGAUGCUAAACCAGUUGUUGAUCAGCAACGUCGGUUAAAUCCGAAGAUGAAAGAGGUGGUAAGAACGGAAAUAUUAAAACUUCUGGAAGCAGGUAUAAUCUAUCCUAUAGCUGAUAGUAGAUGGGUAAGUCCUAUUCAUUGUGUCCCUAAGAAACGAGGUAUUACUGUUGUUCCUAAUGAUAGAAUGAACUUAUUCCGCAAAGAAUUGUUACAAACUAUAGAAUGGUAAUUGAUUUCAGAAAAUUAAAUAAAGCUACUAGAAAAGAUCAUUACCCUUUGCCUUUUAUUGAUCAAAUGCUUGAAAGAUUAUCUAAGCACACACACUUUUGCUUCCUUGAUGGAUAUUCUGGCUUUUCACAAAUACCUGUUUCUCAACCUGAUCAAGAAAAGACCACUUUUACUUGUCCUUUUGGAACCUAUGCUUAUAGACGUAUGCCUUUUGGUUUAUGUAAUGCACCUGCUACCUUUCAAAGAUGCAUGACGGCUAUAUUCUAUGAUUUUUGUGAAAAUAUUGUUGAAGUUUUCAUGGAUGGCUUCUCUGUCUAUGGGAAGUCUUUUGAUGAUUGUUUAAGCAAUCUUGAAAGAGUUUUGCAGAGAUGUGAACAAACAAAUCUUGUCUUGAAUUGGGAGAAGUGCCACUUUAUGGUUAAUGAAGGCAUUGUCUUGGGUCAUAAAAUUUCUGAAAGAGGUAUUGAAGUGGACCAAGCUAAGGUUGAUGCUAUUGAGAAAAUGCCAUGUCCUAAGGACAUUAAAGGUAUUCGUAGUUUCCUAGGUCAUGCCGGUUUCUAUAGGAGGUUUAUCAAGGGCUUUUCUAAAAUUUCUAGGCCUCUUACUAAUCUUUUGCAAAAGGAUAUUCCUUUUGUUUUUGAUGAUGAUUGUCUUGAAGCCUUUGAAACACUCAAGAAAGCUUUGAUCUCUGCACCUAUUGUUCAACCACCUGAUAGGAACUUGCCUUUUGAGAUUAUGUGUGAUGCUAGUGAUUAUGCUGUUGGUGCUGUUCUAGGACAAAGAGUUGAUAAGAAACUGAAUGUUAUUCAUUAUGCUGGUAAAACUCUAGACAGUACUCAAAGAAAUUAUGCUACCACUGAAAAAGAAUUCUUAGUAGUGGUGUUUGCUUGUGAUAAGUUUAGACUUUAUAUUGUUGAUUCUAAAGUGACUGUUCACACAGACCAUGCUGCUAUUAAAUAUCUUAUGGAGAAGAAAGAUGCUAAACCUAGACUUAUUCAUUGGGUUCUCUUGUUACAUGAAUUUGAUUUACAUAUCAUUGAUAGAAAAGGAGCUGAGAACCUCGUAGCUGAUAACUUGUCUAGGCUUGAAAAUGUGCUUGAUGACCCACUACCUAUUGAUGAUAGUUUUCCUGAUGAGCAGUUAGCUGCAAUAAAUGUUGCUAAUAGUACUCCUUGGUAUGCCGACUAUGCUAAUUACAUUGUUGCUAAAUAUUUACCACCUAGCUUUAGAUACCAACAAAAGAAAAAUUCUUCGAUGAUUUAAGACAUUACUUUUGGGAUGACCCACAUCUUUAUAAAGAAGGAGUAGAUGGUAUUAUUAGGUGUUGUGUACUUGAGCAUGAACAACGACAAAUCCUAUGGAAAUGUCACUCCGAAGCUUAUGGAGGGCAUCAUGCUGGAGAUAGAACUGCUCAUAAGGUAUUGCAAUCUGGAUUUUAUUGGCCUACUCUCUUUAAGGAUGCUCGCAAGUAUGUCUCAUCUUGUGAUGAAUGCCAAAGAAUAGGUAAUAUCGGUAAGCGUCAAGAAAUGCCUAUGAAUUAUUCACUUGCUGUUGAACCAUUUGAUGUUUGGGGAUUUGAUUACAUGGGACCUUUUCCUUCCUCUAAUGGGUAUGCACAUAUUUUGGUUGUUGUUGAUUAUGUUACUAAAUGGGUAGAAGCUAUUCCAACCAGUAGUGCUGAUCACAACAACUCUAUUAAAAUGCUUAAGGAAGUUAAUUUCCCAAGGUUUGGAGUCCCUAGAUAUUUAAUGACUGAUGGUGGUUCACACUUUAUUCAUGGUGCUUUCCGUAAGAUCCUUGCUAAGUAUGAUGUUAACCAUAGAGAAAUAAAAUUAAUUUUGCAAAAGACUGUCAAUAGGUCCAGGAAGAAUUGGUCUAAGAAAUUAGAUGAUGCACUUUGGGCUUAUAGGACAGCAUAUAAAAAUCCUAUGGGUAUGUCUCCUUAUAAAAUGGUUUAUGGAAAAGCUUGUCAUUUGCCUCUUGAGUUAGAACAUAAAGCAUAUUGGGCAGUUAAAGAACUCAACUAUGAUUUCAAACUUGCUGGUGAAAAGAGGCUAUUUGAUAUAAGCUCAUUAGAUGAAUGGAGAACCCAAGCUUAUGAAAAUGCAAAGUUUUUCAAAGAAAAAGUUAAAAGCUGGCAUGAGAAAAGAAUUCAAAAACGUGAGUUUAAAGUCGGAGAGUGUGUUCUUUUGUACAAUUCUCGUUUUAGAUUCUUUGCAGGCAAACUCCUCUCAAAAUGGGAAGGCCCCUAUGUCAUCGAGGAGGUUUACCGGUCUGGAGCCAUCAAAAUAAAUAAUUUCAAAGGCACUAACCCGAAGGUUGUCAACGGGCAACGAAUAAAGCAUUAUAUCUCAGGUACGCCUGUUAAUGUUGAAAGCAAUAUUGUCCAGACUUUGACAUCGGAAGAACACAUAAAAGAGUCUUUCCGGAACACUCCAGAAGCAUCAAAAUAAGGAGGUAAGUAGUUCGGUAAGUAAACAGACACCAAAAAAUCUGUAAAAAUAUUUUUUGUCAGUUUUGGAAUAUUUUAGAAUUUUGGGAAUAAAGAAACUUCCAAGAAGCGCCCCCUGGUGGGCAUAAGACACCAGGGCGCGCCAGGCGCCUGGCGCGCCCAGGUGGGUUGUGCCCAUCUGGGGCACCUUCUGGACUCCGUUUUUCUUAUGUUUACUCGUCCUCCAAGAGAAAAAAAUCUAUAUAUACUUCCCGAACCUGUUAACCACUGUAUCACGGAGAAAAUCCUCUGUUAUCUUUUCUUGAUGUUUUCUGUCAGAUCCCAUCUACAAUGGCCUCUUCAGGUUCCUCCAAGGACAAGAUUUCUUCUUCAUCAUCACCAUCACCUUCUUCACCACCAAAGGAGAAUUGAGUAUCAGGUAUGGGCACUCCCCUUGGCUUCCGCCAAGCUUGGGGGAGGUGUUCCACUAUUGUAUCAUCCCACUAUCUUUUUGCUUUUACUUAUCUUAGUUUAAUCUUUUGUUUAGAUGAAUAAAUUUUAGUUCGAUAUUUUCUUCUUUAAGAGUUUACUUAGUGAUCUAUCAUUGUUAUCGUGUGCAAGUUAUAUAAUAAAGUUAGUUCGAGUUUUUGCUUUCUGUACUUUCAUGUUGCAAAUAAAGAAAAGAAAAAUAGAAAGAAAGCAAACAAAAGAAUGGAAAUAAAUCAAUAAGAUCAUAUACUAAUCCUAUGGUAGGUGAUAGCACCACAUAAGGAAAAGUAUAAGUAAGAAAAUUUUAUUAGAGAUUGACACACAUAGCAUUGGUCAGUGAUGCAACUCAUGAAAGAAUUAAUAAGGGAAGGGAAGAUUCACAUAUAAAUAUACUAUCCUAGAAAUCUUUUGUGAUUGUGAGCCCUCAUCAAAAUAUUAUAUGCCAAAAUUGUUGGCGUUGGACAAGGAAGACAAUGUAAUGGUUUAUGUAUGUUUAUAUUCACAUAGAAGUCAUAUUGUCAUAGAUCCUUUAACAUGUGAUGCUUGCCCCUAUCUUUGCUAGCCAAAAAUUCCGCACUAAGUAGAGAUACUACUUGUGCAUCCAAAAACCCUUAAACCCAAAUCUUUUUCGAGUGUCCACCAUACCUACCUAGGGAUUGAACAAGAUCCCUCAAGUAAGUUGUCAUAGGUGCAAAAAGGCGAUAAAAAUUGCUUCUAAAUAUGUGAGAUCAUUUAGUGUAAGAGAAAAUUCAGCGUUGUACGAACUUGGAUGACAAAGGAUAAAAGCAACAGACUGCAUAAUAAGGGUUGUCAUCUUAAGGGGCAAUACAACGUAGCAUUCUCUUGCACUAAGGGAUUGAGCAUGCAAACAAAUAAGCACAUGGCAACCUCUUCUUCCCUCUACGAAGGGCCUAUGUUUUACUUUUAUGUAUUUACUUUUAUGCAAGGAGUCAAAGUUUUCCUUCUAUUCCUUUUUAUUUUCUCUUUUGGCAAGCAUCAUGUGGUGGGGAAAGAUCUAGGCACAUAUGUCCAGUUGAAUAUCACUACUGCAAGAUGCUGCUAACACGACACUACGAUCAGAGACCCUUCGAGAAACUGUGUGUGAUGCAAUAAUCGCAAACGAUGGUGUAUGAAAACCGUCAGAAAUGUAUAAAACGUUUGCGAUGACGGAUGCAUCAAACAUGGUUCAUGUUUUAGUUGCGUGUGCGAUGUAGGGCAUACGGUUCAGUCCACUUAACUGUUUGCGAAGAGGAGGAACAAAAGAAAUGGGCACCCAGAUGAAGGUGUGUGCGAUAUACAUCAUACAGUUCAUUCGGAUGAACUGUUUGUGAUUAGGCAACACAAAAGAAACGGUCAGCCAGAUUCAAGGUGCGUGCGAUAUAUGGCAUGCGGUUCACACGGAUGAAUUGUUUGUGUUGAGACAAGAGAACAGAAACGGUUCAAUAUAACAAGAUGUGUGUGAUACGCGGCAAACCGGUCUGUAAUCAGAAAUGUGUGCGAAGACCAAUAAUAACACAGACGGUUGCUGCUAAUAAGACGUGUGUGCCGUGCGAUGGGAUUGCAUACAAAACAAAAACACAUAUAUAUAUAUAUAUAUAUAUAUAUAGACACACACUCACUUAUAAGGACAUGCAUUCGUAUUUUAUUAGUUAAAUCCUACUUAUAAACCAGGACAGGGAUAUAGGAGGUAAUUAAAUCGCAAACGUUUUUUUUGUAUUAGCCGUAUGUGUACGUGUCCUUUCGUCCUCCUCUCGCACGUCUUGUCACCACGCUGCCGCAGACGGCUUACAGCGCAAGCUUGCGCAGCGCGCGGGGGCAUUCUUUUGGCCAAACGGUGGUGCCAAUUAAUCGUCGGUGAGCCUGUUCCCGCGCAACCUCGCAGGUUCCCGCGCAAGCUUCCUGCCCGACUCGAUAAAAUCCCCCAAAAUCCCAAUGCUUACCGGCCUGCUAUAAAAACCCUCACGGCUAGUGAGCCUUGCGUCGCAUUCCCCCCCUCCCUGUAGCUUAUCUCGUCUGCUUCUCCCACAAUCGCCAAUGGCACCGGUCCGUCGUCGUCGCUCAACCACUCCACUGUCAUCAGAGGACAGCUCCCGCUGGGAGGCUACACCGCGGCGGCGGCGCAGUACCCGUCGUAGUGUAGUGCGUGUGGCGUCCCUGUUGGGUGUGCGCGGAACACCCACCACACGCUCCGCCGCUGCUGCCCGUCAGUAGCUGUUGCCGGCCGCCGUUGCCGCCACACCACCGUCGAAAUCCAGGGCCAUCUCCCGCGCCGCCGCCGCGGCCCGAAGGCGGGAGGUGGACGUCGUGGCCUCCACCCCACUGCCGGCCAUCGUGGCCAUCACCCGCUCCGCCACCGCGGCCCGAAGGCGGGAGGUGGUGGUCGUGGCCGCCACCCCAUCGUCGGCCGCCGUGGUCACCAGCCCACCGUCGUCCGCCGGGAUCAUCACCCGCUCCGCCACCGAUGCCCGAAGGAGGGAGGCGGAGGUGGAGGCCCGCACGUGCGUCAGCGACAUGCACGCUAGAUCGAGUUCCCGCGGGAGGAGGAGGAGCGCCUCGUCGAGCAUGCAAAGAGCCUUACCGCAGCCGUGGCCGCAGCACAUGCCGAUGCAGAGGCGAGGAGUCAGGAGAUCUACGAGCUGCCUGGCUGCUUCGAGAGGGAUCGUCUGGAGCAGCAGUGGGCGUUCGAGCUGGCGAGCGUCGCUGGACGUGCAAAAGCGGCAGGCAUCGUAUUGCAUUUCUCCGGCUCGUCGGUAGGCUCCUCCUCCUAUGCCUCUCACUGAGCGCGCUCGGCAGAGGAGAGGCUGCCGGAAGUAGCACAAAGCCCCUCCGUGGUAGUAGUAGUAUUUAGGGGCUAUUUUGUUCAGUUCAUGUGACUAUAGAUGUGUGGUCGAACUGUACAACGUACUUAAAAUUAGCUAGUAUAUAUAGUUGAACUAGCUAUUUCAGUACGUGGUUGUCAACAAUUGGGGAAAAGUUUGGUCAGUUCAGCUGUCAAGUUGAACUGUUUGUAUAAAUUCAGAACGACUGCUUAAUCUAUGAAUGGAAUCUAUGCUUAAUUACUGAAUUUUAGUUGCAAAAAUUAGAUAGUGCUAGUGAUUUCUAGCUGCAUAUUUUGACAAAUCGCAGUGUUACAAGGAUUGACAAAUGGCAACAUUACUAGAUCAACAAAUGUAAAUCUUUCCAGUUUGAUAAAUGGCAACAUACCCAAUAUGACAGAUGCAAAUCUUACCAAAUUGUUUGUACGUGGUUGCACAUGGGUCAUCCAAAACAACCGGUUGCGUUGAAGGGAUCCACAAAUCCUGCGCUGCUCUCACUUUGCAUACGGGUUUUCUAUCUAAAAUGUUUGCGAUCAAGAGCUGCACAAAUCCUGCUCGACACAUUUUCCCUUGGCUUCUUGGGGAAGCUGUUGGUUUGCAUAGGAGUGUUCUAACUAAAACGUUUGCGAUGAGUGUUUUAUAUUUAAAAACCGAAUUAAACUGCGGCUUGGGCGCCAUUAAUGGGGAGGAUGCGAGCAAGGCGGGCGGCCAUGGAAGUCAUAGGGCCCGCUUCCCGGUGAGCCUGCGCGGCGUACAGCUCGCACGAUUCUCGUUGAGCCUCCGUAUUCGAGUAAACCUCACACGCCUUCCGUUUAGUCAAGCACUCAAGCACCUCUCCGCAUGGCACCUCCUAGCCAUUAAAAGAGUGAGGCGUGGCGUCACGUGAAUGGUUAGCAAAACGCACACAAUUUAAAUUAUACAAAACGUUUGAUAUGUUACAGUGGAAGCUAGUUGUUUCAAAAUGCCUUUGUUGGCUGUUAUUCGAGUGCGCCUUCUCUCGAAAUGGACACGAAAAAUACCACAGCAUGUCAGGUGCCAUUCCAUUAUAGCAUGCCAAGUUUCAUGAAUUUCAGACGAGUUUUGGAUUUACUAGAAUUUAAAAAUAGAUUAUGUCAACAUUUUGCCGGCAAUCAAUAGUGCCCUGGUGUUUGAAAUUUAUUCCCAUUUCUUGCAUGGGACCUAAGCAUGCCUCGAAGGACACAGAUUUGAUUUUUUUAACCAAUUUAUAUGCACUGGAGCUUGUGCAUGUAGUUCAAAUUUGAAUUAUGCACAUGAAAUGCCUAUAAAACCCAAUUAAUGUAUAAAAAUGUCCAAACGAACCCCGAAAAAUUCCAAAAGUAAACACAACACUCCUGUUGUUCUAUGUUGACACUAGAAAAUUUUUGAAAGCAAUAAGAGGCAACGGAUAUCGUUUCGUCCCCAAAGGUGGCAGGUUCCCUACCGAAACCAUCACGCUUGUUGUGAGAAGCUAAGGUUUGUGAGAAGCUUAUACCCAAACCUGCCCCAAAUGGGACAAAAUUUUUACCACGACAUGUUGAUGCUGCUCCAUGAUAGCAUGCCAAGUUUCAUGAAUUUCAUACGAGUUUUGGAUUUACUAGAAUUUAAAAGCCUUGUAUGUCAAUGUUUGCGGCCGAGUGAUGGUGGCAAGGUGUUUGAAAUUCAUUCCCAUUUCUUGCAUGGGACCUAAGCAUGCAACCAAGGACACAUAUUUGAUUUUUCAACCAGUUUAUAUGCAAUGGAGAAUGUGCAUGUAGUUCAAAUUUGAAUUAUGUGCAUAAAAUGCCUGGAAAACUCAGUUAAUGUAUAAAAAUGUCCAAAAGAACCCCGAAAAAUUCCAAAAUUGAAUACAACACUCCUGUUGUUCUAUGUUGACACUCGAAAUUUUUUGAAAGCAAUAAGAGGCAACGGAUAUCGUUUUGUCCCCAAAGGUGGCACGUUCCCUAUCGAAACCAUCACGCUUGUUGUGAGAAGCUCCGGUUUGUGAGAAGCUUAAAUGGGACAAAAUUUUUACCACGGCAUGUUGAUGCCGCUCCAUGAUAGCAUGCCAAGUUUCAUGAAUUUCAAACGAGUUUUGGAUUUAAUAGAAUUUAAAAACCAGGUAUGGCAAUGUUUGCGGAUGAGUGACGGUGGCAAGGUGUUUGAAAUUCAUUCCCAUUUCUUGCAUGGGACCUAAGCAUGCAACUGAGGACACAUAUUUGAUUUUCCAACCAGUUUAUAUGCACUGUAGAAUUUGCAUGUAGUUCAAAUUUGAAUUAUGCGCAUAAAAUGCCCGGGAAACCCAGUUAAUGUAUAAAAAUGUCCAAACAAACCGCCAAAAUUCCAAAAUUGAACACAACACUCCUGUUGUUCUAUGUUGACACUCAAUUUUUUUUGAAAGCAUUCAGAGGCAACGGAUAUCGUUUUGUCCCCAAAGGUGGCACGUUCCCUACUGAAACCAUCACGCUUGUUGUGAGAAGCUUUAGGUUUGUGAGAAGCUUAUACCCAAACCUGCCCCAAAUGGGACAAAUUUUUUACCACGGCAUUUUGAUGCCGCUCCAUGAUAGCAUGCCAAGUUUCAUGAAUUUCAGACGAGUUUUGGAUUUACUAGAAUUUAAAAGACAUGUAUCUCAAUGUUUGCGGCCUAGUGACGGUGGCAGGGUGUUUGAAAUUUAUUCCCAUUUCUUGCAUGGGACCUAAGCAUGCACCGAAGGACACAUAUUUGAUUUUUCAACCAAUUUAUAUGCACUUGAGCAUGUGCAUGUAGUUCAAAUUUGAAUAAUGCACAUAAAUGCAUUGAAAAAUCACUUAAUGCAUAAAAAUGUCCAAACGAACCCCGAAAAAUCACAAAAAAUAAUACCACACUCCUGUUGUUCUAUGUUGACAUGAGAAAUUUUUUGGAAGUAAUAAGAGGCAACAGAUAUCGUUUCGUCCCCAAAGGUGGGGCGUUCCCUACCGAAACCAUCAUGCUUGUUGUGAGAAGCUCUGGUUUGUGAGAAGCUUAUACCCAAAUCUGCCCCAAAUGGGACAAAAGAUUUACCACGGCAUGUUGAUGCCGCUCCAUGAUAGCACGCCAAGUUUCAUGAAUUUUAGACGAGUUUUGGAUUUACUAGAAUUUAAAAACCAAGUAUCUCAAUGUUUGCGUCCGAGUGACGGUGGCUGGGUGUUUGACAUUCAUUCCCAUUUCUUGCAUGGGACCUAAGCAUGCAACUAAGGACACAUAUUUGAUUUUUCAACCAGUUUAGAUGCACUGAAGAAUGUGCAUGUAGUUCAAAUUUGAAUUAUGCACCUGAAAUGCCUACAAAACCAAGUUAAGAUAUAAAGACGUCCAAACUAACCCUGAAUAAUUCCAAUUUUUUUGACAACACACAUAUAAUUGCAUGUUCACUCCAGAUAAAAGGUCUAGCAAUUCAAACACCGUCCAUUGCCGUUGUGACCCCAUUAUGUAAUUCAAAUCAAGAAGAAAAAUCAAGUAGAUCACACACAGUUUAUUAUCAGCAACCGUGUGAGAUGUAGCACAAAAUAUCCUGGAGCACCGUCGGUGUAUAGUACGCCUAUGGCUUAUGUGAGAAGGUGCAUCGGCUAUAGUCCACAGCCGGCGUCUCAAGCACACUAGCUCACUCCCCAAAUAUCAUUUCACUCUUCAAUCGUCGUCGUUAAAAGGUGGGGACGUGGACCCGCAUUGUGAGGGAAACUUCGGCGGCCCACUCCGGUGAUAGCGCGGAAGCAUCCGCCAGGCGCGUGCUAACAAGCUUCAUGAGGGCGACCGCAAUCUACGUCCUGGCGGCCAAGGCAGCCCAAACGGCCGCUGUUGCUUCUCAGGCGGCGCCGGCAGCAUCUGCCUCGGGGAUAGCAACUGGCGAGAGCGACACAACAGCUGUCCGUUCCGCAGCGGCGGCCUUAGCCCUGAUGGAGGCCGCCUGCCACCAUGUCGAGGCCGUCCACGCCCAGCUCGUGGUGCUCACCACACAAAUCGAAGGAAGCUUCUCCGACAAUGGUCGGCAACCCACGGCCAAAGAGGUGGCAAUCCCCGAGAGAGUUCGAGCAGCCAUCCGUUCCUGUGCGGCAUACCUUGCGACGACGGAGCCCGCCAAAGCCCAGAUUGCGUCCGCCCACGCCCAGCUCGGGGCGGCCUAUUCCAAAGAUAUGGCGGACAUGGAUGGCGAGAUGCUUGCCGAGUAUGCUGCGAUGGAUGCCAUGGAGCCCCCUCCCUAGGAGACCGUCAGGCGCGAGCUGGACAUGGAGGCGGCGACGGAGAUCGACGAGCACCAGCCGUAGUAGUACUCUUUGUUUUGUUUAACUAAGAGUGCCGGUCUUUAAUUUGUUAGAGUAAUGUUUAGGUCAGCUAGCUCUGUUUAAUUGCUAAACUUGCUCGAUUAAGAAGUGUGAGUGUGUUGUAGUCUCCUUUGCGUACCCAAAUUAUGCAAUGACGUGGAUGCCCACUGUAACCAUGGAAAUUCGAACCAAUACUUUUGACGUUCAAACUCAUCACACACGGGUUAACCAUGGAAAUAUAUCUCACCCAAACUAACAAUCCCUAGAUCCAGCUGUAUCCAUCCGUCAACACAUAACCAAGAAACCUUCGGAAAUCAUGUACCUCAACCUUCGAAAAGCAUCCGUUAUACGAGUUAUGGCAAUACUCCCGAACUCCUGCCCCAGUACUGGGUAGCGUCGAGGUGAUCUCACCAACAACUGCAUAAAAGAGAUUUUCGAUGUCGGCGAAACUCAGGUAUUCCAGAACUGCAACGAUAAAAUUGUGACGACAACACCUCGGAGCUCAACUCCCAGGGACACUGCCACAACCCCUAAAUGUCAGGAGGCACCAAGAACAAUGUUCUCGUCACAAAACCAUCGGAACGAUUCCAAGAUACCCGCGUGAUCCUAAAAAAUAUUAGUGAAAUUUGAGGAGAGGAGAGUCAAAACUUCCAUGUCAGGGGGCCUCACCAGAGCGACGAAGGGACUGAGGAUUAAAAAGAAUCCUACUCUCUGAUAUAUAUAAUCCUAAGACUCAAAACAUUUUUUUUCUAGACUCAACAACACCAGCGAUUCGAUCAAGCAGGGGGCUCCUAAGUCGGGGAUGGCUCUGAUUACCAACUUGUAAUGCCCACGAUGCGGCUAUAUCUCCCACGUGUCGAGGCACGACUUAGAGGCAUAACCGCAUUGUAGGUUUUGUCGCAAGAAGGGUCAUCUUCACACAAUCCCAUUAAUGAACAAGAAUGGGAUAAAGAGAGUUGGCUUACAAUCGCCACUUCACACAAUACAUAAAUAAAUUCAUACAUCAUCCAAAAUACACACAUAGACCGACUACGGUCAAAUCCAAAUGAAAAGAAGAUAACCCCAAAUGCUAGAUCCCCGAUCGUCCCAACUGGGCUCCACUACUGCUCAUCAGGAAACGAAACAUAGUAACGACCACGGUCCUCAUCGAACUCCCACUUGAGCUCGGUUGCCUCACCUGCAUAGGUAUCCUCGGCACCUGCAACUGUUUUGGUAGAAUCUGUGAAUCACGAGGACUCAGAAAUCUCACACCCGCGAGAUCAAGACUAUUUAAGCUUGUGGGUAGGUAAGGGGUAAUAUGGUGGAGCUGCGGCAAGCACUAAGCAUUUAUGGUGGCUAACAUACGCAAAAGAGAGCGAGAAGAGAAGCAACGCAUCGGUCGAGAAGCUAAAAGUGAUCAAGAAGUGAUACUGAAACUACUUACGUUCAUACAUAACCCAGACCAUGUUCACUUCCCGGACUCCGCCGAAAAGAGACCAUCACGGCUACAGACGCGGUUGAUGCAUUUUAAUUAAGUCAAGUGUCAAGUUCUCUACAACCGGACAUUAACAAAUUCACAUCUGCCAGAUAACCGCGGGCACGGCUUUCGAAAGAUAAUACCAUGCAGGGGUGUCCCAACUUAGCCCAUCACAAGCUCUCACGGUCAACAAAGGAUAUUCCUUCUCCCGGGAAGACCCUAUCAGGCUCGGAAUCCCGGUUACAAGACGUUUCGACAAUGGUAAAACAAGACCAGCAAGACCACCCGACUGUGCUGACAAAUCCCGAUAGGAGCUGCACAUAUCUCGUUCUCAGGGCACACCGGAUGAGCGAAGCGUACAGGUACCAACGUAACCCAAGUUGCCAAGGGACGGUCCCGCACGGUGCUGUAGUUUGGACCAACACUCAGAGGAGCACUGGCCCCGGGGGUUAAAAUGAAGAUGACCCUUGAGUCCGCGGAACCCAAGGGAAAAAGGCUUAGGUAGGCAAAUGGUAAAACCAAGGUUGGGCCUUGCUGGAGGAGUUUUAUUCAAGGCGAACUGUCAAGGGGUUCCCAUUAUCACCCAACCGCGUAAGGAACGAAAAAUCAAGGAACAUAACACCGGUAUGACGGAAACUAGGGCGACAAGAGUGGAACAAAACACCAGGCAUAAGGCCAAGCCUCCCACCCUUUAUCAAGUAUAUAGAUGCAUUAAUUAAGUAAGAGAUAUGUGAUAUCCCAAAAUAUCCAAUUUCCAACAUGGAACCAACUUCAUCUUCACCUGCAACUAACAACGCUAUAAGAGGGGGUGAGCAAAAGCGGUAACUUAGCCAAACAACGGUUUGCUAGGAAAGGAUGGUUAGAGGAUUGACAUGGCAACAUGGGAGGCAUGAUAUAGUAAGUGGUAGGUAGCGCAGCAUAGCAAUAGAGCGAACAGCUAGCAAGCAAAGAUAGAAGUGAUAUCGAGGGUAUGGUCAUCUUGCCAGCAACGUUCUCAGAGUUGUCGAAAGCUUGAUCCUCGUAAGCGUUCUCAACAGGUUCCUCGAAAGCGUUCUCAUCUCCCGGCUCUACCCAAAGCAUGAACACAAGCAAAGGACCAACAAUCAAAUCACGGUGCAAUGCACAAGCAACAUGGUGCAAUACAUGGCAUGAUAUGCAAGAUGUGAUAUGCAAUGCAUAUGCGUGCUCCGGAAGGGAAAAGAUGAACAAGGCAUCAACUUGGCAAACCAAGUAUGCCGUUGGAAAGAUGAGAUGAUUUCGGUAGAAAUCGAUAUAGAGAUCACCGGAAACGGAUACACGGUUUGCAAAUGGCAAGCAAAACAAGAAUGACACAUUUCUGCGAUUAACAGCAUGACGCCAUAUAGAAUGCCACAAGAAACUGAGCUACUGCACUCCAACAUAGCAACAAAGCAUAUGGCCAUGAUGUACACGAGAUGCUUGACAAAACAUGAACACAGAGCUACGGCUAAAUCACACCAGAGCAGGUUCAAACAAGCAUGGAAAAAGUGCAAAAGAUAUCAGCUCCACAGACUUUGUGAAAAUACUAACAUGCCAGAAAUAACAUCAGGAAGCCAUGUUUAGAGCAAGCAAAUAGCAGGCUACAGGAACAUAUCAUAGCAAAUCAAGGCAUGGCAUGAAUCUACUAAAUGCAUAGAACAAAAGUCCCUUAGUGAUCAUGAGCCAAAAAGGCACAGAAGAUACGAUGGCACCUCUAUAAACAUAGCAAGUUUUAUUACCAGAUUCAGACUUGGUAGAAAACAGAGCAUGGCAUUAGCAGAAUUAUGAAGGCAUCUUUGCGAGCUUGAUUCACUCAUCAUAAGCAAUUUCAAGACAAGAUAAGCAUAGAAUCAGCAAGAAGACUUGUUCACGAAACUAGCCAUGGAAAGAACAAGCUCAUAGCAUGCAAGGAUCAACUACAACAACCUUGGCAAAAUUGAUUAACAUGUAAACAAUCUGCCAGGAACAUUUUAUAGCAAAAGUAGAGCAAGAUUGAGACAAGCUAGGGCACUCCAUAAUUGCAAACAGGGGCAUGGAUGGAUAGAGAACAUCUAUAUGUCCAAAACAUCCUUAAUGAACAUACUCAGAAUAUGCAUGAAUCCUACUGUAGCAACAUGGAUACAUGGCAUCAAAAAUAACAGCAGGAAAAAGGUCUUAGCAAAAUCCUAAGUCCCUGAAAACAACAACAUCACGAAGCCUAGUUUACAUGCUUGUGCUAGUCACCACAUAGAUCACAAAAAUACAUGGCAAGCACCCCUAUAAAGAUGGCAUGACCUAGAUCAAAACACAUGUAGAGCUCAUCCUCAUAAGAUGCACACAUCAAAAGCCACAAAAAUGACAAAACAUCAUAAUCUGAUAAGUAACAGCAGUAAACAUUUUAUAGCACUCUUGCAUCAAUGAAAAUGGCAUCAAGAUUAACUAAAACAAGCAUGGCACAAUGGAACAAAAUUAAGAGCAUCUCAUGAAGAACAUUUUGAUAUAUCAUGCACGCAAAACAGAGCAGUAUGAAAAGAGAUAUGACAUGAUGAAUAGGAGCACAUGAUGUGAGAAUUUCGGGACUUGGAAGAAAAACGGGGUCAACCUCAGAUCUAGGGUUCUUCGUGCACGCGAGCCGAGGCGGGACCGGGCUCGCCGGAGACGAUGCGGUGGCGGCCAGAUCUUGAGGAGGAGGUCGCCGGCGAGGACGGGGGCGCCGGAUCCGGGCUGCGGGGCGGCCGGCGGUGGAGGCGCGGACCGAGCGGGCGGCGGCGGACNNNNNNNNNNNNNNNNNNNNNNNNNNNNNNNNNNNNNNNNNNNNNNNNNNNNNNNNNNNNNNNNNNNNNNNNNNNNNNNNNNNNNNNNNNNNNNNNNNNNNNNNNNNNNNNNNNNNNNNNNNNNNNNNNNNNNNNNNNNNNNNNNNNNNNNNNNNNNNNNNNNNNNNNNNNNNNNNNNNNNNNNNNNNNNNNNNNNNNNNNNNNNNNNNNNNNNNNNNNNNNNNNNNNNNNNNNNNNNNNNNNNNNNNNNNNNNNNNNNNNNNNNNNNNNNNNNNNNNNNNNNNNNNNNNNNNNNNNNNNNNNNNNNNNNNNNNNNNNNNNNNNNNNNNNNNNNNNNNNNNNNNNNNNNNNNNNNNNNNNNNNNNNNNNNNNNNNNNNNNNNNNNNNNNNNNNNNNCUCCGGUUGGGGCGGGCGCGGCGGCGGACGCGUCCGGCCCGAUCCGGACGUGUCCGGUGGCGGAGAGGUGUGAGGCUAGGGUUUCGGGACCCGGGAUUUCGGAGGAGUGAACAUAUUUAUAGGUAGAGGGAGCUAGGAGACUCCAAUUAAGGAGCGGUUUUCGCCCACACGAUCGUGAUCCAACGACGGAGAGCAUGGAGGGGGUUUAGAUGGGUUAUUGGGCUGUUUUGGAGGGGUGUUGGGCUGCAAUACACAAGAGGCUUUUGCGGUUACCUGGUUAACCGUUGGAGCAUCAAACGGCCUCCAGAUGGAACGAAACUUGACAGGUGGUCUACCGGUGGUGUACCAAGGCCACUUGGCAAACCUCGGUCCAUUCCGAGAACGUUUAACACCCUCUCACGAAAAGAGACAAGAGGGGUGCGCCGGUGCAUGUGGGAGUGUCGGAUUGCAAAACGGACAACGGGGAAAAUGCUCAGAUGCAUGAGACGAACACGUAUGCAAAUGAGAUGCGCAUGAUGCCAUGAUAUGAAAUGCAUGACAUGAACAAAAUGCAAAGCGAAAGACAAAAACCCAACCACGGAGGGAAUAUCAUAACACAUAGCCGAAAAUGGCAAGAGUUGGAGUUACAAAUAUGGAAAGUCACAUCCGGGGUGUUACAACACUCCACCACUACAAGAGGAUCUCGUCCCGAGAUCUAGGACUGAAAGAACUCCGGAUAUUCGGAACGGAGGUGAUCCUCGCGCUCCCAGGUGGCUUCUCGGUCGGAAUGGUGUGACCACUUCACUUUCAGAAAUUUGAUUGACUUGUUGCGAGUCUUGCGCUCAAUUCCUUCAAGAAUAGCAACGGGGUGCUCAUGAUAAGACAAAUCUUCUUGGAGGUCAAUCUCUUCGAAGUUGAUACGCUCAUGCAUCUUGAAGCACUUGCAAAGCUGUGACACGUGAAACACAUCGUGCACAUUUGCGAAGUUGGACGGAAGCUCAAGUUGAUAGGCGAGGUCGCCUCUUUUGCCAAUGAUCUUGAAGCGACCCACGUAUCUAGGGGCAAGCUUCCCUUUGAUACCGAAGCGACGAGUGCCUUUCAUUGGAGAGGCGCGGAGGUAGACAUGGUCUCCGAUUUCAAAAGCCACAUCACGGUGCUGUCAUCAUAAUAGCUCUUCUGGCGCGAUUGCUCGGCUUUGAGAUUCUCACGAAUGACUUUACACAUUUCUUCUGCUUUUGUGAUUAAGUCAUUGCCAAGAAGUUGGCGUUCACUAGUCUCUGACCAAUUGAGAGGAGUACGGCACUUUCUGCCAUACAGAAUCUCGAAUGGGGCCUUGCCCGAACUCGCUUGGAAGCUGUUGUUGUAGGAGAACUCGGCAUAUGGGAGGCAAUCUUCCCACUUCAUGCCAAAGGAAAUGACACAAGCCCAUAGCAUAUCUUCAAGGAUUUGAUUGACUCGCUCGACUUGGCCACUAGUUUGAGGAUGGAAAGCUGUGCUGAAGCGAAUGUUGGUGCCCAUGGCCUUCUGGAAGGAGUCCCAGAACUUAGAAGUGAAGAUGCUUCCACGAUCUGAAGAAAUCAAUUGUGGAAUGCCGUGCAAGGAGACAAUCCUGGAGGUGUAUAGCUCUGCCAACUGAGUCGUUGUGAUAGAUUCUUUGAUAGGAAGAAAAUGAGACACUUUAGUAAGCUUGUCGAUGACAACGAAGAUGGCAUCGUUUCCACGCUUGGACUUAGGAAAUCUAGUCACGAAGUCCAUUUCGAUAUGAUCAAACUUCCAUUCUGGAAUAGCAAGAGGUUGGAGUAGACCAGCUGGUCGUUGGUGUUCUGCUUUCACCCUUCGAGAGACAUCACAUUCAUUCACGAAUUGAGCGAUUUCUCGCUUCAUUUGAGUCCACCAAUACGACUGCUUGUGGUCAUGGUACAUCUUCGUACUUCCAGGAUGAAUGGAUAGAAGGGAAUUGUGUGCCUCGUUCAUAAUGACUUUACUUAGAUCACCUUUAGGAACCACAAUCCGGUCCUUGAAGAAUAAAGUGUGUCGGUCAUCUAUGCGAUAGCACUUGUAUUUGGAAAGACCCUUGGCAAUCCCAUGUUUUACCUUCUUCACCAUGGAGUCAAGGAGUUGUGCCUUGUGAAUUUGAUCUUCCAAAGUAGGAGAGACUAGGAGGUUGGCAAGAAAGCGUUGAGGAACAACUUGGAGAUUCAGUUUGCGGAAAGCUUCACAAAGGUCCGGUUGGAAGGGCUUGAGGAUUAAGCUGUUGCAAUAAGCCUUCGUGCUCAAAGCAUCUGCAGUGACAUUGGCCUUGCCUGGAGUAUAUUCAAUACUCGGAUUGUACUCUUGAAUCAUUUCGACCCAUCGAGUUUGCCUGAGGUUGAGGUUGGCCUGAGUGAAGAUAUACUUGAGACUCUUGUGAUCGGUGAAAAUGUCCACUUUCCUUCCCAACAAGAGAUGUCUCCAUGUUAUUAAUGCAUGGACAACUGCCGCCAACUCAAGAUCGUGAGUGGGGUAGUUUUUUUCGUUGGGCUUCAACUGACGAGAGGUAUAGGCCACAACUUUCUUCUCUUGCAUUAACACAGCACCGAGACCUUGUAGAGAAGCAUCACAGAAAACUUCGAAUGGCUUGGAUUCAUCAGGAGGAGUUAAGACAGGAGCUGAGACGAGUUUCUCUUUGAUAGUGUUGAAAGCAACGUCACACUCAGGAGUCCAGACAUACUUCACAUGCUUCUGGAGGAGGUUGGAAAGAGGCUCUGCAAUCUUAGAGAAAUUCUCAACGAAUCUUCGGCAAUAGCUUGCAAGUACAAGAAAACUGCGAAGCUGCUUGACAUUCUGAGGAGGUUCCCAAUUCACAACUGCAGACACCUUCUCGGGAUUAACAGUGAUGCCCUUGGCAGAGAUGAUAUGGCCAAGGUAAAGAACUUCGUCAAGCCAAAACUCACAUUUGGAAAACUUCGCAUAGAAUUGAUACUCUCUGAGCUUGUCGAGCACCAAUCGCAAAUGUUUGGCAUGAUCCUUCUUAUUCUUGGAGAAGACCAAGAUAUCAUCGAGAUACACCAGGACGAAUUCAUUGGUGUAGGGGUUGAAGAUGAAGUUCAUCAUUCGAGAGAAUGUUGGAGGAGCAUUGACAAGGCCGAAAGACAUGACAGUAUAUUCAUAAGAACCAAAGCUUGUUCUAAAUGCUGUCUUGGGAAUGUCUUCUUCACGAAUGAGAAUCUGAUGAUAACCCAUCUGGAGGUCAAGCUUGGAGAAAACUUUAGCACCUUUAAGUUGCUCGAAAAGCUCAUUGAUGUUGGGAAGUGAUACUUGUUCUUUAUUGUCUUCUUGUUCAAUGGACGGUAGUCGACACAAAGUCGGUCCGUGCCAUCCUUCUUCUGGACAAAAAGAACACCACAACCCCAUGGAGAUGAACUCGGUCUGAUCAGACCCAGACGCUCUUGUUCAUCGAGCUGUUUCUUCAAUUCCUUCAGCUCCUUUGGUCCAAGCUUGUAUGGACGCUUGCAAACGGGUUUUGUACCGGGCUCAAGAUCGAUAACGAACUCGACUGGCCGGUGAGGAGGCAUACCCGGAAGCUCUUCUGGAAAGACAUCUUGGUACUCACAAACGACUAGAAUCUGAGAGAUUGCGUCUAGCUCGCCCUUCUCAUUGAGAGAGAAUAACCGAAUGGUCUCAUCACGAGCGGCAUAGAUGAUCACAUCCUCAGAAGAAUGUGUCAAUUGAAUUUCCCUGGCAGCAGAAUCAAGUUGAGCCUUGUGCUUAGAAAGCCAGUCCAUGCCGAGAAUUAGAUCAAUAUCCGAGUCACCAAGAACAAUUGGAGAAGACAGAAAUUUAUAGUUUCCCAUCUUGAUGGAAACAUCAGGGACUAUCGAGUUGGCUCUCAUUGACUUCCCCGGAGAAACAACACCCAAAGGUUUAUCCAGGUAAGACCAAGUAAAAUCAUUCUUUGCAAAGAACGAUCUUGACAUGAAACAAUGCGAUGCACCAGUAUCAAAUAAAACUUUUGCAGGAAUAUCAUUAACUGAGAGAUUGCCCAUUAUCACAUCAGUAGAUUCCUCCGCUUGAGCUGCAUUCAUCAUGUUCACCUUUGCAGACUUGGGAUUAUGCUUGACCACUGCAUUGCUGGAAGAUCUCACAGGAGGAGGAGGCGGAAGGCGCCUUUGGUUGAAGCACUUGUUAGCAUAGUGACCUUUCUGCUGACAUUUGUUGCAAGUCACCUCUGAGAGCGGACGAUGAUAAGGAGCAUUCGACCUUGGCGCUUGAUUCUGAGACUUGUUCUGAUAGCCAGGGUUGGGUGGGUGGGAAGAUCCAUGGCCACCUUUGUUCUUCUGCUGGAAAGGCUGACGAAACGGAGGAGGAGGAGGCAACCAGAACUUCUGAUGCUUAGCAGCCACUAGUGAGGAAGAAGAAGACUGAACUGCGUCCCUGACUCUCUUCUUAGAAGCCUAACACUUGAGCUGAGCAGCUUCUUGCUUCAGUUCCAUGUUGUAGAAUUCAUCAUACUUGGUCGGAUCAAAAGGCACGAGAGCUAAUUGCAGAUCUUCUCUAAGGCCACCUCUGAAUUGAUAGAUCAUGCUCUUUUCAUCAGGGACGUCUUGCUUAGCGAAGCGAGAGAGUUUCUGAAACUGGGUAUUGUAUUGAUACACGGACAUGCUGCCUUGCUUGAGAUUGUGGAACUCCUCACGCUUGCUCUCAACAACACUUUGUGGAAUGUGGUGAGCUUUGAAGUCUCGGCGGAAAUCAUCCCAGGUAAUCACACGACCUCCUCUGGAAUCUUUGUAUUGUUGAUACCACUCGGCAGCUUGAUCCUUGAGUUGAAAAGAAGCAAACUUGACAAAGUCCUCGGGCCUGACAUUGCUACAUUCAAAAUGCUUGUUGAUGUCCACAAGCCAAUCAUCAGCGUUUGUGGCCUCGGCACAGUAGCUGAAAGACUUUAGCUGAUUUGCAAGGAACUGGAUGAGGGUAGCGAAGUGAGGUUGAUUGUUGCCUUGGCCUUGAUUUCCUUGGUUGCCUUGCCAUUGGGUGCGCUCUUGCAAGAGUUGCAAAAUCAUCUAGGCAUUGGCGUUGGUGGCUGCCAUGACAGCUUGCCAUGCCUCCAGAGGCGGAGGUGGUGGCGGAGGGUUCGCCUGACUCCCAUCAUUGCGUUCUGGAUUCUGACGCGUUGGCGGAGCCAUCCUGAAGAGUGUGACAUCCGUUAGCAUCUUGACAGACAGAUAGGCAAGUUGAAUCAACGGAUAGAAAUUGUAACAUAUAGUCUUCACAAUAAACAUUCGAACGAGGAUGAACGAAUGAAUUCCAUAGUAAAUCAUCACACUUCCAUAAGUUGAGAAGCCACUUAGAAAACGGUAUGGAAUCAACAUUUGACUUCGAAGCAACUCGAAUACCACAACUCAAAACGAAACAAAGGAUUGGCUUGCAGAAUAAGCCGGAACAAACAUAUGAUAGAGAUUUUGUCCGAAGUUUUCGUGGUGGGGCCCACACGGACUCGAUCGUACAGCACCAUCAUGUACAAGGCAGUGCACAUGACAUACGAAGCGUCUCCGAGUCAGCAUAGCCAAGGACUCUUUAAGACACUACGAGACCACUGUAAAACCAACCGUGGAUAGGCGGACCACUAGACGUCGAACCCCAAUCUCAUAUCAUGCAUCUGUCGGAAAGAUAUCCUAGGAGCUACUUGAAUUCCCACUUAUAAACUCCCAAAACAUUCUGGUUAUGCAAUCAGGUGUUGGGGAUACAAGGGAUGCAAUAUAUCUCACCCAAACUAACAAUCCCUAGAUCCAGCUGUAUCCAUCCGUCAACACAUAACCAAGAAACCUUCGGAAAUCGUGUACCUCAACCGUCGAAGAGCAUCCGUUAUACGAAUUAUGGCAAUACUCCCGAACUCCCGCCCCAGUACUGGGUGGCGUCGAGGUGAUCUCACCAACAACUGCAUAAAAGAGAUUUUCGAUGUCGGCGAAACUCAGGUAUUCCAGAACUGCAACGAUAAAAUUGUGACGACAACACCUUAGAGCUCAACUCCCCGGGACACUGCCACAACCCCUAAAUCUUAGGAGGCACCAAGAACAAUGUUCUCGUCACAAAACCAUCGGAACGAUUCCAAGAUACCCGCGUGAUCCUAAAAAAAAUUAGUGAAAUUUGAGGAGAGGAGAGUCAAAACUUCCAUGUCAGGGGGCCUCACCAGAGCGACGAAGGGACUUAGGAGUAAAAAGAAUCCUACUCUCCGAUAUAUAUAUAAUCCUAAGACUCAAAACAUUUUUUUCUAGACUCAACAACGCCCGCGAUUCGAUCAAGCAGGGGGCUCCUAAGUCGGGGAUGGCUCUGAUUACCAACUUGUAACGCCCACGAUGCGGCUAUAUCUCCCACGUGUCGAGGCACGACUUAGAGGCAUAACCGCAUUGUAGGUUUUGUCGCAAGAAGGGUCAUCUUCACACAAUCCCAUGUAAUGAACAAGAAUGGGAUAAAGAGAGUUGGCUUACAAUCGCCACUUCACACAAUACAUAAAUAAAUUCAUACAUCAUCCAAAAUACACACAUAGACCGACUACGGUCAAAUCCAAAUGAAAAGAAGAUAACCCCAAAUGCUAGAUCCCCGAUCGUCCCAACUGGGCUCCACUACUGCUCAUCAGGAAACGAAACAUAGUAACGACCACGGUCCUCAUCGAACUCCCACUUGAGCUCGGUUGCCUCACCUGCAUAGGUAUCCUCGGCACCUGCAACUGUUUUGGUAGAAUCCGUGAGUCACGAGGACUCAGCAAUCUCACACCCGCGAGAUCAAGACUAUUUAAGCUUGUGGGUAGGUAAGGGGUAAUAUGGUGCAGCUGCGGCAAGCACUAAGCAUUCAUGGUGGCUAACAUACGCAAAAGAGAGCGAGAAGAGAAGCAACGCAUCGGUCGAGAAGCUAAAAGUGAUCAAGAAGUGAUCCUGAAACUACUUACGUUCAUACAUAACCCAGACCGUGUUCACUUCCCGGACUCCGCCAAAAAGAGACCAUCACGGCUACACACGCGGUUGAUGCAUUUUAAUUAAGUCAAGUGUCAAGUUCUCUAGAACCGGACAUUAACAAAUUCCCAUCUGCCACAUAACCGCGGGCACGGCUUUCGAAAGAUAAUACCCUGCAGGGGUGUCCCAACUUAGCCCAUCACAAGCUCUCACGGUCAACGAAGGAUAUUCCUUCUCCCGGGAAGACCCGAUCAGGCUCGGAAUCCCGGUUACAAGACGUUUCGACAAUGGUAAAACAAGACCAGCAAGACCACCCGACUGGGCCGACAAAUCCCGAUAGGAGCUGCACAUAUCUCGUUCUCAGGGCACACCGGAUGAGCGAAGCGUACAGGUACCAACGUAACCCAAGUUGCCAAGGGACGGUCCCGCACGGUGCUGUAGUUUGGACCAACACUCAGAGGAGCACUGGCCCAGGGGGUUAAAAUAAAGAUGACCCUUGAGUCCGCGGAACCCAAGGGAAAAAGGCUUAGGUAGGCAAAUGGUAAAACCAAGGUUGGGCCUUGCUGGAGGAGUUUUAUUCAAGGCGAACUGUCAAGGGGUUCCCAUUAUCACCCAACCGCGUAAGGAACGAAAAAUCAAGGAACAUAACACCGGUAUGACGGAAACUAGGGCGACAAGAGUGGAACAAAACACCAGGCAUAAGGCCGCGCCACCUACCCUUUAUCAAGUAUAUAGAUGCAUUAAUUAAGUAAGAGAUAUGUGAUAUCCCAAAAUAUCCAAGUUCCAACAUGGAACCAACUUCAUCUUCACCUGCAACUAACAACGCUAUAAGAGGGGGUGAGCAAAAGCGGUAACUUAGCCAAACAACGGUUUGCUAGGAAAGGAUGGUUAGAGGAUUGAUAUGGCAACAUGGGAGGCAUGAUAUAGCAAGUGGUAGGUAGCGCAGCAUAGCAAUAGAGCGAACAGCUAGCAAGCAAAGAUAGAAGUGAUAUCGAGGGUAUGGUCAUCUUGCCAGCAACGUUCUCAGAGUUGUCGAAAGCUUGAUCCUCGUAAGCGUUCUCAACAGGUUCCUCGAAAGCCUUCUCGUCUCCCGGCUCUACCCAAAGCAAUAACACAAGCAAAGGACCAACAAUCAAAUCAGGUGCAAUGCACAAGCAACAUGGUGCAAUACAUGGCAUGAUAUGCGAGAUGUGAUAUGCAAUGCAUAUGCGUGCUCCGGAAGGGAAAAGAUGAACAAGGCAUCAACUUGGCAAACCAAGUGUGCCCUUGGAAAGAUGAGAUGAUUUCGGUUGAAAUCGGUAUAGAGAUCACCGGAAACGGAUGCACAGUUUGCAAAUUGCAAGCAAAACAAGAAUGACACAUUUCUGCGAUUAACAGCAUGAUGCCAUAUAGAAUGCAACAAGAAACUGAGCUACUGCACUCCAACAUAGCAACAAAGCAUAUGGCCAUGAUGUACACGAGAUGCUUGACAAAACAUGUACACUGAGCUAUGGCUAAAUCACACCGUAGCAGGUUCAAACAAGCAUGGAAAAAGUGCAAAAGAUAUCAGCUCCACAGACUUUGUGAAAAUACUAACAUGCCGGAAAUAACAUCAGGAAGCCAUGUUUAGAGCAAGCAAACAGCAGGCUACAAGAACAUAUCAUAGCAAAUCAAGGCAUGGCAUGAAUCUACUAAAUGCAUAGAACAAAAGUCCCUUAGUGAUCAUGAGCCAAAAAGGCACAGAAGAUACGAUGGCACCUCUAUAAACAUAGCAAGUUUUAUUACUAGAUUCAGACUUGGUAGAAAACAGAGCAUGGCAUUAGCAGAAUUAUGAAGGCAUCUUUGCGAGCUCGAUUCACUCAUCAUAAGCAAUUUCAAGACAAGAUAAGCAUAGAAUCAGCAAGAAGACAUGUUCACGAAACUAGCCAUGGAAAGAACAAGCUCAUAGCAUGCAAGGAUCAACUACAACAACCUUGGCAAAAUUGAUUAACAUGUAAACAAUCUGCCAGGAACAUUUUAUAGCAAAAGUAGAGCAAGAUUGAGACAAGCUAGGGCACUCCAUAAUUGCAAACAGGGGCAUGGAUGGAUAGAGAACAUCUAUAUGUCCAAAACAUCCUUAAUGAACAUACUCAGAAGAUGCAUGAAUCCUACUGUAGCAACAUGGAUACAUGGCAUCAAAAAUAAUAGCAGGAAAAAGGACUUAGCAAAAUCCUAAGUCCCUGAAAACAACAACAUCACGAAGCCUAGUUUACAUGCUUGUGCUAGUCACCACAUAGAUCACAAAAAUACAUAGCAAGCACCCCUGUAAAGAUGGCAUGACCUAGAUCAAAACACAUGUAGAGCUCAUGCUCAUAAGAUGCAUACAUCAAAAGCCACAAAAAUGACAAAACAUCAUAAUCUGAUAAGUAACAGCAGUAAAUUUUUUAUAGCACUCUUGCAUCAAUGAAAAUGGCAUCAAGAUUAACUAAAACAAGCAUGGCACAAUGGAACAAAAUUAAGAGCAUCUCAUGAAGAACAUUUUGAUAUAUCAUGCACGCAAAACUGAGCAGUAAGAAAGGAGAUAUGACAUGAUGAAUAGGAGAACAUGAUGUGAGAAUUUCGGGACUUAGAAGAAAAACGGGGUCAACCUCAUAUCUAGGGUUCUACGUGCACGCGAGCCGAGGCGGGGCCGGGCUCGCCGGAGACGAUGCGGUGGCGGCCGGAUCUUGAGGAGGCGGUCGCCGGCGAGGACGGGGGCGCCGGAUNNNNNNNNNNNNNNNNNNNNNNNNNNNNNNNNNNNNNNNNNNNNNNNNNNNNNNNNNNNNNNNNNNNNNNNNNNNNNNNNNNNNNNNNNNNNNNNNNNNNNNNNNNNNNNNNNNNNNNNNNNNNNNNNNNNNNNNNNNNNNNNNNNNNNNNNNNNNNNNNNNNNNNNNNNNNNNNNNNNNNNNNNNNNNNNNNNNNNNNNNNNNNNNNNNNNNNNNNNNNNNNNNNNNNNNNNNNNNNNNNNNNNNNNNNNNNNNNNNNNNNNNNNNNNNNNNNNNNNNNNNNNNNNNNNNNNNNNNNNNNNNNNNNNNNNNNNNNNNNNNNNNNNNNNNNNNNNNNNNNNNNNNNNNNNNNNNNNNNNNNNNNNNNNNNNNNNNNNNNNNNNNNNNNNNNNNNNNNNNNNGCGGGCUUCGGCGGUGGGAGGCGGCGGCGCGCCAUGUGGCGGCCUUCGGUUGGGGUGGGCGCGGCGGCGGACGCGUCUAGCCUGAUCCGGACAUGUCCGGCGGCGGAGAGGUGUGAGGCUAGGGUUUCGGGACCCGGGAUUUCGGAGGAGUGAACAUAUUUAUAGGUAGAGGGAGCUAGGAGACUCCAAUUGAGGAGCGGUUUUCGCCCACACGAUCGUGAUCCAACGACUGAGAGCAUGGAGGGGGUUUAGAUGGGUUAUUGGGCUGUUUUGGAGGGGUGUUGGGCUGCAAUACAAGAGAGGCUUUUGCGGUUACCUGGUUAACCGUUGGAGCAUCAAACGGCCUCCAGAUGGAACGAAACUUGACAGGUGGUCUACCGGUGGUGUACCAAGGCCACUUGGCAAACCUUGGUCCAUUCCGAGAACGUUUAACACCCUCUCACGAAAAGAGACAAGAGGGGUGCGCCGGUGCAUGUGGGAGUGUCGGAUUGCAAAACGGACAACGGGGAAAAUGCUCAGAUGCAUGAGACGAACACGUAUGCAAAUGAGAUGCGCAUGAUGCCAUGAUAUGAAAUGCAUGACAUGAACAAAAUGCAAAGCGAAAGACAAAAACCCAACCACGGAGGGAAUAUCAUAACACAUAGCCGAAAAUGGCAAGAGUUGGAGUUACAAAUAUGGAAAGUCACAUCCGGGGUGUUACAACACUCCACCACUAAAAGAGGAUCUCGUCCCAAGAUCUAGGACUGAAAGAACUCCGGAUAUUUGGAACGGAGGUGAUCCUCGCGCUCUCAGGUGGCUUCUCAGUCGGAAUGGUGUGACCACUUCACUUUCAGGAAUUUGAUUGACUUGUUGCGAGUCUUGCGCUCAGUUUCUUCAAGAAUAGCAACGGGGUGCUCAUGAUAAGACAAAUCUUCCUGGAGGUCAAUCUCUUCGAAGUUGAUAGUACGCUCAGGCAUCUUGAAGCACUUGCGAAGCUGUGACACGUGAAACACAUUGUGCACAUUUGCGAAGUUGGACGGAAGCUCAAGUUGAUAGGCGAGGUCGCCUCUUUUGCCAAUGAUCUUGAAGGGACCCACGUAUCUAGGGGCAAGCUUCCCUUUGAUACCGAAGCGGUGAGUGCCUUUCAUUGGAGAGGCGCGGAGGUAGACAUGGUCUCCGAUUUCAAAAGCCACAUCACGGUGUUGUCAUCAUAAUAGCUCUUCUGGCGCGAUUUCUCGGCUUUGAGAUUCUCACGAAUGACUUUACACAUUUCUUCUGCUUCUGUGAUUAAGUCAUUGCCAAGAAGUUGGCGUUCACCAGUCUCUGACCAAUUGAGAGGAGUACGACACUUUCUGUCAUAUAGAAUCUCGAAUGGGGCCUUGCCCGAACUCGCUUGGAAGCUGUUGUUGUAGGAGAACUCGGCAUAUGGGAGGCAAUCUUCCCAGUUCAUGCCAAAGGAAAUGACACAAGCCCUGAGCAUAUCUUCAAGGAUUUGAUUGACUCGCUCGACUUGGCCACUAGUUUGAGGAUGGAAAGCUGUGCUGAAGCGAAUGUUGGUGCCCAUGGCCUUCUGGAAGGAGUCCCAAAACAUAGAAGUGAAGAUGCUUCCACGAUCUGAAGAAAUCAAUUGUGGAAUGCCGUGCAAGGAGACAAUCCUGUAGGUGUAUAGCUCUGCCAACUGAGCUGUUGUGAUAGAUUCUUUGAUAGGAAGAAAAUGAGCCACUUUAGUAAGCUUGUCGAUGACAACGAAGAUAGCAUCAUUUCCACGCUUGGACUUAGGAAAUCCAGUCACGAAGUCCAUUUCGAUAUGAUCAAACUUCCAUUCUGGAAUAGCAAGAGGUUGGAGUAGACCACCUGGUCGUUGGUCUUCGGCUUGCACCCUUCGACAGACAUCACAUUCAUUCACGAAUUGAGCGAUUUCUCGCUUCAUUCGAGUCCACCAAUACGACUGCUUGAGGUCAUGGUACAUCUUCGUACUUCCAAGAUGAAUGGAUAGAAGGGAAUUGUGUGCCUCAUUCAUAAUGACUUUCCUUAGAUCACCUUUAGGAACCACAAUCCAGUCCUCGAAGAAUAAAGUGUCUCGGUCAUCAAUGCGAUAGCACUUGUAUUUGGAAAGACCCUUGGCAAUCCCAUGUUUUACCUUCUUCACCAUGGAGUCAAGGAGUUGUGCCUCACGAAUUUGAUCUUCCAAAGUAGGAGAGACUAGGAGGUUGGCAAGAAAGCCUUGAGGAACAACUUGGAGAUUCAGUUUGCGGAAAGCUUCACAAAGGUCCGGUUGGAAGGGCUUGAGGAUUAAGCUGUUGCAAUAAGCCUUCCUUCUCAAAGCAUCCGCAAUGACAUUGGCCUUGCCUGGAGUAUAUUCAAUACUCGGAUUGUACUCUUGAAUCAUUUCGACCCAUCGAGUUUGCCUGAGGUUGAGGUUGGGCUGAGUGAAGAUAUACUUGAGACUCUUGUGAUCGGUGAAAAUGUCCACUUUCCUUCCCAACAAGAGAUGUCUCCAUGUUAUUAAUGCAUGGACAACUGCCGCCAACUCAAGAUCGUGAGUGGGGUAGUUUUUUUCGUUGGGCUUCAACUGACGAGAGGUAUAGGCCACAACUUUCUUCUGUUGCAUUAACACAGCACCGAGACCUUGUAGAGAAGCAUCACAGAAAACUUCGAAUGGCUUGGAUUCAUCAGGAGGAGUUAAGACAGGAGCUGAGACAAGUUUCUCUUUGAGAGUGUUGAAAGCAACAUCACACUCAGGAGUCCAGACAUACUUCACAUGCUUCUGGAGGAGGUUGGAAAGAGGCUUUGCAAUCUUAGAGAAAUUCUCAACGAAUCUUCGGCAAUAGCUUGCAAGUCCAAGAAAACUGCGAAGGUGCUUGACAUUCUGAGGAGGUUCUGUCGUGGAAUCGUCACGGCAGAUGUCCUAGUGUGAGGACUUAGUCGUGAGGCCAACGCAUCUAUUCGGUAGCUUGAGAGGGGUUGAUCGGGACGAGAGACGCAACACGCAAGAAAAGAAUUUAGAUAGCUUCGGGCCCCGGGAAACAUCAUCCGGUAAUAACCCUACAUGCUGUUUGUGGCUAGGUCUCAUUAUGAUCAUGAAUGAGUCGCCGGCUCAGCCGGCUCUUUGUGUCCAGCCCUAGAGAUUGUUUCUUGUUCCUUGUCCCUCUUGGGGUGCCCUGCCCCUCCUCAUAUAAGUUAGAGUGGCGGGUUACAUAUGGAGUCCUAUUAGGAUUAGGACUAGUCUAUCUUGCUUUACAAGUUGAAUACAAGUCCGGGUCUUGCUUCCUUGUAAAGGAAAUAAUCCUCACGCCUUUCAUCUUAAGCCAGCUGUCGUGGAAUUAACACGUCAGGUGUCCUAGGUGUAAGGACUUAGUCGUGAGGCCAGCGCAUCUAUGUAGUAGCUUGAGAGGGGUUGAUUGGGAUGAGAGACGCAGGGCGGUCCAACGCACGAGACAAGGGUUUAGACAGCUUCGGGCCCCGGGAAACAUCAUCCGGUAACAACCCUACAUGCUGUUUGUGGCUAGGUCUCAUUAUGCUUAUGAGAGAGUCGCCGGUAAGCCGGCUCUUUGAGUCUAACCCUAGAGAUUGUUUCUUGUUGCUCGUCCCUCUUUGGGGUGCCCUGCCCCUCCUUAUAUAAGUUAGAGGGGCGGGUUACAUGUGGAGUCCUAGUAGGACUUGGACUAGUCUAUCUUCUCUUACAAGUUAAUUACAAGUCCGGGUCUUGCUUCCUCGUAAAGGAAAUAUUCGUCAUCCCUUUCCUUUUAAGCCGGCCCAUCAUAAACGUGAGUCGGCCUUCUGGGCCUUGGGCCUAGUCUUCUAUCUGACCCGCCGUCGGGGUCAUCCGUGAGUCGUCAGGCUCGUGAGUCGUCUGGCAGUGAGCCGCCAGACCCGUGAGUCGCCAGUCCUCCGGCGGGUCACGGUGAAGCGCCAAGUCCGGCCGGGUCAUACUUCCGGCUGGGUCAUACCGCGGGGUAUAUCCCCGACAUUAGCCCCCAGUUUAAUUUGAAUUUAUCCAUGUUAAACUAAUCUGCAAUAUAAACACAAGAACAAAUUUGACAGCUUGUGUUCCGGGUUAAAUAUUCUUUGUAAGCCGGCACAUGAUCAUCCUUCAGUCCUUGUCAUCUUCCUUCUUGAUAUGUAUCCAUAAUCUCAUAGCAAAUCUCUUUAGCAGAUAUGUUCAAAUUUUGCCAAUGCAACAAAUCCAGAUACUUCCUUUGAAAAAUCCGGGUCAACAGGCCAGCAUCAGAGUCAAUUUGCUGACAUUGGUCUCUUGUUGAGAAAUAUUGUAAGAUAUAAUCCACUUGAGUCGGCUUUCAAUGCUCUGACUUGACAAAAAUAUUGGUCUUCAAAUAUUCAACUAAUAUUCAUCCGGCUUAAAGAUAUAAAACUUGCCGGUUUAUGAGUACCAAAAUUGCCGGGUUAUAAAUAGAUGAUGCCAAGUCAUAAUUGUCGCUGACGCCGGUUUAUGAUUUUUGCAGACACCAGGUCAAUCUGAUUUACUCAAAACUGAGAAUUUGAAGAUAUUUCUCCCUUAUAUCCAUAUUACCUGUAGCCCCCAAGGGCCGGUUUAAUCAGCAUGAAUAAGCCGGGACUUAUCACCAUGGCUUUAAAUAAAAUCCAGUUGUGUAGCCCCCAUGAGUCGGCUAUAGUCAUAGUAGUGUAGCCGGGUCAUCCUAGAAUUGUCUUGAAUUUUUGACAGGAGCAAUUAGUAGUCCCCAAGGGUUGGCUCAUUACGAUGUGAUGAGUCGGGUCUUCAAUGAAGUGAUCAAAAAAUGACUUUGCAUUAGCCCCCAAGUGCCAUGGUGCAUGCUGGCAGUGACAUGGGACUUGCAUAUUUGAUGUAAUCUCAACAUGAAUAAUGUAGCCCCCAAGUGCCGGGUUAUAAGCCUGCAGCGACUCGGGACUUAUCUGUUGACAAGUAAAUCCGGAGUUUAGAUACCCGGCGGCUCUUGGCCGAUGGCAAUUUAUUACGCCUCCAUUGUAAGCCGGAAAUUUUAUAACCCGGCUAUUUAUAGCCUUUUGAGAAAAUCAAAAAUUGAUAACCCUUUUGAGACACCAAUGUCAAUCUGGGAUAUUGAAUUUUCACUGCCGGUUUAUGUGACCUGUGCAGUAAGUGUCGGGACCCCGAUUCCAAGUCACACCGAUCUAGCCUGUAACACCUCAUAUCACUUUGCGGCCUCACGCACGGUACUCCCACGGGUGUCGCCUUACCAUGGCCCAGGACCGUUUGCGCCUUUUGGCUCACGUAUAUGACAAUGUUGCUAGCAUCCAUAUGACAGAGAACCCGGCCGACAUGGCUAGUCGUGAACCCAAAGCGGCACUAACAUAUGGGGACAGGCAUACAUGAAUCAACAUCGAACGUGUCGGUCAGCAGCGUGCGAAUCCGGGCUGUAGCACUGGGCUAACAGGACUCCGGGAACCCGGGCUGUAGCAGGCUAGGCAGGACUCCGGAUGUCACCGCGUGACAUUUCCCCGAAGGGACAGACACAGGAACGAUAUGAAACACAUGCCGGCCAGUCAAGUGUCCAGAGCAGUAGUGCUGGGCUAGCAGGACUCCGGUGAACCGGGCUGUAGCGGACUACUAUGGCUCAAGGAGGCACUAGACUACAUUUCCCCAUAAGAGAGGCUGCUAAGGAUAAACAACUAGAUUGUCGGAUCCCACACAUACCAAGCAUUUCAAUCAUACACACAAUAUGCUCGAUAUGUGCAAAUACAACAUGGCAUCACAACAAGACUCUACGACUCAGAGUAUUUAUUCAUUAGGCUCCGAAGAGCCAGAUAUACAAACAUGGGUCUCAUGACCCAACAUUCAGAGCAUACAAGUCAAAGCACAUGCGGAAGCUUAACCUGUCUGAGUACAGACAUCUACAAAUGAAAAAGGCUGAGAAGCCUGACUAUUUACUAGAUCCUGCCGAGGGCACAAGAUCGUAGCUGAGGUAUCAAGCUAAACGUCGAAGUCCACACGGAACUACUAGCGAGACUGACGUCUUUCUGCAAAACAUAAAAUAGGCAAACGUGAGUACAAAUGUACCCAGCAAGACUUACAUCAGAACUAUCUACAUAUGCAUCGGUAUCAACAAAAGGGGUGGUGGAGUUUAACUGCAGCAAGCCAGCUUUGACUCGGUGGCUAUCCUAAACUAUGACUGCAAGUAACUCUUUUGAGGUGGCGCACACGAGUCCACAUAUUCACCAUAUCAAUACACCACUAUGGAUCCGCUCCCGUCUCCCUACGAGAACGCCAUCCACAGCACUCACGCUUAUCUUGCGCAUUUUAGAGUAUCCACUUUCACUUGUCUAUGAACUGUACAGGCGACCCAGAAGUCCUUUACCGCGGACACGGCUAUUCGAAUAGAUCAUAUUAACCCUGCAGGGGUGUACUUCGUCACACACGCUCUCGCCACUUACCACCAUGUACACGUCGUGUACCUCGGCAACCUUCAAGCGGAAGCCUGGCGAGGGAGUCGGCCACGACCUGACUAACCACACAAGUCUCUAGUCCAGGUUUAUCGCCUAUUCGGGUUCCAUCCGCAAGGAGAUCCGGCCGGGGUGUCGCUCACGGCCCCAAACGAUGUGUGCAGGGUUCCCGAGCCCACCAUCCGGGNNNNNNNNNNGGGUGCCACUUGGUAGACUACUAACACUACCUACAAACACCAGAGACUAGUUGCAACUCCUGGACAGAGAUCGAGGCGGUUAAUAAGCCGAGAGGGGUCGAGUUACCGGAACCCAAUGUGUGGUAGUAACUGUUCAUGGAUCACAAACACAGAACUCAGUUCCUGAGGACGGUUUCAAUGAGACAACCCACCAUGUACUCCUACAUGGCCUCUCACCGCUACCUUUACCAAAUCGUGUUCACACACUUAGCUCUCAACAGUAGGACAUGUUCACCACAUUCCAAUUCAUUCCCGAUGAAUCAGACCUGACACAACUCUAAGCAAUAGCAGGCAUGACAAACAAGCAUGAAUGAGUAGGCACAUCAGGGCUCAAACAACUCCUACUCAUGCUAGUGGGUUUCAUCUAUUUACUGUGGCAAUGACAGGUCAUGCAGAGGAUAAAGGGGUUCAACUACCGCAGCAAGUAACAGAUGAAUCGUUGUUGUCCUAAUGCAGUAAAAGAGAGCAGGAGCGAGAGAGUGGGAUUGUAUCGGAAUGAGCAAGGGGGUUUUGCUUGCCUGACACUUCCGAAGAUAGUAUAGCUCUUCAUCGGUGUCAUCGAUCGCAUCGUCGAAGCAACAUCUACCGAGAGGGGACAAUACCGGCAAACAGAGAAGAAACACGAUCAAUGCAAUGCACAAUAUGAUGCAUGCUAUGACAUGGCAAUAUGAAUGUGUUUUGAGCUAAUGCAACUAACAACAUAUUAAAUGGAGUUGGUUUGAAUCCAAGAUUCAAAUUCAAACUCCAUAUGUGGAAAUUCAAAUGCCAUUUACAUGAUUUGUCCUAAACAGUAGUCAUAAGUUGUUCUAACAUGCAUGGAAAUGCCAUAAACAGAUUCUUUGGAUUUUUCUGAUAAUUUUUCAUAUAUAAAUUAUUUCAUUUGGAGUUACGGUUGAUUUUCUAUGAUUUUUAGAAGUUUAUAGGAUUUUCUGGAAUUUCCUGGAUUAUUUUAAAUCUAGAAAAUCAAUUAUUGCAUCAGCAUUGCGUCAUGCCUGUGUCAGCAGUCAACUGGGUUGACCCAGGUCAAACCUGACGUGUGGGGGCCACACGUCAGCGACACAGGGCUAAUCCCGGUCAAACCCAGCGCUGACUGGGGUUUGACCCUGUGGUAGGGCCCACUGUCAGUGGCUGUGAGGUGGCUAGUUAAGGGAUUAGCCUCUAAUGACGGAGCCACGUCAUCAUCGCCGGACUCUGGCCGGCGGCGACCAUUCCGCACGGCGGAGCUGCAGCUGGGCGGCGCUAGGGCUGCGGUUAGGUGCGGUGCGACCACCAGGAGGGAGCCCAUGCUCGUCCGCAUCCAACGGAGUAGGCAGCAGCGACUGGGGUGCGCUGUACUCGCCGGAGACGAGCUCGCGGCGGCGGCCGGAGUUCGGGAACAUGCGGGGUUAGCGCUGCGGCAUGCAAACGAGCUGGCUGUCGCGCUAGUGUUGCUCCACGGGGCGUUGCGAGUGCAACGGACGCACGCGCGGGGCCAUUUGGUCACCGGGGCUUCGCCGGCGACGAGCCCGUGCGGCGAUGGCUAUGGUGAGCAAGGGGGCAACGGCUACGGCGACAGAACGGGGGCAGGGUUAGGGGGGAAAUGACCGGGGGCUCACCGCGGUCACAAAGAGCUUCUCGCCGAGCUCGGGGAGGCACGGGCGGCGUCGAAUCGACGGUGGGGUUGCCGGCGGCCGAAGCUCGAAGACGAUGAUGAUGCAGUCGUUGCAGGGCGUCCGGAGUGGCUUCUUUUGGUGGAGAGGCGUAGCGCGAGGUGGCGGAGCUGCUGGGCAUCCUAGCUAGGCGAGGGGGGCUCGGUGGCCACGGCAACGGCGAGCGGCCUCGACGAGCUCCACUCGGGCAAAGAGGGAGAGAGAGCAGAGGGCGAGGGAGAGGAGCGAGGGGGUCGAGGGGAGAUGCGUGGCGUUCACAGCCGCGUCGGGGAAGCGGCGGAAGCAAGAGGUGGCGCGGGCGCGUGCCAGCGUGCGGCGAACACACGCCCGGCGUCCCUCUGGCGUCCUUCUGGCGCGAGGUGGGAGACGGUGGCAGCUCUGGUGGGCUGGGCCAGCUCCUGGGCCGUGGUGGGGCGCCAGGUAAGUCCAGGUGAGGGGCCCAGGUGAGUCCUUCUCUCUCUCUCCUUUACAUUUAAUUCUAUUUUCUAUUUUUCUGUAGUUUGUUUUGAUUUAGUUAUAGCCCAAAUCAUUUUAAUAAAUCCUGAAAAUAAUUGUGGGCACUUUUGAAAAUAUCUCAAAUAGCCCUCAAAUACUUUCAAGAUUAUUUGGACAGUUAAGAUAUUUUAUAGAAUUCAAAAGUCCAAAUUCAAAUACUUAUGAUUUAAUUCAAAAAUCCAGAAAUGACCUAGAAAUAUGUUUAUCAUUUUUGGCAGAGGUUUUUACCUUUAUCAGAAAUGAUGAACAUUUCCAAAGGCAUUUUGGGAUCAUUGAAAAUAUUUCAUUGUGAUCCUAGUUGGAUUUCAUUUGGUGCUAGGGUUUGAACAUCCCCAUUUCAAGUUUAGGCAAAAUUUAAACAUGAUACACACAUGAAGCUAGCCUAGUGCAUAGCAAGGCUAGGGAUGUGACAGUAAGGGUGACAACCCAAUCUUUGAUACGCGCAUGAUUCCCAUGGCACAAUUCAAAACAUGCCGGCGGCUUAAAGUCCAUAGCCAGGGCCACUUUAAACAUAAUCAUGUAUAAACAAUAUCAUACCUGUGAUAUUGAAUUGUACUGCCAGCUUAUGAUACCUGUGCAGUAAGUGUGAUAACCCAAUCCUUAGAAGCCAAUGCUUCCACAUAGAUGAUGAUUGUCAUAAGCCGGCGACUUAUCAUCGAAAAUCAAGUCGGGCUUAAAUAAAACCACUCAUAUACACUUUAGAUGUGUUCAAAAGAGCUUCAAAUAAAAUCCCAAAAAUUAUUUGCAAAAAGAAACUUCAAAAAAUCUUGAGGCUUCUGAUUCGAAUACGAUCAAAAAACCAUCCCAAAGGGGUUAAGCUAAGAUUCGAAUACGAUCAUAUAGCCCCCAGUGGCUUUGGCGUUGCCGAUCAAGAGGGUACCGACCGCUAUGUUCUCUUUGGUUCGAAUACGACCUAUGUUUGAACAGGAAGCCCCCAAAUGACCUUGAGAGUUGUUUAACGACGCUAAUUCGAAUACGAUCCACGUCGGUUCCCAAAAGGGGUUGAGCUAUGAUUCGAAUACGAUCAAGAAACUCCCCAAUGAGCUCGGCAGUGUGCCGAUCAAAAGGGUAUCGACAGCUAUGUUCUCUUUGGUUCGAAUAUGACCUAUGUUUGAACAGGAAGCCCCCUAGUGAUCAUGAGAAUAUUUAACGACUCUGAUUCGAAUACGAUCAGGGUCACACCAAAAGGGUUAAGCUAAAUUCAAAUACGAUUAGCUCCCAAUGGUCAUUAAAGCAGGGUACCUAUAUUUGAGUUGUGCUUUGUAACAGACUCUCUUUGGUCCCUUUAAUUUUUCCUGAGAACUCGAACUUUGCGAGAGAUAACCUCUUUUUGAACCGGAAAUUUGUAAACCGUAUAUUAAGAGCUUCAAAGCUUUAUAAGAUAAAAAUUUACCUUGAGUCGGACGUUUGAACCGGAUUUGAGAGCUUCAAAACCUUGCGGGAGAAAGAUAUCUCUUGAACCGGAUUUUAAACCGGAAUCUUUAUUUGAACCGGCAAUUUUCUGACGGCCUUUAAAGUUUCAUCAAUAUGGUAGCAGCCUCCGGAACCGGGUUAUCAUUCCCUCCAACGACCCGGGGUUCCCGAGUCAUGUCACUGUAGCCCCCGAGUCUCAAGAUGACUCGAGGAGUUGGCUUGAGAUUCUCCAUAUUUAACCGUGAUAUAAACCGACAUAACUUGUAUAUCACUGGUGUUGAUAACACGAUGUGUAUCCACAGAAGGUUGAGCUGACUGCGGCGGGUUAUAAAUGAUCCCGUAUGAGCCGUGUCAGCAACUCGGCCAAUGGUUCCUUCCAAUUGGCUGGUUGAAGUUUGACCAAACUGUAGUGACCGCGACUUGUGCGCAUGUCCAUUGAGCCAUCUGGUGCAGACGGCGGUUGAUAGUAUAUGAUAAUUGCCUCCAUUUUGUUGAAAGAAAAACCGGGCUUCCCAAGUAGUGACCUGCUCAUACUCAAUACACAGCUCAUGCAGAUAAGUGCUGCUCGGUGUGUUGAUGUAGACCAGGCCGCGAGAGGCGGACGGAAAAGACGACCUCAGCAUCAGAGGCGGCCCAGACAGACGAACCGGCCGCGGUGUUAUAAACCGGCGCAGUCGGGCGAGCUAACCACGCCGUUUUGAUGUAGUGAACAAUUGUCCUGCAUCAACAAUAUUGCAGACCUAGAGAAAGAUAAACUGCUCUUUGACAAAAUAAUAUGUACCAAUAAAAUAUAUUUUAGAUGGAUAUCACCUGAUGUGCCAGGCCAGAAAUAAUCCGCCAUGAAAUUGAUGAUCGCUAGGUGAAGUUGAAGUCGCUCAUGGGUGAACCGGCCACGGCGUGAUAAACCGGUGUGGACGGGUGAGUCGGCCGUGACUUUUGUAAGCCGGCGCAGACAGCGAGUCGGCCACGGCGUUGUAAGCCGGCGCAGACACGUGAACCAGCCGCGAGGGCGGACGGGCGAGUUGUCUGUGGUGUUGUAAACCGGCACAGACGGGUGAGCCGUCCGCAGUGUUGUUUUUGUAGGCUGAGCCACAGAGGCGGCGGCUUGCGCACACACAUCAGUUGAACAAUGCGGUGUGGUUGGAUGCUGACGCUUGAUAAUAUUGGGGCGAGCUUUUAUAUCCGUGACAUAACGAUCAUUCUUGCAGUGAGUAAUUGUCCUGCAAAGAAAACAUCGCGAUCCAGAGCAAUUGUUCUUUGACAAAAAGCAAUAUAUGCUAAAUAAAAUAAACUUAAAACGGAUAGAUAUCACCUGAUUGUUCGGAUGACGGAUGAUCCGUUCAACGCAACAGAGGCGGCUCAGGCAGAUCGACGUCUCAAUAUAGUCCGGGCGGCUCAACACAGCAGAGGCGACUUGAACAACUUGAAACGAACGCGAGUCAACCCGGGGCAGGCGGCGGCUCAUCGUGUGACUGCGGUUUAGAAUGGUCCCGGCGACUCAACGCAACAUCUUUGUAUGUACGUCUAGCGGAUGUAGCAGUAACAUCCACGUGACCCUCCUUUUUCUAGUACUGUUUUAACUUGAAUUUUUUUUAUUACCCCCAAUAAUAGUUGUCCAUCGUAAGCAACGCUCGAGCGGCGGCUCAACAAUGAAACGAAGCAUAAAGGCCUUGGUCUUUUCCACCAGACAACGCGACACGGACGACCCGGCAGAACAAUGCUGGCACGCACUCCGUAUGCAUGAUAAUUACCACUUUUGUAAUUGUUCUGAUAUUUUGUCGGAUGACCGUGGAUGCUGCCGUCUGAUAAUACUGGACAUAUCCCGGAAAAAACAGCAUAGGUAAAUGCCAAUUUGAUGGGACGUGAGAAGCAUGAUUUGCUUACAUCACAUAACUAGCUUGGCCGCUUCCUCUUCUCUGUACUCUAUUUCGUUUGAUCAGAAGGUUCCGGUCAGGUUUACUUUUACCAUGUGUUGCAAUUGUCAGUAGCAAGGGAGGCCAGCAAGGGCGGCUCGCUGUGAAAACCAGGCGCGACGGCGGCUCGGCAAUCCGUCAGGGCGGCAAUCCGUCCGCGCAGCUAAUCAGGUGAUUGGUGUAGCUGCAGGCGAAGGCCAGAUUCACAAUCCGGAUGGUGGCUGUUGCAGAUGUUGACGAUAAAAAUCCCGGCUCAGCAUGGAAGAGUGCGAUUUGGAGGUACCGGGCUGCGGCCGAAACAUAGACCAGCAGAAGGCCCGGAUGGCGGCUGUUACAGAAGAUGAGGCCACGCCAGGCCACAUGGGCGAGCUCACGCGGGAGCGAGGAGGAGCAGCUCGUAGGAAACUAGGCGCGAUGGCAGCUCGCCCCGGCGAAUCCGAGUCAUGGUUGUCUUCCUCUCUCUUUCUUUUUUCAAUGAUACCCGUAUCAGUUGUGACUUUUCCUUUCUUUGAAUCCUGAAUUGGCUUCAGAAGUAGCACUUUGCUAUUUGAUUUGCAGCUUUCUCAUGCAAGUUGACUUGCUUCUGGUGAUUGAUGUACGAGUCCGUCUCGGGACUUGAUUGUGCCAGCUGCAACUGGGUAGGGGCGGCUUGCGGUUUGACAGCAGCCACUUCAAUGGACAAGACUACUGCCCUGGUGAUUUGCACACGAUGGAAAACCCUGUCGGUCCGGACUUCUAGCGAUAGCAGUAGCGCUCCCGAAAUCGAUCUGGCUCCAGAUCAACAGAUCGCCAUGGCACCUGUGGCGGCGAAAAUAUGCAAUCCUAUAUAUAUUUUUCCGAACUUAAAUCUCGUACUCCAAGUUUCAAAGUUUAACCAGCGAAUUUUAGCUGAUCCGGCCGGCGACGAAAUUCUUAAAAGAGUCCAGCAACUGUUCCUUGCUAGGUUAUUUUGCAUGAUUGUUCUGUGACUACUCUUCUCCAUCUGAGCAAUCGCGAGCUUCUCGAUCCCUAGGAGAAAUCCCUCCAAGAACUCAACACCACCGUGCGCAGCCCCACGGUGGGCGCCAACUGUCGUGGAAUUAACACGUCAGAUGUCCUAGGUGUAAGGACUUAGUCGUGAGGCCAGCGCAUCUAUGUAGUAGCUUGAGAGGGGUUGAUUGGGAUGAGAGACGCAGGGCGGUCCAACGCACGAGACAAGGGUUUAGACAGCUUCGGGCCCCGGGAAACAUCAUCCGGUAACAACCCUACAUGCUGUUUGUGGCUAGGUCUCAUUAUGCUUAUGAGAGAGUCGCCGGUAAGCCGGCUCUUUGAGUCUAACCCUAGAGAUUGUUUCUUGUUGCUCGUCCCUCUUUGGGGUGCCCUGCCCCUCCUUAUAUAAGUUAGAGGGGCGGGUUACAUGUGGAGUCCUAGUAGGACUUGGACUAGUCUAUCUUCUCUUACAAGUUAAUUACAAGUCCGGGUCUUGCUUCCUCGUAAAGGAAAUAUUCGUCAUCCCUUUCCUUUUAAGCCGGCCCAUCAUAAACGUGAGCCGGCCUUCUGGGCCUUGGGCCUAGUCUUCUAUCUGACCCGCCGUCGGGGUCAUCCGUGAGUCGUCAGGCUCGUGAGUCGUCUGGCAGUGAGCCGCCAGACCCGUGAGUCGCCAGUCCUCCGGCGGGUCACGGUGAAGCGCCAAGUCUGGCCGGGUCAUACUUCCGACCGGGUCAUACCGCGGGGUAUAUCCCCGACACCGGCCCACCAGAGUAUAAGCCUACCUGCCGGGCCUUGGGCCUUGUCGCCCGUCUGAUCCGCCCGCCGGGUCUCCAGUGAGUCACAAUGUCCAGGCGGGUUACUCUGUGAACCGCUAUGUUCGGGCGGAUCGCCAGUGAGUCGCCAAGUCCGGCCGGGUCAUACCGUGGGGUAUAUCCCCGACAUUAGGCCCCAGUUUAAUUUGGAUUUAUCCAUGUUAAACUGAUCCUGCAAAAUAAACACGAGAACAACUUUGAUAGGUUGUGCUCCGGGUUAAAAAUUCUUGUAAGCCGGCCCCUGAUCAUCUUUAAGUCCUUGUCAUUUCCUUCUUGAUACACGCCCAUGUAUUCAUAACAAAUCUCCUCAACAGAUAUGUUUCAACUUUGUCAAUGCAAAAAAUCCAGAUACUUCCUUUGAAAAACCCGGAUCAAUAGGCCAGCUUCAUAACCAAUUUGCUGACAUUGGCUCUUGUAGAGAAAUAUUAUAAGAAAUAAUCCAUUUGAGUCGGCCUUCAAUGCUCUGACUUGACAAAAAUAUUGGUCUUGAAAUAUUCAACUGAUAUUCAGCCGGCUUAAAGAUGUAGAUCUUGCCGAUUUAUGAUUGCCAAAAUUGCCGGGUUAUAAAUAAAUGAUGCCGGGUCAUGAUUGUUGCAGACACCGGGUUAAUCUGGUCUGCUCCAAACUGAGAAUUUGAAUAUAUAUAUAUAUAUUUUUCCUUAUAUGCCUAUCACCUGUAGCCCCCAAGUCUUAAGAGGAGAACAUAGUGAUAACUUAAGACUUGCUUCAAUAUAAGUGUUGCAACCUUGAAGAAAUCUGGGUUAUUCAUCUCAAUCAUUAGUCAUAAACUAAAUAUUCCAUAUAUGUAGCCCCCAAGUGCCGGGUUGUCAUGCUUGCAGCAACCUGGGACUUGUAAUUGCCUUAUGCUCAUAAAAACUUCAACUAGUGUAGCCCCCAAGGGCCGGGUCAUUAUGCAAUAAUGAGCAGGGACUUUGUAAAUAUGAUCAUGUAAACUUGACCAGUAACGUGUAGCCCCCAAGGGCCGGGUCAGUAAGAUAUUAACGAGCUGGGACUUUGUAUAUGAUUCAUUGAUAAUAACAACAUAUGAUGUAAUCUCCACCAUGGGGCUUGAACCCACAUCCACAAGGUUAAGAGUUUUGUACUCUACCAACUGAGUAGUGGAUCUUUCAAUAUAAUGGAUUAAGGCUUGUGUACCUUAAAUUUUCGACAGGAGCAAUUGGUAGCCCCCAAGGGCUGGCUCAUUUAGAAUGUGAUGAGUCGGGUCUUCAAUAAAUUGAGCAAAAAGUGACUUUGCAUUAGCCCCCAAGUGCCAUGGUACAUGCUGGCAGUAACAUGAGACUUGCAUAUUCGAUGUAAUAUUAAUUUGAAUAAUGUAGCCCCCAAGUGCCGGCUCGUAAGCCUGCAGCGACUCGGGACUAUUCCUUCUAGUGUAGAAUAAAUCAUAUCCAAAAAUAAUCGCCAUUGUGCCGAAGCGACUUUGAAUACCUUAUCUGUUGACAAGUAAAUCCGGAGUUUUAAAUACCCGGUGGCUCUUGGCCGAUGGCGAUUUAAUACGCCUCCAUUCUAAGCCGGAAUUUUUAUAACCCGGCGGCUUAUAGCCUUUGAGAAAAUCCAGAACGGAUAAUCAUUUUGAAGCAUCAAUUUUAAUGAUGAGCUUGGACUUAAAUAUUUAUAUAAGUCAUAGUUCUGCAAAUCAUGCACAGAGUUUAAACAACAUACGCCCUGGCGACUUAAUGUCAAAAGCCAGGGCGGGUAACCAUCCAAAUGUAGUCUUAUCCUGCACACAAGUAGACCACGGGAACCCUUGGCAGUUUACCGUAGGGCGGGUCAUAAUAUCUUACAUAUGACCACUGAUGUGUAAAAAAGGAGUCACAGAUAAGCCUGUUAUGAAUCAUAACUUUGAAACAUAACUAUAAUAUCAUACCUGUGAUAUUGAAUUUGCAUUGUCGGUUUAUGUGACCUGCACAGUAAGGGUGAUAACCCAAUCUUUGAUACGCGCAUGAUUCCAAUGGCGCAAUUCAAAACAUACCGGCGGCUUAAAGUCCAUAGCCAGGGCCGGCUCAUUACAUAAUCAUGUAUAAACAAUAUCAUACCUGUGAUAUUGAAUUGUACUGCCGGCUUAUGAUACCUGUGCAGUAAGGGUGAUAACCCAAAACUGAGAAGUCAAACCUUCCAAAUAUUAAUAUUGUCAUAUGCUGGCGACUUGUUCGUCGAGAGCCAGGGCGGGUUAAUAGAAACCACAUAUAUAUGCUUCAGAUAUGAGCAAAAAGUCUCAAAACCCAAAAGAUUGCAUUCAAAAAACUUAAUCCAGACAAAAAGAAAAUCAAGGCUUAUGAUUCGAAUACGAUCAGUAAACUGUUCCAAAGGGGUUAAGCUAGGAUUCGAGUACGAUCAUUUCGCCCCAGUGGCUUUGGCGUUGCCGAUCAAGAGGGUACCGGCAGCUAUCUUCUCUUUGGUUCGAAUACGACCUAUGUUUGAACAGGAAGCCCCCAAAUGACCUUGAGAGUUAUUUAACGACGCUGAUUCGAAUACGAUCCACGUCAGACCCAAAAGGGGUUGAGCUAUGAUUCGAAUACGAUCAAGAAGCCCCCUAGUAAGUUUGGCAGUGUGCCGAUCAAAAGGGUGCCGACAGCUAUGUCCUCUUUGGUUCGAAUACGACCUAUGUUUGAACAGGAAGCCCCCAAGUGACCAUAUAAGUUUUGGCAUUGCGCCGAUCAAAAGGGUACUGACAGCUAUACUCGAUGAGCAGGAAGCCCCCAAGUGACCAUAAUAAGAUAAGCCGUAAAGCGGGAUACCCAUGUUUGAACCGUGCAUCAUGGUAGCAAGCCCUUUUUGGCACCCUUUAAUCUUUCUGAGAACUCGAACUUGCGAGAGAUUGAUUCUUUUUGAACCAGAAUUUUAAACCGGAUUUGAAAGUUUAAAACUUUGUGAGAGAUAAAUUUACCUUGAGCCGGAUUUUGAACCGGAUAUUAAGAGCUUCAGUGUUUUGUUGGAGAGAGAUUGUCCUUAAUUUUGAACCAGAACCCUUAUUUUGAGCUAGAAAUCUUCUGACGGCCCUUAAAUUUUUAUCGAUCUAGCAGUAAUCCCCGGGGUCGGGUUAUUUUUCCCUUCAAUGACCCGGAGUUCUUGAAUGCAUUGAAACCGACCAAUGCUGCCGAGUCAUAUCAUUGUAACCCCCGAGUCUCAAGACGACUCGAGGAGUUGGCUUUGAGAUUCUCCAUAUUGACCAUAGCAUAAAGUGUAUAUCAUUGGUGUUGAUAGCACGAUGUGAAUCCAUAGAAUGUUGAGAUGACUGUGGCGGGUUAUAAAUGAUCCCGUAUGAGCCGUGUCAGCAACUCGGCCAAUGGUUCCUUCCAACUGGAUGUUUUGAAGUUAACCAAACUGUAGUGGCGGCGACUUGUGCGCCUACCCAUUGAGCCUCCCAGUGCAGACGGCGGUUGAUAGUAUAUGAUAACUUGCCUCCAAUUUUGUUGGAAGAAAAACCGGGCUUCCCAAGCAGUGACUUGCUCAUACUCAAUAAACAGCUCAUGCAAACAGGUGCGGCCCUGGUGUGUCGAUGUAGACCAGGCCGCAAUAGACGGAUGGUAAGACGUCCACAGUAUUAAAGGUGGCACGGACAGAUGAGUCGGCCGCGGCAUUGUAAGCCGGUGCGGACGGGCGAGUUAAUCGCGGCAUUGUAAGCCAAUGCGGUCGAGAGAGCCGGCCACGACAUUGUAAACCGGCGCGGACAGGUGAGUUGGCCGUACGUUGAUGUAGACCAGGCCGUGAGAGACGGAUGGAAAAGAUGACCGCCGCAUCAGAGGCGGCUCAAAUAGAUGAAUCGGCCGCGGUGCUGUAAACCGGCGCGAGCGAGUCAACCAUGUUUGUUUUGAUGUAGUGAACAAUUUUCCUGCAUCAACAAUAGUGCCGACCAAGGCAAAGAUAAACUGCUCUUUGACAAAAAUAAUAUGUGCCAAUAAAAUAUAUCUUAGAUGAAUAUCACCUGAUGUGCCAGGCCGGAAAUAACCCGCCAUGAAUUUGAUGAUCACUAGGUGAUGUUGAAAUCACUCACGGGCGAGUCGGUCGCGGGUGCAGGUAGAUGAGUCGGUCAUGGCGUGGUAAGCCGGCGUGGACGGGCGAGUCAAUCGCAUAUGUGGCAAGCCGCGUGGACGGGCAAAUUGUCCUUCGCGUUGCAGGCCGGCGCGGACGCGUGAAACGGCCGCAAGGGCGGACGGGCGAGUUGUCCAUGGCAUUGUAAGGCGGCGCGGACGGGCGAGUCAGCCGGCGCGUUGUAAGCCGGUGCGGGAGUCCGUUGAGUAAGGACGACCACCUGUGCCGAAUGAUGUUGGCACGCCUCCAUCUCCGCAGUAUAAUGCCACUUUGUAAUGAAUAAUUCUCCUGCAUAUAAAACACAGCAGGUGUAACACCCUGAGAAUCAUGCUACAGUAACCCCCUGUGAUUAAGCUAAUCAUGUUGCUAAACAGGGCUUGAUCACAUUUGAAUCACACCCUUUUCAAACUCCUAGUUCAAACUUCAAAUAUAAUUAAAGUGGAAAAUAAAAGUUUUCAAAAAUUUAAACUAAAAUGUUCAGUGGGUGCCAAAAAUUACACUGGUAAUUAUGGUGGAGAAAACACAUUUUUAUAAAAUGUCUAAAUACUUUUAAAUGAAAUAAAACAGAAAAGGAAAUAAACAAAUAAAAAGAAAACAGAAAACAGAACACAGACAGGGAAAAAAAAAGGAAAAAGGACCGUUCCCCCCACUGCCCCCCCCGGCCCAAACUGGGCCGCGACCCCGACCCCCGGCCCAGCCCACCUCCCCCCCNNNNNNNNNNNNNNNNNNNNNNNNNNNNNNNNNNNNNNNNNNNNNNNNNNNNNNNNNNNNNNNNNNNNNNNNNNNNNNNNNNNNNNNNNNNNNNNNNNNNNNNNNNNNNNNNNNNNNNNNNNNNNNNNNNNNNNNNNNNNNNNNNNNNNNNNNNNNNNNNNNNNNNNNNNNNNNNNNNNNNNNNNNNNNNNNNNNNNNNNNNNNNNNNNNNNNNNNNNNNNNNNNNNNNNNNNNNNNNNNNNNNNNNNNNNNNNNNNNNNNNNNNNNNNNNNNNNNNNNNNNNNNNNNNNNNNNNNNNNNNNNNNNNNNNNNNNNNNNNNNNNNNNNNNNNNNNNNNNNNNNNNNNNNNNNNNNNNNNNNNNNNNNNNNNNNNNNNNNNNNNNNNNNNNNNNNNNNNNNNNNNNNNNNNNNNNNNNNNNNNNNNNNNNNNNNNNNNNNNNNNNNNNNNNNNNNNNNNNNNNNNNNNNNNNNNNNNNNNNNNNNNNNNNNNNNNNNNNNNNNNNNNNNNNNNNNNNNNNNNNNNNNNNNNNNNNNNNNNNNNNNNNNNNNNNNNNNNNNNNNNNNNNNNNNNNNNNNNNNNNNNNNNNNNNNNNNNNNNNNNNNNNNNNNNNNNNNNNNNNNNNNNNNNNNNNNNNNNNNNNNNNNNNNNNNNNNNNNNNNNNNNNNNNNNNNNNNNNNNNNNNNNNNNNNNNNNNNNNNNNNNNNNNNNNNNNNNNNNNNNNNNNNNNNNNNNNNNNNNNNNNNNNNNNNNNNNNNNNNNNNNNNNNNNNNNNNNNNNNNNNNNNNNNNNNNNNNNNNNNNNNNNNNNNNNNNNNNNNNNNNNNNNNNNNNNNNNNNNNNNNNNNNNNNNNNNNNNNNNNNNNNNNNNNNNNNNNNNNNNNNNNNNNNNNNNNNNNNNNNNNNNNNNNNNNNNNNNNNNNNNNNNNNNNNNNNNNNNNNNNNNNNNNNNNNNNNNNNNNNNNNGGGUCUCCGGUGACCAUUUGGUCAUGGGCAUAGGCCCGUUAGCUCGACCGCAUCGUGCCGCACCCGCCUGGCUAGAUAGUUCGGCUGCUCGCGCGCUCUAACGCCGCAUCCGUCGGACACCCGUAGCACCUCGCCGCCGGCGAGCUCGUAGCGGUCGUCCCCGGCCGUUCCAGCCCCUCCGGCCACCGCCGUUGGACGCGCGACACCGAGCCGCGUUGAACGCGCCCAGCCACGCCCCCGAAGACCCCCUGUACGUGAAACCCGUAACCCCCCCGAGCCGCGCCGCCGUGCGUUUGGUCGCCGGCGUUGCUCCGGCGCCGUCCGCCGACGUGGCUGGCCUGGGGCCACCCCAGUGCCCCUGCCAGUGGCCCCCACGGGCCCCAGUUGACUGGGUUGACCCAGUCAACUGCUGACUGGGCAGGCCCAGUCACUAACACGCGGGCCCCGCCGCAAAAAUAUAAAAUAAAAGAAUAGAAAAAGGAAAUGUUUUAUAAAUAAAAAUAAUUAAUUUAGUUAAUCACUCACUGACAUAUGGGGCCCACCCCAAUAAUUAUACUGUUAGUUUAGUCUAACUAAAUAUUAGACUAACAGAGGCUGACAUGUGGGUCCCACUGGACCCACCUGUCUGGUUUGACUGGUCAGCCGACCUGUUGACCUGCUGACGUCAGCAUUGCCUCAUGAUGACGUCAUAAUUCAUUUUUCUUAAUAUAAAUAAUUCCAGAAAUUCAAAUAAACUUUGAAAAUUCAUAUCUUUUAAACCGUAACUCGGAUGAAAAUGUUUUCUAUAUGAAAGUUGCUCAGAACGACGAGACGAAUCCGAAUACGCAGCACGUUCAUCCACCACACCUCCCUAACCUAUCGAACUAGCAACUUUCCCCCUCCGGUCCGUCUGUCCAAAAACGCGAAACAUCGGGAAUACCUCCCGGAUGUUCCCCCCCUUCACCGGUACCACCUACUGUCGCGUUAGGACACCCCUAGCACCGCUCAUUGACAUGUCACGCAUCGUCAUGCUUAUGUUUGCAUUGUAUUUACUGUUUCUUCCCCCUCUUCUCUCCGGUAGACUACGAGACCGACACUGCUGCUGCCCAGUUCGACUACGGAAUCGACGACCCCUCCUACUUGCCAGAGCAACCAGGCAAGCCCCCCCCCCUUGAUCACCAGAUAUCGCCUAUACUUCUCUAUACUGCUUGCAUUAGAGUAGUGUAGCAUGUUACUGCUUUCCGAUAUCCUAUUCUGAUGCAUAGCCUAUCCUUGCUACUAUUGUUGUUACCUUUACCUGCGAUCCUACAUGCUUAGUCUAGGAUGCUAGAUUUCCAUCAGUGGCCCUACAUUCUUGUCCGUCUGCUGUGCUAUACUAUCGGGCCGUGAUCACCUGGGCGGUGAUCACGGGCAUAUACUUAUAUGCUAUAUACAUGACACAUGUGAUGACUAAAGUCGGGUCGGCUCGUAGGAGUACCCGCAAGUGGAUCUUUGUGGCGGAGCGACAGGGCAAGUUGAGACCGCCUAGGUGAGAGGUGGGCCUGGCCCUGGUCGGCGUUCGCGGAUACUUAACACGCUUAACGAGAUCUUGGUAUUUGAUCUGAGUCUGGCCAUUUGGUCUAUACGCACUAGCCAUCUACGCGGGAGUAGUUAUGGGUAUCUCGGCGUCGUGGUAUCAGCCGAAGCCUUCUUGACGUCAGCGACUGAGUGGCGCGCGCCGGAUUGGACUGGAACGCCACUAGGCUAGGUCUGCUUCCGGCCGCGUACGCAACGUGCAGGUGUGCAUAGGGCGAUGGGCCCAGACCCCUGCGCGCAUAGGUUUAGACCGGCGUGCUGACCUCUCUGUUGAGCCUAGGUGGGGCCGCGACGCGUUGAUCUUACGAGGCCGGGCAUGACCCAGAAAAGUGUGUCCGGCCAAAUGGGAUCGAGCGUGUUGGGUUAUGUGGUGCACCCCUGCAGGGAAGUUUAUCUAUUCGAAUAGCCGUGUCCCUCGGUAAAAGGACGACCCGGAGUUGUACCUUGAGCUUAUGACAACUAGAACAGGAUACUGAAUAAAAUACACCCUUCCAAGUGCCAGAUACAACCCGGUGAUCGCUCUCUAACAGGGCGACGAGGAGGGGAUUGCCGGGUAGGAUUAUGCUAUGCGAUGCUACUUGGAGGACUUCAAUCUACUCUCUUCUAUAUGCUGCAAGAUGGAGAUGUCCAGAAGCGUAGUCUUCGACAGGACUAGCUAUCCCCCUCUUAUUCCGGCAUUCUGCAGUUCAGUCCACUGAUAUGCCCCCUUUACACAUAUACCCGUGCAUAUGUAGUGUAGCUCCUUGCUUGCGAGUACUUUGGAUGAGUACUCACGGUUGCUUCUCUCCCUCUUUUCCCCCUUUUUCCUUUCUAUCUGGUUGUCGCAACCAGAUGCUGGAGUCCAGGAGCCAGACGCCACCGUCGACGACGACUCCUACGACACUGGAGGUGCCUACUACUACGUGCAGGCCGCUGACGACGACCAGGAGUAGUUAGGAGGUCCCAGGCAGGAGGCCUUGCCUUUUCGAUCGUUGCUACUUUUGUGCUAGCCUUCUUAAGGCAAACUUGUUUAACUUAUGUCUGUACUCAGAUAUUGUUGCUUCCGCUGACUCGUCUAUGAUCGAGCACUUGUAUUCGAGCCCUCGAGGCCCCUGGCUUGUAUUAUGAUGCUUGUAUGACUUAUUUAUGUUGUAGAGUUGUGUUGUGAUAGCUUCCCGUGAGUCCCUGAUCGUGAUCGUACACAUUUGCGUGCAUGAUUAGUGUACGGUCAAAUCGGGGGCGUCACAGCAGGGCAAAGUAGUUUUGCUCGGAUGAAUUAAUAUGUGCUUAAAAAAAUAGGGCAAACAACACCUGGUAUUUUUCGGAUGUUGAUAGCAGCUCAUCUGAACAUCUCCAGCAGCUAGCCUUCCCUGAUAAUAGCCAUACAUAUGACCAUACCAUCAAGUACUGCCAACGCAUAUGGCACAGUAAGCCGUGCGGAUGGGCGAGUUAAUCGCAGGCGCGGUAAGCUGCGCGAACAAUCAAGUCAAUCGUAGGCGUGGUCAGCCUCGCAGACGGGUAAAAUUGAUGUAGACCGGGCCACAGGGAUGGCGACUCAUGUAUGUCCGCUCUUAUGGCAGCGUGGCACGGACGAAAGACCGGUGUAGAACAUUGCCGGCGCACGUUCCGUAUAAUGCCUUAUUUAUAAUGAAUAAUUGUCCUGCGAAACAAUAUUACAUGCCCGAGUAGUUGUUCUCACAUGGAUUAACACGUUGAUAAAAUACAAAAGAAAGAUAUCACCUGAUUUUUUUUCUCGGAUGAACACGGAUGCGGGCACUGGGUAAUGCAUCCACUUCAGGUGCCUGAUGAUGCAUAGUGCUGCUUUUGUUUUUGACAAAAGAAUUGAUUAGUUCUCUUGUCUUCAAGUGCCUGAGGUCUCCACGUGACCUUCUCCUGCCCCCUUUUUUUAAACAAGUCCAAAACAGUGCACACACGACCCCUCGAGCAGAGUUUCUCUUUUAACGGCGGGCAGGCCACGGUGCUCCGCGGCGGCGGCUCUCCCUCUGCAACAGCGUCUCUCCCGGGCAGAGGAACAGCGCGCCGGCAGAUCAACAGCAACAGGACGGCUCGACGUGCGACAGGAGUGGCUCAACGCGUCCACGGCGGUUCCAACACAGAGUCAACGACAACUUCAAGUGAGGCCGUGGCGGGCGAAGCCACACAGGCGUUUCUGAGACGGAGGUGUAUAGGCGGCUUGGCGCGGAAGGCAUGAUGCGAUGGCGCGCGGGAGCCUGGUGCGACGACUCACGGCAGAGCGACAGCAUGAGGCCGAACGAAGGCAGCCACGGAGGAGCGACGGCGCGACGGUCGCGGUGGCGGAUGAGUCCGGGGCAGCUCAACAGCGGCGGAUGAGGCCGGCCGCAGAGACAGUGGCGGAGCGCUGGCGAGGGGAAGUCGACCCGAGGCAGGCAGCUCGGAGGUGACUCGACGCAGAGGCAAAAUUGGCGAGGCGCAGGCGGCCCGUGGUGGAGACGAUCGAACCGGGGCAGUUGACCCCGAGUCCACGCCCAUCACCUGUGGAUCAUGGCUUCUCUCUCUCUUUUUUUUAAAUUCCUUCCUGAGUCGUGGAGUGGUUCACUCAUAGGCAGUCGAAUACGGACAAACGAUGCCUAGCCUCCGGGCAAUCCUGGAUGCAGUAUAGAAAACCUUCUAGAUUUUUGUCUUAUAUGCUUUGGUUUCCAUCACGUGAAGGACCCAUGAUGGAUUUGAGGUGUUGCUUGGCCUAGAUGCGGGACGUCAGUUUUUCCUUGGAAUUGUCUCCUCUGCCACCUGACCUGACACGUGGUGUGACCAAGUAGCAGCGGCCGAAGAUGAUUUUUUUUUCUUUUUUUUCUUUUUUCUUUUUACCCUUGAUCUGAUCCAUGUCGUAUUGGGACUUGAUCCUCUUUGUCUGAUUUCUGGAUGAACAGUAUUAUUUCCCCGGUGUAGGUCGCGACGCAAGGCUAUGACCGGGUAUCAUAUUGAUUUCCUUUCGAUGCGUGUGCUGAUGACUCCCAUGGAUCUCACUGAUGAACUCGGAUUCGGCGUAAUUUCUUCCGUGCCGGCUCCUCUUCAUCCAAUCCCGGUUUUCUCGAUCCCUAAGAAAAUUCCUUCCAAGAACUCAACACCACCGUGCGCCUGGCCCCACGGUGGGCGCCAACUGUCGUGGAAUUAUCACGGCAGAUGUCCUAGUGUGAGGACUUAGUCGUGAGGCCAACGCAUCUAUGCGGUAGCUUGAGAGGGGUUGAUCGGGACGAGAGACGCAACACGCAAGAAAAGAAUUUAGAUAGCUUCGGGCCCCGGGAAACAUCAUCCGGUAAUAACCCUACAUGUUGUUUGUGGCUAGGUCUCAUUAUGAUCAUGAGUGAGUCGCCGGCUCGGCCGGCUCUUUGUGUCUAGCCCUAGAGAUUGUUUCUUGUUCCUUGUCCCUCUUGGGGUGCCCUGCCCCUCCUUAUAUAAGUUAGAGUGGCGGGUUACAUAUGGAGUCCUAGUAGGAUUAGGACUAGUCUAUCUUGCUUUACAAGUUGAAUACAAGUCCGGGUCUUGCUUCCUUGUAAAGGAAAUAAUCCUCACGCCUUUCAUCUUAAGCCGGCCCACCAGAGUAUAAGCCUACCUGCCGGGCCUUGGGCCUUGUCGUCCGUCUAAUCCGCCCGCCGGGUCUCCAGUGAGUCACAAUGUCCAGGCGGGUUACUCUGUGAACUGCUAUGUUCGGGCGGAUCGCCAGUGAGUCGGCAAGUCCGGCUGGGUCAUACCGUGGGGUAUAUCCCCGACAGGUUCCCAAUUCACAACUGCAGACACCUUCUCGGGAUUAACAGCGAUGCCCUUGGCAGAGAUGAUAUGGCCAAGGUAAAGAACUUCGUCAAGCCAAAACUCACAUUUGGAAAACUUCGCAUAGAAUUGAUACUCUCUGAGCUUGUCGAGCACCAAUCGCAAAUGUUUGGCAUGAUCCUUCUUAUUCUUGGAGAAGACCAAGAUAUCAUCGAGAUACACCAGGACGAAUUCAUUGGUGUAGGGGUUGAAGAUGAAGUUCAUCAUUCGAGAGAAUGUUGGAGGAGCAUUGACAAGGCCGAAAGACAUGACAGUAUAUUCAUAAGAACCAAAGCUUGUUCUGAAUGCUGUCUUGGGAAUGUCUUCUUCACGAAUGGGAAUCUGAUGAUAACCCAUCCGAAGGUCAAGCUUGGAGAAAACUUUAGCACCUUUAAGUUGCUCGAAAAGCUCAUUGAUGUUGGGAAGUGGAUACUUGUUCUUUAUUGUCUUCUUGUUCAAUGGACGGUAGUUGACACAAAAUCGGUCUGUGCCAUCCUUCUUCUGGACAAAAAGAACACCACAACCCCAUGGAGAUGAACACGGUCUGAUCAGACCUAGACGCUCUUGUUCAUCGAGCUGUUUCUUCAAUUCCUUCAGCUCCUUUGGUCAUAGCUUGUAUGGAUGCUUGCAAACGGGUUCUGUACCGGGCUCAAGAUCGUAAAGAACUCGACUGGCCGGUGAGGAGGCAUAGCCGGAAGCUCUUUUGGAAAGACAUCUUGGUACUCACAAACGACUGGAAUCUGAGAGAUUGCGUCUAGCUCUCCCUUCUCAUUGAGAGAGAAUAACCAAAUGGUCUCAUCACGAGCGGCAUAGAUGAUCACAUCCUCAAAAGAGUGUGUCAAUUGAAUUUCCCUGGCAGCACAAUCAAGUUGAGCCUUGUGCUUAGUAAGCCAAUCCAUGCCGAGAAUUAGAUCAAUAUCCGAGUCACCAAGAACAAUUGGAGAAGACAGAAAUUUAUAGUUUCCCAUCUUGAUGGAAACAUCAGGGACUAUCGAGUUGGCUCUCAUUGACUUCCCCGGAGAAACAACACCCAAAGGUUUAUCCAGGUAAGACCAAGUAAAAUCAUUCUUUGCAAAGAAUGAUCUUGACAUGAAACAAUGCGAUGCACCAGUAUCAAAUAAAACUUUUGCAGGAAUAUCAUUAACUGAGAGAUUACCCAUUAUCACAUCAGUAGAUUCCUCCGCUUGAGCUGCAUUCAUCAUGUUCACCUUUGCAGACUUGUGAUUAUGCUUGACCACUGCAUUGCUGGAAGAUCUCACAGGAGGAGGAGGCGGAAGGCGCCUUUGGUUGAAGCACUUGUUAGCAUAGUGACCUUUCUGCUGACAUUUGUUGCAAGUCACCUCUGAGAGCGGACGAUGAUAAGGAGCAUUCGACCUUGGCGCUUGAUUCUGAGACUUGUUCUGAUAGCCAGGGUUGGGAGGGUGGGAAGAUCCAUGGCCACCUUUGUUCUUCUGCUGGAAAGGCUGAUGAAAUGGAGGAGGAGGAGGCAACCAGAACUUCUGAUGCUUAGCAGCCACUAGUGAGGAAGAAGAAGACUGAACUGCAUCCCUGACUCUCUUCUUAGAAGCCUCACACUUGAGCUGAGCAGCUUCUUGCUUCAGUGCCAUGUUGUAGAAUUCAUCAUACUUGGUCGGAUCAAAAAGCACAAGAGCUAAUUGCAGAUCUUCUCUAAGGCCACCUCUGAAUUGAUAGAUCAUGCUCUUUUCAUCAGGGACGUCUUGCUUAGCUAAGCGAGCGAGUUUCUGAAACUGGGUAUUGUAUUGAUACACGGACAUGCUGCCUUGCUUGAGAUUGCGGAAGUCCUCACGCUUGCUCUCAACAACACUUUGUGGAAUGUGGUGAGCUUUGAAGUCUCGGCGGAAAUCAUCCCAGGUAAUCACACGACCUCCUCUGGAAUCUUUGUAUUGUUGAUACCACUCGGCAGCUUGAUCCUUGAGUUGAAAAGAAGCAAACAUGACAAAGUCCUCAGGCCUGACAUUGCUACAUUCAAAAUGCUUGUUGAUGUCCACGAGCCAAUCAUCAGCGUCUGUGGCCUCGGCACAGUAGCUGAAAGACUUUGGCUGAUUUGCAAGGAACUGGUUGAGGGUAGCGAAGUGAGGUUGGUUGUUGCCUUGGCCUUGAUUUCCUUGGUUGCCCUGCCCUUGGGUGCGCUCUUGCAAGAGUUGCAAAAUCAUCUGGGCAUUGGCGUUGGUGGCUGCCAUGACAGCUUGCCAUGCCUCUGGAGGCGGAGGUGGUGGCGGAGGGUUCGCCUGACUCCCAUCAUUGCGUUCCGGAUUCUGACGCGUUGGCGGAGCCAUCCCGAAGAGUGUGACAUCCGUUAGCAUCUUGAUAGACAGAUAGGCAAGUUGAAUCAACGGAUAGAAAUUGCAACAUAUAGUCUUCACAAUAAACAUUCAAACGAGGAUGAACGAAUGAAUUCCAUAGUAAAUCAUCACACUUCCAUAAGUUGAGAAGCCACUUAGAAAAAGGUAUGGAAUCAACAUUUGACUUCAAAGCAACUCGAAUACCACAACUCGAAACAAAACAAAGGAUUGGCUUGCAGAAUAAGCCGGAACAAACAUAUGAUAGAGAUUUCGUCCGAAGUUUUCGUGGUGGGGCCCACACGGGCUCGAUCGUACAGCACCAUCAUGUACAAGGCAAUGCACAUGACAUACGAAGCGUCCCUGAGUCAGCAUAGCCGAGGACUCUUUAAGACACUACGAGACCACUUUAAAACCAACCGUGGAUAGGCGGACCACUAGACGUCGAACCCCAAUCUCAUAUCAUGCAUAUGUCGGAAAGAUAUCCUAGGAGCUACAUGAAUUCCCACUUAUAAACUCCCGAAACUUUCUGGUUAUGCAAUCAGGUGUUGGGGAUACAAGGGACACAAUAUAUUUCACCCAAACUAACAAUCCCUAGAUCCAGCUGUAUCCAUCCAUCAACACAUAACAAAGAAACCUUCGGAAAUCGUGUACCUCAACCGUCGAAAAGCAUCCGUUAUACGAGUUAUGGCAAUACUCCCGAACUCCCGCCCCAGUACUGGGUGGCGUCAAGGUGAUCUCACCAACAACUGCAUAAAAGAGAUUUUCGAUGUCGGCGAAACUCAGGUAUUCCAGAACUGCAACGAUAAAAUUGUGACGACAACACCUCGGAGCUCAACUCCCCGGGACACUGCCACAACCCCUAAAUGUCAGGAGGCACCAAGAACAAUGUUCUCAUCACAAAACCAUUGGAACAAUUCCAAGAUACCCGCGUGAUCGUAAAAAGAAUUAGUGAAAUUUGAGGAGAGGAGAGUCAAAACUUCCAUGUCAGGGGGCCUCACCAGAGCGACGAAGGGACUGAGGAGUAAAAAGAAUCCUACUCUCCGAUAUAUAUAAUCCUAAGACUCGAAACAUUUUUUUCUAGACUCAACAACGCCAGCGAUUCGAUCAAGCAGGGGGCUCCUAAGUCGGGGAUGGCUCUGAUUACCAACUUGUAAUGCCCACGAUGCGGCUAUAUCUCCCACGUGUUGAGGCACGACUUAGAGGCAUAACCGCAUUGUAGGUUUGUCGCAAGAAGGGUCAUCUUCACACAAUCCCAUGUAAUGAACAAGAAUGGGAUAAAGAGAGUUGGCUUACAAUCGCCACUUCACACAAUACAUAAAUAAAUUCAUACAUCAUCCAAAAUACACACAUAGACCGACUACGGUCAAAUCCAAAUGAAAAGAAGAUAACCCCAAAUGCUAGAUCCCCGAUCGUCCCAACUGGGCUCCACUACUGCUCAUCAGGAAACGAAACAUAGUAAUGACCACGGUCCUCAUCGAACUCCCACUUGAGCUCGGUUGCGUCACCUGCAUAGGUAUCCUCGGCACCUGCAACUAUUUUGGUAGAAUCUGUGAGUCACGAGGACUCAGCAAUCUCACACCCGCGAGAUCAAGACUAUUUAAGCUUGUGGGUAGGUAAGGGGUAAUAUGGUGGAGCUGCGGCAAGCACUAAGCAUUUAUGGUGGCUAACAUACGCAAAAGAGAGCGAGAAGAGAAGCAACGCAUCGGUCGAGAAGCUAAAAGUGAUCAAGAAGUGAUCCUGAAACUACUUACGUUCAUACAUAACCCAGACCGUGUUCACUUCCCGGACUCCGCCAAAAAGAGACCAUCACGGCUACACACGCGGUUGAUGCAUUUUAAUUAAGUCAAGUGUCAAGUUCUCUACAACCGGACAUUAACAAAUUCCCAUCUGCCACAUAACCGCGGGCACGGCUUUCGAAAGAUAAUACCCUGCAGGGGUGUCCCAACAUAGCCCAUCACAAGCUCUCACGGUCAAUGAAGGAUAUUCCUUCUCCCGGGAAGACCCGAUCAGGCUCGGAAUCCCGGUUACAAGAUGUUUCGACAAUGGUAAAACAAGACCAGCAAGACCACCCGACUGUGCCGACAAAUCCCGAUAGGAGCUGCACAUAUCUCGUUCUCAGGGCACACCGGAUGAGCAAAGCAUACAAGUACCAACGUAACCCAAGUUGCCAAGGGACGGUCCCGCACGGUACUGUAGUUUGGACCAACACUCAGAGGAGCACUGGCCCGGGGGGUUAAAAUAAAGAUGACCCUUGAGUCCGCGGAACCCAAGGGAAAAAGGCUUAGGUAGGCAAAUGGUAAAACCAAGGUUGGGCCUUGCUGGAGGAGUUUUAUUCAAGGUGAACUGUCAAGGGGUUCCCAUUAUCACCCAACCGCGUAAGGAAUGAAAAAUCAAGGAACAUAACACCGGUAUGACGGAAACUAGGGCGACAAGAGUGGAACAAAACACCAGGCAUAAGGCCGACCCUCCCACCCUUUAUCAAGUAUAUAGAUGCAUUAAUUAAGUAAGAGAUAUGUGAUAUCCCAAAAUAUCCAAGUUCCAACAUGGAACCAACUUCAUCUUCACCUGCAACUAACAACGCUAUAAGAGGGGGUGAGCAAAAGCGGUAACUUAGCCAAACAACGGUUUGCUAGGAAAGGAUGGUUAGAGGAUUGACAUGGCAACAUGGGAGGCAUGAUAUAUCAAGUGGUAGGUAGCGCAGCAUAGCAAUAGAGCGAACAGCUAGCAAGCAAAGAUAGAAGUGAUAUCGAGGGUAUGGUCAUCUUGCCUGCAACGUUCUCAGAUUUGUCGAAAGCUUGAUCCUCGUAAGCGUUCUCAACAGGUUCCUCGAAAGCGUUCUCGUCUCCCGGCUCUACCCAAAGCAAGAACACAAGCAAAGGACCAACAAUCAAAUCACUGUGCAAUGCACAAGCAACAUGGUGCAAUACAUGGCAUGAUAUGCGAGAUGUGAUAUGCAAUGCAUAUGCGUGCUCCGGAAGGGAAAAGAUGAACAAGGCAUCAACUUGGCAAACCAAGUAUGCCGUUGGAAAGAUGAGAUGAUUUCGGUUGAAAUCGAUAUAGAGAUCACCGGAAACGGGUGCACGGUUUGCAAAUGGCAAGCCAAACAAAAAUGACACAUUUUUUCGAUUAACAGCAUGAUGCCAUCUAGAAUGCAACAAGAAACUGAGCUACUGCACUCGAACAUAGCAACAAAGCAUAUGGCCAUGAUGUACACGAGAUGCUUGACAAAACAUGAACACUGAGCUAUGGCUAAAUCACAACAUAGCAGGUUCAAACAAGCAUGGAAAAAGUGCAAAAGAUAUCAGCUCCACAGACUUUGUGAAAAUACUAACAUGCCAGAAAUAACAUCAGGAAGCCAUGUUUAGAGCAAGCAAAUAGCAGGCUACAGGAACAUAUCAUAGCAAAUCAAGGCAUAGCAUGAAUCUACUGAAUGCAUAGAACAAAAGUCCCUUAGUGAUCAUGAGCCAAAAAGGCAUAGAAGAUAUGAUGGCACCUCUAUAAACAUAGCAAGUUUUAUUACCAGAUUCAGACUUAGUAGAAAACAGAGCAUGGCAUUAGCAGAAUUAUGAAGGCAUCUUUGCAAGCUCGAUUCACUCAUCAUAAGCAUUUUCAAGACAAGAUAAGCAUAGAAUCAGCAAGAAGACAUGUUCACGAAACUAGCCAUGGAAAGAACAAGCUCAUAGCAUGCAAGGAUCAACUACAACAACCUUGGCAAAAUUGAUUAACAUGUAAACAAUCUGCCAGGAACAUUUUAUAGCAAAAGUAGAGCAAGAUUGAGACAAGCUAGGGCACUCCAUAAUUGCAAACAGGGGCAUGUAUGGAUAGAGAACAUCUAUAUGUCCAAAACAUCCUUAAUGAACAUACUCAGAAGAUGCAUGGAUCCUACUGUAGCAACAUGGAUACAUGGCAUCAAAAAUAACAGCAGGAAAAAGGACUCGACAAAAUCCUAAGUCCCUGAAAACAACAACAUCACAAAGCCUAGUUUACAUGCUUGUGCUAGUCACCACAUAGAUCACAAAAAUACAUGGCAAGCACCCCUGUAAAGAUGGCAUGACCUAGAUUAAAACACAUGUAGAGCUCAUGCUCAUAAGAUGCACACAUCAAAAGCCACAAAAAUGACAAAACAUCAUAAUCUGAUAAGUAACAGCAGUAAACAUUUUAUAGCACUCUUGCAUCAAUGAAAAUGGCAUCAAGAUUAACUAAAACAAGCAUGGCACAAUGGAACAAAAUUAAGAGCAUCUCAUGAAGAACAUUUUGAUAUAUCAUGCACGCAAAACGGAGCAGUAUGAAAAGAGAUAUGACAUGAUAAAUAGGAGCACAUGAUGUGAGAAUUUCGGGACUUAGAAGAAAAACGGGGUCAACCUCAGAUCUAGGGUUCUUCGUGCACGCGAGCCGAGGCGGGGCCGGGCUCGCCGGAGACGAUGCGGUGGCGGCCGGAUCUUGAGGAGGAGGUCGCCGGCGAGGACGAGGGCGCCGGAUCCGGGCGGCCGGCGGCGGAGGCGCGGACCGAGCGGGCGGCGNNNNNNNNNNNNNNNNNNNNNNNNNNNNNNNNNNNNNNNNNNNNNNNNNNNNNNNNNNNNNNNNNNNNNNNNNNNNNNNNNNNNNNNNNNNNNNNNNNNNNNNNNNNNNNNNNNNNNNNNNNNNNNNNNNNNNNNNNNNNNNNNNNNNNNNNNNNNNNNNNNNNNNNNNNNNNNNNNNNNNNNNNNNNNNNNNNNNNNNNNNNNNNNNNNNNNNNNNNNNNNNNNNNNNNNNNNNNNNNNNNNNNNNNNNNNNNNNNNNNNNNNNNNNNNNNNNNNNNNNNNNNNNNNNNNNNNNNNNNNNNNNNNNNNNNNNNNNNNNNNNNNNNNNNNNNNNNNNNNNNNNNNNNNNNNNNNNNNNNNNNNNNNNNNNNNNNNNNNNNNNNNNNNNNNNNNNNNNNNNNNNNNNNNNNNNNNNNNNNNNNCCACGUGGCGGCCUCCGGUUGGAGCGGGCGCGGCGGCUGAUGUGUCCGGCCCGAUCUGGACGUGUCCGGCGGCGGAGAGGUGUGAGGCUAGGGUUUCGGGACCCGGGAUUUCGGAGGAGUGCACAUAUUUAUAGGUAGAGGGAGCUAGGAGACUCCAAUUGAGGAGCGUUUUUCGCCCACACGAUCGUGAUCCAACGGCGGAGAGCAUGGAGGUGGUUUGGAUGGGUUAUUGGGCUGUUUUGGAGGGGUGUUGGGCUGCAAUUCACAAGAGGCUUUUGCGGUUACCCGGUUAAUCGUUGGAGCAUCAAACGGCCUCCAGAUGGAACGAAACUUGACAGGUGGUCUACCGGUGGUGUACCAAGGCCACUUGGCAAACCUCGGUCUAUUCCGAGAACGUUUAACACCCGCUCACGAAAAGAGACAAGAGGGGUGCGCCGGUGUAUGUGGGAGUGUUGGAUUGCAAAACGGACAACGGGGAAAAUGCUCGGAUGCAUGAGACAAACACGUAUGCAAAUGAGAUGCGCAUGAUGCCAUGAUAUGAAAUGCAUGACAUGAACAAAAUGCAAAACGAAAGACAAAAACCCAACCACGGAGGGAAUAUCAUAACACAUAGCUGAAAAUGGCAAGAGUUGGAGUUACAAAUAUGGAAAGUCACAUCCGGGGUGUUACAAGCAGUUUUUUAGAUGAGAUACAUCUGUCGAUGUACCAUCUAUGAUGCUAAUUUUGAAAGGUUAUAGAUGUUGCAUGUGAAACUUGGUCCUACUGUAGUUGUGUAAUGGGGUAGCUGAGUGCUGAAGCUAUAUGAAUUUGUACUCUGAUGUAUUUCAAUUAUGAAAAUGAAAUACAUUGUGUGCUUAAUAUGAAAUGUCAAUUAGAUUAAUAAAUGGAUUAUGAAUAAUCAGGUAAUUAGCCUACUAAUGGCGAAUUAGCCUGCUAAUUGGGUUUUGUUAUUGCAAACGGUUGUUGAAAAAAUACCGUGGGCGAUGACCUCAGGCAACGCACACAGUUUCUAGGAAUAAACCGUGUUGGAUCAAUGAACAAUCACACACGACUUUCUCUUGAAAACUGUUUGCGUUAGGCCACCUUGCGCAAACGUUUACCACAUAAAACAUGUGUGUGAUGGAUAGCCUUUGCCACACGGUUUAUUCUACGGACCGUGUGUCAUACAUUCAAUAACGCAAAUGAUUUGACGGGAGAAAUUGUGUGUGACGUACCUGUGAACGGAAAUGUUUUCCUUGGAGCGACUGUGUGGGAUGUACAUACGAACGGAAACGUUUAGCGGGGACUGACUAUGUGGGGUGUACUUGCGACCAGAAAGAAUUUCGCCAUAUAAUUGUAUUUUUUAACUCUACUGUAUGUAUUUCCGUAUUUGAGCGCUCGCCGGUCGCACACGACCUCAUUUUGCCGAGCGUGUGUGCCAGGAGGGCAUAUCCCCGACGGUUUCUAGGUCGUGUGGGAAGGACCCCCCUAUCGCCCACACUCACUUGGCGACGGUUCCAAAGGUCAUCACGGAAAGGGGUUAAAACUAUUUGUUUAGGAGCUCGUUGUACUAGUGUAUAGAUAGCAUGAGUUAUUAUUGUUGACAUCACGCUUGAGGUGAGUAUGUUGGGAGGCGAAACUAUAAGCCCCUAUCUUUCUAUGUGUCCGGUUGAAACGUUUUUCUCAGGGGUAUGAGGUGAGUGUUAGCAAUCAUAGAAAACUAUAUGAUGGUUGAGUAUGUGGACUUGCUUAAAAGGCUCCGACACGUGACCCUUCCUGAAAAGAUGAUGAAUUGUAGUUGCAAAGUUGACUGAGAACAUAGUUUAUUGGUUUCUAAUAGAAUUUGUGCUUUAUACUUGAGUGUGUGAUGAACUAUUACUUAUUCAUGAGAAGUGUGUGAUAAAGGUUCUAUGAUAAAAGUCCUAUGUUUAAUUUUAUUGCUGUUAUAAUAAUCAACAUGAUGCUUCUAUGUCCCUAUUUUGUUUUUAUCGACACCUCUCUCUCUAGGCAUGUGGACAUGUUUUUCGAUUUCGGUUUUCGCUUGAGGACAAGCAAGGUCUAAGCUUGGGGGCAGUUGAUACGUCCAUUUUGCAUCAUGUUUUCUUACUGUUAUUUAUAAUGUUUUUAUCCAUAACAAUGCUUUUUGGAGUAAUUCUAAUGCCUUUUCUCUCAUAAUUUGCAAGGUACACACCAAGAGGGAGAAUUCCGGCAGCUGGAAAUCUGGACCUGAAAAAGCUACGUCAGGCCACCUAUUCUGCACAACUCCAAAUGAGUUGAAACUCCACGAGGAUUUUUAUGGAAUGUUUAAGAAAUACUGGAGCCAAUAAACACCAGAGGGGGGCCACCAGGUGGGCACAACCCACUUGGGCGCGCCAAGCCCCCUGGCGCGCCCUGGUGGGUUGUGGCCUCCUCGGCCCACCUACGGUGCCCAUCUUCUAGUAUAUAAGUGAUUUUGACCUAGAAAAAAUAAGGAGAAGACUUUCGGGACGGAGCGCCGCCGUCUCGAGGUGGAACUUAGGCAGGAGCACUUUUGCCCUCCGGCGGAGCGAUUCUGCCGGGGGAACUUCCCUCCCGGAGGUGGAAAUCAUCGUCAUCAUCAUCACCAACAGCUCUCCCAUCUUGGGGAGGGAAAUCUCCAUCAACAUCUUCACCAGCACCAUCUCAUUUCAAACCCUAGUUCAUCUCUUGUAUUCAAUCUUGUUACCGAAACUAUAGAUUGUUGCUAUGAGGUGACUAGUACUGUUGAUUACAUCUUGUAGUUGAUUACUAUAUGGUUUAUUUGGUGGAAGAUUAUAUGUUCGGAUCCAUUAUGCAUUUAAUACCCCUCUGAUCAUGAGCAUGUUGGUUAUUUGUGAGUAGUUACUUUUGUUCUUGAGGUCACAGGAGAAAUCAUGUUACAAGUAAUCAUGUGAACUUGAUAUGUGUUUGAUAUUUUGAUAGUAUGUAUGUUGCGAUUCCCUUAGUGGUGUCAUGUGAACAUCGACUACAUGACACUUCGCAAUAUUUGGGCCUAAGGGAAAGCAUUGUGGAGUAGUAAAUAGAUGGUGGGUUGCGAGAGUGACAGAAACUUGAACCCCAGUUUAUGCACUAUUCCGUAAGGGACCGAUUGGAUCCUAGAGUUUAAUGCUAUGGUUAGGAUUUAUCCUUAAUACUUUUCUCGUAGUUGUGGAUGCUUGCGGGAGGGUUAAUCAUAAGUAGGAGGUUUGUUCAAGUAAGAAUAGCACCUAAGCACCGGUCCACCCACAUAUCAAAAUAUCAAAGUAGCGAACACAAAUCAAACCAACAUGAUGAAAGUGACUAGAUGAAAUUCCCAUCUACCCUCAAGAACGCUGUGCUUAUCAUAGGAGACCAUUUUGGCAUGUCCUUUGCCUCAAAAGGAUUGGCUACCUUGCUGCAUACUUAUUGCUACUAUCAUUACUUGCUCGUUACAAAUUAUCUUGCUAUCAAACUACUUGCUACUUACAGUUCCAGCACUUGCAUACAUUACCUUACUAAAAACUACUUGUCAUUUCCUUCUGCUCCUUGUUGGGUUCGACACUCUUACUUAUCGAAAAGAGCUCCAAUUGAUCCCCUAUACUUGUGGGUCAUCAGAAGACAAGCAGCCGUUUGCCUCGGCCACCAGGGUUGCGAUCGGCGAUGGGAAAAUGACAAGCUUCUGGACAUGUAACUGGCUAGGAGGUACACCACUUUGCACCUCCUUCCCUGUCAUGUUCAGACACUCCAGGAGAAAAACACGGACGAUGGACGAAGCACUUCAGAACGAGCAGUGGAUCAGAGACCUGCAACAUGGCAACUGGGAACUCAUUGUCACCGAGGUGGUUACGCUGGCAAGAAAGAUUAGAGAGCAUGGUCAAGCUUUGGUAGAGCAGCAAUAAGACACAAUCAGUUUGACGGGGUGCGGAAAAGGCAUAUACUACACCGAUUCGGCAUAGAAGGCCCAAUUCAAUGGCACCGCUCCCACACACAUGAAGAACACAAUUUGGAAAGCAUGGGCCCCCGCAAAGAUCAAAAUCUUCUCCUGGUUGCUUCACUUAAAUAAGCUCUGGUGCAAUGACAGAUUACAGCGGCGUGGAUGGACAAACCACUACUUCUGCUCCUUCUAUAGAAGAAACUUGGAAACAUCGGUCCACUUGUUCUGGAAUUGCCACCUAUCGAAGGCAGUGUGGACCGAGGUUGCAACAUGGCAAGGAUGCUUCGCUGGACCCUCAUCACAGAGAACAGACAUCCACAACCUCGGCGGCCAGGCAGAUCAUAUCACGCACGAGCAAGGAGGGGAGGAAAGGCAUAAGAACCAUGAUCAUGGCAACAACGUGGGGGCUCUGGAACAUGAUAAAUAACUGUGUCUUCAGAGCCAUGGAAGCAGAGUCAACUCAGAUCAUCAAGGCGAUUAGGGAGAGCAUGGAACAAUGGCGCCUCUUGGUAGCUAAGGCCAUCGAGACCCCGUUCGAGAAUAUAUGCAUGAGAUAAAACCCUAGAUGCUUAGAAUCCAUGGGGGGUGGAAAGUCACCCCCCUUGAACAAACCUUAUUUUUGUUUUAUCGCUCUAAUCGCUUUGACAAACUUUGUAUUCUCUCCUGCUAAAUCUAAUGAAGCCAGCCAAGCUGGAUCUUAAAAAAACGUUUUAACAACCCCCUGAGUCCAAGCCGAGGUGAAAUAUAAUACAGUUUACUCAUUUCUUAAACUUAAUACAUUUAACUCUUCAGCUUGCACAUGUAUCUUAGAAAUGCAUCAGUUUAUAAUCUGACCAAGUAAGGCGAACUCAAAAAAUAAUGUACGUAUGUUUUGAAUCAGAACUGAUGUUACCGCAUGCUUCUUCAUGUUGUGAGCCAUAUAAUAUUUUUCAGUUAGUCCUGUCCUCUCAAGAAACAUAGGGACUGAAUUAUCCCGUGAAAACAGAUACUUAAAAGCAUGAAGCAUGUGAACACCUAUCUGCAGCAAGGUGAGUCCUAAAGCACAGGACAAAAGCAUUAGCUACUAAUACAUGUAGGAACUUCCCAAGUAGAAGAAAAUCAAAGGGACUAAGAGAAACACUUUCUUCCAUGUCAAUUGAUGCCUAGUGGCUCCGAAGAACCGCUAUGCCCAACCUUGAAGCAAAAUUACAUCUGCAUCAGUAGGAAAUGAAGGUUCGGUCAUACACAAAGGAAGAAAUUGAUUGGCGCAAAGCUCAAGAGUGGAUUUUUGUAAAGGAAAUAGCAAUUAAAAUGGUCUUCAUUUUAGCAAUAUCUUAUUUAAUUAUUUUCCUCGAUCUGUCAUAUCAGUAGUGUGUUGUAAGAGGCCUCAUCAAGUUCUAUUAUCUCUGAGCAUACCGAAAAACUUAACUAUGAAGUUUAACCUCUCCAAACCAUGAUUGAAUAGCAUGACACAUCUCUACUUAUGCGGUAUACUGAAAGUCCAAUCCUCUAUCAGUAUUCUAGCUUGAGCGUGCAUGUGACAUUGCAGAAACAUGACGGAUCUGCUACGUGGAUAACAAGACAUGUAUUAGAAGAAUAACAUACUCUUAAUUUUCUGAUUGUAGAUUAUCUAUCAGAGGAAAUUUCUUGGCAGCCAAUAAAUAUUUGCUAAACAAUUUCAGGUUACUGCAAAAAAGAAAUUGAGGAUCCCCAAAUCCAAAUUGCAGAUCCCCAUUUGGCCAGGUCUUUACCUAAAGAAGCAACAUCAACAAAGGAAGCAUUUAGUGACUGGCUAAUUACCUCCAGCAGCAGCAUGAGUAAACUCUUUUUGUAAAUUGUUGUAAAUAAAAAUCAAGUAACAUACAUAACAGAAAAUAUAGGAAUGAACACACAUGCUAGCUUGUUUUUAAACAAACAUAUUCAUACAAUGGGGUCACUGAAGCAUCCUAUAUUUUUUUUAACCAAUGAACUCAUCACAUACAUCUUCUUUUACGAAUUUAGUCUUCUGCUGUCAAGUACAAACAAAAUCCAUAUAUGUGGGAGGGCAUGUGUUACUUGUCAGUCAAAUGUAGUCUACUGUCGGUGUCGUAGUGGGCGCAUGGCAGAUGCCAUGGGAUGGCUAAAGAUUGAAGGAGGCUCGAGGGCACUGGUGGGCUCCAGAGGCGAGGUCGGAAUGAGCGAGCGCGGGACGCAAGACAUCCCAGGUUCGGGGCUCUCCGGAGAGAUAACACCCCUAGUCCUGCCUAGUGUAGUUGAUGUGUAUCAGUACAGAGUUGCUCCUAGAGCUAUAUGGAGGAAGAAGGAGGGCGAGCCAAGGCUUAGGUUGCUCCCUCUCCUCGGGUGUUGCUUGCUACGUGCGUAUGGGUGAGUGAUCGCUUGUGCGAAUGAAAGAGUUGCACGUAUGCAUGAGGGCUCUUGGGGGUUUUAUAGGUCAACCCCUAGGGAUACGAUGGUAAUGUUACAAGGCCGUGGGGUCGGGUUGUCAUUGUCCGGGAAGCCGGCGCUGGGACCCGCCGGGGGUCAGGGCUCUCCGGGUUCUCCGAGUGUGGGACCCGCCGGGUAUGGGGGCAUUGUUGGCCGUCUUGUCGAUCGUCAGCGAGUGGCCGGGUUGAGUCGGCUACAAUGGCGCUUUGUCAGGUCGCCGCUUCUUGGUGUCAUGGGUGACAAUGGUUGCACUUUGGCCACGCCAGCCCUGGUCAGCGGGGCAGUGUUGCCACGCCCCGACUGACCAGAGGCAUGGGCGGGCCACUGUUGUCUUCCUCAUCGGUAGGUGGAGACUCGUCCCAUCGUACGGCCAGGAUGGGACGGGAGCUGACCCAUGGUCGGGUUGGAGAACACGCCAAGGGUGGAGCUGGCUUGUUGGGGAAGUCUUGGUGCGCCGGGCUCGGCCGUCUUGAGUUGUUUGUUUGGGCCGAGCCGAGGAGUCCGGCCGGGUCGAGGAUUAGGCCAGGUCCAGGGGCUUGGCCGGGUCGAGCGACCCGGCCAAGCGUGAGCCGGCUUGAGAGGCGAUGCUGGCCCCAUUGUUUUUGAAAAGGAUCCGGGUUCCAUUGCCUGCCCGGAGUUCAUCCCCCCGACAGUAGUCCCCGAAGCUAUGAAGGCCCGCCGUCUUUAGAUGGGAGGGCCUUUGCAGUUUCCCCCUUUGAAGCAGGCGAAUUUUGUGACCCCCGGGUCAGGCAACACCCAUUGUGUUUCGGUUUCCGGAAGCCGGAUCGCGGCAUCCCGGCAGUGGCGGGAAACCGAGGAGUCCACCGAAUCUUUGAGGCAAUCUUUUUGGCCACGCGCGCGACAGGUCGGGGCGACGCGUUGGGGCCCGCGGCCACGCGCCCUCGGCCCACGCGCGCGGAUUUAUUGCGGCGUUCGCAAGUCGGUUCCCAUUCUCGAGGCAGUUAUUGCGCACAUACGUGCGCAGUUAUUGCGGGGAAGUGGGAGAGGCGGGCGCAAACAAUCCCACUCCCCCACGUUUCAAACCGCGGCUUAUAAAUUGGAGCGAGGAGGGGGCGGAGGAAAUCGUUCUCGCUCGCGCCCCCUGCCUUCGUCUUCCUUCCUCUGCUUCUUGCGAGCGCCGCGCAUCGGAACGCCCGUUGCUUUGAGCAGAGCUUUGUGGCCACCUUCUCCUUUCUUCUCUCGUAUCUUUGUCGAUGGCGGUGCCAUCGGGCUCGUGGAUGGGCUCGACUGUCACCCUCGAUGACAUCGCCUAUCAUCGCACCACCAGCCGCCUGUCGGGGGAGACGGAGGUUGUCGUGCACCUGCCGUGGGGAGAGCGGGAACCGCGGCCCGAGGGCACAGAGCGCGUGGUCUUCUUCCCGCACUUAAAGCGCGGGUUCGGGCUCCCCGCGAGCGGCUUCUUCCGCGACUUCCUGGAGUUCUUUGGGCUCCAGCCCCAUCAUCUUGGCGUCGGCGCCAUCGUGCAGCUGUCGGGCUUCGUCACCCUCUGCGAGGGGUACCUGGGGGUCGAGCCUUCGUCACCCUCCUUGAAGCAGCAGGGGCCGAGGGCCGGAGAGAUGUCCGAGUGUGGGGCCACCGUCAUCUCCAAGCGGUCGGGCGCUGACUGCCCGAAGAUGCCGCUGGAGGAUUCUGCCAAGAAGUGGCAGAAUUCUUUCUUCUACGUCCGCAACCUCGGCGCGAACCGCAUCAACUUGUCGCCCUUCGUCAACUCGCUGCCAAGGGGCAAACAAAACUGGGGGUACUACCCCAAGCACCCGUCGUGGGAGGUGCUCAACCUGUGCGAGGGGGUGUUGGUGAUGAAGGAGCGGGAGGGGCUCACCGGCACCGACCUCAUCACUGCCUUCAUCGUUCGUCGGGUGCUGCCGCUGCAGCAGCGCAGCCACCUCAUCGGUCAGAUGACCGGCCUUCAGAACCCCAACCGCAUGGCGAACUAGCGGCAGGGGGAGGACGAGGUCACGCGCCGGGUUAACGACAUCUCCGAGGCCAACCUGCGGGAUGACUGGCAGUUCGGGAAACCCCCGUACAGCCGCGUGAACCCGGCACCGACGGUGAGUCCUUGGUCUCCAUAUUUUGCUGCUGCUCAUCUUCUUAUUCGCCCUCACGCAACGCGGGAGGUGCUCCUGAACGCCAUCCGGCAUCCUUAUGACCGGGCGCGGACGCAGGUGCUGCGCAUCGCCUAGGAGGAGCCCGAGGCUCACGGCGGAGGGGAGGAGGCGACCGCCGACUCGGACGCAGGGCGCCGAGCUGGUAAGUCUUGUGUUUACUUCUUGAGUCAUCGGUCGCGCGACGGUCUUGAGGGGCUGACGCGAGUUGCUGUCGCAGCGGCGCCAGGUGGAGGAGGCGGCGGCGCGGCCGGAGGCGGGUCGUCUCGAGGGGCGCCAGCGGCGAGCCAUCCACACGGGAAGGACAACGUCGCACCGCAGGCCCCGGCUGUGAAGCGCGCGGCGGACCCGACCAGGGGCGCGAUGCCGGCCGCCAAGAGGAGGCGCGGCGCGGCGCGGGAGAGGGCGGCGAGGCCCGUCGUUCCAGUGGUGCCGGGGUGAGUUUCUUUUUUGCUUGAACCGAGUGGUCGAGCGGCUCUGCUUGGCUUAUAUUUAGUUUGUCUUGGGUUUCAGGUCGCCGAUCUCGCUGGCGCUGGCGGCGGUGGACGCUGCAUCUGGCGACAGUGCCACGUUCCAAAGGAGCCGGUCCGACACCGUCGGUCGGGACGAGGGGAGGAGGAGGGGGCAGAUCCGGAUCUUGGCCUGGACCCGUCCGACACCGAAGGCUUGGCCUGGUGGGACUAAAACCGGGCCGAGGCGGAGCUGGAGGCGGCGUUGACACAGGCCUGGGUUAGCGCCGCGGUGGCGUGGGCGCGAGCCAGCGAGGAGCAGGCGUGGCCGGAGACGCCGGCAGGGAUGGUGUCGUUGUCGGAGGGGGAGCACGGCCAAGGUGGCCAUGCGGACCUGAUAGACCUCGACCGGGAGGUCGUGGUCAUCGGGGACGACACCCCGCCGCGGACCAACGUGGUUGAGCGGGCGGGGGCCGACGGAGGCGGCAGCGACACCAUCUUGGAGGAAGCGCCGCGGAUGGCAUCGGAGGGAACGCCCCAGGUGCAAAUGAACGAAGCGCCGUUGGUGGUGGGGCCGCAGGCCACUCCGGUCGCCGAACCGGUGAUGGUGUCGGUGAGGGCGCCGGAGAGGGCGCCGGCCGCAGGGGGCGAGGCCAGCGGGGAGCACGCCCUGGUGCUCAAAUCGGGGGGUCGUCGGGCCACCGGGUCGCAGCAGACACGGAGCGGGACCGGCGAGGUCUUCUUCGGGCCUCCAACCCAGGAGGAGGCGGCGAUGGCCGCAGUGACCCGGCGCCUGCGAGCGCGGACGGACCAAAUCCAGGCCUUCACCCAGGCCGAGGUGGAGGCGACGUAGGAGCUGGAGCACGCCAUUUUAUAAGUUUUCCGUUGCAUUCCGCUUUGUGGGGGCGCGCCAGCGCACCCACUGGGUGUAGCCCCCGAGAAUCGGGCCAACUGCGUAGCAGUUGGGUCGAAUCUUAUACUGCUGUCUUGUAUUGAUUGUUGCUUUCUGCAGCAACUGGACUCCUACUAGGUCAGUGUCUUCAACCGGCUCCUGGAGACGCACCGGCGGCUCAAGGAGCAGCUUGUCGCCAAGGAGGAGGAGCUCCGCGCCGCGGCAGGUACUUUUUCUUGCGUGCUCUUUUUUAGUUGGGGCGCGCUAGCGCACACACUGGGUGUAGCCCCCAAGAUUCGGGCCAACUGCGUAGCAGUUGGGCCGAAUCUUCAAAUAGUACUUGUUUCUGAGUCUUUCUUCUGCAGCCGAGGUGCUGUCUUGGAGGACCCGGCUGAUUUGGGCCGGCUUCCACUAUGACUGGCUCAUUGCUGACGCCGGUCGGCUUGGAACCGAGGUGGAGAGGGCGAGGGAGGAGGCGACGGGAGCCCGGCGGGUGCUUGACGAAGCCCGAUAGCUGCGGGAGCGCCUCAAGGUGGAGGCCGCCAAGGUUGUGGAGGCGCAGCAUGCCCUUGCCGAGGCGGACCAGCAACGCGGCAAGCUGGCCGACGACAAGGGGCAGCUCCAGGCCAAGGUGGAGCGCCUGAAGGCGCUGGUGGCCACGGCGGAGGAGACCCGGCAGGAGAAGACCAGGCGCCGUGAGGAGGCAGUGAAGGCGGCCAAGGACAAGGAUGCCGAGAUGAAGGCGGCCCUUGCCAAGGUCGUCGAUCUGGAGAAGACGCUCCAGGAGCGUGACCGCACCAUCGCCCGGGAGCGGCGCGAUACGUUGCUCGAAGCGCAGCACCUUGAAGAGUCCUUCUCCAGUAAGUGCUUUCCUUGGGUUUUGCCGGGCUGGGACCCCGGCUUUUUGUCCUUGGUGACUUUUCUUCUGACUUGCUUCUCUUCUUGACAGGGGCCUUCCCGGAGACGUGCCAGCUGCCGGAGGAGGCGGUCCGCCUUUAGCGCGACCCACAGGGGAUCGUCGGCUCUGGGACUGACCCGCGGGUGACCUGGACUUUCCUAGAGAUCGUGACCGCCGCCGAGGCCCGUCUGCGAGUCUUGAGCGAGCAGAUGGGCGGCUCUCUGAGGCCGGCGCGGCGAUGAUGGCGGCCCUCUGGCCGGGUUCUGUCGCGCUGGCUGGCGCGGUGACUGGAGGCAGGCCCGGACCGUCUUCAUGAGUGGCGGGUUUCCGCCGCCUAUGCCGGCGCCGAGAUGGCGCUUCGGUUUGCGAUGUCUUGGCACCCGGACUUGUCGCUAGACGCGUUGAUGGGCCAGCGAGCCAGCUCGGAGAGCCAGUUGCACGCGGAGGCCGACCGGAUCGCCGCUCGGGCCAGCUGCAUCUCCGGGUUCGCCUUCCACAACGAGUUCCGGCCGGAGCGGGCGGAAGAUGGCGGAGUUGUGCCUGCCGAUGACUACGGCCUGCUUCUGGAUGACCCGGAGGGCAGCUCCGAGGUGACGGACGUCUACCGCGACGCGGGCGCCGAGGAGGGAGACACCGGCACCUCGGCGAACCCGGAGGCCACCGAGGUGGAUGCCUGAGGCUGCUUGUUUUUUAACUUAGUAAAAAUUUAUGUUAGGUAGCAGGUCCACCCACCCACUGGGGGUUUCUAGGUGUAAUGAAUUCUCGCCUUGGGCCUGUUUAAAUUUGAACUGGUGAAGUAUAAACUUCGUGAAUGUUAGCGCUCUUGCUUUUUGACUUUCGAGCCGUUUUCUUGCGACUUUCCUCUCUCGGGNNNNNNNNNNNNNNNNNNNNNNNNNNNNNNNNNNNNNNNNNNNNNNNNNNNNNNNNNNNNNNNNNNNNNNNNNNNNNNNNNNNNNNNNNNNNNNNNNNNNNNNNNNNNNNNNNNNNNNNNNNNNNNNNNNNNNNNNNNNNNNNNNNNNNNNNNNNNNNNNNNNNNNNNNNNNNNNNNNNNNNNNNNNNNNNNNNNNNNNNNNNNNNNNNNNNNNNNNNNNNNNNNNNNNNNNNNNNNNNNNNNNNNNNNNNNNNNNNNNNNNNNNNNNNNNNNNNNNNNNNNNNNNNNNNNNNNNNNNNNNNNNNNNNNNNNGGCUGGCAGCAAUCCAGUCGAGACCGGUUGGUAAGCAGCCGGUCGGGCGGCAGUGUUACAAGUGACGAGGCUGGGUCGAUCAACACGGCGGUAUGUAUGAAUUCGUGGGUGCCUGUGCUUUUGCUUUCUGUUAGUUGAGCCAUUUUCUUGCGGUUUUCCCGCCUUGGGCCUCCCCCGCGAGUCUGACGGCUGAGGCUCCGGUCCGUGACAAGGGGUUUGGCCUUCGAGAGGAGUGCGCGGUACUUGGGCGUUCGGAACGUUGAGCGCGAGAGAAACACCCACUGGGCCGGCUGGCAGCAAUCCGGCAAAGCCGGUUUGGCAAGCAGCCGGUCGUGCGGCAGCUAAAGUGGCGUGGCCGGGUUGGGUAAUCCGGCGGCCCUUGACUUAGUGUUUGUGGCGGGCUGGUGCUUUGGCCUUGCGCGCUUGCCAGUCGAUAGCUGAAGCCAGUUCUGUUGCUUAGGACGAAGUGGAAGGCCGCGGCGAUCCCAGUGUGUCAGGAACUGCUAAGGAAAGGCGGCGGGUAGUGGCCAAGCCGGCCAGCCCCUGAGGCCCUGGGUCGAGCGAGUCGGACCGGUGGUCGGGUUUGACGCAGAGAGAGAUAAUGCGUAAAUGCGGGAGACACAAAAAUCUUGGUCGAAAGGGGCAGCCCCCGAGCGUCGCUCGGGGACCCCAUAGUUUUCAUGCGAUUACAAAAGGUAGCGAUACAUACGUGCACACGGCUAACUGUAAAAUGGGCGGAGGAGCUCUGCGUUCCACGACCGGAUUGGAUCUUCACCGGCGGUGUCUCUCUUGUGCUUGUUUGACUUGGGGGCGUUGAUGAGGUAGUAGGCGUUGCGAUCGCACAGGGCCUUGCUGACGAUGAAGGGGCCCUCCCAUGGGGAGGACACCUUGUGUUAGCCGGUCUGCUCUUGGACGAGUCGGAGGACGAGGUCUCCUUCUCGAAGGGCGAGGGGCUUGAUCUUCUUGCUAUGGUAUUGCCUCAGGCCUUGCUGGUAGAUGGCUGAGCGGCUGAGCGCUAGGAGACGCGCUUCUUCGAGUAGGUCGACACCAUCUUCGCGGGCUUCUUUGGCCUCGGUUUUGGUGUACAUCGUGACGAGCGGCGAGUCAAACUCGACAUCGGUCGGGAUGACGGCUUCUGCUCCGUAGACGAGGAAGAACGGGGUGAACCCGGUCGACCGGUUCGGUGUUGUUCGGAGACUCCAGAGGAUGGCCGGCAAAUCAUCAAGCCAGCUGUCGGGCGAAUGGAUGAGCGGCUCGACGAGUCGCGGCUUCAUGCCGGAAAGGAUGAGGCCAUUGGCCCGCUCAACCUGGCCGUUGGAAUGUGGAUGUGUGACUAAAGCCAGGUCGAGGCGGAUGCCGGACACGGAACAGUACUGCGCGAGCGCGCCCUUGGCGAAGUUGGUGUCGUUGUCCGUGAUGAAGUUGUUCGGCAUGCCGUAGCGCACUGCGAUGUCCUUGACGAACCGGACAGCCGUUGGCCCGUCCAGCUUCUUGAUUGGCCUUACUUUGAUCCAUUUGGUGAACUUGUCCACCGCCACCAGCAGAUGCGUCAUGCCGCCUCGAGCGGUCUUGAAGGGCCCCACCAUGUCGAGUCGCCAGACCGCGAAGGGCCAGGCGAUCGGGAUGGUCCGGAGUGCCGACGCCGGCUGGUGGUUGCGCUUGUUGAAGCGCUGGCAUCCCUCGCACUUGAGGACGAGCGACUCUGCGUCUUCAAGGGCCGUGGGCCAGUAGAAACCAUGGCGGAAAGCCUUGGCCACCAAAGACCCCGAGGCGGCGUGGUGCCCGCACUCGCCCUGGUGUAUAUCGAGGAGGAUCUCAAUGCCCUUGUCUUGCUCGACGCAACGCUGGAAUACGUUGGUGGAGCUACGCUUGACGAGCUCGUUGUUGAUGAUGUUGUAGGUGGACGCUCGGCGCUGCACUUGCCGAGCUUCGGUCUCGUCCAUGGGGAGGACCCCGUUCUCCAGGAACUCUGAGAUGGGCAGCGCCCAUGAUGGUGUCGUCACCACGGCGAAGACGGCCACCAUGGCAGGUUCAGGGGUGGCAGCCCCUGAGCCGGGUUCAGCAGCCCCCGGGUCGGGUUCGGUAGUCCCCGAGCCAGGUUCGAGAGUCCCCGGGCCGGGCUGAGGCGCGGCCGGGUCGGGUGGAGUAGUCCCCGGACCGGGUUGAGGUGCGGCCGGGUCGGGUGGGACGUGGAUGGACUUGGAGUCCGGAGACGGCUUGUGCAGGUGCUCGAGGGAGACGUCAGACGGGAUGGACUGCCGGGGCGAGGCGAUCUUGGCGAGCGUGCCGGCCGCCUCCACUACAAAAAAAGACACAUCUGUGCCAUUUUGGGCCAAAUGAAAUUUUUUUCUGUCAUACUUAUGACACCUCUAUGACGAUAAUUGUGACAAAACCCGGUAUCAUCAUAGAUGUGGUGGGGUCCUAAUUCUAUGACAAAAAAUGGGCUUUUUGUCCUGGGCGGGCUGGAGACACAGCUGCAUGACAUUCUUUGGGCCGUCCAUGACGGUAAAACCGUGGUAGAAGCGAGGGCGAGGAAAAUAGCGGGGUGUUCCCGGUUACGGUGGGUGGUCGGGGCCGAGCGAUGCGCGUUUCUCUCGUACACGCACGCGCGUGGGUGCGAGGUGUUGGGCUCUAACUGCACCCGAGCAAGGCGUUGGGCUCUAACUGAAUCCGAGCGAUUGCACUGCAGGCUACGCGUUACUGAACCCGAGCGAUCGAUCGAUGGCUGUUAACUGAACCCGAUCGAGCGAUUCCUUCGCUACUGCUGCUAACUGAAGCCGAUCAAUGCUGCCUCUGGAUGAACAGUGAGCGUUGUUGGGGGGGUUUGGAUGAACAGUUCCCGGUGGGGGUGGAUGAACAGGACCCCGUGGUGUUGCCUCUGCAUGAACAGGACCCCGAUCGAUCGAGCCGGUUGGGGCUGGAUGAAUAGGACCCCGUGGAGGGCUGGAUGAACAGGACCACCCCGUGGAGGGCAGGAUGAACAGUAGACGGUGGAGGGCUGGAUGAACAGUAGCCCGUGGAGGGGUGGUUGAACAGGAGCCCGUGGAGAGGGCUGCUUGAAUAGUAGCCGGUGGAGGCUGGAUGAACAGGAGUCCGUGGAUGAACAGCCGCAGGUGGAGGCUGGAGGAGGUCGACGGUGGAUGAACAGUAGCCCGUUGAGGCUGGAGGGGGUUGACGGUGGAGAGGAACAGUAUCCCGUGGAGUCCCGUUUUGCGGUACGCCACACCCCUCCCGAUGAACAGGGCCCCUGUUUCGACCAUAGCGCUCCAACACAAGCCCGUGUCCUCCGUUUUGCGGUAUGCCACACCCCUCCCGAUCAACAGGACCCCCGUUUCGACCAUAGGAGGUCUGUUUCCUCCCUUUUGCGGUACGCCAGGCCCCUCCUGAUGAACAGGAUCCCGUUUCGACCGUGGCCGGUCAAAUACAAGGCCGUUUCCUCCGUUCUGCGGUACGCCAGGCCUCGUUUCCAUCGGUUGUUCCGUCCAAGCCCUCCCGAUGAACACGACAACGCAUUCCGUUCCGACCCAGCCGGUUGGCUCCCCAUGAACACGACGACGAUGUUGUUUCUCCGUUCCGACCCAGCCAUGUACACGAGCCCUGGCCGUACGUACGUGCGAGUCGGCGUUCGAGACCCCGCCCGUAUGUACGUACGUGGCCGUAUUUACUUUCUUGCACCUUGGCCGCUGUACGUACGUGUACAUGCUACGUGCGCGGCUCUACUACGACACGUGCGCGCCUCAACAUCGACCAGUAUGUACAUACACGUUCGCGACUAGAAUGACAAUGCUACGUACGCUUCGACCAGGUGGGUCCCGACUGUUAGGCACUUCCUUGCCUGUGAAGAUGUAGCUGGUGGGUCCCAGCAGUGAGGGGCGAAUCAUUUUUUUUGCCCGGACGCACUUCCUUGCGUGCGAAGAUGUAGCUAGUGGGUCCUAGCAGUCAGGGGGAAACGUUUUUUUCACCAAAUACGGUGGCCCGUCUGGUGGGUCCUUGCUGUCAGGUGGAGGAAUAAUUAUUUUGCGCGUAAUAAGGAGGCACUUCCUUCCUGCGGCCGUGGACCCAGCUGUCAGCCUCUCCACGUAUAGUACUCUUCGGAUGGAAGUCGUUCCUUAACCACGUUGACCACGCCGCGCCGAGAGCACCAGGGCGGUGGACGACGGCGAGGCCUAGGAAGGGGACGACGCGGAGCCGGGGAAGACGCGGCAGUGGAAGCCUGCGCGGAGAGGAGUACGAGGGUUCACUGGUUCGGCUGCAGUGUGAGGCUGCCGUCGCCGCAGGGCCUGGCCAGCGGUGGGAAUAGUAGGGGGUGGUGAGGCCUCCACGACAGCACAGCCGGCCACGGGAGGCAGGAGCAUGAGGCACGAUCGGCGCUGCUUUGGGCGGCUCGAGCAAGAAGAACAGAGGUUGAAGAAGCACUACGGCCUUUGGAUGGACAUCGUACGAUCACUGGAGCUAGAAUCGUUCAUAUUGACUAAGUUGACAAAGCACUUCGUCCCCUUCAACUUAGUAGGCCCACAAGUGAGCCUCCCACAAAGGUGGGUCCCAACUAGCAGGGGGAGUAUUCAUUUUUUUGUGCGUAAUAAGGAGGCACUUCCGAUGGGUCCGAGCUGACAGCGGGGGGAACGUUUUUUUCCCGAAAUACGGUGGCCCGUCCGAUGGGUCCCAGCAGUCAGGGGGGAAACGUUUUUUUCGCCAAAUACGGUGGCCCGUCCGGUGGGUCCCUGCUGUCAGGUGGAGGAAUAAUUAUUUUCCGCAUAAUAAGGAGGCACUUCCUUGCGGCUGCCGUGGACUCAGCUGUCAGCCUCUCCACGUACAGUACUCUUCCGAUGGAAGUCAUUCCUUGACCACGUUGACCACGCCGCGCCGAGAGCACCAGGGCGGUGGACGACGGCGAGCGGUGAGGCCUAGGAAGGGGACGACGCGGAGCCAGGGAAGACGCGGUAGUGGAAGCCCGCGCGGAGAGGAGUACAAGGGUUCACUGGUUCUUGCUGCGGUGUGAGGCUGCCAUCGCCGCAGAAUAACAGGGGGUGUGGGUGAGAGGAGGGAUGGCCUGGCCAGCGGUGGGAGUAGUAGGGGGCGGUGAGGCCUCCGCGGCAGCACAGCCUGCCAUGGAAGGCAGGAGCAGGCGGCACGACCGGCGCUGCUUUGGGCGGCUGGAGCAAGAAGACCAGAGGUUGAAGAAACACUACGGCCGUUGGAUGGACAUUGUACGGUCACUGUAGCUAGAAUCGUUCAUAUUGACUAAGUUGACAAAGCCCUUGGUACGCGUCAACUUAGUAGACCCACAGGUCAGCUUCCAAAACGGUGCGCCCCAGAUGUCAGGAGGAGGAAUCAAUUUUUGGGCGGGUGAAGCUAGAAUAUCCGAGAUUGAAGAAACACGGCAUCCCUUGGAUGGACAUCCAACGGCCACUGCUGCUAGAACCGUGUGUUGACUAUAAUAAGUUGACAAAGCCUUGGAUACGCGUCAACUUCUUUUUUUAGGGGACGCGUCAACUUAGUAGGCCCACAAGUGUGUGGCAGAGAACUUAUAGCCCAUUUGAAAUUGUAAGAAUGUACAGCCCAUUUUUGAAUUCUAAUGGAAUUUACUACAGCCCAUUUACAGUUUGUUAAAAGUAUAGCCCAUUUUCUAGCCAGGACAACGAUUAAUAAUUUCAACCAACCGUUCAAGACAGAAUGCAAUAAAAUUUCACACAUUUUGAUGGGAUCCGAAAUAUUUUUAUCCCGAAAUUUCUAGUCAAAUUAAAUAUAAAUUUGUAUUACGAAAAAAUCUAACUUGUUGGGUGGAGCUGGCUUGUUGGGGAAGUCUUGGUGCGCCGGGCUCGCCCGUCUUGAGCUAGUUGUUUGGGCCGAGCUGAGGAGUCCGGCCGGGUCGAGGAUUAGGCCAGGUCGAGGGGCUUGGCCGGGUCGAGCGAGCCGGCCAAGCGUGAGCCGGCUUGAGGGGAGAUGCUGGCCCCAUUGUUUUUGAAAAGGAUCCGGGUUUCGUUGCCUACCCGGGGUUCAUCCCCCCGACAGUAGUCCCCGAAGCUGUGAAGGUCCGCCGUCUUCACAUGGGAGGGUCUUCGCAGUUUCCCCUUUGAAGUAGGCAAACUUUGUGACCCCCGGGUCAGGCAACACUCAUUGUGUUCCGGCUUCCGGAAGACGGAUCGCGGCAUCCCGGCAGCGGCGGGAAACCGAGGAGUCCACCGAAUCUUUGAGGCAAUCUUUUUGGCUUCGCGCGGGCGCCACGUGGCGCCUGGAAGCCGGAAGGGCCUGGCAGGCACGCGCGAGACAGGUCAAGGCGACGCGCUGGGGCCCACGGCCACGCGCCCUCGGCCCACGCGCGUGGAUUUAUUGCGGCGUUCGCAAGUCGGUUGCCAUUCUCGAGGCAGUUAUUGCGCACAUACGUGCACAGUUAUUGCGGGGAAGUGGGAGAGGCGGGCGCAAACAAUCCCACUCCCCCACGUUUCAAACCGCGGCUUAUAAAUUGGGACGAGGAGGGGGCGGCGGAAAUCGUUCUCGCUCGUGCCCCUGCCUUCGUCUUCCUUCCUCUGCUUCUUGCGACCGCCGCGCACCGCGACGCCCGUUGCUUUGAGCAGAGCUUCAUAGCCACCUUCUCCUUUCUUCUCUCGUAUCUUUGUCGAUGGCGCUGCCGUCGGGCUCGUGGAUGGGCUCGACCGUCACCCUCGAUGACAACGCCUAUCUUCGCACCACCAGCCGCCUGCCGGGGGAGACGGAGGUUGCCGUGCGCUGCCGCGGGGAGAGCGGGAGCCGCGGCCCAAGGGCACAGAGCGCAUGGUCUUCUUCCCGCACUACAAUCGCGGGUUCGGGCUCCCCGCGAGCGGCUUCUUCCGCGACUUCCUGGAGGUCUUCGGGAUCCAGCCCCAUCAUCUUGGCGUCGGUGCCAUCGUGCAGCUGUCGGGCUUCGUCAUCCUCUGCGAGGGGUACCUGGGGGUCGAGCCUUCGAUCGACCGCUGGGUACGCUUCUUCUCCUUCAAGCAGCAGGGGCCAAGGGCCGGAGACAUGUCCGAGUGUGGGGCCGCGGUCAUCUCCAAGCGGUCGGGCGCUGACUGCCCGAAGAUGCCGCUGGAGGAUUCUGCCAAGAAGUGGCAGAAUUCUUUCUUCUACGUCCGCAACCUCGGCGCGAACCACAUCAACUUGUCCCCUUCGUCAACUCGCCGCCAAGGGGGAAACGGAACUGGGGGUACUACCCCAAGCACCCGUCGCAGGAGGUGCUCAACCUGUGCGAGCGGGUGUUAGUGAUGAAGGAGCGGGAGGGGCUCACCGGCACCAACCUCAUCACCGCCUUCAUCGUCCGUCGGGUGCCACCUCAUCGGUCAGAUGACCGGCCUUCAGAACCCCAACCGCAUGGUGAACUUGCGGCUGGGGGCGGACCAGGUCAUGCGCCGGGUUAACGACAUCUCCAAGGCCAACUUGUGGGAUGACUGGCAGUUCGGGAAAGCCCCGUACAGCCGCACGAAUCCGGCACCGACGGUGCGUCCUUGGUCUCCAUAUUUUGCUGCUGCUCAUCUUCUUAUUCGCCCUCACGCGACACGGGAGGUGCUCCUGAACGCCAUCCGGCAUCCUUAUGACCGUGCGCGGACGCAGGUGCUGCGCGUCGCCUAGUAGGAGCCCGAGGCUCACGGCGGAGGGGAGGAGGCGACCGCCGACGCGGACGCAGGGCGCCGAGCUGGUAAGUCUUGUGUUUACUUCUUGAGUCGCCGGUCGCGCGACGGUCUUGAGGGGCUGACGCGAGUUGCUGUCGCAGUGGCGCCAGGUGGAGGAGGCGGCGGCGCGGCCGGAGCCGGGUCGUCUCGAGAGGCGCCGGCGGCGAGCCAUCCGCACUGGAAGCACAACCUCGCACCGCGGACCCUGGCCGUGGAGCGCGCGGCGGACCCGACCGGGGGCGCGAAGCCGGCUGCCAAGAGGAGGCGCGGUGCUCCGCGGGAGAGGGCAGCGAGGCCCGUCGUUCCGGUGGUGCCGGGGUGAGUUUCUUUUUUGCUUGAACCGAGUGGCCGAGCAGCUCUGCUUGGCUUAUGUUUAGUUUGUCUUGGGUUUCAGGUCACCGAUCUCGCUGGCGCUGGCGGCGGCGGACGCUGCGUCUGGCGACGGUGCCGUGUUCCAAAGGAGCCGGUCCGACACCGUCUGUCGGGAAGGGGGGAGGAGGAGGGGGCGGAUCCGGAUCUUGGCCUAGACCCGUCCGACACCGAAGGCUUGGCCUGGUGGGACCAAAACCGGGCAGAGGCGGAGCUGGAGGCGGCGUCGACCGAGGCCUGGGUUAGCGCCGCGGUGGCGUGGGCGCGAGCCGGCGAGGAGCCGGCAUGGCCGGAGACGCCGGCAGGGACGGUGGCGGUGGCGCCGUUCUUCAUGCCGUCGUCGGAGGGGAAGCACGGCCAAGGCGGCCGUGCGGCUGUGAUGGACCUCGACCGGGAGGUCGUGGUCAUCGGGGACGACACCCCGCCGCGGACCGACGUGGUCGAGCGGGCGGGGGCCGACGGAGGCGGUGGCGACACCGUCUUGGAGGAAGCACCGCGGAUGGCACCGGAGGGAACGCCCCAGGUGCAAAUGAGCGAAGCGCCGUUGGUGGUGGUGCCGCAGGCCACUCCAGUCGACGAACCAGUGAUGGUGCCGGCGAGGGCGACGGAGAGGGCGCCGGCCGCAGGGGGCGAGGCCAGCGGGGAGCACGCCCUGGUGCUCAAGUCAGGGGUUCGUCGGGCCGCCGGGUCGCAGCCGACGCGGAGCAGGACCGGCGGGGUCUUCUUCGGGCCUCCAACCCAGGAGGAGGCGGCGAUGGCCGCCGUGACCCGGCGCCUGCGAGGGCGGACGGACGGAAUCAAGGCCUUCGCCCAGGCCGAGGUGGAGGCGACACAGGAGCUGGAGCGCGCCAUUUUUGUAAGUUUUCCGUUGCAUUCUGCUUUGUGGGGGCGCGCCAGCGCACCCACUAGGUGUAGCCCCCGAGAUUCGGGCGCAGUUGGGUCGAAUUGUAAACUGCUGUCUUGUAUUGAUUGUUGCUUUCUGCAGCAAUUGGACUCCUACCGGGUCAGCGUCUUCAACUGGCUCCUGGAGGCGCAUCGGUGGCUCAAGGAGCAGCCUGUCGCCAAGGAGGAGGAGCUCCGCGCCGCGGCAGGUACUUUUUCUUGCGUGCUCUUUUUUAGUUGGGGCGAGCUAGCGCACCCACUGGGUGUAGCCCCCGAGAUUCGGGCCAACUGCGUAGCAGUUGGGCCGAAUCAUAAAAUAGUACUUGUUUUUGAGUCUUUCUUCUGCAGCCGAGGUGCUGUCUUGGAGGACCCGGCUGAUUCGGGCCGGCUUCCACUACGACCGGCUCGUUGCUGACGCCGGUCGGCUUGGAGCCAAGGUGGAGUGGGCGAGGGAGGAGGCGAUGGGAGCCCGGCGGGCGCUCGACGAAGCCAGACAACUACGGGAGUGCCUCAAGGCGGAGGCCGCCAAGGUUGUGGAGGCACAGCAGGCCCUUGUCGAGGCGGACCAGCAACGCGGCAAGCUGGCCGACGACAAGGGGCAGCUCCAGGCCAAGGUGGAGCGCCUGAAGGCACUGGUGGCCACGAUAGAGGAGACCCGGAAGGGGAAGACCAGGCGCCGCGAGGAGGCGGUGAAGGAGGCCGAGGACAAGGACGCCGAGAUGAAGGCGGCCCUUGCCAAGGUCGCCAAUCUGGAGAAGACGCUCCAGGAGCAUGACCGUACCAUCGCCCGGGAGCGGCGCGAUACGUUGCUCGAAGCGCAGCACCUUGAAGAGUGCUUCUCCAGUAAGUGCUUUCCUUGGGUUUUGCCGGGCUGGGACCCCGGGUUUUUGUCCUUGGUGACUUUUCUUCUGACUUGCUUCUCUUCUUGACAGGGCCUUCCAGGAGACACGCCAGCUGGCAGAGGAGGCGGUCCGCCUUUAGCGCGACCCGCAGGGGAUUGUUGGCUCCGGGACUGACCCGCGGGUGGCCUGGACUUUCCCAGAGAUCGUGACUGCCGCCGAGGCCCGUCUGUGAGUCUUGAGCGAGCAGAUGGGGCGGCUCUCUGAGGCCGGCGCAGUGAUGACGGCGGCCCUCUGGCCGGGUUCCAUCGCGCUGAAUAGCUUCACACGGCUGGCGCGGUGGUUGGAGGCGGGCCCGGACCGUCUACAUGAGUGGCAGGUUUCCGCCGCCCGUGCCGACGCCGAGAUGGCGCUCCGGUUUGCGAUGUCUUGGCAUUCGGACUUGUCUCUGGACACGUUGAUGGGCCAGCGAGCCGGCUCGGAGAGCCAGUUGCACGCGGAGGCUGGCCGGAUCGCCGCUCGGGCCAGCUACAUCACCGGGUUCGCCUUCCACGCCGAGUUCCGACCGGAGCGGGCGGAAGAUGGCGGAGUUGUGCCUGCCGAUGACUACAGCCUGCUUCUAGAUGACCCGGAGGGCAGCUCCGAGGAGACGGACUUCUACCGCGACGCGGGCGUCGAGGAGGGAGACACCGGCACCUCGGCGAACCCGGAGGCCACCGAGGGGGAUGCCUGAGGCUGCCUGUUUUUUAACUUACUAAAAAUUUAUGUUAGGUAGCAGGUCCACCCACCCACUGGGGGUUUCUAGGUGUAAUGAAUUCUGGCCUUGGGCCUGUUUAAAUUUGAACUGGUGAAGUAUAAACUUCGUGAAUGCUACCGCUCUUNNNNNNNNNNNNNNNNNNNNNNNNNNNNNNNNNNNNNNNNNNNNNNNNNNNNNNNNNNNNNNNNNNNNNNNNNNNNNNNNNNNNNNNNNNNNNNNNNNNNNNNNNNNNNNNNNNNNNNNNNNNNNNNNNNNNNNNNNNNNNNNNNNNNNNNNNNNNNNNNNNNNNNNNNNNNNNNNNNNNNNNNNNNNNNNNNNNNNNNNNNNNNNNNNNNNNNNNNNNNNNNNNNNNNNNNNNNNNNNNNNNNNNNNNNNNNNNNNNNNNNNNNNNNNNNNNNNNNNNNNNNNNNNNNNNNNNNNNNNNNNNNNNNNNNNNNNNNNNNNNNNNNNNNNNNNNNNNNNGAAACACCCAGUGGGCCGGCUGGCAGCAAUCUGGUCGAGACCGGUUGGUGAGCAGCCGGUCGGGCCGCAGUGUUACAAGUGACGAGGCCGGGUCGAUCAACCCGGCGGUAUGUAUGAACUUCGUGGGUGCCUGUGCUUUUGCUUUCCGUCAGUUGAGUCGUUUUCUUGCGGUUUUCCCCCCUUGGGCCUCCCCCCCGCGAGUCUGAUGGCCGAGGCUUUGGUCCGUGACAAGGGGUUUGGCCUUCGAGAGGAGUGCGCAGUACUUGGGCGUUCGGAACGUUGAACACGAGCGAAACACCCACUGGGCCGGCUGGUGGCAAUCCGGCAAAGCCGGUUUGGCAAGCAGCCAGUCGUGCGGCAGCUAAAGUGGCGUGGCCGGGUUGGGUAACCCGGCGGCCCUUGACUUAGUGUUUGUGGCGGGCUGGUGCUCUGGCCUUGCGCGCUUGCCAGUCGAUAGCCGAAGCCGGUUCUGUUGCUUUGGACGAAGUGGAAUGCCGCGGCGAUCCCAGUGUGUCAGGAACUUCUAAGGAAAGGCGGAGGGUAGUGGCCAAGCCGGCUAGCCCCCGAGGCCCCGCGUCGAGCGAGUCAGACCGGUGGCCGGGUUUGACACAGAGAUAGAUAAUGCGUAAAUGCGGGAGACACAAAAAGCUUGGUCGAAAAGGGGCAGCCCCCGAGCGUUGCUCGGGGACCCCAUAGUUUUCAUGCGAUUACAAAAGGCAGCGAUACAUACGUGCACGCGUCUAACUGUAAAAUGGGCGGAGGAGCUCUGCAUUCCACGACCAGAUUGUUUGUUCACUGGCGGUGUCUCUCUUGCGCUUGUUUGACUUGGGGGCGUUGAUGAGGUAGUAAGCAUUGUGAUCGCACAGGGCCUUGCUGACGAUGAAGGGGCCCUCCCAUGGGGAGGACAGCUUGUGUUAGUCGGUCUGCUCUUGGACAAGUCGGAGGACGAGGUCUCCUUCUCGAAAGGCGAGGGGCUUGAUCUUCUUGCUGUGGUAGUGCCUCAGGCCUUGCUGGUAGAUGGCUGAGCGGCUGAGCGCUAGGAGACGCGCUUCUUCGAGUAGGUCGACACCGUCUUCGCGGGCUUCUUUGGCCUCGGUUUCGAUGUACAGCGUGACGUGUGGUGAGUCGAACUCGACAUCGGUCGGGAUGACGGCUUCUGCUCCGUAGAUGAGGAAGAAUGGGGUGAACCCAGUCGACCGGUUUGGUGUUGUUCGGAGACUCCAGAGGACGGCCGGCAACUCGUCAAGCCAGCUGUCGGGUGAACGGAUGAGCGGCUCGAUGAGUCGUGGCUUGAUGUCGGAAAGGAUGAGGCUGUUGGCCUGCUCAACCUGGCCAUUGGACUGUGGAUGUGUGGCUAAAGCCAGGUCGAGGCGGAUGCCGGAGAUGGAACAAUACUACACGAGCGCGCCCUUGGCGAAGUUGGUGCCGUUGUCCGUGAUGAUGUUGUUCGGCAUGCCGUAGCGCACCGCGAUGUCCUUGACGAACCGGACGGCCGUUGGCCCGUCCAGCUUCUUGAUUGGCCUUGCUUCGAUCCAUUUGGUGAACUUGUCCACCACCACCAGCAGAUGCGUCAUGCCGCCUCGAGCGGUCUUGAAGGGCCCCACCAUGUCGAGUCCCCAGACCGCGAAGGGUCAGGCGAUCGGGAUGGUCCGGAGUGCCGACGUCGGCUGAUGGCUGCGCUUGCUGAAGCACUGGCAUCCCUCGCACUUGAGGACGAGCGACUCUGCGUCUUCAAGGGCCGUGGGCCAGUAGAAACCAUGGCGGCGUGGUGCCCGCACUCGCCCUGGUGUAUGUCGAGGAGGAUCUCAAUGCCCUUGUCUUGCUCGACGCAACGCUAGAAUACGCUGGUGGAGCUGCGCUUGAUGAGCUCGUUGUUGAUGAUGUUGUAGGCGGACGCUCGGCGCUGCACUUGCCGAGCUUCGGUCUCGUCCAUGGGGAGGACCCCAUUCUUCGGGAACUCUGAGAUGGGCAGCGCCCAUGAUGGUGUCGUCACCACGGCGAAGACGGCCACCAUGGCGGGUUCAGGGGCGGCAGCCCCCGAGCCAGGUUCAGCAGCCCCCGGGUCGGGUUCGGUAGUCCCCGGGCCAGUUUCGACAGUCCCCGGGCCGGGUUGAGGCGCGGACGGGUCGGGUGGAGCAGUCCCCGGGCCGGGUUGAGGCGCGGCCGGGUCGGGUGGGACGUGGAUGGACUCGGAGUCCGGAGACGGCUUGUGCAGGUGCUCGAGGGAGACGCCGGACGGGAUGGACUGCCGGGACGAGGCAAUCUUGGCGAGCGUGUCGGCCGCCUCCACUACAAAAAAAGACACAUCUGUGACAUUUUGGGCCGAACGAAAUAUUUUUUCUGUCAUACUUAUUACACUUCUAUGACGAUAAUUGUGACAAAACCCGGUAUCAUCAUAGAUGUGGUGGGGUCCUACUUCUAUGACAAAAAUCAUGACAAAAAAUGGGCUUUUCGUCCUGGGCGGGCUGGAGACGCAGCUGCAUGACAUUCUUUGGGCCGUCCAUGACAGAAAAAACCGGGGUAGAAGCGAGGGCGAGGAAAAUAUCGGGGUGUUCCCGAUUACGGUGGGUGGUUGGGGCCGAGCGAUGCGCGUUUCUCUCGUACACGCACGUGUGUGGGUGCGAGGCGUUGGGAGCUAACUGAACCCGAGCGAGGCGUUGGGCUCUAACUGAACCCAAGCGAUUGCACUGCAGGCUACGCGUUAUUGAACCCGAGCGAUCGAUCGAUGGCUGUUAACUGGACCCGAUCGAGCGAUUCCUUCGCUACUGCUGCUAACUGAAGCCGAUCGAUGCUACCUCUGGGUGAACAGUGAGCGUUGCUGGGGUAUUUGGAUGAACAGUUCCUGGUGGGGGUGGAUGAACAGGAGCCCGUGGUGUUGCCUCUGGAUGAAUAGGACCCCGAUCGAUCGAGCGGGUUGGGGCUGGAUGAACAGGACCCCGUGGAGGGCUGGAUGAACAGGACCACCCCGUGGAGGGCAGGAUGAACAGUAGAUGGUGGAGGGCUGGAUGAACAGUAGCCCAUGGAGGGGUGGUUGAACAGGAGCCCGUGGAGAGGGCUGGUUGAACAGUAGCCGGUGGAGUAGCGCGCGGUGGAGGCUGGAUGAACAGGAGUCCGUGGAUGAACAGCCGCAGGUGGAGGCUGGAGGAGGUCGACGGUGGAUGAACAGUAGCCCGUUGAGGCUGGAGGGGGUCGACGGUGGAGAGGAACAGUAUCCCGUGGAGUCCCGUUUUGCGGUACGCCACACCCCUCCCGAUGAACAGGGCCCCCGUUUCGACCAUAGCGCUCCAACACAAGCCCGUGUCCUCCGUUUUGCGGUAUGCCACACCCCUCCCGAUCAACAGGACCCCCGUUUCGACCGUAGGAGGUCCGUUUCCUCCGUUUGGCGAUACGCCAGACCCCUCCCGAUGAACGGGAUCCCGUUUCGACCGUGGCCGGUCGAACACAAUGUUGUUUCCUCCGUUCUGCGGUACGCCAGAUCUCGUUUCCAUCGGCUGCUCCGUCCAAGCCUCCCGAUGAACACGACGACGCAUUCCUUUCCGACCCAGCCGGUUGGCUCCCAUGAACAUGACGACGACGCUGUUUCUCCAUUUUGACCCAGCCAUGUACACGAGCCCUGGCCGUACGUACGCAUGAGUAGGCGUUUGAGACCCCGCCCGUAUGUACGUAUGUGGCCGUAUUUACUUUCUUGUACCUUGGUCGCUGUACGUACGUGUACAUGCUACGUGCACGCCUCUACUAUGACACCUGCGCGCCUCUACAUCGACCAGUAUGUACGUACACGUUCGCGACCAGAAUGACAACGCUACGUACGCUUCGACCAGGUGGGUCCCGACUGUCAAGCACUUCCUUGCCUGUGAAGAUGUAGCUGGUGGGUCCCAGCAGUCAGGGGGGUGAAUCGUUUUUUUUUUGCCCGAACGCACUUCCUUGUGUGCGAAGAUGUAGCUGGUGAGUCCCAGCAGUCAGGGGGAAACGUUUUUUCGCCAAAUACGGUGGCCCUUCCGGUGGGUCCCCGCUGUCAGGUGGAGGAAUAAUUAUUUUGCGCGUAAUAAGGAGGCACUUCCUUGCUGUGGCCGUGGACCCAGCUGUCAGCCUCUCCACGUACAGUACUCUUCUGAUGGAAGUCGUUCCUUGACCACGUUGACCACGCCGCACCGAGAGCACCAGGGCGGUGGACGACGGCGAGGCCUAGGAAGGGGACGACGCGGAGCCGGGGAAGACGCGGCAGUGGAAGCCCGCGCGGAGAGGAGUACGAGGGUUCACUGGUUCGCCUGCAGUGUGAGGCUGUUGUCGCCGCAGGUCCUGGCCAGCGGUGGGAAUAGUAGGGGGCGGUGAGGCCUCCGCGGCAGCACAGCCGGCCACGGGAGGCAGGAGCAUGCAGCACGACUGGCACUGCUUUGGGCGGCUCAAGCAAGAAGACCAGAGGUUGAAGAAGCACUACGGCCGUUGGAUGGACAUCGUACGGUCACUGGAGCUAGAAUCGUUCAUUUUGACUAAGUUGAUAAAGCACUCCGUCCCCGUCAACUUAGUAGGCCCACAAGUCAGCCUCCCACCAAGGUGGGUCCCAACUAGCAGGGGGAGUAUUCAUUUUUUGUGCGUAAUAAGGAGGCACUUCCGGUGGGUCCGAGCUGACAGCGGGGGGAACGUUUUUUUUUGCGAAAUACGGUGGCCCGUCCGAUGGGUCCCAGCAGUCAGGGGGGAAACGUUUUUUUCACCAAAUACGGUGGCCCGUCCGGUGGGUCCCUCCUGUUAGGUGGAGGAAUAAUUAUUUUCCGCAUAAUAAGGAGGCACUUCCUUGCGGCUGCCGUGGACUCAGCUGUCAGCCUCUCCAUGUACAGUACUCUUCCGAUGGAAGUCGUUCCUUGACCACGUUGACCACGCCGCGCCGAGAGCACCAGGGCGGUGGACGACAGCGAGCGGCGAGGCCUAGGAAGGGGACGACGCGGAGCCGGGGAAGACGCGGCAGUGGAAGCCCGCGCGGAGAGGAGUACGAGGGUUCACUGGUUCGGCUGCGGUGUGAGGCUGCCGUCGCCGCAGAAUAACAUGGGGUGUGGGUGAGUGGAGGGAUGACCUGGCCAGCGGUGGGAGUAGUAUGGGGCGGUGAGGCCUCCGCGGCAGCACAGCCGGCCACGGGAGGCAGGAGCAGGUGGCACGACCGGCACUGCUUUGGGCGGCUAGAGCAAGAAGACCAGAGGUUGAAGAAGCACUACGACCGUUGGAUGGACAUUGUACAGUCACUGCAGCUAGAAUCGUUCAUAUUGACUAAGUUGACAAAGCCCUUGGUACGCCUCAACUUAGUAGGCCCACAGGUCAGCUUCCGAAAUGGUGCGCCCCAGAUGUCAGGGGGAGGAAUCAUUUUUUGGGCGGGUGAAGCUAGAAUAUCCAAGAUUGAAGAAGAAGCACGGCAUCCGUUGUAUGGACAUCCAACGGCCACUGCUGCUAGAACCAUGUGUUGACUAUAAUAAGUUGAUAAAGCCUUACAUACGCGUCAACUUCUUUUUUUUAGGGGACGCGUAAACUUAGUAGGCCCACAGGUGUGUGGCAGAGAACUUAUAGCCCAUUUGCGAUUUGUAAGAAUGUACAGCCCAUUUUUUAAUUCUAAUGGAAUUUACUACAACCCAUUUACAGUUUGUUAAAAGUACAGCCCAUUUUCUAGCUAGGACAACGAUUAAUAAUUUCAACCAACCGUUCAAGACAGAAUUCAAUAAAAUUUCCCACAUUUUGAUGGGAUCCGAAAUAUUUUUAUCCCGAAAUAUCUAGUCAGAUUAAAUAUAAAUUUGUAUUACGUAAAAAUCUAACGAAACAUUGCGCGCGCAACAAUUAAAAAUUAAGAUUUUCAAAAUCCAUAAAUAAUAUUUUAUAAACUAAUUUCGUGCUUGGUGCAUUUUUUAUAGUUACUGCCCAGUUUUAUAAUUACAUCCCUUUUUUUAUUUUUUAAAGACCAUUUUCAUGUUAAGCCUAAUGCAUCCCUCCUAGGAAAGAUUUGCAGCCCAGCGGGGCGGAGAAUAACAAGUUGACCUUACGUGGGUAUUCCUCAAAAAAACGUAUAGCUGGGCUAGCCAUUUUCCUCUUGAAAAAAAUUAAUAUCUGGGAUGGAUAUCUGUCGUGGGCUAGACGGGCCAUAGCCCGCCCAGUUAAUACCAUGCUCUCCUCUGAACAACAACGAAAACAUCUCCAAGAAAAACUCUGCAGUGCUCACGCCUCAAAAACAGAAAUACUGCUCGAGCUGCUUGGUCCCAGCUGUUGGCCGCACCUUGUGCAAUUCUCUCAUUUAUAUUGACUACAUAGGUUGACAAUCGUGUGGGACCGUGAUGUCAGGAAACCAGGAGGAAGCAAAAAAAUAGUUGUACAUAAUAAGGAGGCACUUGCGUACGUACGGCUAUGGCCCUAGUGGGUCCCUACUGUCAACCAGUCAAAAUAAAGUCAUCUCCGGAAUCCUCAUGUUCAUUGACCAUGUUAACAAUGCUCGGCGCCACGGCGAGCGCAACAACUCGAAGGACGAUGGAGAGGGCCUCGCGGGCCUACGGAUGGUCUAAUAUAGCGCCCGCUGCUCAUUCAGGAAGUCAGGAUCAUCGGACACCUAUGAGCACCUUCGAGAGACUGAGACGGCAUGAAACGGUAAGGCCGCGCUUGGGGGCUCUGGUUUAUUUCACACCUGUAUUAAGAUAUAAGUGUAAUUUACUCGUCAUCAGAAACAACGCGUAAAAUACAGGCGUAAUGAAACCGAGGGCCCGAGGUUUGUAAGUAAAACCGGCGGGUUACGCGUGUAAUUUGAGAGACCGGUGUAUAUUUUACUAGUUGAAAUUGACCAACCAAGCGCUUCGCCCGAGACCAUCUGCUUUUAUUUACAAGGGUCAGUUUUACAAGCGGUUUUGGUUGGAAAACGAUGAUCCAAUCACGGCCUAAGAUGAUGAGUUGGUCGGAAGAUCAUAUGGUUUCACGUCUAACCUACCUGACUUGUCGUAUAGGCUAUGAAUGAAACAUAAGACGACGAACUUCUUAAGCACGGAAACAACAGAAGAGGAUGAUCUUCCUGACAAGAAAAUCACUGGCAUUAGAUCGACAUGCAAAACAAUACGAAGCAUUAUUCUCAGGAGGCACGGUGAACAGCUCGUGAUGCCGCAUGCCACAACAUUCCAAGCUCAACUUCGCAAUCAAACACAAGGCCGGGCAUUACAUAGACACUAUUUAGAACAAACUCUUAAAAUAUCUUACAUAAGUCAACAUUCAUGUGACUAUGCAUCUUAGCAGAGUAAAUAUUUACUUCCGAACUGAAGACAGGAAUAGGAAAAAAUGAUCGACGUUGCUCACAGCAAAGGGCGUCCCACACAAAAAUAUCAAAUGCAUGUCUUCUGGCUAACAUCAAUGAGCAAAAAUUGACAAGGUUUUCCAAUUCCAAUAUAUUAAACUAAUGUCAACUUUGACAAGCUUUUCCCAUUCAAAAUAUGUAAUGCCUAUGAUUGUGGAACGGGAAAGGUUUGUCAUCAGUUUGUCAUCUGAUAGUCUGGUGGCUCAAGGUGAUGACGAAUGAUUAGAGAACCAUUCGAUGUAUUGUGCAUGAUGAAGUAUUAUUGAGGACACGAACCAUCUGAACAUUUUGUGCAGUUCCACUAAAAUCAAGCUGAGCAUCCCUGUGGAUUUCGUAUUUAUAUGCUGCCAGAAAACAAAGACACAUCAGCACACACAUGAAUAUUGGCCCCAGUGUCAGCCCACCAAUCGGUGGACUAACAAACUGAAAGUACGGUAAACAGAUUACCAUACCCAGAUGCCCCAUCAUUGUUGCUUAGAGUGACAUUGACAGACUUGGAGUCCUGUCCUAGCUUCUUGGUACUUGUUUGGGCACUUGUUUGCCCAGUGUUCCUCUGAACCACAAGUAAAGCAGCCAUCUCUCUUUUUGUCUUUCUUCUUACCCUUCUUAAUGGCCGACGCUGGCAGCACCAUUCAAACAUAUAGUCCGGUGGCUCAAGGUGACGACGAAUGAUUAGAGAACCAUUCGAUGUAUUGUGCAUGAUGAAGUAUUAUGGAGGACACAAACCAUCUGGACAUUUUGUGCGGUUCCACUAAAAUCAAGUUGAGCAUCCCUGUGGUUAUCGUAUUUAUAUGCUGUAAGAAAACAAAGACAUAGCAGCACACACAUGAAUAUUGGCCCCAGUGUCAACCCACCAAUCGGUGGACUAACAAACUGAAAGUACGGUAAACAGAUUACCAUGCCCAGAUGCCCCAUCACUGUUGCUUAGAAUGACAUUGACAGAUUUGGAGUCCUGUCCUGGCUUCCUGUACUUGUUUGGGCACUUUUUGCCAGUGCACUCCACGUGUUGUAGAGUUUCCUAUGUGCUCUCUUCAAACUAGUCAUGUCACCAGCGUCUACUAAUACUCUGUAAAGCUUCUCGAUCAUUCCUUGUGUAAUGUAGUGCAAAUAGUGACUACUUCUUUCUGCAAAGUGGUAAGACCAACUGGACCCACUAAUGCAGCAUUUUCCUUGGACACAUUGGCUCCUUUUGUGCAGUUCAACUAAAAUCAAAGUCGGAAUAAAACCGAGCUUUAAUUUUGAUAUCCCUGUAAGCAACAAAAGGUAUAAGGGAAACAAUUACUGAGAAAUAACGGUUGAUGACUUGUACUCCCAGAAGAAAAACAUCUACUGAUCUACCUUAUCUUAAUGGGAAACAAAGCAGGAGAGUAGCAAUUCUCAAUCAGUGUGAUUCAUUCAUAUUAACUGAGACACUAUCUUAACAAUGCCUUGUUUCAACAUGUAUAAAGAACGACAAAGCAGAAAAGUAUCAUUCCUAAAACAAUGCGACUAAUUCAUUUUAACACAAACAUUAUCUUAACAAUACCUUGGUUAAACACGUAGAAAGAACUACAAAGCAAGAUAGUACCAUUUGUAAAACACUGUAACUGAUAUAUAAUAAAAGAGACAUUAUCUGAACAAUACAUUUCUUAAACAUGUACUCCGGCCGAUCCCUAACAGAAAUGGUACUCCCGUCGAUCCCUAACAAGUGUUGCAGUUUUGAACUAAGAUUCAGUAGUUAAUUCUGAGGAAAGUCGGUACUGACCUUUCAAGACCAAGAUUUGAAACAACUCGUGAGGAAGACCUCAGAGAGAUCUCAACACAUAUAUGGAAAUCCGGUCUCAUUUUGUGCAGUUCCACCAAAAUUAAGCGAAGCAAAAUGUGGCAAUAGCAACAAGUUGAAUAGAUAUCCCUGUUUUAACAGAGGCAAAAAAGGAAUCAAUUACUGGCCAAUAAAGGAGGAUGAAACAUGCGGCCACAAAAAUGGUAAUCCCGCCAAUCCCUAACAAGUGUUGCAGUUUUGAAAUAAGAUUCAGUAGUUAAUUCUGAGAGUGGCAUUGCUUAAUUUUACCAGCGGCAUUAGAUUAACAAAAAGCAUAAACAGUUCCAGGGGAGAGUGGGCGCAACAAUAGUAUGUGCUUCCAUCUACUUAUAAAGGGGGUGAUGCAGAGUUUGUUGUAACAAAGCAACAAGCAUAAUGUCUAGAUUGGUCCCAUUUUUGUUCACUACUUAAUGGGAAAAGACAGCAAUACAAUAGCUUCAAUUCAACAUUUAUUUAAAACAGUACCAACACAAGUAGCACAGCAUCUCAAAAUACACUGCACGAUCAUGUGGAUGAAGGCAAGUACCAACCUAUCAUGACGCACACAAGAUCACGUACGAAUCUGCCAACAUGAAUAGGAAAUCUAAUCUCGUUUUGUGCAGUUACUCUGAAAUCAAGUAAAGUCGCCGGUGUGAAAUUUAAGUUUGCUAUAGCAACAAGUUGAAUAGAUAUCCCUGAUUUAACGGAGGCAAAAAAGGAAACAAUUACUGCCAAUAAAGGAGGAUGAAACAUGCGGCCACAAAAAGAAGCAUCUACCUUAUCUUGAUGGAAAACAAAGUAUAGGACAGUAGCAUUUCUAAAACGGUUGCAUUGAUUCGUAUUAACAGAGAAAAUCUCUUAAAAUAGUUUAGUAGUUAAUUCUGAGAGUGGCAUUGCUUAAAAUACAAUAGCUUCAAUUCAACAUUUAUUUAAAACAGUACCAAUACAAGUAACACAACAUCUCAAAACACACUGCACGAUCAUGUGGAUGGGACAUGGGACAUGCCAGCACCAUGUGCGUCCACACGUAUAAAUGGGUGAUGCAGAGUAUGUAGCCAAGCAGCAUAUCUGCGUUGGUCCCAUAUUUGUUCUCUUUGAAACUUUUUCCGAUGUGAGGGCAGCCAAUCUAGUCCUGCACAAACUACCCGACCCCCAAGUUUCUUUCCCUUUUCAACAAAGAGUUCGGUUCCUUACAGAUGCGUGUACUGGGUUACCCCCUUUUUCCCUUUUCGACCAACAAAGCGGUUGGAUAGCUAGUCUAUACUACUUUCCCUCCCUCCUUUCCUCAUUGAACCACGUCCUAGAUUCAUGCUCCACCCCACCGCGCCGUUCUUUCCUCUUUGAACCAAGACCUAGAUUCGACUACAGAAUCGAAAAAGAUGAGCAUGCAGCUAGACCAAUGACGGUUUCAAAGAAACUUGUACCUUAGGGUCGUCGGGAUGUGGCAAGGCAUGCGGCGGGAGGUCGGAUCUGCCCACACUACGUACAGCAGCGAGGAAGAAGGGGUCGGUGGCCCUCCCGCACAGGCGCUGGGUGAAAGAGAAAAGCACAGCCGGCAGUGGAUUGCCUCCCUCGCCGAAGGCGAUAGAGUGAAUGCUGCACCUCCUCCCCUUCCCGGUGCGACGGGAUCUGGACGCCUCCUUCGCCAGCUGUCUGUGAGGGGGGUGAGAGAGACAGAGGCCACAACGCAGUCUUGUUUAGAUCUGGUGAAGAGGGUGAGAGACAGUGAAUAUAGCAAACCCUAGCAAAGGAACGCUGAGCCUCCAGCGUGUAUAUAUAUAUGUAGUGUGGCGAGAGUGUGGAGAGUGCAAACCCUAGCGAACAAGUGCUGAGGCUCCAUCUUAUCUAUAUAUUGUAGUACGGACUGAGCUCCGGUGCCUUAACUGCACCUGCUUUUGGUUGUAUGACAGGUGGGCCAGCCACAUUUUGGGCCCACCUAUCAUAAACCCAAAGGCAGGUGCACUAAAGUCAAUGAAGCUGCGUCCAUAUAGUACUCGUGUAUACGACUAAUAUAUAGUGGAGUGGUUUUCUUAUUCUCUCCAUAACAAUCAUUUUAAAUUGUGUAAGUACGAAACAAAACUCUUUAUUUAAAGUACUAGUGAAGAAAACUACUACAAAGUUUGACUUCAGUCAAAUCUAAUAUGUGGAGUAAAUAAAAAAGGAGGGCUACUAUGUCCAUCUGGGUUUUUAGUCCACGCCAUUUUUUUUAAUCAAAGUUAAUAGCUGGACAAAUAAAAUUACAGGGGAGCUGGAGACAAAGUUGUGAGAAGGCUUAGAAAUCAAUACAAAACUUAUGCUCUUAGUACCAACGUCGAUCAUUCUUCGAGGAAACAUUUGGUUCAUAGCUAAUUGUGUGAUAAAAUUGCACCAACGUGAAAGACGACUGCGUCUCCAAUGCAACCAAGGUGAACUGACGAAGGAUAUCAUCUUUGUGGGUAACAAGCAAAGAGCACUGAUGCAAGACAGCUUGUUUUUCAUUGAAAAUCGAUCAGCUUCACCAGCCGACGCAACCAUGAGGUGCAACCAUGAGCAUCGAUAGGUCAUCAUGGUGAUGCAUCAUCCAUUUGGCAUCAAGUUUGGGUGAGGCACCUAUGAAGUUCGACAAAUCCUCACUGUGGUCUGUUUCUUCUCAGUAGUGAAGCUUGAGGAAGGAAGAACCACGUGGCAGAGGACAGUGAGGCGGAACAACAAUGGCCAUCCAAUUUUGUGCAGUUCCACUAAAAUUGAGGAAGACAUGCCCGGGUAUGGAGACACUACUAGAAAAACGGCUAUAGCUAAUAUGGACAUUAAUGGUCCACCAUGUAUGUGGUGCACCACUGCUAUAUAGUAGUGGCACACCAGAUAUAGGUACGCCAUUAUUGGCCAGAUUACUAAUGGCGCACCUGGUGUGUGGUGCGCCAUUACUAGUUUUGAAAAAAAAUAAAAAAAAUUGUUAGCAGUGGCGCACCAGGGGAUAGUGCGCCAUUACUAGUUAAACUUGUUGAAAUCUCUAGAAAGACAAAUAUUUAGGAACGGAGGGAGUACACAUACGAAGCAAAAUGAGUGAAUCUACACUCUAAAAUAUGCCCAUUUGAAAUUUGUAAAAAGACAAAUAUUUAGGAACGAAGGAGUAUAAUUUUGUGCAUGUCACAUGGACCCGGAUGCCGAAGAGGCUUCUAGCAAUGCUAUCAAGCUUCCAGCAUUUGUUUACAUAAUUGAUGUACUACACAAAUAAUUUUCCACUAACAUGAAAUUGUACAAUGGUGUGAGCUUUCAGCUUUUGUUUCGUGUGUCUUGCCAUCGAUGCUCUUUCGGAAAUAAUAAAAAACUAACUUCCUUGCUAAUCAGAGCUAAUAUUUACAUCACAACUGAAGACAAAGUUGUGAGAAGGUGUUAAAUUAAAAUUGAUCCAUGCUUUCAUUGGCAGCAACGUCCCCCCAGCUCUGUCUAAAUAAACAAGGCAUGUUGGGGAAAAAGUAGCUGUCUGGAGCAUGCAACAUUCCGAUCAUUUUGUGCAGUUCCACUAAAAUAGAGCUGAGCGUCCCUGUUCCAAAGAUAUUAAGUGUGAUUACGAUAAUAGAGGACUGCUGAUGAAACAAUAAACACACAAAUAGAAGCCGGUCAUCUUUGCAGUCUCUCUAAAGACUAACUAGUUGCAGAAGAUUAGGCUCAGAGUUGGAUGAGGAGGAUAGAGCAAAACCAAUCUCCCUUUGUGUAAUCGCACUGAAAUGUAGAGACGUUGCCCGUGUGACAUUUUGGUAGAACUACACAAAACACUCUUAAGAAAAAAGUGAUUUGUGCAGUUCACCAAAAGGUCACAAUAGCAAGGAGGUGAAAUGGAUAGCCCUGUUUGCAAAAAAGAGGUAUAGAAAGGAAACAAUUACUGGCUAGUAAUAGUUGAUGACACAUGCGACGACAAAAAAGAAGCAUAUUCCUUGUCCUAAGGGAAGAUAACAACACGGUUAUGUUUGUCUAAAACGGUGUGAGGACGAGAUUGCAAUAUGGAAAGUACACCGGACGAGCUACGUUUUGGGCAAAGAACUAUGGAAGAUCCACAUGCAGCGACGUGGGAAGACGGGCAGUGGAGCAAGGCCGGAGGGGAUACCUGGAGGUCGUCGGGAUGUAAGUAGGUGAGCGACGGCGGGCGGAAUCUGCCCGUACUGCGGCAGCGAGUAGGUGGCGUAGGCCCUACCACGCCGGACCUUGGUCAGAGAGAACAGCGUGUACCGCAGAUCGGGACGUGCUGCCUCGGCGCCGUCGAACGGAGAAACGAUGCAUGUCCUCCCUUUCCGCCGGCGGACGGGAUGCGGCCGGAUCAGUGACCAACGGUGAGAGAGAGAGAGAGGCCACCGCAGCCUUGUGUGAGAUACUCUGAAGAGAGACAAACCAGGCAGGCUCCAUUGUAUAUAGUGGAGCGGACUACCUUUUUCUCCAUAAAAAUCAUUUUAUAUUCUGUGUACGUGCCAUUGAGCGAUAUAACUUUAUUUAAAAAUAACGCGCCAACGCAUCAAGUCGAACUUUGUUUCGUGCACGCGUGGUACACGACCUCUGUAGGUAAACAACCGCUACAUGCGUUCAAAUUAGCACGUGGGCUGCCAUUUCCGUACAUAAAUGAGCUCCACCGUGUACCCGCGCGGGUGUGGCUGGACACGAAGCGUGAGUACGUGCACGGUGCACCUAUUCUCUUCUUGUGUACGUACACCACCUACGUGGGGUUAUGUGAGAGAGAUACAAACGUAGAGAGAUAUAGUGUGUGGGUUCGUGAGAGUUUUUGGGGGGGUUGGGUCAACCAAAAAGUGUAACAUAUGCAAUGUGUGUGAAAUAGAGUCCUGGAUAUAUCAUAUAUAUAGAGGGGGCGAUCCACAAGAAGAGGGUGGAGGUUUCAUCGGCUUGAGGUGUCCAUAGAAUCCAAGAGAGGGAUGAUGUGUGUGUGUGUGCGCGCGCGAUCGAUAAAGAGAGCCAUCGAAUUUGUGUGUGCCCACGUCAAAGAUAUAGAGUGGCUGGCCUACUGGAACGUGAGAGGGGACAGGUGCAGUUUGUCUCUGUGGCAUGGAUACCUACCUACAGCGCUCGACUAUCGGUGUGUGGUGGGGGGAGGGAAGUCUAAUUAACUAUAGAGGUACAAUGGCUGGUAUAUGUGUGGAGGAGGAGAGAGGCCUACCUCAUGUAUUAAGGGAGAUCGAUCUACCUCAUGUAUUAAGGGAGAUCGAUCGGCAUCCAUGCAUAUGUGUAGCAGAGGAAUAAGGUUGGGAGAGAGACAGAGCUAGAGUGUUGGAGGGGUGGUAGUGGAGUUGCUUCUAACAAAUGGUGGGAUAGGCUUGCAAGACAACCGGAGGGCACGCCUGCAAUAUCAAUAAGAGAGGGGAUGGCUGCCUGUCUGUGCACGUGCGUGUGAGAGACGGAUCAGGAGGCAUGCACGAAUGAUGAGGGGGGCGAUAUGGCUGUGGUAAGCAGACAUAACUACAUAGGAAGAUCAAUCGUCCUUUGUCAAAGAAAGGAGAGACAUAACUUGUGAGGUACGUCGAUCGAUGGGGGGGAUAGUUAAAGUCGACCUAGGUAUAUGUUGGGAGAUCGAUCGGUAUACAUGCAUGUGUGUGUUAGAAGCAAAUGAGGCACGGGGAGAAGGAUAGAGAGAGAGGGAUGCAUCUAGGAGGUGGUGCGAGGGUCAUACUAUAUCGUGGGGGGAGGAGUGUGCGAGUACGAGAUCGAUGAAAAGAGUGGUGGGAGUGAGGCACGGACGGUGAUAAGAGAAGAGGGGAAGCUUGUGUUUUGUGCUAGGAACACCUGGCUAGAGAGGCAUAUCGAUCGAUGUGUGCCGUAAAGAAGGAGCUGGGGGCCUACACACACCAUGGGUGAACGACCUAAAGUGAAAAGACAAAUUUGCGCGAUGGAGCUAGAGAAUGCUGAGGGAGGGUGAGAGGGAUGCGGGCGUGUGCAUGCACGAGAGAAAGUUAGCGCUAGCUAGCUACAAAGAUAAGAGGAUUGUGUGGGUGUAAAAGACGAAUAGAGAUCAUACUUCAUUAUAAAAAGCGAAUUCGGAUAUUUGAAGAAUUUAUCAUAGUGUUUUAAACCGACGCAUGUGUGAAUAUAUAUAUAACGGUGAUACACGUGGUGUGGUUAUGAACAUGUUAUACUACAUAUAAUAUAUUUUAUCUCUACUCUUAUAAAAAACGAAGUUGUUGAUGAUGGUGCCAUCCUACAAUAUAGGUCGUCCGAUUUAUAUCUGACAGAUAGGAAGGAAACUAUGGCAAUUUUGAAAAUAUAUACCCACACCCCUCUCCAUAUUUGCAAAUUAGGCCUCCCCUUGAUCAUGUUGAUGUUCUGUGGAAUGCAUGGGCAUCUUGCUAGUACUACGUAUAACAUAUAGUACAUUGAUCAUAAUUUGGGCUAAUGUGGGACUUUUGCAGCUCAGGUAUAAAUACUUGUCAUAAUGUAGGGGGCGAGGCACUAUACUAUGUGUGAUAAACACGGUGUACACGUAUGGAACAUGGUUUAGAUUAUGAAUAUGUAGUUAGUACAUCAAAUGUACUAUUAUUUGGAAUCAACAUCAAGUGUAUUCAAAAAAUAGAAUUCGAGUUCAUGUAGUACACAUAGUUCAUAUCUAUCUCUAUAGUAAUCAUGUGGGGUGUUAUUAAGGUAAUACAUGAAUGAUGGUUGAAGUUGGCAACAAUCAUGAUUGUAGAUUGUUAUUGAUAUAGAGAAACGAAUUCAAAUUCAGUUCGAAUUGCAACGGUAGUAGACAUUUGGAAUGCACUAAAAUGUUGGUAUGAGUAGGUUACAUGCAUUAUACAGCAAGCGAAAAAAAUUAAUUGGACAUAACAUGGAUUCAUACUACCGAAUAGCAUUUAAUUGCACUAAAUUGUUGGUAUGAGUAGCUUUAAAUAGCAUUUUUAUAGUAAAACGGGGCAAGACUCUCUCUUUGUCUGGUGUGAAUAGUUUUAUUUUUUUCGUUUUCUUUUUGGUUGAGGGAAGUGUGAAUUGAUUUGGUACGUACAAGUACAAUAUUACACGUUAGGCUUGUCCCUAAAAUUCAACCCGCGCCUUGUUAUAUCCCGAAAAUUCAGAUAUCGUGCUCCCAAAACUGGCGCCUUCACAACCCGCGCCUUGCUAUCCCGAAAUUACAACGCGCGUGAAAACUCCCUCCAGCUGCGAAAUCCCGACACGCGAAAUCCCCCUUCUAACCCUGAGCCGAAAGGGCCGCUAGUUCAAAUCGGUGGGGGGUACUUUUGUAACACACCCGACAUUUUGGACAAGCGCGUCCCUAAGUCAUGGUUCACCCCCUCCCAUCGCCUCCUUUUCGCCAUUUGAAAUCCCAGGCCGCCAUAACCUCUCCGCUCCAGCCGCGAAACCCCACCCUCCUCCGUCCACCACCUCACCGCUGCCCAGCCGGAGUCUCUUCCCCGACGACGUCGUCCACCGCAACAGCUCGACGUCCCUCGUCCACCUCCCCGAAUGAGGAUCCAUCAUCCAUCUCGUCGUCCCGCCGGUUUAGCCGCCCCGUCCUCCACCUCCAGGGAGCUGCUCCGACGAUCACCUCGUCUAUCGCAGCUGCUCCAUCCCCACAGCGCCGCCUUAACAUGCUCCACCGGAACCGCCGCAUCCUCACCGACUCCUCGGACGAAGCCGAGGCCUACUCGGCGCCACCAAAGAGGUUACACACUCAUCGCAUCGCACCUUCUCCUUAGCUCGACCUCCCGGCGCCGACGGUGCUCCACCCCGCACCCCCAUGGAGCGGCUACCUUGAAGCCGGCGCCGCGGGCGACAUCUCCACGGCGGCUCUCCACCACUGUGAGGCCCCUUCGGCGGCGGCGGCCAUACAAGCCGGAUCUGCUGCUCCUGCUCCGGCUCUCGCUCGCUCGCUCGCUCGCGCUACUGCUGCUGCUCUGGCUCUCGCUCGAUCGCUCGCUCGCCCAUCUGUUGCUGCUCCGGCUCUCGCUCGAUCGCUCGCUCGCCUAGCUGCUGCUGCUCCAGCUAUCGCUCGCUCGCGCUACUGCUGCUGCUCUCCCCCUCGCACGUGCUGCUGCUCUCCUCCGAUUUAGCUACACUUUAGUCGACUAAAUCGACUUUUGGGUCAGUCGAUUUUCAGGGGGUGGGGGGCUCGCCGGAGUUAAGGAAGAACCACCCGCAGCGAGGACGGGGGCUCGCCGGAGAGGUACCCCACUAUCUAUCUUAGGGUUCAGGGUGGGGGCGGGGGCCUAUAGGGCUGGCCGGGGCGGCAGCGGACCGGUGGUAGGGAGUUGUUUCGGGGCGGCGAGGCGGCGCUAGGGCCGGUGGUGGCUAGCGGCUCAGGGGGGUGCAGGUUGAAGAUGAACUACAGGCCCUCCCUAAACUACAUGUCAAGUGCCUCUUUGCUACCAUUGCGUUCAGUUUCGACAGUAACAUUCAGAUUCCACAAUAAAUUUCAGUUUCGACAGUUAAGUUCAGAGUCAACAGUUUUUACCUCAUCUGUUGUAGUCAGGUGGUUUUUGGUGAUGUAAAUUUUACAUCUAUUUUACAUCAUCUAUUGGAGAUGCUAUUAGAAUCCCACUUGAGAUUGACGAUGUUUGUCUUGUGCUGCUUCAGCCUUGACGUCUUACGGCUCACCGGGGCUGCUCCAACGACAGAACGAUCCAUCACAACAGAGCAGUGCCCUGGACGCCGUCUACAGAUUCCUUAGAUCUUCCUCCACACCUCCGACAGCCACCUUUGCCUCAACUGCUUCAGCGACCAACCCAAUGAUGCUGAGGUCUACACGGCUACGGCAAAGACGUUGUACACUUGUUGCAUCACUUAUUACUAUACAUUCAUGUCGAUCCAUUAGGGCUAUUUUGGUUCGACGGAAAAACAUAGCAAUAGGGAAUUUUCCAAUGGCACUCUACUAUUCAAUUAUUCAUGUAGUUUGUUGAAAGAAAUGAAGCAAAACAUCCACCUGGACCUACUUUUCAAAAUCCUAUGCAUGAAAACAAGACCAAGUGCACUAGUGGCAGAAUGACAUUCUAACUGUACACGCUUUCAUAUGGUUUCACUUUAUUUUGGCCAUGUUUCUUUGCAUUCCUCUGCUCUUCCAAUUCCUGUAAACCAAACACUCAAGUUGACAGAAAUCCUGUGUUUACAAAUGCUCUGUUUACCAUGUGCAUUCCUAUCCUAUUCCGGUGUUUUUCCUAUCCCUGCGUUUUUUGAAUCAUGCAAGCCAAAUGAGCCCUUACAGAAUUACUUCAGUUACAGGUAGGUGUCGAAGGGAACUUUGUGUGGUUUGUCCUGCUCCUGCCGCGACGUCGUCCACCUCAACUGAGCUGCUCCAUCGACAGAAAAAUCCACCAAACCAGACAUCACAACUCCUGACCAUCUUUCGCCGCCUCAGAUCUCCUUCCCUGCUGCCGGCACCCACCGCAAUGGCAUCAGCAUCAUCGACUCAGGAGAUGAACCUGAGGAGUACACGGGUCCACAAGAGAGGUCGCACUCUUUUAUUUCUUCUUAUGUUAUGCAUUGCUUAAAAUUACCUGGUACUUUAUCGUCCUGUUCACCUCUUGGACUCCAAGUCAGGUCCAAAUUAAUGUUCAAACUUGAGUUCUAAAUUAGUUGUGGGGCACAUAUCGACGAAGCAAUGAAUAGUAUCUCUAUCUAAUAUCUGGUUCACCUAGGGUAUGCCUAUGUUGUUCAUCUUGGGUGGGAAACAAAUAGUAAAGCAAUCAUCAUCUGUCUUUUUAUUAAAUUAAAGCAAUCAUCAGCCUGCUAUCAUUAUUUUUGGAUCCAUCCACUGGUUGUUACCAUCACUCUAAAUUUCUCCAUGCUUUCCUUACAUAAUCUCAGCAUAUUUUUUCCGUAUGCAUGUCAGAUAUUGUACACAGUCAUGCUGAACAUGUAGAGAAAAAGAGAAGAGUUUUGCGCGGCAAUACAAUGUCAUGUAGACAUCGCUCCAUGGUGGGUUCAAUGGCAAACCCUCCCCACCCCUCUCCAGAUUGUAAUCUAGAGGAACAUAUAUGUUCUGAGGCGGAUUCAGACGCCGCUGACCACUCCUAUUUACCCCCCAAGGUGUUUGCUCUACCUUGGCAUGAUGAUGUUAGUCAUAUCAUGCAUAUGUUGCCUUGCAGUGCCUACUUUUGACAUCAUAUAUGUCAUCUGCUUAGUUUAGACAUGUUCUGUCGCCACCUGUUUAGUUUCUAUAUCAUAUAUGGGAAUUAUGCAGUCUCAUGUCUUUUAGCCAUCCAUAAUAUAUGUGAAAUGUGCAAUGCCAUCCUGUUUAACCAGGCAUCAUAUAUUUGAAUGAUAUCUUGCCCAUCCUUUUCUUCAUUACAUUUCCAUUUGUCGACAAUAUUUGUACAUUAAACUACUCUUCCUGUGAAUCAGCCAUUUGGGUGGGAGAUUGAAAAAUCUGGAGUGAAAACAAGGCCUUCAGAGCAGACAGUGCUACCUGUUGAAGCAGAUCUCUUGUUGGGUCCCGAUAGCUCCUCAGAGAUGGAUUCAGAGACAGAUGACCAGUCUUAUUUCCCCACCGAGGUGUAUGCUCUAACUUGGCACGGCGUUUUAGUUAUUCAUCAUAUCUUUGAAUUAUGUUAUGCUAUGCUAUCCAGUUUAGAUAGACAUCAUAUAUGUGAAAUUAUGUCAUGCUAUCCGUUUUAGUUAAACAAUAUACAUGUCAACUACUUCAUGUCCUCUUUAUUCCACACUAUCUAUUGCAUCUUUCUCUCAUACAAUGUCUGUACAUUCAACUAUGUUUCCUGUUUAUCAGCCAUUUGAAUUGGAGCGGGUGAUGCCAGCAUCUAGCGGACUAAAAACACGGUCUUCAAAUAAAACAGUGCUACCUCUUGGUGGAGAUAGCACCCUGGUUGUACAUGCACGAGAACCAGCCCUACCACACAUAACCCAAACUCUCGCAGAUUGUACCCCUACUACGAUGGACAGAGAACCAGCUUCACCCAAUCUAACCCCAAUCCCAGCAGAUAGUAACCCAGUUCCUGUUGACACAGCACCAUCUCCACCACAGAGCUCCCAAACAAGAGCAGUUAGUAAGGCAGCUCCAGUGCCCAAAGGGCCAGUACUACCAUGGCGAACCCCAAUUCCACCAGUUAGUACGCCUAUUCUUGUGGAGGAAGCACAACCAGCUAGUCAUACUUUAGCAUCUAUCGCAUUUGAUGUUGUUAAAUCGUAUGUGCGUAUCUUCCCAUCUUGGAAAUAUUAUACUGAAGAUGACGGAAAAUGCUAGUUGCAGGUGUUUGUCCAGGAGUUAUGUGUAAGUAAUGUUAUUCAUGGCAAUUACUUUACUUUGUCCCAUACAUCCUACCUCCAUGAUGGUUAUAAUACAACAAAUUUUCCCAUUUUUCUCUAUAGAGAAGGAACGAUUUGGAAACUCAGGAUGAGGUAACCUGUGCUAAUACCUCUGCUAUCUUCAAGAAUGCUUGGUGGCAGUAUCGGAAUUACCUGAAGAAACCGUACUUCACCGGCAAAGAAACUCAUCAAAUUCCCUUACGUUCUCCUGAGACACAUUUACUGGACGAUGACUGGGAACGCCUUGUUCUGUACUGGUCCUGAACCAAGAAUGAGGUAAGGUCUAUGAGCUCAUUUUCUAUUUUUAAGUACUAUAUUCUUGCGUCUUACUGUACUCUGUUCAUGUAGAACAAGUGCCUAAACCUGAAGACCAACUGUUCUAAUUUAAGAUUCCAUUGCUAUCAUAGUUCCAAAAAGUGCUAGGAGUUAAUUGUGCGUUUUGCCACCGCCUUGUGCUUUACUGACCAAAGCACAUGCUUAUGCACAGUUAUGCACAGAUUAAGCAUAGUUAUGCGCAAUGCGUUUCGCCAACGCCUAGAGCCUAGGCGCGCUUAAGCGCUUGCUUAGGCGCGCCUUUUUUAACUAUGAUUGCUAUCGUGCAUACUGCUUUGCUCUUGUAUCACUGUAUUUUUUCAUACAAACUUAUUUUUAAAUUGAAAGAUCCAAUCGAAGCUCCAAUGGCACAGCAGGUAUGUUCGUGCAUGUUUCUUUAACAGGCUUGCUCUUAUCAAUAGCUCUGUUGAUUUCAAUUUCAAUUGUGUAUACAUUUGACUUCUCAUAUCAUGCACAUUACUAGCAUCACAACAAAGCAAAUAGUGUUGUUGUACAUGUAGACCCAUGGUACCCAUCUGAAAUCUUUUUGUGCCGUGUAGUUUCCCACGCUUUGUAUUCUUUCACUGCUGCUUUGUCUUGAACUGAUAUGAUUUGAACUGUGUCUCUAUUUUGAUUUGGCAAGACAAUUAAGUGACCAUAGUACAUAUAUAUGUGUGUGUGUGUGUGUGUGUGUGUGUGUGUGUGUUUGUUUGAUGCUUUUAUUAUGUACUAGUACUUGGCAAUAGAAGACUUGGUAGUUUAAUCCUGUCCACCUUACUAAUGAACUGGUUCACCGAAAUGAGUUUCAUAUACUAGUACAUGCUAAACUGUUAUGUGUCUGCUUGUUCCUUCUUUUAGAAUGCUGACAGAAUAUUGGGGAAGAGUGCCUUAUUAAGCAAUGGUAAAGGAAGUAAUGCAGAUAAGGUUCAGGAUAGUGACACAUCCUUGUUAGUCUCCAACAAAGCUGAUAAAACAGCUAAGGAAGACUAUCUCAAAGACAGUGAGACAACCCCAAAGUCAUGUCUUGGUUUAGUGUUGGAGUUACUGGUCACUACCGCUUGCACAAGCUAUUCAAACUCAUUGUCUGAAUCAGUUCGGUUUCUUGAGUCUCAACUACAAGCUGAAAGACAUCGAUCAGCUGUGCUGCGACAAGAAGUGGAAGGACUGCAGAAGUCCCUGGAGCAUUCAGAUGCAUACUUUCUGGUGCAACAGCAAGCAUUGGAGGAUUUUAGCGCCAAACAGGACAAAGCUAAUAAGCUUGCUAAGCUUAUUGCCAGCAUGGUGGAUACCACGUUUCUUGAGCUCUUCUGAAGUUGUUCCAGUUAUGCUCUUGUUUUGCUGCCGCGUUUAUUUGCACUAGUGGCCAAUUUUGAUGGCCAGUUAUGUAAUAUGCUGCUUUGUUCCCUAUAUUUGCAUUGGUGGCGAACUUUGAUGCCCAGUGGAUGUAAUAUGUGUAAUAGCGGUAAUAGGCUAGCGUUAAUUGCUUGCUCAUUUAUUUCCUUAUUGUCUUGUUUAGUUGUUUGCUUGUACUCACUGCAGUUCUUUUUCUGUGUUUUUCUAGUGGCCACAAUAACCUAUCUUUGGAAACUAGGCCAAAAUAAUCAUGGCAACACACGGACUGUUGUAACCAUGGGCCUCCUGCGGGCCGUAUGAUCCAUGGGCCUUCUACGGGCCGUAGGAUCCAUUGGCCUUCUAUACGGGCCAUAGGAUCCAUGGGCCUUCUAAGGGCCGUAUGAUUCAUGGGCCUUUUACGGGCCGUAGGAUCCAUGGGCCUUCUACGGGGCAUAUCAUCAUUUCGCCAAUCAUGGGCCAUACUAUUCGUGGAUAAUAACGGGCCAUUAAUAGGCCGUAUUUGAUAACUCUAUGAAAAAUAGCCCAACGGGUUUUUUUACAUGAAAACGGCCCAAAGUAUUAUCGAACCACAAAUGGGCCGACUGUAACCACUGGCUGAAUUUGGCCUACAAGCAGAAAAUUACAGUAACGGGCCGUAAGUAAACGAAUGUGGAAAUGAGCCCAAGAAUAAAUGGGCCCCGAGAAGGCCGAAAGAUAACAUGGGCUGGAAACGGCCCAACGGAAUAAUGGGUCGUUAAUGGGUAUAAAGUGAUACACUAUUCAUUACGGCCCAGUUUCACCACGUGUCGUUAAUGGGUAUAAAGUGAUACACUGUUCAUUACGGGCCAGUUUUACCACGGGCCGUUAAUGGGCCAAGAUUAAUAAGGGCCUCAUAUGGGCCGAAAUACGUCAUGGGCCGGAAGUUAAAACGGGCUGGAAUUAUAUUGGACAGCCCAGAUGACGCUACUGGGCCUAAUUCGGAUAGAACGUAAAUGGGCCCUGGGUUAGCAGGCUGUAAAUGGGCUAUAUGCGAACAGGUCGUUCACAGGCUUGCCAUGAGCUGGCCCGCCACCUUUUGACCAAGUCAAAUGGGCCGGCCUUUUCACAGGAAUGGGCCUCUGUUGGGUCGUGCCACGUGUCGAUGUAUCAUAGGCUCUUUGGGUCCAAUGAGUGGAUGACAUCUGUCCCAAUGUUGAGCCGACACGUAUUUCCUCCAGCCAAUGAUGAUUUUACACAUGGAAAUCCCCAUUGGUCGGGGCUGUUAACGGGUUAUCGGAUCCAAAACCGGACCCGAUACCUUAAUAGUGUUCUGUUACGGUGGAUGCCACGUGUCGGUCACCCUUGACGAAAGCACUUCUGUGACGCGCGAUUUAUCGUCAUGGAAGUGGACACUUCCGUCAUGAUAAUUUUGGUAAUGUCAUGGAACACUUCAACGACAGCACAGGUAUGACUAUCUUGAUUCUGUCAUAAAUUUGUCAUGGAUGUACAUGCAUGACAGAAAACAUGACCUACUGUGACAAACACGUAUCAUCACGGAAGUGUAUUUUUUUUAGUGCUCAUUUUCCGCGCGGGGGACAUGGAGGAACUCGCAGCCUGCGAAGAAUCCGGACAGCGUCUGGACGAGGAAGCGGUAGCUUGCCAUGUUGGAGUCGUGGGCGUCCCACUCGCCAGAGCACUGCUGCACCACCAGGUCCGAGUCGCCAAAGCACAGGAUGCGCCGGAUGCCGAGUUCCUUGGCAAGCCGGAGGCCGUGCACAAGGGCUUCGUACUCGGCGACGUUGUUGGAGGCGGUGAAGUGGAUCUGCGGUCCGUACUCGAGCCGGUCGCCCUUCGGAGAGGACAACACAAUUCCGGCCCCUAGGCCGAGUCGCAUCUUCGAGCCGUCAAAGUGCAUGCGCCAGUGCGUCGAGUCUGGUGGUGCCGGCAGGUACUGGGUCUCGGUCUAGUCGACGAGGAAGUCGUCCAAAGCUUGGGACUUGAUCAUAGUGCGGGGCUCGUAGAGGAUGGUGUGGCCGGCUAGCUCGAGCACCCACUUGGCGACCCGGAAGGAAGCAUCCCGGCACCCGACGAUUUCGCCGGGGGGGCAUGCUGACCACGGUAACAACGUCCUCUUGGAAGUACUGCUUCAGUUUCUUGGCGGUGAAGUACAUGUCGUAACACAUACUACAAAAAAAUACACUUCCGUGAUGAUACAUGUUUGUCACAGUAGGUCGCGUUUUUUGUCAUGCAUGUACAUCCAUGAUGAUUUUAUGACAGAACCAAGAUAGUCAUACCUGUGCUGUCAUAGAAGUGUUCCAUGACAUUACCAAAAUUAUCAUCACGGAAGUGUCCACUUCCAUGACGAUAAAUCGCGCGUCACAGAAGUGCUUUCGUCAAGGGUGACCGACACGUGGCAUCCACCGUAACGGAACGCCGUUAAGCUAUCGGGUCGGGUUUUGGAUCCGAUAACCCAUUAACAGCCCCGACCAAUGGGGAUUUUCCACGUGUAAAAUCAUCAUUGGCUGGAGGAAACACGUGUCGGCUCACCGUUGGGACAGAUGUCAUCUGCUCAUUGGACCGAAGGCGCCUAUGAUACGGCGACACGUGGCACAGCCCAACAGAGGCCCAUUCCUGUGAAAAGGCCGGCCCGUUUGACUUGGUCAAAAGGUGGCGGGCCGGCCCACGGAAAGCCUGUUAACAGCCUGUUCGCAUAUAGCCCGUUUACAGCCCGCUAACCCAGGGCCCGUUACGCCCUAUCCGAAUUAGGCCCAGUAGCGUCAUCUGGGCCGUCCAAUAUGAUUCAGCCCAUUUUAACUUCCGGCCCAUGUGUGGCCCAUGACUUCUUUUGGCCCAUAUGAGGACCUUUGUAACUCCUGGCCAACUAACGGCCCGUGGUGAAACUGGCCCGUAAUGAACAGUGUAUCACUUUAUACCCAUUAACGGCCCGUUAUUCCAUUGGGCUGUUUCCAGCCUAAUUUAUCUUUCGGCCUUCUCAGGGCCCAUUGAUUCUUGGGCUCAUUUGCAGCAUUUGGUUACAUAUAGCCCGUUACUGUCAUUUUCUGCUUGUGGGCCAAAUUCAGCCUGUCGUUAUAGUCGGCCUGUUUGCGGACCGUUAAUACGUUGGGCCAUUUUCAUGUCAAAAAAACCUGUUGGGCUGUUUUCAUAGAGUUAUCAAAUACGGCCUAUUAACGGCCCGUUAUGGUCCAUGAAUAGUACGGCCCAUGAUUGGCGAAAUGAUGAUACGCCCCGUAGAAGGCCCAUGGAUCCUACAGCCCGUAUGAGGCCCAUGGAUAGUACGGCCCGUAGAAGGCCCAUGGAUCGUACGGCCCAUAGAAGGCCCAUGGACCCGACGGCCCGUAGAAGGCCCAUGGACCCUAAGGCCCGUAUAGAAGGUCGAUGGAUCCUACAGCCGAACGAAGGCCCAUGGAUCAUACGGCCUGCAGGAGGCCCAUGGUUACAACACUCCGUGUGUUGCCAUGAUUAUUUUGGCCUAGUUACCAAAAAUAGGCUAUUGUGGCCACUAGAAAAAACAGAAAAAGAACUGCAGUGACUACAAGCAAACAACUAAACAAGACAAUAAGGAAAUAAAUAAGCAAGCAAUUAACGCUAGCCUAUUACCGCUAUUACACAUAUUACAUCCACUAGGCAUCAAAGUUCGCCACCAGUGCAAAUAUAGGGAACAAAGCAGCACAUUACAUACACUGGCCGUCAAAAUUGGCCACCAGUGCAAAUAAACGCGGCAGCAAAACAAGAGCAUAACUGAAACAACUUCAGAAGAGCUCAAGAAACGUUAUCCUGGGUAUCCACCAUGCUGGCAAUAAGCUUAGCAAGCUGAUUAGCUUUGUCCUGUUUGGCGCUAAAAUCCUCCAACGCUUGCUGUUGCACAAGAAAGUAUGCAUCUGAAUGCUCCAGGGACUUCCGCAGUCCUUCCGUUUCUUGUCGCAGCACAGCUGAUCGAUGUCUUUCAGCUUGUAGUUGAGACUCAAGAAACCGAACUGAUUCAGACAGUGAGUUUGAAUAGCUUGUGCAAGCGGUAGUGGCCAGUAACUCGAACACUAAACCAAGACAGGACUUUGGGGUUGUCUCGCUGUCUUCAAGAUAGUCUUCCUUAGCUGUUUUAUCAGCUUUGUUGCAGACCAACAAGGAUGUGUCACUAUCCUGAACCUUAUCUGCAUUACUUCCUUUACCAUUGCUUAAUAAGGCACUCUUCCCCAAUAUUCUGUCAGCAUUCUAAAAGAAGAAACAAGCAGACACAUAACAAGUUUAGCAUGUACUAGUAUAUGAAACUCAUUUCGGUGAACCAGUUCAUUAGUAAGGUGGACAGGAUUAAACUACCAAGUCUUCUAUUGCCAAGUACUAGUACAUAAUAAAAGCAUCAAACAAACAUAUAUCUAUGUCCUAUGGUCACUGCAUUCUCUUGCCAAAUCAAAAUAGAGACACGGUUCAAAUCAUAUCAGUUCAAGACAAAGCAGCAGUGAAAGAAUACAAAGCGUGGGAAACUACACGGCACAACAAGAUUUCAGAUGGGUACCAUGGGUCUACAUGUACAGCAACACUAUUGGCUCUGUUGUGAUGCUAGUAAUGUGCAUGAUAUGAAAGUCAACUGUAUACACAAUUGAAAUUGAAAUCAACAGAGCUAUUGAUAAGAGCGAACCUGUUAAAGAAACAUGCAUGAACAUACCUGCUGUGCCAUUGGAGUUUUGAUUGGAUCCUUCAAUUUAAAAAUAAGUUUGUAUGAGUAAAUACAGUGAUACAAGAGCAAAGCAAUCAUAGUUAAAAAAGGCGCGCCUAAGCGAGCGCUUAAGCGCGCCUAGGCUCUAGGCAUUGGCAAAACGCAUUGCGCAUAACUACGCAUAAUCUGUGCAUAACUGCACAUAAGCAUGCGCUUUGGUCAGUAAAGCGCAAGGCGGUGGCAAAACGCACAAUUAACGCCUAGCUCUUUUUUGAACUAUGAUAGCAAUGGAAUCUUAAAUUAGAACAAUUGUUCUUCAGGUUUAGGCACUUGUUCUACAUGAACAGAGUACAGUAAGACGCAAGAAUAUAAUACUUAAAAAUAGAAAAUGAGCUCAUAGACCUUACCACAUUCUUGGUUCGGGACCAGUACAGAACAAGGCGUUCCUAGUCAUUGUCCAGUAAAUGUGUCUCAGGAGAAUGUAAGGGAAUUUGAUGAGUUUCUUUGCCGGUGAAGUACGUUUUCUUCAGGUAAUUCUGAUACUGCCACCAAGCAUUCUUGAAGAUAGCAGAGGUAUUAGCACAGGUUACCUCAUCCUGAGUUUCCAAAUCGGUCCUUCUCUAUAGAGAAAAAUGGGAAAAUUUGUUGUAUUAUAACCAUCAUGGAGGUAGGAUGUAUGGGACGAAGCAAAGUAAUUGCCAUGAAUAACAUUACUUACACAUAACUCCUGGACAAACACCUGCAACUGGCAUUUUUCUUCAUCUUCAGUAUAAUAUUUCCAAGAUGGGAAGAUACGCACAUAUGAUUUAACAACAUCAAAUGUGAUAGAUGCUAAACUACAACUAGCUGGUUAUGCUUCCUCCACAGGAAUAGGCGUACUAACUGGUGGAGUUGGGGUUCGCCGUGAUAGUACUGGCCCUUUGGGCCCUGGAGUUGCCUUACUAACUGCUCUUGUUUGGGAGCUCUGUGGUGGAGAUGGUGCUGUGUCAACAGGAACUGGGUUACUAUCGGCUGGGGUUGGGGUUAGAUUGGGUGAAGCUGGUUCUCUGUCCAUCGCAGUAGGGGUACAAUCUGCGAGAGUUUGGGUUAUGUGUGGUAGGGCUGGUUCUUGUGCAUGUACAACCGGGGUGCUAUCUCCAACAAGAGGUAGCACUGUUUUAUUUGAAGAUCGUGUUUUUAGUCCGCUAGAUACUGGCAUCACCCGCUCCAAUUCAAAUGGCUGAUAAACAGGAAACAUAGUUGAAUGUACAUACAUUGUAUGAGAGACAGAUGCAAUAGAUAGUGUGGAAAAAAGAGGGCAUGAAAUAGUUGACAUGUAUAUUGUUUAACUAAAACGGAUAGCAUGACAUAAUUUCACAUAUAUGAUGUCUAUCUAAACCGGAUAGCAUAGCAUAACAUAAUUCAAAGAUAUGAUGAAUAACUAAACAGGAUCGCAUGACAUAAUUCACCUACAUGUUAUCUAAGUAAUCAGGAUCGCAUCAUUUAGUUCACAUAUGUGAUUUAUAUGCUAAACAGAGGGCAUUUGAUAUGAUGUCUGAACUAAGAACAUGGUGUUGAAUAUUGUGUAUAUGAUGUCUAAACUAUGCAAUGCAAGACACCGUAUGCAUGAUAUGAGCAGUAUAACCGUGCCAAGUUAGAGCAUACACCUCAGUGGGGGAAUCGGACUGGUCAUCUGUCUCUGAAUCCAUCUCUGAGGAGCUAUCGGGACCCAACAAGAGAUCUACUUCGAGAGGUAGCACUGUCUGCUCUGAAGGCCUUGUUUUCACUCCAGAUUUUUCCAUCUCCCACCCAAAUGGUUGAUUCACAGGAAGAGUAGUUUAAUGUACAAACAUUUUUGACAAAUGGAAAUGUAAUGAAGAAAAGGAUGGGCAAGAUAUCAUUCAAAUAUAUGAUGCCUGGUUAAACAGGAUGGCAUUGCACAUUUCACAUAUAUUAUGGCUAGCUAAAAGACAUGAGACUGCAUAAUUCCCAUAUAUGAUAUAGAAACUAAACAGGUGGCAUUACAGAACAUGUCUAAACUAAGCAGAUGACAUAUAUGAUGUCAAAAGUAGGCACUGCAAGGCAACAUGUGCAUGAUAUGACUAACAUCAUCAUGCCAAGGUAGAGCAAACACCUUGGGGGGUAAAUAGGAGUGGUUAGCGGCGUCUGAAUCCACCUUAGAAUAGAUAUCUUCCUCUGGAUUACAAUCUGGAGAGGCGUGGGGAGGGUUUGCCAUUGAACCCACCAUGGAGCGAUGUCUGCAUGACAUUGUAUUGCCGCGCAAAACUCUUCUCUUUUUCUCUACAUGUUCAGCAUGACUGUGUACAAUAUCUGACAUGCAUACGAAAAAAAUAUGGUGAGAUUAUGUAAGGAGAGCAUGCAGAAAUUUAGAGUGAUGGUAACAACCAGUGGAUCGACGUUUUUCCGUUGAACCAAAAUAGCCCUAAUGGAUCGACGUGAAUGUAUAGUAAUAAGUGAUGCAACAAGUGUACAACCUCUUUGCCGUAGCCGUGUCGACCUCAGCAUCAUUGGGUUGGUCGCUGAAGUAGUUGAGGCAGAGGUGGCUGUCGGAGGUGUGGAGGAAGAUCUGAGGAAUCUGUAGACGGCGUCCAGGGCACUGCUCUGUUGUCAUGGAUCGCUCUGUCGUUGGAGAAGCUCUGGUGAGCCGUAAGAUGUCAAGGCUGAAGCAGCACAAGACAGACAUCGUCAAUCUCAAGUGGGAUUCUAAUAGCAUCUCCAAUAGAUGAUGUAAAAUGGAUGUAAAAUUAACAUCACCAAAAACCACCUGACUACAACAGAUGAGGUAAAAACUGUUGACUCUGAACUUAACUGUCGAAACUGAAAUUUACUGUGGAAUCUGAAUGCUACUGUCGAAACUGAACGCAAUGGUAGCAGAGAGGCACUUGACAUGUAGUUUAGGGAGGGCCUGCAGUUCAUCUUCAACCUGCACCCCCCUGAGCCGCCAGCCACCACCGGCCGAACCGCCGGCCCCAGCGCCGCCUCGCCGCCCCGAAACAACUCGCCACCGCCGCCCCGGCCAGCCCUCUAGGCCCCCCNNNNNNNNNNNNNNNNNNNNNNNNNNNNNNNNNNNNNNNNNNNNNNNNNNNNNNNNNNNNNNNNNNNNNNNNNNNNNNNNNNNNNNNNNNNNNNNNNNNNNNNNNNNNNNNNNNNNNNNNNNNNNNNNNNNNNNNNNNNNNNNNNNNNNNNNNNNNNNNNNNNNNNNNNAGUCGAUUCAGUCGACUGAAGUGUGGCUUAAUCGGAGCAGAGCAGCAGCACGAGCAAGGGGGAGAGCAGCAGCAGCAGCUGGGCGAGCGAGCGAUCGAGUGAGAGCCAGAGCAGCAGCAGCGCGAGCAAGCGAGCGAGCGAGAGCCGGAGCCGCAGCAGCAGAUCCGGCUGGUAUGGACGCCGCCGCCGAAGGGGCCUCGCACUGGGGGAGAGCCGCCGUGGAGAUGUCGCCCACGGCGCCGGCUUCAAGGUAGCCGCUCCAUGGGGGUGCGGGUUGGAGCACCGUCGGCGCCGGGAGGUCGAGUUAAGGAGAAGGUGCGAUGUGAUGAGUGUACAACCUCUUUGGUGGCGCCGAGUAGGCCUCGGCUUCGUCCGAGGAGUCGGUGAGUAUGUUGCGGUUCCAGUGGAGCAGGUUAAGGCGGCGCUGUGGGGAUGGAGCAGCCGCGAUAGACGAGGCGAUCGUCGGAGCAGCUCCUUGGAGGUGGAGGACGGGGCGGCUGAACCGGCGGGAUGGCGAGAUGGACGACGGAUCCUCAUCCGGGGAGGUGGACGAGGGACGUCGAGCUGUUGCAGUGGACGACAUCGUCGGGGAAGAGGCUCCGGCUGGGCAGCGGUGACGUGGCGGACGGAGGAGGGUGGGGUUUCGCGGCUGGAGCGGAGAGGUUAUGGCGGCCAGGGAUUUCGAAUGGCGAAAAGGGGGCGAUGGGAGGGGGUGAAGCAUGACUUUGGGACGCACUUGUCCAAAAUGUAGGGUGUGUUACAAAAGUACCCCCCACCGAUUUGAACUAGCAGCCCUUUCAGCUCAGGGUUAGAAGGGGGAUUUCGCGUGUCGGGAUUUGGCAGCUGGAGGGAGUUUUCGCGCGCGUUGUAAUUUCGGGAUAGCAAGGCGCGGGUUGUGAAGGCACCAGUUUUGGGAGCACGAUAUCUGAAUUUUCGGGAUAUAACAAGACGCGGGUUGAAUUUUAGGGACAAGCCUAACAUGUAGUAAUAUUGUACUUGUACAUACCAAAUCAAUUCGCACUUCCCUCAACCAAAAAGAAAACAAAAAAAUAAAACUAUUCACACCACACAAAGAGAGAGUCUUGCCCCGUUUUACUAUACAAAUGCUAUUCAAAGCUACUCCCUCCUUCCAUCUAUAUAGGGCCUAAUGCAUUUUUCGAUGCUAACUUUGACCAAAUAUUAGAGCAAUGAUACAUGACAUGCAACUUACACAAAGCACACCGUUAAAUUCGUCUGUGAAAGGUUCUUUCAAUGAUAUAAUUUUCACAUUGUGCAUGUCAUGUACUAUUAAUCUUGUCAAUAGUCAAAGGCGGUCUUAAAAAUCUCAUUACGCCCUAUAUAGAUGGAAGGAGGGAGUAUGAAUCCAUGUUAUGUCCGAUUAAAUUUUUUCGCUUGCUGCAUAAUGCAUGUAACCUACUCAUACCAACAUUUUAGUGCAUUCCAAAUGUCUAUACUACCGCUGCAAUUCGAACUAAAUUUGAAUUCGUUUCUCUAUUUCAAUAAGAAUCUACAAUCAUGAUUGUUGCCAACUUCAACCAUCAUAGUUUCCUUGCUAUCCGCCAGAUAUAAAUCGGAUGGCCUAUAAUGCAGGAUGCAGGCACACCAUCAUCAACAACUCCGUUUUUCUAUAAGAGUAGAGAUAAAAUAUAUUAAAUGUAGUAUAACAUGUUCAUAACCACACCAUGUGUAUCAUCGUUAUAUAUAUUCACACAUGCGUCGGUUUGAAACACUAUGAUAAAUUCUUCAAAUAUCCGAAUUCGCUUUUUAUAAUGAAGUAUAUAUGAUCUCUGUUCAUCUUUUACACCCACACAACCCUCUUAUCUUUGUAGCUAGCGCUAACUUUCUCUUGUGCAUGCACACGCCCGCAUCCCUCUCACCCUCCCUCAGCAUUCUCUAGCUCCAUCGCGCAAAUUCGUCUUUUCACUUUAGGUCGUUCACCCAUGGUGUGUGUAGGCCCCCCAGCUCCUUCUUUACGGCACACAUCGAUCGAUAUGCCUCUCUAGCCAGGUGUGCCUAGCACAAACACAAGCUUCCCCUCUUCUCUUGUCAUCGUCCAUGCCUCACUCCCACCACCCUUUUCAUCGUUCUCGUACUCGCACACUCCUCCCCCCUCGAUAUAGUAUGCCUCUCGUACCACCUCCUACAUGCAUCCCUCUCUCUCUAUCCUUCUCCGCGUGCCUCAUUUGCUUCUAACACACACAUGCAUGUAUACCGAUCGAUCUCCCAACAUAUACCUAGAUCGACUUUAACUACCCCCCCCCCAUCGAUCGACGUACCUCACAAGUUAUGUCUCUCCUUUCUCUACAAAAGGGCGAUUGAUCUUCCUAUGUAGUUAUGUCUUCUUACCACAGCCACAUCGUCCCCCCUCAUCAUUCGUGCAUGCCUCCUGACCCGUCUCUCACACGCACGUGCACAGACAACAAGCAGCCAUCUCCUCUCUUAUUGAUAUUGCGGGCGUGCCCUCCGUUUGUCUAGCAAGCCUAUCCCACCAUUUGUUAGAAGCAACUCCACUACCACCCCCUCCAACACUCUAGCUCUGUCUCUCUCCCAACCUUAUUCCUCUCCUGCACAUAUGCAUGGAUACCGAUCGAUCUCCCUUAAUACAUGAGGCAGAUCGAUCUCCUUAAUACAUGAGGUAGGCCUCUCUCCUCCUCCACACAUAUACCAGUCAUUGUACCUCUAUAGUUAAUUGGGCCUCCCUCUUCCCCCACCACACACCGAUAGUCGAGCGCUGCAGGUAGGUAUCCAUGCCACAGAGACAAACUGCACAUGUCCCAUCUCACGUUCCAGUAGGCCAGCCACUCUAUAUCUUUGACGUGGGCACACACAAAUUCGAUGGCACUCUUUAUCGAUCGCGUGCGCACACACACACACACAUCAUCCCUCUCUUCGAUUCUAUGGACACCUCAAGCCGAUGAUACCUCCACUCUCUUCUCGUGGAUCGCCCCCUCUAUAUAUAUGUUAUAUCCAGGACUAUAUUUCACACACAUUGCAUAUGUUANNNNNNNNNNNNNNNNNNNNNNNNNNNNNNNNNNNNNNNNNNNNNNNNNNNNNNNNNNNNNNNNNNNNNNNNNNNNNNNNNNNNNNNNNNNNNNNNNNNNNNNNNNNNNNNNNNNNNNNNNNNNNNNNNNNNNNNNNNNNNNNNNNNNNNNNNNNNNNNNNNNNNNNNNNNNNNNNNNNNNNNNNNNNNNNNNNNNNNNNNNNNNNNNNNNNNNNNNNNNNNNNNNNNNNNNNNNNNNNNNNNNNNNNNNNNNNNNNNNNNNNNNNNNNNNNNNNNNNNNNNNNNNNNNNNNNAUUGACCCCCCCCCCCAAAAUCUCAAGAACCCACACACUAUAUCUCUCUAGGUUUCUAUCUCUCUCACACAACCCCACGUAGGUGGUGUACGUAUACAAGAGAAUAGGUGCACCGUGCACGUACUCACGCUUCGUGCCCAGCCACACCCGCGCGGGUACACGGUGGAGCUCAUUUCUUUACGAAAUGGCAGCCCACGUGCUAAUUUGAACGCCUGUAGCGGUUGUUUACCUAGGGAGGUCGUGUACCACGUGUGCACGAAACAAAGUUCGACUUGACGCGUUGCCGCGUUAUUUUUAAAUAAAGUUAUAGCGCUCAAUGGCACGUACACAGAAUAUAAAACAAUUUUUAUGGAGAAAAAGGUAGUCCGCUCACUAUAUACAAUGGAGCCUGCCUGCCUGGUUUGUCGCUCUUCAGAGUAUCUCACACAAGGCUGCGGUGGCCUCUCUCUCUCUCACCGUUGGUGACUGAUCCGGCCGCAUCCCGUCCGCCGGGGGAAAGGGAGUGCGGUGGCCUCUCUCUCUCACCGUUGGUCACUGAUCCGGCCGCAUCCCAUCCGCUGGGGGAAAGGGAGGAAGUGCAUCUUUUCUCCGUUUGACGGCGCCGAGGCAGCAUGUCCCGAUCUGCGGUACACGUCGUUCUCUCUGACCAAGCUCCGGCGCGGCAGGGCCUACACCACCUACUCGCAGAUUCCACCCGCCGCCACUCACCUAGUUACAUCCUGACGACCUCCAGGUAUCCCCUGCGGCCUUGCUCCACUGCCCGUCUUCCCACGUCGCUGCAUGUGGAUCUUCCAUAGUUCUUUGCCCAAAACGUAGCUCGUCCGGCGUACUUUCCAUAUUGCAUUCUCGUCCUCACACCGUUUUAGACAAACACAACCGUGUUGUUAUCUUCCCUUAGGACAAGGAAUAUGCUUCUUUUUUGUCGUCGCAUGUGUCAUCAACUGUUAUUGGCCAGUAAUUGUUUCCUUUCUACUCGUUGCUAUUGCGACCUUUUGGUGAACUGCACAAAUCACUUUUUUCUUAAGAGUGUUUUGUGCAGUUGUACUAAAAUGUCACACGGGCAAUGUCUCUACAUUUCAGUGCGACUGCACAAAGGGAGAUUGGUUUUGCUCUAUCCUCCUCAUCCAACUCCGAGCCUAAUCUUCUCCAACUAGUUAGUCUUUAGAGAGACUGCAAAGGUGACCGGCUUCUAUUUGUGUGUUUAUUGUUUCAUCAGCAGUCCUCUAUUAUCGUAAUCACACUUAAUAUCUUUGGAACAGGGACGCUUAGCUCUAUUUUAGUGGAACUGCACAAAAUGAUCGGAAUGUUGCAUGCUCCAGACAGCUACUUUUUUCCCGACAUGCCUUGUUGAUUUAGACAGAGCUGGGGGGACGUUGCUGCCAAUGAAAGCAUGGAUCAAUUUUAAUUUAACACCUUCUCACAACUCUGUCUUCAGUUGUGAUGUAAUUAUUAGCUCUAAUCUGCUAAUAAUUGACAUGCAUUAGCAAGGAAGUUAGUUUUUUAUUGUUUCCGAAAGAGCAUCGAUGGCAAGACACACGAAACAAAAGCUGAAAGCUCACACCAUUGUACAAUUUCAUGUCGCUGGAAAAUUAUUUGUAUAGUACGUCAAUUAUGUAAACAAAUGAUGGAAGCUUGAUAGCAUUGCCAGAAGCCUCUUCAUCAUCCGGGUCCAUGUGCCAUGCACAAAAUUAUACUCCUUCGUUCCUAAAUAUUUGUCUUUUUACAAAUUUCAAACGGGCAUAUUUUAGUGUAGAUUCACUCAUUUUGCUUCGUAUGUGUACUCCCUCCGUUCCUAAAUAUUCUAUUCGUCUUUCUAGAGAUUUCAACAAGUGACUACAUACGGAGCAAAAUGAGUGAAUCUACACUCUAAAAUAUGUCUAUAUACAUCCGUAUGUGCCAGCCCAUUUGAAAUCUCUAAAAAGACAAAUAUUUGAGUAGUCACUCGUUGAAAUCUCUAGAAAGACAAAUACUCCGGAGUAUAUUUAAGAACCGAGGGGGUAGUGCACAACCGCAUGGGAGACUCAGCCCGGUCGUUGCGCCGCAUUAAUAGUGAGUAAUGAGCAGUCAAAUCAUAAGCCCCACCUUUCCCACUGUAAGUUGCUCUGAAGAAGCAACCAUCAAUACGCUCUUCUUUGAAUCCGCUCAUACUACUCCAUCCGUCACUGUUUAUACAGCGCGCUUCAGAAAAAAGAAAUAAAAUCUGUGGGACCAAGGCGACUAGCGAUCGGCCUGAAAAAUAGCAUUGGUAGUUAUAGCAUGGCGUCUAUUACUAGAGGGAAUAAUGCGUACACACAUGCGUGCAGUGCUUCCACCCCGGGUACACACAUGCAUGCACUUACUCCACUCUGUAGUAGUACAGUACAUGGAGAGAAAAUUGUGGACUUGAUUGCGGUUACCACGCCCUAAUUAAUUGAGCAUUAAACCAAACGUGUCUAAAGUCUCUCUGGUGGUGGAAAUGCAUUGAGAGAAAUGCAUCAUAAUGAAGCGCGCCCUGUAAACUGUGACGGAGGGAGGAGUAGUAUGAAGGUGCAAAACCAAGUACGCGUAUGGCUAGUCGGUCAACGCACCUCCUCUUGGCAUAUCACUGACAUGUGGGACAGGAGUCUGAGCAAACCGAUCUCAAUUGACGGCAAAGAGCCAACCCGCCGUUCCUUGAGAGAGACGAGGAGCGAGAACACACAGACGGGCUCGCACGGAGGCCAAGAUAUAUUCGAGCAUGGUUGGUUGAUCGAUAUCAUUCAUUACAUGUUGGGUUGCCGUUAUCCGCCCUUCUCCGGAAUAAACGUGUACUUUAUCAGAGAUAAAAAAAAUAAGAGUACAGACGCUCCACCAUGCGGUUCUAGUAGUAGUACUACUCGUACUACUGCGCUUGGCUCUUCGCCUCUUCGUGAAGUCGAACAAUGAUGGUACUCUGCAUGUUGGGUACUACAGUGUAUCCCUCUGACAAUCUGACACCGAAUGGACUGAUGCAUGUCCACCGAGGGUAGGUUGCAUUAGUCAAAAGGCGUAAGCGAGCUUCACCUUGUCCUGCAAGCUUCUCCUCGUUCUGCGAGUUGAUGGGACACACCAAAAAGUAGUGCUAGUCCAUACUCCCUCCUUUCCAGUUAAUAUAGCUUAAUCUUUUUUGCGGGUAAAUGAGAGAGCUUUAUUCAUAUAUAAGCAUUCUUAGGACGAUCAGCCAAGACACUGGUCACUAGGAAGCGAGGUACCCCGCAAAAAAAGAAGUAGGAAGCGAGGUGUUUAUCAAGCCAGCUCUCGGCCACAUUCAAAGUGCAGCAAGCACGGUUCGCACGAAGAUGCGCCGCAAGGUUUGCUGACCUGUUUACAUGUUGAAUAACAAAAAAGAGGAAAUAUUACCGAGCGCUACUAUUUGUAAUAGGAUAUGAGCCAGAAUUAAGCGAGAAUUGUGGUGAGUGUUCCAUGCAAUCAACUUCCAUUAUCACAUGCGAGAACCCUCGAAGAGAACCAAAUGUGUUGAAGAUUGCUUUAUCACAUUUUAAAAUUAUAAUAAGAGUGCAGAUGCUCCUCCAUCCGGUUCCUAGUACUAGUAUAGUACAUACCUUUAUAGACUAUAGUAGUAGUACUAGUAAACUUUGCGCUUGGCUGUUCGCCUAUUCGGGAAGUCGAACAAUAAUAGCACUACUAGUAUAGUGUAUGCUUCUGGCAAUCUGACACCAAAUUAACUGUUGCACGUCCACCGCCUGAGCGAGGGAGAGCUUGCAUUAGUCAAAAGUUUCUCCUUGUCCUGCAAGCCACCGCGCGCAAGCUUCUCCCGUCCUGCAACCUUCUCCUCGUUUGGCAAGUUGACGGGACACAACAAAGUAAUGCUAGUCCAUACUGCCUCCUCUUCGGUUAAUAUGGCUUAAUUUCAAACGAGAUAAAUACACUGUCUGUCACUGUAUAUUUGUAAAAAUAUGGUCAGUGGACUUCAUAAUACACUCAUUGCGCUCAAUAUAUAUAUUUUCCGGUGUUUAUACGGUCACUAGCUCACCCUGACUGAGUAUGCAUGUGCAUGCAUGUGUAGGUUGAGCACUUGAGCGUGACCGUCGUGUGCUCGUAUAUGCAUGCAUUAGGGCGUCGCGCGCGUUUUUGCGUCCAUGUGUACGUGUGACUGUUGCAUACACGUAGGGGGAGUACGUGUAGGGGCCACUAAGGAGCAGUCAAAUCACACAGUAAGUUAGUCGGAAGAAGCAACCAUCAUUUCACUCUUGAAUGACACGUACGCAAUAUAAAAUGGUUGAUAUGGAGAGAAAAAGAAAACCACUAUAUAUACACUAGCAGGAGCCUAAGCUACAAGCCUGCUUGCUUAGGUUGCUCUCUUCACAAGCAUAGAACGACGGGCCUGAUCCCGCAGCUGGGGGAAGGGAACAAUGUUCUGCGCAGACGCGGUCGACAUCGGCGAGGGAGAAAACCCACAGUCGCUGCGUCCCAAUCGGGGGUCACCGCGGUAUGGGCCGAUGCCGCGUCCCAACCGCCCUUCUAGCUACAGCCCGAUGUCCCAGGUAGUCCAUCUUCCUUUUGGAGCCGGCUUGCUCCACUGCCGUAGCUCCAUCUCCAUGUCGAUCUUUCUCUACUUCUACCGGCUUCUACUUGUGAUGAGUUUAUGUCUCAUGAACUAGUGCCAGUACUAUUAUUCUAAUCACACUUCUUCAAUAUCUUUGCCAUCAGGGAUGCUCAGGUCGAUUUUAGUGGAACUGCACAAAAGCAUCGUAUGAUCCGAGGGUGACAGCCAUCUUUCCUUCGACAGGUUCUACCUGGCCAGGAAAUUAAAUCAUGUUUAGGGUUUAGGGUUUAAGUCGUAGUGAACCCAUCAGUAGUUUUUCUUUCGUACACGCUCUCACAACUUUUUUCUUUAGUUGUGAAGUAAAUAUUGGCUAUGAUCUGUGAAUCAUUGAGAUGCAUCAGCAUGCGUGUUAGUUUUCCUUUGUAUUUGAUGGAAUGUUGUAACGGGGCAACCUUGGAAUAGGAAUGAAAAUGGAGUGGAAAGUUUCCGUUUUUCCAGAGAAAAAAUGGAAACGGAGAGAAACCAACGUUUCGUUUCGUUGGAUCGCGCCAUCGAGCAAAACCAACGUUUAAAUCACGUCUGUCGUGUUCGUGUCUCACCCUCCUCCACGGCUCGACCCCACACGGUCGCUCGGCAUGCCACUCAAUGCAAACCGAGUAUACGAUAACUUUCCCGGCUGCUUGUCGAUGGAUCGCGCCAUGGAGUAGUAGCAUGUAACACCCCGGAUGUAACUUUCCAUAUUUGUAACUCCAACUCUUGCCAUUUUCGGCUAUGUGUUAUGAUAUUCCCUUCGUGGUCGGGUUUUGUCUUUCGUUUUGCAUUUUGUUCAUGUCAUGCAUCUCAUAUCAUGUCAUCAUGUGCAUCUCAUUUUGCAUACGUGUUCGUCUUUUCCAUCCGAGCAUUUUCCCCGUUGCCCGUUUUGCAAUCCGGCACUCCCACCUCCUCCGGCGCACCCCUCUUGUUUCUUUUCGUGGGCGGGUUUUGAACGUUCUCGUAAUGGACCGAGGCUUGUCAUGUGGCCUUGGUAUACCACCGGUAGACCACCGGUCAAGUUUCAUGCCAUUUGGAGGUCGUUUGGUGCUCCAACGGUUAACCGGGCAACCGCAUAGUCCUUUUGUGUGUUGCAGCAAAACCCCCCUUCAAACAUCCCAAAACCCCUCUAAGUCUCUUCGAUGCUCUAGGUCGUUCGAUCACGAUCGUGUGGGCGAAAACCGCACUCCAUUUGGAGCCUCCUAGCUCCCUCUACCUAUAUAUAUGCAUCUCCCCCCGAUUUUUUCGCGCAGUCCAAACCCUAACCCUCUCCCUCCGCGCGCCGGACGCGUCCGUCCCGCGCCGGACAAAACGCGCCGCCGCCCCCGUCCAACCGGCGCCUGCCACGUCAGCAGCCGGNNNNNNNNNNNNNNNNNNNNNNNNNNNNNNNNNNNNNNNNNNNNNNNNNNNNNNNNNNNNNNNNNNNNNNNNNNNNNNNNNNNNNNNNNNNNNNNNNNNNNNNNNNNNNNNNNNNNNNNNNNNNNNNNNNNNNNNNNNNNNNNNNNNNNNNNNNNNNNNNNNNNNNNNNNNNNNNNNNNNNNNNNNNNNNNNNNNNNNNNNNNNNNNNNNNNNNNNNNNNNNNNNNNNNNNNNNNNNNNNNNNNNNNNNNNNNNNNNNNNNNNNNNNNNNNNNNNNNNNNNNNNNNNNNNNNNNNNNNNNNNNNNNNNNNNNNNNNNNNNNNNNNNNNNNNNNNNNNNNNNNNGGCCGCCGCCCUCCCGCGUCGUCGCCGCCCGGUGCCGCCUCCUCCCCCGCUCCGGCCUCCUCCUCUACCUCCUCCGGCCGCCCCGUCCUCCGACUCCGGCAGCCUCUGCUCCGGUGAGCCGCCUCGGCGUCCGAGCUCGGGCCCGAUCCAGAUCCAGCCUAGGGUUGAUUUUCUCCCUCUCCCGAAAUCUUUAAGUCCCAUAUUUUUUACAAUACUUGCUCAUGUUCAUUGCAUCAUAACUCUCUGCAUAUAGCUCCGUUUUGUGCGUGUAAUAUAUUGAAAUGUUCGUCUCGAGAUGCUCUUCAUUUUGUUCCAUUGCACCAUGUUCAUUUGUGUCCAUCUUGAUGCCCAAAUCUCUGGUGCAAGAGUGCUAGUUGCUGUUAUCUGCUGUUACUUAUCAGAACUUGAGGUUUUGUUAUUUUUGUUGCAUUUAAUGUGUGUAUCUUAUGGGCAUGAGCUCUACAUGUAUUUUGAUGUAUGCCAUGCCAUCUUUACAGAGAUGUAUUCCAUGUAUUUUUGUGAUCUCUGUGGUGACUAGCACAAGCAUGCAAACUAGGCCUCGUGAUGUUUCUGUUUUCAGGGACUUGGUAAUUUUACUGUCUGUGACUGCUGUUAUUUUGUUGCUAUGUAUCCAUGUGGCUACAGAGAUAUCCAUGCUCCUUUUGGAGAUGUUUAGUAAGGAUGUUUUGUAGAUAUAGUUGUGCUCUAUCCAUCCAUGCCCUUGUUUGCAAUUAUGGAGUGCCAUAGCAUGACUCAAUCUUACUCUACUUUUGCUAUAAAAUAUUUCUGGCAGAUUGUUAACAUGAUAUUCAAUAUUGCCAAGGUUGUUGUAGUUGUUUCAUACAUGAUAUGUGUUUGCUCUUGCCAUGGAUAGCUUCUUAAACAUGCCAUCUUGCUGUAGGUAUGCUUUUUUUGUCAUGCAUUGCUUUGUGAUGAGUGCAUCAAGCUCACAAAGAUGCCCUCAUAAUGUCUGUUUCUGCCAUGCUCUGUUUUCUGCAGUCUGAAACCUGUUAACGAAACUUGCUAUGUUUACAUGGUUGCCAUCAUAUCUUUUGGUCCCUUUUGGCUUAUGGUCAGUAAGGGACUUUUGUCAUAUGCAUUUAUUAGAUUACUGCCAUGUCCUGUUUUGCUAUGUUAAGUUUCUGUAGCAUGUUAAUUGCUAGCUCUAAACAUUGCUACCUGAUGCUGUUUCAGCCAUGUCUAGUAAUUCCGCUAAGUCUGUGAACUUGUUAUCUUUUGCACUUUUGCCAUGCUUGUUUGAGCUUGUUAUGUUGUGAUCUAGCCGUAUCUCAGUGUUCAUCUUUUGUCAAGCAUCUCCUAUAGAUUACUAUCAUUUGCUUUGUUGCUAUGUUGGAGUGCUGUAGCAUAGUUAAUUGUUGCAUUCUUAGUGCUAUCAUGCUGUUAAUCGCAGAUUCGUGUCAUUCUUGUUUUGCUUGCCAUUUGCAAACCGUGCAUCCGUUUCCGGUGAUCUUUAUAUUGAUUUCAACCGAAAUCAUCUCAUAUUUCCAGUGGCGUGCUUGGUUUGCCAAGUUACUGCCUUGUUCAUCGUUUUUCUUCCGGAGCACGCAUAUGCAUCGCAUAUCAUAUCUUACAUAUCCUUCAUGUAUUGCAUCAUGUUGCUUGUGCAUCUCCCGUGAUUGAUUGUGGUUCCGUUGCUUGUGUUCUUGUUUUGGGUAGAGCCAGGAGACGAGUUCGUGAAUGAGGAACCUGUUGAGUACGCUUACGAGGAUCAAGCUUUCGACAACUCUGAGAACCUUGCAGGCAAGAUGACCGCACCCUCGAAAUCACUUCUAUCUUUGCUUUGCUAGUUGUUCGUUCUAUUGCCAUGCUGCGCUACCUACCACUUGCUAUAUCAUGCCUCCCAUAUUGCCAUGUCAAGCCUCUAACCAUCCUUUCCUAGCAAACCGUUGUUUGGCUAAGUUACCGCUUUUGCUCAGCCCUUCUUAUAGCGUUGCUAGUUGCAGGUGAAGUUGAAGUUGGUUCCAUGAUGGAAGAUGGAUAUUUUGGGAUAUCACAAUAUCUAUUAUUUAAUUAAUGCAUAUAUAUAUUUGGUAAAGGGUGGAAGGCUCGGCCUUAUGCCUGGUGUUUUGUUCCACUCUUGCCGCCCUAGUUUCCGUCAUACCGGUAUUAUGUUCCUUGAGUUUGCGUUCCUUACGCGGUUGGGUGAUUUAUGGGACCUCCUUGACAGUUUGCCUUGAAUAAAACUCCUCCAGCAAGGCCCAACCUUGGUUUUACCAUUUGCGACCUAAGCCUUUUCCCCCGGGUUUUUGCGAGCCCGAGGGUCAUCUUUAUUUAAACCCCCGGGCCAGUGUUCCUCUGAGUGCUGGUCCAAACUAGAGCCCUUUGCAGCGCCACCUUGGGGAAACUUGAGGCCUGGUUUUAGUUGUACAGACUGCUCAUCCGGUGUGCCCUGAGAACGAGAUAUGCGCAGCUCCUAUCGGGAUUUGUCGGCACAUUCGGGCGGCUUUUGUCGUGGAAUUGUCACGGCAGAUGUCCUCGAACUAGGACUUAGUCGUGGAGCCAUCGCUACUAGAAAGCUUGAAGGGGUUAACGGGACAAGGAACACGAGGGUUUAUACUGGUUCGGCCCCUUACGGUGAAGGUAAAAGCCUACGUCCAGUUGAGGUGGUAUUGAUUAGGGUUUCAAUGACCAGGGAGCUUAACUACUAUGCCUGGCUCACGAUGAGAUCUUUCUUGUCCCUAAACCGUUGUCGGGUCGUCCCGUUAUAUAGGGAGGCUGACGCCCAGCAGCUCUCAGAGUCCCGGCCGGCUCAUACAAGUGUCCGGCUCGGACUCUCAACUAUCCUUGCCUUACACCACAAGUUUUACUAUAAUGAUGAUACAACUACGGGCCUUAAGCCAUGUCCGGGUCUUAAGCCCAUCUUUGGCCCACCGUCUUCAAGCUUGUCGUUGGGCUUCUGGCGAUGACCAUUAGAGUAACCCGGCCCCUUCUGGCGGGUGACUCUAAGGUCUAUAUCCUCAACAUUAGGCCCCAGAUUGAUUUGAGCCGGCUCAUGUCAAUCUUCAAUCCUUUCGACAGAAACUCUCCGGCUUACAAUUGUGUGAAGGCCAUAACCCGGUGUGACGUCAUCCUCUGGACUCCGGGUGAUCCGCCGUGACGUCAUCUUCCAUUAAGUCCGUUUUUUACUCCGCCAGAUCCGUAACGAAUCUUACCUUUACUGUCAUCCCGAAAAUCGAGGCGUCUCGUGGGGAGAUAACCACGCCGUGGUCUCCUCAUUUCUCGCGCCCACUUAUGAGCUCGCCCUUAUAAAUAGGCCGGCCCGACGGGCCUUCAGCCACGCUUCUUCCUCCUCGCGCCACUGUUCCUCUGCUCGAGCUCGAACUCCGCCGCCGCCGCCGCGCCCCCGGUCUUCAUCAACCUUGGCCGCUGCAUCACCCUGACUCGGUCCAGACAAACGGCGGCCAUCUCCGCAUCUCUUCAACACCAGUAAGUCCUCGAUACUCCGUAGGGCAGAUCCGCAUUAGGGUUCCGUAGUUCAUCCUCUGUUCUUCGUAGUUCAUUGCGGCCCUUGGUAGAUUUAUUUUUACUACCCUUUUUUGAUCUUAGCUCUGCAUAGAACCACUGCGGUAGAUGUUUAAGACCCAUUUCACAUGCAAGUAGCCCUCUUUUUACUGCAUAAGAACCUUGUUCGAGCCCAAGAACUUCUCCUGCCUCUGUUUUUAGGUCUAGGAAUAUUUUCUUUUAAUCGACCAUUUUGAUCCGAAAUAUUUACUGCAAUGUGUGAAACUUGUUUUACCACACUUAGUAAAAAACUGCAAUCAUUGAACCAUGGCGGUUUACAUUUCCGGUUUAAAGAAACCACGCGCCGUAGAACCUUCUGGCUUAAAGAAAACCAUGCGCCAUAGAAUUUUCCGGCUCAUCUGUGAUAAGGCCGUAGACAAUCGAAUCACUCUCAAUACCUCAGCAGCUUAAAUAACCCGGUGCACUUAGGUAUAUACCAUUAGUCCCCUUCAUAAGCCGCCACCUUAACAUUGAACUGUAGAUUUUCUCCGGCUUAUAAUUAAAUCGGACGUUUUCCUUUUAUCAUAGGCUGCCGACUUUCACCAUGCCUCCCAAAGCCCCUAAAGCUCCCAUCACUUGCAACUGGAUGAGGUCCAAUGUCACCGAUGAGACACUAGUAGAUUUUGUAAAGUCAGGCCACCUGCCCAAGAAGGACGUCAUGUCCUACCAUGCCCCCGACCCAUCAGAGGAGAGACCACAGCCAAGGGAAGGGGAGGUGGUCAUUUUCGCGGAUCACAUGAGCCGGGGCUUCGCACCGCCCGGCUCAAAGUUUUUCAGAGACGUUCUGAAUUUCUUCGACCUACAGCCUCAAGACAUAGGACCCAACUCAGUGUCCAAUAUCUGCAACUUCCAAGUGUUUUGCGAGGUCUACCUUGGAGAGGAGCCCAGUCUGCUGCUCUUCAGAGAGCUUUUCUAUUUAAACCGCCAGAACGAGUGUGCCAACGGGCCAAGUUUGGAGCUAGGCGGCAUCUCCAUCCAACGGCGGAGGGACUACCUUUUCCCUUACGCAGAGCCGCCCAGCCACCCCAAGGACUAGAAUCUGACGUGGUUUUACUGCCAAGACACGUCGCCCGCUGAUGAGAGUCCGUUGCCCGGCUUUUGCCCCUCGCGUCUGGAGCCGACUCACCCACUGUCAGACAAGCUGACUCAAGCAGAGCGCCAACCUCUGCUCCCCACCAUCAACAAGAUCAAGGCUCUCCUGGGCAAUGGUCUGAACGGAAUCGAUCUGGUCCAGGUCUGGAUAUCGUGGCGGGUGAUCCCAUUGAGCCGCCGCCCCGGCUUAAUGUGCGAGUACACGGGCCGAAAGGAUGACCCCCAGAGACACAGCCGCAAUGAUCUUCCUGAAGAUGUUGCAGAGGAUAUGACCAAGGCUCUCCUGAACGAGAGCCUGGCAGACUGCGGGAGGACCGGGUUAGCCCCCUUCUGCAAGACCAAUCUAGCCCCAGCAGUAAGCCACUUAUUUAAACAUUUUAUCUUUGUCUACAGAUAACCUUCAUCCGAAUCUUUUAAGAAAUCAUCAUUGUAUUGUUCAGGCGGAUGACAAAUUUUGGCAGGUCAAGUAUGACCAUGAAGCGGCCAAGAAGGCCAGGAAGGCGAAGAAAGCCGCCAGGAAAACCGCUCCCCGCAAGAAGGGAAGUAGGCCCACUGCUUCAGAGCUGUUGCAGCUAAGUGACAGCUCCGAGUCUGAGGUAACUCCUAAACCUGCAAGCUCUUGUUAUAUUUGUUGUUUAUUUCUGUCCGCCUUAUCAAUGUUGUUUAUCAACAGGAGGACACUGGAGCCAGUAACCUGGUGGUUGAAGAGGUAACAAUACUUUCCUCCGACUCGGAGCCCUUGCCAAGGCUGAAAACCCGAAGAGUAACCCGGAAAGUAAGCUUUUCCCAUCCUUUAGCUUACCAAGAUCCUCAAUUUAUUUUGAAGCGACAGGUUCAUGAGAGCCGGCGGCACACCCGGACCAACAAGGACACUGACCUCUCCUCCGAGUUACCUGAAGCAUCAAGGAAACGCCGGACCGAGGUGAUCUCAAGAUUGUACCAUUUUCAUCCUUUUGCGGGUGUUAUACGCCAACCGCUUAAUUCUUCUGACUCAAAUUAUCAAGAGACUUCCCCUUCUUCCGGCGACUCUAUGCAGUCGAAUCUGCCAGCUUUCAAGACCGUGCCCGGGUAAUGACAAUCAUCUCAUGUUGUUCUGAUCUUUACUCAUACUUUUUGUACUAACCUUUGUUGUCCUUUCAGUGCCCAGGCAAAGCUCACCAAGAGGGCAAAGAAGACCGAGUCGGCCGGAGAGCCGGAUUUGCCUGAACCGGAGGUGGCGGCUCAAGAACCGCCAACUGCCUCCGCCCCUGAAGCCACCGCUCCAACCGACAAGGCAACUGUAGAAGCUUCUGCUAACCCGGAGGCCUCCGGCACGGCUCAGCCAGCAAAUGAUCCGGACGUGGUAAUCACCCGGACGGAAUUUGUUGAGCCGGGAAGACCUACUGCACUGGCCAAGUGCUCUGCCAAGGGGGGAUUACUGCAGCCCCGCCGGGUUAGUCUGGAUCUCACUGACUACGCCAACCUGAGCAUCGGAGAGGUCGUCUCCGGCUACGUCAGCCAAGUGCACAAGAGCCGGGAUGCAGAGAUCGCCAUGUAGAUAGGAACAUUCGAUACACAUUAGCCCCCAAGUGCCAAGUGUCUUUGCUUGAAAACACUUGGGACUUAUCUUCCGGCUUACUCGCAUGAACCGGAAAUUUGUAAAUAAAAACGUUUAACAUGCAUUAGCCCCCAAGUGCCAAGUGUCUUUGCUUGGAAAGUGCUUGGGACUUUUAAAUUUGCAUAGUAACUGUUCAUGCUAUAACCUGGAAAUUAUGCAGGCUGCUGACAAGAAGUUUGAGGCGGACAUCGCUGAACUCAAGACCCGUCUGAAGACUCAAGAGACGGAGACCCGGAAGGCCAAUGCCAAAUUCAUGUCCAGCAUUGCCGCUCAAGAAAAGUUGAAGACAGAAUUUGAUGUUGAACGGAAAGCCUGGGCCGAAGAGAAGACCGCUCUGGUGAACCGGGCCGAACAGGCGGAGAAGGCCCUGUCAGAAAAAACAGCUGAGCUCGCCGGCUUAAAACGCCAAGUAUCCCAGAUGGUUGCUGCAAUCUUCGGUAAGUCAUCCGCCGGCUUUCAUCCAGUUUAAAAUUUUAAUGUCUCAUAACCCAUUAUUAGCGGCGGCUCAUCUCACUCUGGAACACAGGUCCCCGAAGCGCCAACCUCAAUCAAAGCGUGGUCACCAAGCUAAAGGCCGUGUACACCCUGGUGGAGCAACUCUACACCGGGUCACAGCGCGCCUUGGCUGUGGUGGCCCUAUCUAAUGAGGUGCCGACUCACCUGGCGGAAGUCCUUCGCCGGCUCGCCGUUCUUCCCCAACGUAUCCAAGAACUGCGAAGGGCCUCUGCAAGAUCCGGAGCCAUAGCAGCGCUAAGCCAGGCUAAGGCGUUUCUUCCAGAGCUAGACCCGGCGGACAUCGCUCUGGGCUACCCCAGCUUGAAGGAAGAUGGCACCGCCUUCGACCGGAAGGACUUCGCAGCUUGCGUGAAGAUCGUACGCCCGGUGUCCACUCUGAUUGGCAAUGAUACAGAUCUGACUAAGUAUCAGCCGGGUUAUGAUGCAGAGAAUCAGAGGAUCCCCACUCCGCGCUAUGAAGCCCUUAGUUUAAUCCCUCCGGCUCAUCAGCACACCUUCGCCCCGUAGAUUGACCCGGCCGGGUUAAUUGACGAAGAAGCUCAGUUCGAAGCUCUGAGCGGCAUCGACUGGAAGUCGUCGACUUUCCAGACCUUGGGAAUAGCCGGAGGAGAAGAGAGGGACGAGCCGGGGACUUCAACCCAGCAGGCAUCUUAAUCCUGUAGGCGGCUUACCAAACAAUGCUUCACCCCUUUUGGACUCAAUGAGUCUUGUAAUAGAAUAGGGUCAACACUUUAACUGUGUCGUGCCAUCGCGCACGUAUUGAAUGUUGAAUCCUUAUGAAAGUUGCUUCCUUAUAUGUCUCCGGGUCAUUCAUUUUCCUUAGUCUCAAAUAAUUGCCCUUACUAACCUGCAUAGAGAGACAAAUCACAAGUCUCUAGGCAGCUUACCGCACUGAGAAUCGUAGGUUUAGACGUAUAACCCGGAAGAUGAAUCAAAAAAGAAUGGUUCUCAACUAUGUAUUUGACAUAGCCGUAAUAACACACUUACCGGCUCAUAUAACCCGGAUAAUAAGGUUGGUACCUCAACUCCGGUUUACCAGUUUUAAGAACGCCGAUUGUAUUCAGCUAAUACUGUAAAUCAAAACCUUAAGCCGGUAGGGUGAGACCCGCCGUGCAUACUUGAAAUAAUCAGAAGAACUUGCUAUAACUCAGCAAAACUUAGAGGCUUCCGGUUCGAAUACGACCAGAGACCCGUCCCAAAGGGGUUAUGCUAAGAUUCGCAUACGAUCAUAUAGCCCCCAGUGGGUGUGGCGAUGCCAAUCAAGAGGGUACCGACAGCUAUGUUCUCUUUGGUUCGAAUACGACCUAUGUUUGAACAGGAAGCCCCCAAAUGACUUUUAGAAUUGUUUAACGACGCUGAUUCGAAUACGAUCCACGUCGGUUCCCAAAGGGGUUAAACUAUGAUUCAAAUAUGAUCAAAGAAAACUCCCUAAUGAGCUCGGCACUUUGCCAAUCAAAUGGGUAUCGACAGCUAUGUUCUCUUUGGUUCGAAUACGACCUAUGUUUGAACAGGAAGCCCCCAAGUGAUCUUAUUAUCUACAGCUAGAUUUGAAUACAAUCAUAAGCCGGAUCCUCCUUCGAGUUAUCAUGUAAUCUUGCAAUGAAAACAACACAUGCACAUUUGGAGGAGAAAAAAGGACAGAGGUCCUGCUUUAUUGCUUAUAUACAUGGCUUAGAGAAAUAUGUACAUUAUGAGAGCCGGCGGCUCAAGUGUAGUAAGGCCGAAGCUGAGCUAUGUUCCACGGCCGACGAGUCUCCUCCUCCGACUUACGUGAAUCUUUAUGCUCUUGAACAUCGAUAAGGUAGUAUGACCUGUUGUGCAAGUUCUUGCUGACCACAAAGGGCCCUUCCCAAGGCGGGGAUAGCUUGUGUGUAUCCGUCUGAUCCUGGAUGAGCCGGAGCACCAGGUCACCUUCCUGGAAGACCCGAGAUUUAACCCGGCGACUAUGAUAGCGGCGCAGGUCUUGUUGGUAAAUCGCUGAGCGAGCUGCUGCCACAUCACGCUGUUCGUCCAGCAAGUCAAGAGCAUCCUGGCGCGCCUGUUCAUUAUCCGCCUCGACAUAAGCCGCCACUCGAGGCGAGUCAUGACGGAUGUCACUUGGGAGUACUGCUUCUGCCCCAUAAACCAUGAAGAAAGGCGUGAACCCUGUAGAUCUGUUAGGAGUAGUGUUGAUGCUCCAUAACACAGAGGGCAACUCCAACAACCCGGCGUCCGUUGCAAAGGGACCAAAAGCCGGGGCUUGAUGCCCUUUAGGAUCUCCUGAUUAGCUCUCUCAGCUUGACCAUUGGAUUGAGGAUGAGCCACCGAUGAAACAUCAAGUCGAAUAUGCUCUCGUUGACAAAAUUCCUCCAUGGCGCCGUUGGAUAGGUUGGUACCAUUGUCAGUUAUAAUGCUGUGUGGAAAGCCAAAACGAAAAAUCACCUUUUUCAUAAAUUGAACUGUUGUGGCUGCAUCACACUUGCUAACUGGCUCUGCUUCAACCCACUUGGUAAACUUGUCAACUGCCACCAAGAGGUGGGUCUUCUUAUCCUUGGACCUUUUAAAAGGCCCAACCAUAUCAAGCCCCCAGACCGCAAAGGGCCAAGUAAUUGGGAUCAUCCUCGGCUCCUGAGCCGGCACAUGAGCUCGUCGUGAGAACCUUUGGCAACCAUCACAUUUACUAACCAAGUCCUCCGCAUCAGCAUGAGCCGUCAGCCAAUAAAAACCAUGACGAAAAGCCUUGGCCACAAGAGAUUUUGAGCCGGCGUGAUGACCACAAUCCCCUUCAUGAAUCUCACGCAAGAUCUCUUGACCUUCCUCAGGGGAGACACAACGCUGGAAUGCUCCCGUAACACUGCGGUGAUGCAACUCGCCAUUGAUAACUAUCAUUGACUUGACCCGCCGGGUUAUUUGUCUGGCCAAAGUUUCAUCCUCAGGCAACUCUCCCCGGGUCAUGUAAGCCAGAUAGGGCCUUGUCCAGUCCGGUAUGAUGUGAAGAGCCGCCACCAGCCGUGCCUCCGGGUCAGGGACAGCCAAGUCUUCCUCUGUAGGCAACUUAACAGAAGGGCUAUAUAGGACAUCCAGGAAAGUAUUAGGCGGCACCGGCUUUCGCUGAGAGCCCAGCCGGCUUAGGGCAUCAGCCGCCUCGUUCUUCCUGCGAUCAAUGUGCUCCACUUGGUAACCCUGAAAGUGUCCAGCAAUGGCAUCAACCUCACAGCGAUAAGCCGCCAUGAGAGGGUCCUUGGAGUCCCACCUUCCUGAUACUUGUUGAGCCACCAAAUCUGAGUCGCCAAAGCACCUUACUCGGCUCAAAUUCAUCUCCUUAGCCAUCCGAAGACCAUGGAGCAAGGCCUCAUACUCAGCCGCAUUGUUAGUGCAAGGAAACAUCAAUUGUAUCACAUAAUGGAACUUGUCACCUUUAGGGGAAACCAAUACCACUCCAGCCCCCGAGCCCUCCAACUGCCUGGACCCAUCAAAGUAAAUAGUCCAGAAUGUGUUAUCCGGCUUUUGCUCGGGCACCUGUGACUCUGUCCAAUCAUUGAUGAAAUCCACCAAGGCCUGAGAUUUAACAGCAGUGCGUGGUACGUAUUUGAGACCAUGAGGUCCAAGCUCGAUAGCCCACUUAGCCACUCUCCCUGUGGCCUCUCUGUUUUGAAUGAUAUCACCAAGAGGGGCAGAACUAACCACAGUAAUGGGGUGACCCUGAAAAUAAUGCUUAAGCUUCCGGCUUGCCAUGAACACCCCAUAAACAAGCUUCUGCCAAUGCGGGUACCGCUGCUUGGACUCAAUGAGCACUUCACUGACAUAAUAAACCGGCCGCUGAACCGGAUGCUCCUUACCCUCUUCCUUGUGCUCCACCACCACGGCCACACUGACGGCUCGUGCAUUAGCAGCCACAUACAGCAAUAAGGGCUCCUUGUCAAUUGGAGCAGCAAGGACCGGGGGCUCUGCUAGCUGCUUCUUCAAAUCCUCAAAGGCGGUAUUGGCUGCAUCAUUCCAGACAAAGUUAUCAGUUUUCUUCAUCAACUGAUAUAAUGGCAUGGCCUUCUCACCCAAACGGCUUAUAAACCGGCUCAAAGCAGCGAUGCGACCCGCCAAGCGCUGAACGUCAUUUAUACACGCCGGCUUAGCCAGGGAGGUGAUGGCCUUGAUCUUCUCCGGGUUAGCUUCAAUGCCUCUGUCAGAAACCAAAAAACCCAAGAGUUUGCCUGCAGGAACACCAAAAACACACUUGGCCGGGUUAAGCAUCAUCUUGUAAAUCCGGAGAUUAUCAAAGGUUUCCCUUAAAUCAUCUAUCAGGGUUUCUUCCUUUAUAGACUUAACCACAAUAUCGUCCACAUAAGCAUGAACAUUGCGCCCAAUCUGGUUAUGAAGACAGUUCUGCACACCACGCUGAUAAGUCGCCUGUGCACACUUGAGUCCAAAGGGCAUAGACACAUAGCAGAAGGCUCCAAAGGGAGUGAUGAAUGUUGUCUUCUCCUGGUCCUUAACCGCCAUUUUAAUCUGAUGAUAUCCUGAAUAAGCGUGCAAGAAACUUAAGCGCGCACAAUCUGCCGUAGCAUCAAUAAUUUGAUCAAUACGGGGAAGGGCAAAAGGAUCAGCCGGGCACGCCUUGUUUAAGUCCGUGUAGUCCACACACAUCCGCUAAGUGCCGUUCUUCUUGAGUACGAGCACCGGGUUAGCUAACCACUCUGGGUGAAAGACUUCAACGAUAAACCCGGCCGCCAAGAGCUGGGCCACCUCUUCACCAAUAGCUUUCCUCCUCUCCUCAUUGGACGCGUUCUGAUCCAUCGUGAGCUGGAAGGACUGCGCCUGAAUCAACCGAGUCUGGGCGUCGAGAGCCGCCCUAUCCGCCGCCAUCCUGAUCCCUUCCACUGCUAGCUCCUCCUUCGCUUUCACCAGAUCUAACUUCAACUGUGCCACCUCCGCGUCAUGUUGAGCUUGAUCCGCCGGGUCAACCGUGGCGGUUAACAGGGCCGUCAUCUUGUCCGUGAGAUCCAUCAGCACUUGAGCCGGCAAGGGCACCGGGUUUCCCGCCCCAGCAGCAGGGUUCUGGACAAGCUGCGCACCAGCCAUGAAGAUUCCAACCCGGCUCGGCGGCUCAAACGGGUCCGGAAUACUGUCACCAUCGGAACAACCCAUGAGACUGCCAUCUUGAAGUUGAUACAACGAGUUUGACUCAUCUGUGGACGACUCGCCGUCAGAGCCGGCGGCCGCCGCAUCAUCAGAUCCAGAUCCAUGAGGAAGCCCUCCAUGGAUAUAUCCCACAAAAGCAUGCCUUAAGGCAGGCAGGAUUCGGGCGGGUCAUGCACGCUGAGCCGUCUCGAUGAGGUCGGCGCAGAGAUCCGGCUCAGGGCCCGGCUCACCAAUCUUGCCAAUGAAAACAUGAAUUCCGCCGAAGGGGACCCGGUACCCGUACUCAAUUGAGCCGGCGUCGGGGCCCCAGUCUGCAUCGUCGAUGUAGAGCUUGCCGCGACGACUCAUGGUCAUCCGGCCCACAGCGUAUCCCUUGAGCCCUUCGAAGCUGCCCUUCAAGAACUCAAAUCCACCGUGCGCUGGCCCCACGGUGGGCGCCAACUGUCGUGGAAUUGUCACGGCAGAUGUCCUCGAACUAGGACUUAGUCGUGGAGCCAUUGUGACACCCAAGUUUUAUUUGGAUUUUUCAAAAGGUUCUAUUUGACUUGAGGGGAGUGAUUUAAAAAAAAAUUUCAAGAGAACUCUCCCUCUCAUAUAUUUUUAUUUUCUUUAUGGCAAAAGUUUUGUUUGGAUUCACCCAAGAUCUGCCUUUGGCCUUGGGAGACCUUGCUUUUCAUUUGGACUCAAGACAAAAUGUUUUUUUUUGUUGGGGAGAAUAACUUUUGAAAAUCUUUUUGAAUUUGCACUAUGGCUUUCGGAAAGUCCUUUGUCACUUUCAACUAUUCCUUCUUGCCAUGGCAUUAGUGCAAAUCCUCUCUCCUAACCCUUCCCUCACCUUUGGAUCAUGUUUUGCAUCAAAUCCAGCAAGUUGAACAUCCCCAUGUGAUCAUUUCCAUUCAAAUAAAUUUCUGUCUUCUCUUAUAGCACUUGGAGAUUUACAAAGGAACUCCUUUUUCUGUUUUGAUUUUUGCCACCAAACCUUUUUCCCCUCCUAGUCCUUUGAACCCUUAACCUAGAACCAUGAAGAUCCACUGGUCUCCAGUUCAAAAUUUUCAAACUACAUCUGCUGCAAGUUUGGACCAGUUUUGCCAAAUUUGGUGAAUUCAUUCAAAACCUUCUCCAAAAAUUCCAAGUAAAUUCAUGCAGCCUCUGGGUGCAUUGAGUGGUCAUCUCACCAAGUUGCAGCUCCAGAAAAAUUUAUCUCGUAGCCAAAACCUACUGUCGAACACCUGCAAUGCAUGGUCACUGUCAAUUUUCAGUAAGUUCAGAGAACACUGCAGUGCUCACUGUCGUUUUCUUCAGAGAUGGGCAUCGAUCUCGCCAGUGCCCUCGCGUCGCCUUGCUCCUCGUCCCCGCCCUCUUGUUCCUGCACCGCACGAGCGCCUGGCACCUUGCGGACGUCGGCGACGAGCAGCAGAAGGUGCGCCGCCCCGUGACCGACGCCGGCGGCGGCUUUGCGGACGCCAGCGGGAGACACGGCGCCGACGACUCCACCCAGCGCCGCCCAAACCACCGGAGCCCGCCGCGUGGCCUUCCACUCCCCCGAAUGCGCUGCCGCUCUCGUCAUGAACCGCAGGGCGCGGAGCGCGCUCUCUGCCGCCGUUGAGCCCGUGCGGUCACCUCACCGUGGACAGACGCCAUUACGCCGGGGCCAGCUCCGUUUAGCAGUGGAACAGCUCCAGUAAUCUCCACUGAUGCUGCCCGACCGCUCAAACCACCUUCCAAUCCACUACUCCACCGUAAUCGCUCGCCGGAGAUUCUCCGUUCACGGCCACCCCGUCGAUCUGCCUAUAAAUAGAGACCCCGAGCUUCAACUCGAGCACCCACCAGCCCUGCACUUCCCCUAGAGCACGCCUAGCCACUGGUAGAGCCCCGAGGAGGUCUCCUUCCUCGACUCCGGCCGCCGCGACCCGCCACGGGAUCCAGCCCGAUUUGCCCCCGUGUGUGCCCCUCCACCUCCAUUCUCUUGCCAGUAGCUUCACCUUGCAUCUCUCGUUCUAACCCGCACUUCAAUUUGAAGCUUGCAGCCCUCCACCGGAGUUCCCCAUCCUCACCCGAACCGCCGUCCGCCGGAGAAAGUGUCGCCGUCGACGUGGUGCUCCCCGUUGGAUGAGUCCACCACCCACCGACGCGGAAGAAGGCACUGAAGCUCUUGGUACCCUCCGUUUCUCCUAACUCGCCGUGGUUCGACGCCGGCGUCCACCACCGUCUUCGGGCGCCGGCGAGCCUUUUCAAACCUGACAUGCGGACCCCGCGUGUCAGCCUCUGUUUUAUUUUCCUCGAACCGUUUUCUGUUGGCGCCUCGGGCAAAAUACGCUUUCUCUCUUGCGCUUGCGCAUUUCCAAACGAACCGUUUUCUGUUUUCUCAGUUAAAACCCUGGAACUUUUAUGUUUCAUUACAGAAAGGUCCCUGGACAGAAACCUUUAUAACUUUUUAAUAAAAAGGUAUUUUUGAGUGAUUCUUUUUCUGACAUUCUUAAAAUUUUGUCUAGUUUUUUAUGGGAUUUAUUUGAAAAAUAUUUGGCAAAGUUUCUGUGCAUGUGUUGGUUUUCACGUUAGUACCCGUUUCGUGAUUGCCGUAGGUUCCGGGAGACGUGACGGAGCCACGAACUUCGCCGAGCUAGACUCCGACUUCUCCGAACCAGGCAAGCAUGUUUUGAACAUUUGAUAUGACAGGUGUUUUGCAUGUUUGCGUGAAAGUUGGUGCGUGGCAUAUGAGUGUCGGUAAAUACCUUGUUGCUUGUGAGGCAACUACCCGGUUGUUCCAAAGUUGUGAUGAUCUCUGAUGAGAGAUGGCCUAAUCAUGUGGUGACAUGAAGGGCGGCAAGGUGGUACUGUUGUAGCAUACCAGCCUUGCGUCAUCCGACUUUUCCGANNNNNNNNNNCCCCGACGUUAACGUGGUUGGAGCCGCGUUACCGUCCUUUCCCCUUUCCGUGCUACCACAUGUCUCAUUGCCAGGGAUGCGGUUUAGUAAGUUGGUAACCUCUUUCCGUGUACACACCAAACAGAGAGGCCGGGAUGAUGGUACCUUGGCCCAGGAUUAAAGCCAGUCAUCCGGUCAGGGGGCAUGGGUGUUUCCGGUUGGGACCGAGAGGGGGGGCACCCCCUUAUAGCGCGCGUAUAGAAAUUUGAUCCCAUGCUACGCGAGGUUGUAGCCUCCCCGUCUCAAGGUUUUUCUUGAACGAUGCCGAGGGUGAUCCCUGGCUUCGGAUGGUCAAAUUGGGUGUGUACUGGUUAGACGUGUUUCUUCCAAAACACCGCAGACGGAACUAGUCCUCGUGACUACUGAAAUCCGUUGGCUGUGGUUAAGUACAAACUCUGCAGAGUCAAUUCUUUCCAUAUCAUCGUAUCCAUGAUCAAAAUGAAAGCAUUAUAUCCAUAUCUAUCCGCGUGGAAAACUUGUCCCCGGUGAACCAGCUCAAGUGGUAAAAUUCAGUUUUAAUGUUAUUCCUGUGGAUGGACCAACCCUAUAUUUGUUUCUUGCUCGUGAUAAAUUAUGUUCUCAAACUAUUGUAUUAUUGAGCUGUGAUAUAAGCCCUUUAUGUGACGUCGCGCAGACGUCCGACUGUGGCGUGUUUUUACUUCUUACAUUAUAUAUAAGCCCUUUUUGCGACGUCGCUCAGACGUCCGACUGUGGCAAGCACUGUCUUUAUUCUCUGUUAUAAGCCCUUUCUGUGGUGUCGCCUCGACGCCCGACUGUGGCAUUAUUAAUUCCGCAUUUUCCGCUCGAGGAGUCUUUCAGACACUCGUUUGGCACCAGUAUUAUUAUUCCGCAUUUUCCGCUCGAGGAGUCUUUCAGACACUCGUUUGGCACCAGUAUUAUUAUUCCGCAUUUUCCGCUCGAGGAGUCUUUCAGACACUCGUUUGGCACCAGAAUUAUUAUUCCGCAUUUUCCGCUCGAGGAGUCAUUCAGACCCUCGCUUGGCACCCAGUAUUUAUUACCUCUAUGUCUGAUCGUACUGGUUAGCUUAUUCAUGCAUUUCAUGUUCGCAUUUGUUAUACCUUAUGUCCGAACUGUCUUGCGAGUACUUUCAUAGUACUCACCUGGCUUGUUGAUUUGGCCAGAUGUUGACGAAGGCGAUCUCUUGGAUGAAGAGUUCGAUAGCGCGUCCGAUGCCUAGAGGAGUCCCAGUCAGUCCUGCGCGAUCCCGGAUUUUGGUCACUUGCUUUGUUUACGCUUCCGCCACCCGCAAUAAGUCUUCUCGAGCCUCACUCCGACGCUCGAAGAGCUGUAGUCUUCUGGAGUCAUAUCGCUCGCCCCGCGGUGAUACCUCCACCAUCAUUUUUAUCGUGAGUUAGUAGUUUGCCACCCUAUCCGCCGUUUUGUUUUAUCGGCGUGCAUGUAAUAAAUUGUUGGGCAGUCUCUGCUCAACCUUGUAUUAUAUUUAGUACUCCUGGUAUUUUUCUUCUGUGACCAAUAUAUUGUCUAUCAGUGAGAAGGAAUUCUUCCUCGCUGGUCCGUAACAGGGAUUGGUUUCUCAAUAAUUAUUUUAUUGAAAAACCGGUCGUGACANNNNNNNNNNNNNNNNNNNNNNNNNNNNNNNNNNNNNNNNNNNNNNNNNNNNNNNNNNNNNNNNNNNNNNUUAUUAGCGUCUUUUGUGCUUUUUCAGCAUUUUGCAAUUGUAGCUAUUUUCUGUUGGUCAUCAUAAAUUUAUGACAUGACUACUCAGAAUUUUUGCCUACUUUUGUAGAUGGCUGGCAGCAGCUGUGAGAAUCGAGUGUUCACCAACGUGCCCGAGGGGUUUGUCAAGCUCCUCGUCUCCAUCACCAAGCUCGCGAUCGGGCCAGCAGCUCGCCCGGAGUUCACACUCUAUCAGCACAAGCUCAGUGACGACGUGUCUAUGCACCAAGCCGUGGUGCAGUUCAGGGGAGGACGAUCUGCUGCUCGCCACUUCCGUUUUACGGGAAGGGCCAUGCCUACGGAGAGGCAUGCCAUGCAGAUGGCUGCCCGCGAGGCGAUAGCUCGCCUUCGGGACAUCCUUCCUACGAUGAAGACUCGUCGCUACCGCUACCUCCCAUGCCAUGUGCCAUACACCAGCCACUAUGCGUUUGCCUGCCACCGGGGAGAAAGAGACGAAGCCAUCGAGAUGGUUGUGGAGUAUCUCAAGGCUCUGGAGGAGUCUUUCGAUAACCUCGUAGAUGAUCUUGUGGCUGCCCGCAUGGACUUAGUCCGGGGCGGUCCUGCCAGCAGGAAGGAGCUUCUCCACACGGCGCCGCCUCUGACAUUCGUCUCGUCUUCAGCCUCGUAUGCACCGGCCGUUUUGGCCACUGCUCGCCGUCUGCCUACCACUGAGGAGUUCGACCGAGUCAUCGCUCCUACUCCAGUCAGAGCCGCACCGCCUGCCGCACGCGCUCUACCACCAGUCGCCCCCACACCAUCACCGCAGCGCAGCGUCACGCGCCAGGAGCCAGCUAGAGAGGAGGUGGAGGUUGACUCUCCUGGACUACUGAGCCUUGCCAUCGGCAAGGGGAAGGAGAUCUUCACCAUCUCCGACUGAGAGCACCGAGUAGCCGCGUGUUAUGUCUGCUUGUAUGAUGUGCUGUUUUAUUUGUACGCUAGUUUGUAUUGGUGUGUUUGCUGCCUUCCGGAAUAGUACGCUAGUUUUAAUAACAUGUCAGGAUUGUGUACGCGCAUCCUGAGUGCUGUAUCGUGUGUUUGCUUUUCGCAUGAAAGUUUUAUGUUAAGCACUACUCCUCCAUGAAAGAUCGUUUGUGUUGCCUCUGCAAGAGUUUCCUCGUGCUACACAGUUUUUCUCAUGGGUUUUGCAAAUAAUACCCCAGACUGGAAAAAUGUCUCGCCCAUGGACUCGCUCCAUGCCCAAUCAGCCAGAAGAGGUUUACGGGACACAGACCAGCAACAAUUUCACUCAGGGUCAGUCCAGCCAACAAGACAGCGAAGCAGCACUGUCUUAAGUAUGCCGUCUCUUCGAGCAGAGUCAGCAACAACACCAAGAGAUGAUGAACCAUGUCAUCAACAUGGGAAACCACCGUGAACACUAUCAACCACAUUCCAAGUUAUCCGAGUUGCAGAAGACUCGCCCCUCAACUUUUGCUCACACCGAUAGGCCACUGGAAGCCGAUGAUUGGCUUCGUGAGAUUGAUAGGAGACUGAUUAUUGCUCAAUGCUCAGAUCAUGAGAAGGUGCUUUAUGCACCACACUACCUUACUGGAGCAGCCGCAGCAUGGUGGGAGAACUUCCUACACAUGCAUCCCAGGGAACACAACAUCACCUGGGAAGAGUUCAAGGAAGGUUUCCGUGGGGCACACAUCCCCAGGAGCAUCCUAAAGAUCAAGAAGAGAGAGUUUGAUGACCUGAAGCAAAGAGGCAUGUCUGUGACAGAGUACAAUGGUCAGUUCACCCAGCUGUCUCGUUAUGCCUACGACGAGCACAUGAUAGAAAACAAGAAGAUGGAAAAAUUCCUGGACGGCCUGGCACCAGCGCUAAGAUGCCAGCUGAUUGUACACACCUUUCCGGAUUUUAAGACGCUGGUGGACAAGGCCAUCACCUUGGAAAAUGAGCGCCGUAGUCUGGAAGAUAUCCGCAAGCGGAAGAGGGACAAGACGCCUCUUGCCUGCAGCAACCGAGGCAAGGCUGAGGUCCCAAGGACAGACACAAGGAGAUCCACGACUACUGAGCCAAGGCCCGUCGGACAGUUUCAUGCCAGGGACAAAGAGUUCACAUACCGUCCGGGGGUCACCUGCUAUGCUUGUGGUCAGCAAGGGCAUUAUGCUAAACAGUGCCCGAAGCCAAGAGACUCGGCACCCAAGCCGAACAAUGGUGGAAACAAUCCCGCCCCCAAGCGCAACAACUUCAAUCCCAACAACAACCACAGGAAGGGUCACUUGAACCAUGUGACCAGGGAAGAAGCGCAAAAUGCCCCAGACAUCGUGCUCGGUACGUUCCCUGUCAACACAGUACCUGCCACGGUUUUGUUUGAUUCUGGAGCUUCCCAUUCGUUCGUUUCGAAGAGUUUUGUUUCGCAACAUGGUUUUCCGAUACUCCCCUUGGAAAAGUCUAUGAUCAUCAAGUCCCCGGGAAAUAAGCAAAUCGCCCAAGGUUACUGCCAAGGAGUGGUCAUUGAGUUCGAAGGACUACAAUUCCACGCAAAUCUCAUCGUGUUGGAAAGUAAAGGACUGGAUGUCAUUUUAGGGAUGGACUGGUUGACCACCAACAAAGGAUUCAUUGACUGCUUCAAUCGGACAGUGAUUCUCACUCACCAUCACGGCAAGACAAUAAGAGUCUCCGCUCAAGAAAGGCCACGGUCACAGAAACCAAAACUGAACAAAAUGGACAUUGCAGAACUGGGAAAAGUUCCGGUGGUAUGCGAGUUCCCUGAUGUGUUCCCGGAAGAAUUACCAGGUAUGCCACCAGACCGAGAGAUCGAAUUCAGCAUUGAACUAGCACCUGGCACCGCUCCCAUUUAUAAGAAGCCGUAUAGAAUGGCACCCUCAGAAUUGGUGGAGUUGAAGAAGCAGAUAAAGGAAUUAUUGGACAAGGGGUUUAUACGAGCCAGCUCCUCACCAUGGGGUUCGCCCGUAUUGUUCGCCAAGAAGAAGGAUGGGACACUGAGACUGUGCAUAGACUAUCGAGCCCUCAAUAUGGUCACCAUCAAAAACAAAUACCCGAUGCCACGGAUAAAUGAUUUGUUUGACUAGCUCGCACAAGCUAAAGUAUUUUCAAAGAUUGAUUUGAGAUCAGGAUACCAUCAACUAAAGGUACGAACAGAGGAUAUCCCCAAGACAGCAUUCACUUCCAGAUAUGGGUUAUACGAGUUCAUAGUGAUGCCUUUUGGUCUAACAAACGCCCCCACAUAUUUCGUUCACCUCAUGAACAAAGUGUUCAUGAAAUUCAUGGACAAAUUCGUGGUGGUAUUCAUUGACGACAUUCUGGUUUACUCAAGGACACCCGAAGAGCAUGCUGAGCACCUCAGAAUGGUUUUGGGAGAAUUGAGGAAGCAUCAGUUGUACGCCAAGUUUAGCAAAUGCGAAUUUUGGCUAAGGCAAGUUGGUUUCUUGGGCCAUAUACUGAACCAAGAAGGUGUAGCCGUAGACCCAGAAAAGGUCAAGGCCAUACUGGACUGGAAACCGCCCGCCAACGUCACAGAUGUGCGGAGUUUCCUAGGAAUGGCCGGAUAUUACAGGAGAUUUAUUGAAGGAUUCUCCACUGUGGCAAAACCUAUGACCCAACUACUCAAGAAGGACAAGAAAUUCGUAUGGACGGAAGCAUGUGAGCAGAGCUUCCAAGAACUCAAGAAAAAGCUGACAACCGCACCAGUCUUAACUGUGCCAGACAUACACAAGAGUUUUGAAGUAUAUUGUGACGCGUCCCGAAAAGGUCUCGGAUGUGUACUAAUGCAGGAUGGCAAGUUGUCGCAUAUGCCUCCAGGCAACUGCGAAAGCAUGAGGAAAAUUACCCAACACAUGACUUGGAGCUAGCAGCAGUCAUACCUGCACUCAAGGAGUGGAGGCACUUUCUGUUGGGAAAUCGUUGUGAAAUAUAUACGCACCAUAAGAGCCUCAAAUAUAUCUUCACACAGCCAGAGCUGAAUUUACGCCAACGACGCUGGUUGGAACUGGUCAAAGACUAUGACGUCGGCAUCCACUACCACCCAGGAAAAGCAAAUGUAGUGGCCGAUGCCCUUAGUCGAAACCCCAGCCCGGACAGUGACGGUCAGCAAAACUUGAGGCCUGAGUUUCAGCGAGAGUUCGCUAGGCUCAACAUGAUGUUAGUCUCCGAGGGCACCAUAUCAAAUCUGGAGAUACAACCCACCUUGAUGGAACGAAUUAAGAAGGCCCAACAGGGACAUCCCAGCAUCGAAGGCAUAAAAAAGAAAAUGAAUGUUAGUAAGACUUCAGAGUUCGUCACAGACAGUGAAGGAACAUUGUGGUACCGAAACAGACUUUGCGUACCUAACAUUGAGGAACUCAAGCAACAGAUCUUGACGGAAAGCCACACCGCUCCAUAUUCGAUCCAUCCUGGAGGAACCAAAAUGUACAAGGACAUCCAGGAAAGAUUUUGGUGGCACGGUAUGAAAAGAGAUAUAGCCACAUUUAUUGCUUGUUGCGAUUCAUGUCAGCGUAUCAAGGCCGAGCAUCAAAAGCCAGCAGGGCUACUCCAGCCAAACAGAAUACCGGAGUGGAAAUGGGAUGAAAUAGGAAUGGACUUCAUUGUCGGAUUACCCCGAUCACAACGCGGAAAUGAUGCCAUAUGGGUCAUCACAGACCGACUAACCAAGGUUGCUCAUUUCAUUCCCGUGAAGACUACCUACUCCACCCAAAGACUGGCAAAGCUCUAUCUAUCUCGUAUAGUUUGCUUGCAUGGAGUCCCGAAGACUAUAAUAUCAGACCGAGGCACCCAAUUCGUCUCCAAAUUUUGGGAACACCUACAACAAGCUCUGGGCACACAACUGGUUUUCAGUACAGCAUACCACCCUCAGACAGAUGGGCAAACAGAACGUGUAAACCAAAUCCUAGAGGAUAUGCUAAGAGCCUGUGUACUCACCUAUGGAUCCAGUUGGGAAGAGAGUUUGCCGUAUGCCGAAUUUGCGUACAACAACAGUUACCAAGCCAGCUUGCAAAUGGCACCCUUUGAAGCAUUGUACAGACGGAGGUGUCGUACCCCAUUGAAUUGGUCAGAAACAGGUGACAGCCGUAUCUUCGGCCCAGAUAUGCUUAAGGAGGCCGAGGAAAAAGUUAAACAAAUCAGGGACAGACUCAAGACAGCAUAGAGCCGGCAAAAGAGCUACUAUGAUCAGAAGCAUCGUGAGGUCAGCUUUGAACCUGGUGAUUCCGUAUACCUCCGAGUAUCCCCUAUGAGGGGUCUGCAAUGGUUCAAGAUAAAGGGGAAACUAGCCCCAAGAUUUAUUGGACCAUUUUGUGUGAAGGCACGAAGAGGCACGGUAGCCUACCAACUAGACCUACCCAAGGAGCUGUCAGACGUCCACGACGUAUUCCACGUCUCGCAGUUGAGGAAAUGUGUGAGUAACCCGGAGAAACAUGUACCCCAUGAGGACAUUGAUGUGUAACCAGAUCUCACCUACAGAGAAAGGCCAGUAAAGAUUUUAGAAGAGUCUGAACGGAGGACCCAUCAGAAAACGACAAAGUUUUUCAGGGUCCAGUGGAGCAACCACACUGAGGAUGAAGCCACAUGGGAAAGGGAAGAUUUCCUCCGAGCAGAGUAUCCAUAUCUAUUUGAGGAUCAGCAGAAAUCUCGAGGACGAGAUUUUUCCUAAGGGGGUAGGUGUUGUGACACCCAAGUUUUAUUUCGAUUUUUCAAAAGGUUCUAUUUGACUUGAGGGGAGUGAUUUAAAAAAAAAUUUCAAGAGAACUCUCCCUCUCAUAUAUUUUUAUUUUCUUUAUGGCAAAAGUUUUGUUUGGAUUCACCCAAGAUCUGCCUUUGGCCUUGGGAGACCUUGCUUUUCAUUUGGACUCAAGACAAAAUGUUUUUUUUUGUUGGGGAGAAUAACUUUUGAAAAUCUUUUUGAAUUUGCACUAUGGCUUUCAGAAAGUCCUUUGUCACUUUCAACUAUUCCUUCUUGCCAUGGCAUUAGUGCAAAUCCUCUCUCCUAACCCUUCCCUCACCUUUGGAUCAUGUUUUGCAUCAAAUCCAGCAAGUUGAACAUCCCCAUGUGAUCAUUUCCAUUCAAAUCCUAUUCAAAUAAAUUUCUGUCUUCUCUUAUAGCACUUGGAGAUUUACAAAGGAACUCCUUUUUCUGUUUUGAUUUUUGCCACCAAACCUUUUUCCCCUCCUAGUCCUUUGAACCCUUAACCUAGAACCAUGAAGAUCCACUGGUCUCCAGUUCAAAAUUUUCAAACUACAUCUGCUGCAAGUUUGGACCAGUUUUGCCAAAUUUGGUGAAAUUCAUUCAAAACCUUCUCCAAAAAUUCCAAGUAAAUUCAUGCAGCCUCUGGGUGCAUUGAGUGGUCAUCUCACCAAGUUGCAGCUCCAGAAAAAUUUAUCUCAUAGCCAAAACCUACUGUCGAACACCUGCAAUGCAUGGUCACUGUCAAUUUUCAGUAAGUUCAGAGAACACUGCAGUGCUCACUGUCGUUUUCUUCAGAGAUGGGCAUCGAUCUCGCCAGUGCCCUCGCGUCGCCUUGCUCCUCGUCCCCGCCCUCUUGUUCCUGCACCGCACGAGCGCCUGGCACCUUGCGGGCGUCGGCGACGAGCAGCAGAAGGUGCGCCGCCCCGUGACCGACGCCGGCGGCGGCUUUGCGGACGCCAGCGGGAGACACGGCGCCGACGACUCCACCCAGCGCCGCCCAAACCACCGGAGCCCGCCGCGUGGCCUUCCACUCCCCCGAAUGCGCUGCCGCUCUCGUCGUGAACCGCAGGGCGCGGAGCGCGCUCUCUCCCGCCGUUGAGCCCGUGCGCUCACCUCACCGUGGACAGACACCAUUACGCCGGGGCCAGCUCCGUUUAGCAGUGGAACAGCUCCAGUAAUCUCCACUGAUGCUGCCCGACCGCUCAAACCACCUUCCAAUCCACAACUCUGCCGUAAUCGCUCGCCGGAGAUUCUCCGUUCACGGCCACCCCGUCGAUCUGCCUAUAAAUAGAGACCCCGAGGUUCAACUCGAGCACCCACCAGCCCUGCACUUCCCCUAGAGCACGCCUAGCCACUGGUAGAGCCCCGAGGAGGUCUCCUUCCUCGACUCCGACCGCCGCGACCCGCCACGGGAUCCAGCCCGAUUCGCCCCCGUGUGUGCUCCUCCGCCUCCAUUCUCUUGCCAGUAGCUUCACCUUGCAUCUCUCGGUCUGACCCGCACUUCAGUUUGAAGCUUGCAGCCCUCCACCGGAGUUCCCCAUCCUCACCCGAACCGCCGUCCGCCGGAGAAAGUGUCGCCGUCGACGUGGUGCUCCCCGUUGGACGAGUCCACCACCCACCGACGCGGAAGAAGGCACUGAAGCUCUUGGUACCCUCCGUUUCUCCUAACUCGCCGUGGUUCGACGCCGGCGUCCACCGCCGUCUUCGGGCACCGGCGAGCCUUUUCAAACCUGACAUGCGGACCCCGCGUGUCAGCCUCUGUUUUAUUUUCCUCGAACCGUUUUCUGUUGGCGCCUCGGGCAAAAUACGCUUUCUCUCUUGCGCUUGCGCAUUUCCAAACGAACCGUUUUCUGUUUUCUCAGUUAAAACCCUGGAACUUUUAUGUUUCAUUACAAAAAGGUCCCUGGACAGAAACCUUUAUAACUUUUUAAUAAAAAGGUAUUUUUGAGUGAUUCUUUUUCUGACAUUCUUAAAAUUUUGUCUAGUUUUUUAUGGGAUUUAUUUGAAAAAUAUUUGGCAAAGUUUCUGUGCAUGUGUUGGUUUUCACGUUAGUACCCGUUUCGUGAUUGCCGUAGGUUCCGGGAGACGUGACGGAGCCACGAACUUCGCCGAGCUAGACUCCGACUUCUCCGAACCAGGCAAGCAUGUUUUGAACAUUUGAUAUGACAGGUGUUUUGCAUGUUUGCGUGAAAGUUGGUGCGUGGCAUAUGAGUGUCGGUAAAUACCUUGUUGCUUGUGAGGCAACUACCCGGUUGUUCCAAAGUUGUGAUGAUCUCUGAUGAGAGAUGGCCUAAUCAUGUGGUGACAUGAAGGGCGGCAAGGUGGUACUGUUGUAGCAUACCAGCCUUGCGUCAUCCGACUUUUCCGACGUUAACGUGGUUGGAGCCACGUUAUCGUUUCUUUUCCGCAUGUUCCAAAGUUGUGAUGAUCUCUGAUGAGAGAUGGCCUAAUCAUGUGGUGACAUGAAGGGCAGCAAGGUGGUACUGUUGUAGCAUGCCAGCCUUGCGUCAUCCGACUUUCCCCCGACGUUAACGUGGUUGGAGCCGCGUUACCGUCCUUUCCCCUUUCCGUGCUACCACAUGUCUCAUUGCCAGGGAUGCGGUUUAGUAAGUUGGUAACCUCUUUCCGUGUACACACCAAACAGAGAGGCCGGGAUGAUGGUACCUUGGCCCAGGAUUAAAGCCAGUCAUCCGGUCAGGGGGCAUGGGUGUUUCCGGUUGGGACCGAGAGGGGGGGCACCCCCUUAUAGCGCGCGUAUAGAAAUUUGAUCCCAUGCUACGCGAGGUUGUAGCCUCCCCGUCUCAAGGUUUUUCUUGAACGAUGCCGAGGGUGAUCCCUGGCUUCGGAUGGUCAAAUUGGGUGUGUACUGGUUAGACGUGUUUCUUCCAAAACACCGCAGACGGAACUAGUCCUCGUGACUACUGAAAUCCGUUGGCUGUGGUUAAGUACAAACUCUGCAGAGUCAAUUCUUUCCAUAUCAUCGUAUCCAUGAUCAAAAUGAAAGCAUUAUAUCCAUAUCUAUCCGCGUGGAAAACUUGUCCCCGGUGAACCAGCUCAAGUGGUAAAAUUCAGUUUUAAUGUUAUUCCUGUGGAUGGACCAACCCUAUAUUUGUUUCUUGCUCGUGAUAAAUUAUGUUCUCAAACUAUUGUAUUAUUGAGCUGUGAUAUAAGCCCUUUAUGUGAUGUCGCGCAGACGUCCGACUGUGGCGUGUUUUUACUUCUUACAUUAUAUAUAAGCCCUUUUUGCGACGUCGCUCAGACGUCCGACUGUGGCAAGCACUGUCUUUAUUCUCUGUUAUAAGCCCUUUCUGUGGUGUCGCCUCGACGCCCGACUGUGGCAUUAUUAAUUCCGCAUUUUCCGCUCGAGGAGUCUUUCAGACACUCGUUUGGCACCAGUAUUAUUAUUCCGCAUUUUCCGCUCGAGGAGUCUUUCAGACACUCGUUUGGCACCAGUAUUAUUAUUCCGCAUUUUCCGCUCGAGGAGUCUUUCAGACACUCGUUUGGCACCAGAAUUAUUAUUCCGCAUUUUCCGCUCGAGGAGUCAUUCAGACCCUCGCUUGGCACCCAGUAUUUAUUACCUCUAUGUCUGAUCGUACUGGUUAGCUUAUUCAUGCAUUUCAUGUUCGCAUUUGUUAUACCUUAUGUCCGAACUGUCUUGCGAGUACUUUCAUAGUACUCACCUGGCUUGUUGAUUUGGCCAGAUGUUGACGAAGGCGAUCUCUUGGAUGAAGAGUUCGAUAGCGCGUCCGAUGCCUAGAGGAGUCCCAGUCAGUCCUGCGCGAUCCCGGAUUUUGGUCACUUGCUUUGUUUACGCUUCCGCCACCCGCAAUAAGUCUUCUCGAGCCUCACUCCGACGCUCGAAGAGCUGUAGUCUUCUGGAGUCAUAUCGCUCGCCCCGCGGUGAUACCUCCACCAUCAUUUUUAUCGUGAGUUAGUAGUUUGCCACCCUAUCCGCCGUUUUGUUUUAUCGGCGUGCAUGUAAUAAAUUGUUGGGCAGUCUCUGCUCAACCUUGUAUUAUAUUUAGUACUCCUGGUAUUUUUCUUCUGUGACCAAUAUAUUGUCUAUCAGUGAGAAGGAAUUCUUCCUCGCUGGUCCGUAACAGGGAUUGGUUUCUCAAUAAUUAUUUUAUUGAAAAACCGGUCGUGACAGCCAUCGCUACUAGGAAGCUUGAAGGGGUUAACGGGACAAGGAACACGAGGGUUUAUACUGGUCCGGCCCCUUACGGUGAAGGUAAAAGCCUACGUCCAGUUGAGGUGGUAUUGAUUAGGGUUUCAAUGACCAGGGAGCUUAACUGCUAUGCCUGGCUCACGAUGAGAUCUUUCUUGUCCCUAAACCGCUGCCGGGUCGUCCCUUUAUAUAGGGAGGCUGACGCCCAGCAGCUCUCAGAGUCCCGGCCGGCUCAUACAAGUGUCCGGCUCGGACUCUCAACUAUCCUUGCCUUACACCACAAGUUUUACUAUAAUGAUGAUACAACUACGGGCCUUAAGCCAUGUCCGGGUCUUAAGCCCAUCUUUGGCCCACCGUCUUCAAGCUUGUCGUUGGGCUUCUGGCGAUGACCAUUAGAGUAACCCGGCCCCUUCUGGCGGGUGACUCUAAGGUCUAUAUCCUCAACAGCUUUGCUGGUCUUGUUUUACCAUUGUCGAAAUGUCUUGUAAACCGGGAUUCCGAGACUGAUCAGGUCUUUCUGGGAGAAGGUUUAUCCUUCGUUGACCGUGAGAGCUUACGAUGGGCUAAGUUGGGACACCCCUGCAGGGUAUUAUCUUUCGAAAGCCGUGCCCGCGGUUAUGAGGCAGAUGGGAAUUUGUUAAUGUCCGGUUGUAGAGAACUUGUCACUUGACUUAAUUAAAAUACAUCAACUGUGUGUGUAGCCAUGAUGGUCUCUUCUCGGCGGAGUCCGGGAAGUGAACACGGUUUGAGUUAUGCAUGAGCGUAAGUAGUUUCAGGAUCACUUCUUGAUCAUUUCUAGAUUCGUGACCGUUGCGUUGCUUCUCUUCUCGCUCUCAUUUGCGUAUGUUAGCCACCAUAUAUGCUUAGUGCCUGCUGCAGCUCCACCUCAUUACACCAUCCUUUCCUAUAAGCUUAAAUAGUCUUGAUCUCGCGGGUGUGAGAUUGCUGAGUCCUCGUGACUCACAGAUUCUAUCAAAAAAGUUGCAGGUGCCAACGAUGCCAGUGCAGAUGACGCAACCGAGCUCAAGUGGGAGUUCGAUGAGGAACGUGGUCGUUACUAUGUGUCUUUUCCUGAUGAUCAGUAGUGGAGCCCAGUUGGGACGAUGGGGGAUCUAGCAUUUGGGGUUAUCUUAUUUUCAUUUGGAUUUUGACCAUAGUCGGUCUAUGUGUGAAUUUUUGGAUGAUGUAUGAACUAUAUUUAUGUAUUGUGUGAAGUGGCGAUUGUAAGCCAACUCUCGUUAUCCCAUUCUUGUUCAUUACAUGGGAUUGUGUAAAGAUGACCCUUCUUGCGACAAAACCACAAUGCGGUUAUGCCUCUAAGUCGUGCCCCGACACGUGGGAGAUAUAGCCGCAUCGUGGGUGUUACAUAGCACUACUGGAAGAGAUUGACGAGUUGGGGGAGGACAGCUAGCUGUAGCACGGACUCCCAAGAACUUUUUACAUGCAUGUUGUAGCCGGCUAUUGUGACCUUUGAACGCGGAGCAGCCGCGUGCACCCGGAAGCGGCGCGGGCGACGCUCUCUCGGACGGCGCGCCGCUUCAAUGCCGGCGCCAGUGAGAGGUCGCGUCCGCUCUGGCCGGGCAUGAAUGCGGCACUGACCGUUUCAGGCGGGAAGCAGGCGCGGGUGAUGAAGAGGGUUCGGGUUGGUCAGGACCGGCCGUGGCAGCGGUCCGGACGUGCGCAAACAAGAGAUGUUGUACAUUAAUAUUGUUGCGUAUAUAAUUAACAACGUAAAUAAUGUGCCAGUUGGACAAAUAUGAUUGGAGAUGGAGAUGGAAAUGGAAUUUUACGUAAACACGGAUAUGCAUGUCUAUGUCUAUGUGUGUGUGCGCGACGACUCUCGCGACCUGGAAGCGGGGGCGUGUUUUUGAUCGAGUUUUUCUUUCUUGGUACGUUAGAAAAUCAGUUUGUCUAAUUCACAUCUAGAUGUUAUUUAAGGAUAUCACAUCUAAGCUCCCACAAGUAUAUAAUGUAGCAACAAGAAACAAAAAAACUAGGAAAAAAAUAGACCACAAACAGAGUGGACAUCAACUUAGAUGUGACAUAACUAUGUCACAUCUAGAUGUGUCCUAGACAGACCCUUAAAAAAUUGUCCGCCAGUUUUCGUUUCUUUUUUCCGGGAACGCGCGUAUUCUAUUUAAAACCACUGCUAUGGAGAGAUUUUUUUACUCCAUUAUAGCCUCUUGUUUGAUAGAGUUUCUCGCGUCUCGCUCUCUCACCCUCUCCAUAUAUGUUACACGCUGGAGGCUCAGCGUUCAUUUGCUAGGGUUUACUAUAUUCACCGUCUCUCACCCUCUCUUCACCAGAUCUAAACAAGACUGCGUUGGCCUCUUGUCUCUCUCUCCCCCCUCACAGCUGGUGAAGGAGGCGUCCGUAUCCCGUCGCACCGGAAAGGGGAGGACGUGCAGCGUUCACUCUAUCGCCUUCGGCGAGGGAGGCAAUCCACUGCCGGCUGCGCUGUUCUCUUUCACCCAGCGCCUGUGCGGGAGGGCCACCGACCCCUUCUUCCUCGCUGUCGUACGUAGUGUGGGCAGAUCCGGCCUCCCGCCGCACGCCUUGCCACAUCCCGAUGACCCUAAGGUAUAAGUUUCUUUGAAACCGUCGUUGCUCUAGCUGCAUGUGGAUCUUUUUUGAUCUGUAGUCGAAUCUAGGUCUUGGUUCAAAGAGGAAAGAAGGGUGCGGUGGGCUGGAGCAAGAAUCUAGGACGUGGUUCAAUGAGGAAAGGAUGGGCGGAAAGUAGUAUAGACUGGCUAUCCAGCCGCUUUGUAGGUCGAAAAGGGAAAAAGGGGGUAACCCAGUACACACAUCUGUAAGGAACCGAUCUCUUUGUUGAAAAGGGAAAGAAACUGGGGGGUCGGGUAGUUUGUGCAGGACUAGAUUUGCUGCCCUCACAUAGGAAGAAGGUUCAAAGAGAACAAAUAUGGGACCAGCGCAUAUAUGCUGCUUGGCUACAUACUCUGCAUCACCCAUUUAUACGUGUGGACGCACAUGGUGCUGGCAUGUCCCAUACAGCUAUUUUGCUGUUGUUAAUCUAAGAAUGCCGCCGGAAAAUUGAAGCAAUGCCACUGUUAAAAGUAAAUUACAUUUUUUAACGAAUGUUGUUUCAAGAAAAUGUCUCUGUUAAUAUGAAUCAAUGCAACCGUUUUAGAAAUGCUACUGUCCUACUUUGUUUUCCAUCCAAGAUAAGUUAGAUGCUUCUUUCUGUCACCGUUUGUUUCAUCCUCCUUUAUCGGCAAGUAAUUGUUUCCUUUUUUGCCUCUGUUAAAACAGGGCUAUCGAUUCAACUUGUUGCUAUUGCAACAUUUUGCUUCGCUACUCGAAACACUUAUGUUUUAAGAGUGUUUUGUGCAGUUCAACUUGAAUGUCACACCGGUGACUUUGCUUAAUUUUGGUGGAACUGCACAAAAGGAGAUCGAGAUUUGUUUCCAGUCUUCGUGGCAAGUUGUUUCAAAUCUUGGUCUCAACCACAUGAUGUGCAGUGUGCUUUGAGAUGUAGUGCUACUUGUUUUGGUACUGUUUUAAAUAAAUGUUGAAUUGAAGCUAUUGUAUUGCUGUCUUUUCCCAUUAAGUAGUGAACAAAAAUGGGACCAACCCAGACAUGAUGCUUGUUGCUUUGUUACAACAAACUCUGCAUCACCCCCUUUAUAAGUAGAUGGAAGCACAUACUAUUGUUGCGCCCACUCUCCCCUGGAACUGUUUAUGCUUUUCGUUAAUCUAAUGCCGCUGGUAAAAUUAAGCAAUGCCACUCUCAGAAUUAAUUAACUACUGAAUCUUAGUUCAAAACUGCAACACUUGUUAGGAAUGGUACUAUCCUGCUUUGUAGUUCUUUCUACAUGUUUAACCAAGGUAUUGUUAAGAUAAUGUCUUUGUUAAAAUGAAUCAGUUGCAUUGUUUUAGGAAUGGUACUUUUCUGCUUUGUCGUUCUUUAUACAUGUUGAAACAAGGCAUUGUUAAGAUAAUGUCUCAGUCAAUAUGAAUGAAUCACACUGAUGGAGAAUUGCUACUCUCCUGCUUUGUUUCCCAUUAAGAUAAAGUAGAUCAGUAGAUGCUUUUCUUCUGGGAGUACAAGUCAUCAACAGUUAUUUCUCAGUAAUUGUUUCCCUUAUACCUAUUGUUGCUUACAGGGAUAUCAAAAUUAAAGCUCGGUUUUAUUCCGACUUCGAUUUUAGUUGAACUGCACAAAAGGAGCCAAUGUGUCCAAGGCAAACUGCUGCAUUACUGGGUCCAGUUGGUCGUUCCACUUUGCAGAAAGAAGCAGUCACUGUUUGCGCUACAUUACAGAAGGAAUGACCGAGAAGCUUUACAGAGUAUUAUUAGACACCGGUGACAUGACUAGUCUACAGAGACCAUUGGCAAUUUAACAACACGUGGAGUGCCCUCGGCAAAAAGUGCCCAAACAAGUACAAGAAGCUACUACAGGACUCCACGAUCAUAGGCAUUACAUAUUUUGAAUGGGAAAAGCUUGUCAAAGUUUAAUCAUUGAUGUUAGCAAGAAGACGUUAGUUUAAUAUAUUGGAAUUGGAAAACCUUGUCAAAAUUUGCUCAUUGAUGUUAGCCAGAAGACAUGCAUUUGAUAUUUUUGAGUGGGACGCCCUUGCUGUGAGCAGCGUCGAGUGUUUUUUCCUAUUCCUGUGUUCAAUUUAGAAGUAAAUAGUUACUCUGCAGAGAUAUUCCUGUGUUAAGAGUUUGUUCUGAAUAUUGUCUAUGUAAUGCCAGACCUUGUGUUUGAUUGCAAAGUUGAGCUUGGAAUGUUGUGGCAUGCGGCAUCACGAGCUGUUCACCGUGCCUCCUGAGAAUAAUGCUUCGUAUUGUUUUGCAUGUCGAUCUAAUGCCAGUGAUUUGCUUGUUAAGAAGAUCAUCCUCUUCUAUUGUUUCCGUGCUUAAGAAGUUCAUCGUCUGAUGUUUCAUGCAUAGCCUAUACGACAAGUCGGGUAGGUUAGACGUGAAACCAUAUGAUCUUCCGACCAACUCAUGAUAUUAGGCCGUGAUUGGAUCGUCGUUUUGCAACCAAAACCGCUUGUAAAACUGACGCUUGUAAAUUAAAGCAGAUGGUCUCGGGCGAAGGCGCUUGGUUGGUCGAUUUCGACUAGUAAAAUAUCGGAAGUACUUCACACACGAUAAAAACGCUGAACGACACUCGGACGAUUGCUAAUCCAGCCGUUAGCUGUUGUUUCAGCCUUGCCCAUGGAUGGCAUGAUACGCACGUCGUGCAUGUAUCGUUUGGUAAUGUCGUCCAUAUAGCAGUGCUCGUAAAAUAUACACUGGUCUCUCCAAUUACACGCGUAACCCGCCGGUUUUACUUACAGACCUCGGGCCCUCGGUUUCAUUACGCCUAUAUUUUACGCGUUGUUUCCGAUGACGAGUAAAUUACACUUGUAUGUUAAUACAGGUUUGAAAUAAACCAGAGCUCCCAAGUGCGGCCUUACCGUUUCAUGUCGUCUCAGUUUCUCGAAGGUGCUCAUAGGUGUCCGAUGAUCCUGGCUUCCUGAAUGAGCAGCGGGCGCUGUAUCAGACCAUCAGUAUGGCCCGCGAGGCCCUCUCCGUUGUCCUUCGAGUUGUUGCGCUCGCCGUGGCGCCGAGCAUUGUUAACAUCGUCAACGAACAUGAGGACUCAGGAGAUGACUUUAUUUUGACUGGAUGACACUAGGGACCCACUAGGGCCAUAGCCGUACGUACGCAAGUGCCUCCUUAUUAUGUACAACUAUAUUUUUUUUUGCUUUCUCCUGGUUUCCUGACAUCACGGUCACACACCAUUGUCAACCUAUGUAGUCACUAUAAACGAGAGAAUUGCACAAGGUGCGGCCGACAGCUGGGACCAAGCAGCUCGAGCAGUAUUUGUGUUUUGGAGGCGUGAGCACUGCAGAGUUUUUCUUGGCGAUGAUUUCGUUGUUGUUCAGAGGAGAGCAGGGUAUUAACUGGGCGGGCUGUGGCCCGUCUAGCCCAGGCCAGAUAUCCAGCCCAGAUACUAUUUUUUUCAAGAUGAAAAUGGCUAGCCCAGCUAUACGUCUUUUUGAGGAAUACCCAGGCAAGGUCAACUUGUUAUUCUCCGCCCCGCUGGGCUGGAAAUCUUUCCUAGGAGGGAUGCAUUAGGCUUAACAGGAAAACAGACUUUAAAAAUAAUAAAUGGGAUGUAAUUAUAAAAACUGGGCAGUAACUAUAAAAAAUGCACCAAACACGAAAUUAGUUUAUAAAAUAUUAUUUAUGGAUUUUGAAAAUCUUAAAUUUUCAUUGUUGCGCGCGCAAUGUUUCGUUGGAUUUUUACGUAAUACAAAUUUAUAUUUAAUCUAACUAGAAAUUUCGGGAUAAAAAUAUUUCGGAUCCCAUCAAAAUGUGGGAAAUUUUAUUGAAUUAUGUCUUCAACGGUUGGUUGAAAUUAUUAAUCGUUGUCCUAGCUAGAAAAUGGGAUGUACUUUUAACAAACUGUAAAUGAGCUGUUGUAAAUUUCAUUAGAAUUCAAAAAUGGGCUGUACAUUCUUACAAAAUGCAAAUGGGCUAUAAGUUCUCUGCCACACACUUGUGGGCCUACUAAGUAACGCGUCCCCUAAAAAAAUAAGUUGACGCGUAUGCAAGGCUUUGUCAGCUUAUUAUAGUCAACACACGAUUCUAGAAGCAGUGGCCGUUGGAUGUCUAUCCAACGGAUGUCGUGCUUCUUCUUCAAUCUCGGAUAUUCUUAGCUUCGGCCGCCCAAAAAAUGAUUCCUCCCCCUGACAUCUGGGGCGCACCGUUUCAGAGGCUGACCUGUGGGCCUACUAAGUUGGAGCGUACCAAGGGCUUUGUCAACUUAGUCAAUAUAAACAAUUCUAGCUUCAGUGACCGUACGAUGUCCAUCCAACGGCCGUAGUGCUUCUUCAACCUCUGGUCUUCUUGGUCCAGCCGCCCAAAGCAGCGCCGGUCAUGCCGCCUGCUCCUGCCUCCCGUGGCCGGCUGUGCUGCCGCGGAGGCCUCACCGCCCCCAUACUACUCCCGCCGCUGGCCAGGCCAUCCCUCCACUCACCCACACCCUCUGUUAUUCUGUGGCGACGGCAGCCUCACACCGCAGCCGAACCAGUGAACCCUCGUACUCCUCUCCGCGCGGGCUUCCACUGCUGCGCCUUCCCCGGCUCCGCGUCGUCCCCUUCCUAGGCCUCGCUGUCGUCCACCGCCCUGGUGCUCUCGGCACGGCGUGGUCAACGUGGUCAAUGACCGACUUCCAUCGGAAGAGUACUGUACGUGGAGAGGCUGACAGCUGGGUCCCCGGCGGCUGCAAGGAAGUGCCUCCUUAUUACGCGCAAAAUAAUUAUUCCUCCACCUGACAGCGAGGACCCACCGGACGGGCCACCUUAUUUCACGAAAAAACGUUUCCCCCCUGACUGCUGGGUCCCACCGGACGGGCCACCGUAUUUCGCGAAAAAACGUUCCCCCCGCUGUCAGCUCGGACCCACCGGAAGUGCCUCCUUAUUACACACAAAAAAAUGAAUACUCCCCCUGCUAGCUGGGACCCACCUUGGUGGGAGGCUGACUUGUGGACCUACUAAGUUGACGGGGAUGGAGGGCUUUGUCAACUUAGUCAAUAUGAACGAUUCUAGCUCCAGUGACCGUACGAUGUCCAUCCAACGGCCGUAGUGCUUCUUCAACCUCUGGUCUUCUUGCUCCAGCCGCCCAAAGCAGCGUCGGUCGUGCCGCCUGCUCCUGCCUCCCGUGGCCAGCUGUGCUGCCGCGGAGGCCUCACCGCCCCCUACUAUUCCCACUGCUGGCUAGGCCCUGCGGCGACGGCAGCCUCACACCGCAGCUGAACGAGUGAACCCUCAUACUCCUCUCCGCGUGGGCAUCCACUGCCGCGUAUUCACCGGCUCCGCGUCGUCCCCUUCCUAGGCCUCGCCGUCGGCCACCGCCCUGGUGCUCUCGGCGCGGCGUGGUCAACGUGGUCAAGGAACGACUUCCAUCGGACGUGGACUGUACGUGGAGAGGCUGACAGCUGGGUCCACGGCGGCAGCAAGGAAGUGCCUCCUUAUUACGCGGAAAAUAAUGAUUCCUCCACCUGACAGCAGGGACCCACCGGACGGGCCACCGUAUUUCGCGAAAAAAACGUUUCCCCCCUGACUGCUGGUACCCACCAGCUACACCUUCGCACGCAAGGAAGUGCGUCCGGGCAAAAAAAACGAUUCGCCCCCCUGACUGCUGGGACCCACCAGCUACAUCUUCGCACGCAAGGAAGUGCAUCCAGGCAAAAAAAACCAAAACGAUUCGCCCCCCUGACUGCUGGGACCCACCAGCUACAUCUUUGCAGGCAAGGAAGUGCCUGACAGUCGGGACCCACCUGGUCGAAGCGUACGUAGUGUUGUCAUUCUGGUCGCGAACGUGUACGUACAUAUAUACUGGUCGAUGUAGAGGCGCGCACGUGUCGUAGUAGAGGCGCGUACGUGUCGUAGUAGAGGCGCGCACGUAGCAUGUACACGUACGUACAGCGGCCAGAGUGCAAGAAAGAAAAUACGGCCACGUACGUACAUACGGGCAGGGUCUCGAACGCCUACUCGCGCAUACGUACGGCGAGGGCUCGUGUACAUGGCUGGGUCGGAAUGGAGAAACAGCGUCGUCGUCGUGUUCAUGGGGAGGUAACGGAAUGCGUCGUGUUCAUGGGGAGGCAAUGGAAUGCGUCGUGUUCAUGGGGAGGGGUGUGGCGUACCGCAAAACGGAGGAAACGGACCUCCUACGGUCGAAACGGGGGUCCUGUUGAUCGGGAGGAGUGUGGCGUACCGCAAAACGGAGGAAACAGACCUCCUACGGUCGAAACGGGGGUCCUGUUGAUCGGGAGGGGUGUGGCGUACCGCAAAACGGAGGAAACGGACCUCCUACAGUCGNNNNNNNNNNNNNNNNNNNNNNNNNNNNNNNNNNNNNNNNNNNNNNNNNNNNNNNNNNNNNNNNNNNNNNNUGGCGUACCGCAAAACGGACGAAACGGACCUCCUACGGUCGAAACGGGGGUCCUGUUGAUCGGGAGGGGUGUGGCGUACCGCAAAAUGGACGAAACGGACCUCCUACGGUCGAAACGGGGGUCAUGUUCAUCGGGAGGGGUGUGGCGUACCGCAAAACGGGACUCCACGGGAUACUGUUCAUCUCCACCGUCGACCUCCUCCAGCCUCCACGGGCUCCUGUUCAUCCAGCCUCCACCGCGCGCUACUCCACUGGCUACUGUUCAACCACCCCUCCACGGGCACCCCUCCACCAUCUACUGUUCAUCGAGNNNNNNNNNNNNNNNNNNNNNNNNNNNNNNNNNNNNNNNNNNNNNNNNNNNNNNNNNNNNNNNNNNNNNNNNNNNNNNNNNNNNNNNNNNNNNNNNNNNNNNNNNNNNNNNNNNNNNNNNNNNNNNNNNNNNNNNNNNNNNNNNNNNNNNNNNNNNNNNNNNNNNNNNNNNNNNNNNNNNNNNNNNNNNNNNNNNNNNNNNNNNNNNNNNNNNNNNNNNNNNNNNNNNNNNNNNNNNNNNNNNNNNNNNNNNNNNNNNNNNNNNNNNNNNNNNNNNNNNNNNNNNNNNNNNNNNNNNNNNNNNNNNNNNNNNNNNNNNNNNNACUGUUCAUCCAAUCGAUCGGCUUCAGUUAGCAGCAGUAGCGAAGGAAUCGCUCGAUCAGGUUCUGUUCAGGAUAUAACCAUUAGAGUCACCCACCCAGGAGGGGCCGGGUUACGUCAUAAUGAUCAUCACGUGAAGCCCAGUACCAAGCUUGAGGAUGGCGCGUCAGUAAUGGGCUUAAGACCCGGAGGCGGCUUAAGGCCCGUAGUGAUAAACCGCCGUUAUGGCAAGACUUGUAGUGUAAGGCAAGAAUAGUUAAGAGUCCGAGCCGGACACUGUUAUAAGCCGGCCGGGACUCUGAGAGCCGCGGGGGGUCAGCCUCUCUAUAUAAAGGGACGACCCGGCGGCGGUUCAGGACAGGUAAGAUCAGAUCGAUAACCAGGCAGAGCGGUUUAGCUCCUGGUCAUCGAAACCCUAAGUAAUACCAUCUCAACUGGACGUAGGCUUUUACCUUCACCGUAAGGGGCCGAACCAGUAUCAUCCUUGUGUCCCUUGUCCCGUUUAACGCCUUUAAGCUUCCCAACUGCGAUGGCUCCACGACUAAGUCCUUGCACGAGGACAUCUGCCGUGACAAUCCCACGACAGUUGGCGCCCACCGUGGGGCCAGCGCACGGUGGAUUUGAGUUCUUGAAGGGCAGCUUCGAAGGGCUCAAGGGAUACGUUGUGGGCCGGAUGACCAAGAGUCGUCGCGGCAAGCUUUACAUCGACGAUGCGAGCUAGGGCCCCAACGCCGGCUCAAUCGAGUACGGGUACCGGGUCCCCUUCGGCGGAAUCCACGUUUUCAUUGGCAAGAUUGGCGAGCCGGGCCCUGAGCCGGACCUCUGCGCCGACCUCAUCGAGACGGCUCAGCGUGCGAGACCCGCCCGGACUCUGCCUGCCUUGAAACGUGCUUUUGUGGGAUGCGUCCAUGGAGAACUCUCGGAAGGAUCUGGAUCUGACAAUGAGACGGCCGCUCGCUCUGACGGUGAGUCGUCCACGGAUGAGACCGACUCGUUAUACUAGCUUCAAGAUGGCGGGCUCAGGGGUUGUUCCGAUGGUGACAGUAUUCCGGAUCCCUUUGAGCCGCCCAGCCGGGUUGGAAUCUUCAUGGCCAGCGCACAACCUGUUCAAAACUCCGCCACUGGGGCAGGAGGCCCUGUGCACUCGCCGGCUCAGGCGCUGAUGGAUCUCACAGACAAGAUGACGGCCCUGUUAACUGCUAUGAUCGCCCCAGCGGAUCAGGCUCAACAUGAUGCGGAGAUAGCACAGUUAAAGCUGGACAUAGCAAGAGCCAAGGAAGAUCUGGCAGCGGAAGGGAUCAGGAUGGCUGCGGAACGGGCGGCUCUUGACGCCCAGACUCAGCUGAUUCAGGCACAAUCUUUCCGGCUCACGAUGGAUCAGAACGCAUCCAAUGAGAUCAUGAGAAGGAGGCAUCAGAAGGCUCAAUCUCGACUCCCUUCGGUUUAUGACCCUCGAAACCUCUUCAACACGCCUGGUGCAGGACCCAGUAACCCGCUGGAGAUCAUGGCACCCGGGGCUGGAAUGCCGAUUCAGCCACAAGUAAUGGGGCCUCCCGUGUGAGCACUGCCCCGCCCCAGUACGUGCCAAUACCGCCAGGUCAUUAUGCCAACCCAUUGGAAAACAUGAUCGCCGCGGCAGCGCGACUGGCGGCUCUCCCAAUCGAUGGUGACUCUCCAACGACGGUCGAAACCCGCCGGGUCAGAGAACUUCUUCAGACGGCUCUGGCGCAACAGGAGGCAUACUCGUAUAGCCGGGACAGGAUUCAUUCAACCCCUCGUCCAGACCGGAGCCCCAGUUAUAGCAGGCACAUGGUUUCAGCGAUCGGCUCAAGCAACGUCCGGCGCCGUGACUUGCCAGCUGGCCAUGACCCGGCACAUAAUGAAGCCGUUAACGUGAUAGACCAUGACAGAGCACGGCAAGAGCCUCAGUUGACAGCUUACCAGCCCCUCCCGGCUUAUCCGACGGUUUCUGUCGAUGCGGGUGUACCUACGAGGGCUGGAGGUGUCCCUUGUCUGGUGCCGGCUCUCCGUAACGUCUGCUCAAGGAUUUCAAAGGACCUAGGAAGGUACCUAAUUACACGGCUGAUUUACAACCUGGAGCAUGGAUUGAGAGCUACGAGAUGGCUAUGGAGCUACUAGAGGUUAGUGAAGUGGCGAUGGCCAAAUACUUCACCAUGAUGUUGGAUGGGACUGCCCGCACUUGGUUGAAAGGACUGCCACCUAAUUCCAUCGGGUCAUGGGCCGAGCUAAAAGCCCGGUUCAUCCAAAACUUCAAAGAUACAUGUAGGCAAUCUAUGUCAAUUGUGGAUUUGACUAACUGCAAGCAGCAAGAGGGCGAGUCUACAACCCAUUGGGUUCGCCGGGUCAAAGAGAUAAUACACUCAUCUGAUAAGAUGGAUGCCGGCUCUGCAGUCUUAAUGUUGGAGUAGAAUUGUCGUUUCGCGCCCCUGAAGAUGAAGCUCGGGCGGCUCAAGCGCGAUUGCAAUGAUAUGGGUACGCUGAUGGCGGCUCUGGUCAAGUACGCCAACUCUGAUAGUACCAAGGAUCCCGCGUCGGAUGAUGAAAGGACAGGGAAGGGAAAACGGAAUGGCAAUGGCAAGGGCCCUCAGCAUAACCCGGCGAACCAGGGAAGUAACAAGCGUAAGGCUGAUGGCAGUGUGGAAUUUGUGGCCAACACCAAUGCGCAAGGUAACAACCACCGACAUAAAGGGAGACCACCUCCCCGAGCUGGCGGGUCAGGCCCGACGCUUGAGCAGUUGUUGAAUGAGCCCUGCCCAAGGCACGGCUCUAGGGAUAAGCCGGUCACUCAUCUGUGGAAAGACUGCGCAAUCAUGAAAGCCUUCAAAAAUUCCAACGCUUUUAAUGGCAGCAAUGGGUCGGGCGGCGGCUCAGGAGCUGGCGGCUUUCAUGGCCCGGGCGGCGGCUCAAAUUCCAAUUCUCAGAAUUUUCAAGGGGGCUUUAAUCAGCAGUCUGGCCAGGGUAAUCAAUAGCCGCAGUAGGGAGGAUACCAGACCAAUCCAAAGCAGCUUAAUGGUGGGCAGUAUCAUGUGUUUACUACCAGUCUGUGCAAACAAGACCAGAAGCUUCAUAAGAGGGCAGUAAAUGCUGUUGAGCCGGCGGUUCCCCGUUAUUUGAGAUGGUCUGAACAGCCUAUUGUGUGGAGUACGGAAGAUCACCCUCCCCGGGUUGAUAAUCUGGGUCACCUGGCCUUGGUGGUGGCUCCUCAGGUUGGAGGAUACAAAUUCACUAAAGUGCUCAUGGACGGAGGCAGCAGCAUCAACAUCCUCUAUUAUGAGACCUUCCGUCGCAUGGGACUAACUGAUAAAAGCCUCAGCCAGUCCAACACUGUUUUCCAUGGGGUGGUGCCUGGUAAGUCGGCAUACCCAAUCGGUAAGAUCGAGUUGGAAGUGGCCUUUGGAGAUGAGUACAACUACAGAGCGGAAAAACUGACGUUUGAGGUGGUUAAAAUAAGAAGCCCGUACCACGCUCUAUUUGGGCGGCCGGCUUACGCCAAGUUCAUGGCGCGGCCGUGUUACGUGUAUUUGCAGCUCAAGAUGUCGGGUCACAAUGGGACCAUUACGGUUCAUGGCAGCCGAAAGAUAGCCUUGGAAUGUGAGGAGGGUGACGCUGCUUACGCUGAGUCAGUUUGUGCGACAGAGGAAUUGAAGUUUUACAAGGAUAAUGUUGACCCGGCAGAUAUGACGUCUUUGAAAAAGCCAACCACGGAGCAUGAGCCGGUAAUGAAAUUUAAGUCAGCUGAUGAGACUAAACUUGUUGAUUUUGUUCCAGGUGACUCAUCUCAGCAGUUCAGCAUCAGUGCCAAUCGGGAUCCGAAAUUGGAAGGCGCGCUCAUCGAGUUCAUCCGUGAGAACAGGGACAUCUUUGCAUGGAAACCUUCUGACAUGCCGGGUGUACCUAGAGAACUCGCUGAGCACACCCUUAAUAUUGAUCCGAAAUUUAAGCCGGUCAGGCAAUUCCUCCGGCGGUUUAAUGAGGAGAGGCGGAAAGCCAUUGGUGAGGAGGUAGCCCGGCUCUUGGCGGCCGGGUUUAUUGUUGAAGUUUUUCAUCCUGAAUGGUUAGCUAAUCCGGUGCUCGUUCUCAAGAAGAAUGGCACCUGGCGGAUGUGUGUGGACUAUACGGAUCUAAACAAAGCUUGUCCGGCUGAUCCUUUUGCUCUCCCCCGUAUUGACCAAAUUAUUGAUGCUACGGCGGGUUGUGAGCGUUUAAGCUUUUUGGAUGCUUACUCUGGAUACCAUCAGAUCAAAAUGGCAGUUAAGGACCAGGAGAAGACGGUGUUCAUCACUCCUUUUGGAGCCUUCUGUUAUGUGUCUAUGCCCUUUGGGCUCAAGAGUGCACAGGCGACUUACCAGCGUUGCGUGCAGAAUUGUCUUCAUAACCAGAUUGGGCGCAAUGUUCAUGCCUAUGUGGAUGAUAUUGUGGUUAAAUCCAGGGAGAAGGAGACCUUGAUAGAUGAUCUGAGAGAGACCUUUGACAAUCUCCGGGUCUACAAAAUGAUGCUUAACCCGGCCAAGUGUGUUUUUGGUGUUCCCGCAGGCAAGCUCUUGGAUUUUCUGGUUUCUUACAGAGGCAUUGAAGCCAACCCGGAAAAGAUCAAGGCAAUCACCUCUCUGGCUAAGCCGGCGUGCAUAAACGACAUCCAGCGUCUAGCGGGUCGCAUCGCUGCUCUGAGUCGGUUUAUAAGCCGGUUGGGUGAAAAGGCCAUGCCAUUGUACCAGAUGAUGAAGAAAACAGAUGACUUUAUCUGGAAUGAUGCUGCUAAUGCUGCUUUUGAGGACUUGAAAAGACAGCUAGCUGAGCCACCAGUCCUUGCUGCUCCUAUUGACAAGGAGCCUUUACUGCUGUAUGUAGCCGCCAACACACGAGCCAUCAGUGUGGCUGUGGUGGUGGAGCGUAAAGAAGCGGGUAAGGAGUAUCCGGUUCAGCGGCCGGUUUACUACGUCAGCGAAGUACUCAUUGAGUCCAAACAACGAUAUCCACAUUGGCAGAAACUUGUUUAUGGGGUGUUCAUGGCGAGCCGGAAGCUUAAGCAUUAUUUCCAGGGUCACCCUAUCACUGUGGUUAGUUCUGCUCCCCUAGGAGACAUCAUCCAAAACUGAGAGGCCACAGGAAGAGUUGCUAAGUGGGCUAUAGAACUUGGCCUCAUGGUCUAAAAUACGUGCCACGCACUGCUAUCAAGUCUCAAGCAUUAGUGGAUUUCAUCAACGAUUGGACAGAGCUGCAGGUGCCUAAAGAGAAACCAUAUAAUACUUACUGGACUAUUCACUUUGACGGGUCCAGGCAAUUGGAGGGCUCGGGGGCUGGGGUUGUACUAGCUUCCCCUCGAGGUGACAAGUUUUGCUAUGUGCUACGGUUGAUGUUUCCCUGUACUAACAAUGCAGCUGAGUACGAGGCCUUGCUCCAUGGUCUUCGGAUGGCUAAGGAGAUGAGCUUAAGCCGGGUAAGGUGCUUUGGCGACUCAGAUUUAGUGGCCCAACAAGUGUCAGGCAAGUGGGAUUCCAAGGACCCCCUCAUGGCGGCUUAUCGCCGCGAAGUUGAUGCCAUUGCUGGACAUUUUCAGGGGUACCAGGUAGAGCACAUCGAUGUGUGGAAGAACGAGGCGGCUGAUGCAUUGAGCCGGCUGGGCUCUGAGCGAAAGCCGGUGCCGCCUAAUACUUUCUUGGACAUUUUGCAUAACCCUUCUGUUAAGUUGCCUACAGAGGAAGAUUUGGCUGUUCCUGACCCGGAAGCACAGUUAGUGGCGGCCCUCCACGUUAUCCCAGAUUGGACAGUACCAUACUUGGCUUACAUGACCCGGGGAGAAUUGCCUGAGGAUGAAACUUUGGCCAGACAAAUAACCCGGCGGUCUAAGUCAAUGAUAAUUAUCAAUGGCGAGCUGCAUCGUCGUAGUGUCACUGGAACUUUCCAGCGUUGUGUUUCCCCUGAGGAAGGUCAAGAAAGUUUACGUGAGAUUCACGAGGGGGAUUGUGGCCAUCAUGCCGGCUCAAAAUCCCUUGUGGCCAAGGCUUUUCGUCAUGGUUUUUAUUGGCUGACGACUCAUGCUGAUGCAGAGGACUUGGUCAGUAAAUGUGACGGUUGUCAGAGGUUCUCACGACGGGCUCAUGUGCCGGCUCAAGAGUUGAGGAUGAUACCAAUCACUUGGCCAUUUGCGGUCUGGGGGCUUGAUAUGGUUGGGCCUUUUAAAAGGUCCAAGGAUAAGAAGACCCACCUCUUGGUGGCGGUCGAAAAGUUCACAAAGUGGGUUGAGGCAGAGCCAGUUAGUAAGUGUGACGCAGACACAGCGGUUCAGUUCAUGAAAAAGGUGAUAUUUCGCGUUGGUUUUCCACACAGCAUUAUAACUGACAAUGGUACCAAUCUGUCUAAAGGCGCCAUGGAGGAGUUUUGUCAACGAGAGCAUAUUCGGCUCGAUGUUUCAUCAGUGGCUCACCCUCAAUCCAAUGGUCAAGCUGAGAGAGCCAAUCAGGAAAUCUUGAAGGGCAUCAAGCCCCGGCUUUUGGUCCCUUUGCAACGGAGGCCGGGUUGUUGGGUGGAGGAAUUACCCUCCGUGUUAUGGAGCAUCAAUACUACUCCUAACAGGUCUACGGGUUACACGCCUUUCUUCAUGGUUUAUGGAGCGGAAGCGGUCCUCCCUAGCGACAUCCGUCAUGAUUCGCCUCGAGUGGCGGCUUAUGUUGAGGGGGAUAAUGAGCAGGCGCGUCAAGAUACUCUUGACUUGUUGGACGAACAGCGUGAUGUGGCAGCAGCUCGUUCGGCGAUUUACCAACAAGACCUGCGCCGCUAUCACAGCCGCCGGGUUAAGUCCAGGGUCUUUCAGGAAGGUGAUCUGGUGCUCCGGCUCAUCCAAGAUCAAACAGAUGCACACAAGUUAUCCCCGCCUUGGGAAGGGCCCUUUGUGGUCAGCAAGAACUUGCACAAUGGGUCAUACUACCUUAUCGAUGUUCGGGAGCACAAAGAUUCACGUAAGUCGGAAGAGGAAACCCGUCGGCCGUGGAACAUAGCUCAGCUUCGGCCUUAGUACACUUGAGCCACCGGCUCUCAUAAUGUACAUAUUUCUAUAUCCAUGUAUAUAUUAUGAUAAAUAAUAAAGCAGGACCUUUGUCCUUUUUUCCUCCAAAGGUAAAUGUAUUAUUGUUAUUUCCAUUACAACAUUACAUGGUCACUUGGAGGUCGAUCCGGCUUAUGAUCGUAUUCGAAUCUAGCCGUUAACAAUAUGAUCACUUGGUGGCUUCCUGUUCAAACAUAGGUCGUAUCCGAACCAAAAAGAACAUAGCUGUCGAUACCCACUUGAUUGGCAAAUUGCCGAGCUCAUUGGGGAGUUUUUUCUUGAUCAUAUUUGAAUCAUAGCUCAACCCCCUUUGAGAACCGACGUGGAUUGUAUUCGAAUCAGCGUCGUUAAACAACUCUCAAGGUCAUUUGGGGGCUUCCUGUUCAAACAUAGGUCGUAUUCGAACCUAAGAGAACAUAGCUGUCGGUACCCUCUUGAUCGGCAACGCCAAAGCCACUGGGGGCUAUAUGAUCGCAUUCGAAUCUUAGCUUAACCCCUUUGGGAUGGUUCUCUGGUCGUAUUCGAAUCAGAAGCCCCUGUAGUUUUUGAUCUUUUGGUUUGCAACAAGUUCUUUUGAUCAUAUCAAAAGUGUGCACGGGUGGUUCUUAAUCCACCGGCUUAAUUUUGAUUAAUAAUGUUGAUAGCAUACAAUAAGCAUUAUAGGUGCUGGUGAACCGGGGUUGAGUUCUCAACCUCAUUAUUUGGGUUACAUAAACCGGAAGUGUACUUGAAGGCUUGCAGGUAUGCUAUUAUGGUUGUCUCGAAGAUAUAAUUGAGAGCCGGUCUUUUAUGACCUUGAUUCAUAUUACGGGUUAUAUGUAGAAUAUAUGACUCUCCAUGUGGUAAGCUGCCUCGAGACUUGUGAUUUGUUUUCCUAUGCAGGACAAUUAAAGACAGCUCUUUAAGCUUAAGGAAAGUAAAUGAUCAAACAUAACCCGGAGAAAUAUAAAAGAGCAGCUUCAACAGAGUUAAGCGCUGCACACGUGCACACUGGCAUGACAAAAAUUAAGUGUGUCCUACUCUAUUACAGGACUCCCCGAGUCCAAAAGGUGAGGCAUUGUUUUUAAGGCAUAACCAUGAGCCGCCUAAGAAAUCAAGUUGCUUGUUGGGUUGAAGCUCCCGGCUCAUCCCUCUCCGCUCCUCCGGCUGUUUCCAUGACCUGGAAGGUUGAUGAUUUCUAGUCAAUGCCACUCAAGGCUUCAAAUUGAGCCUCAUCAUCAAUUAACCCGGCCGGGUCAACUUCUGGGGCGAAGGUAUGCUUACGAGUCGGAGGGAUCAGGCUGACUGCUUCAUAGCGUGGGGUUGGGAUCCUCUGAUUUUCCGCGUCAUAGCCCGGUUGAUACUUGGUAAGGUCUGUGUCAUUCCCAAUCAAGGUGGCCACCGGGCGCACGCUCUUCACACAGGCGGCGAAGUCUUUCUGGUCAAAGGGGGUGCCGUCUUCCUUCAGGCUGGGGUAUCCAAGAGCGAUGUCGGUCGGGUCUAGCUCCGGUAGAAACGCCUUGGCCCGGCUCAGAGAAGCUAUAGCUCCAGCUCUUGCAGAAGCCCGUCUCAGCUCUUGGAAGCGCUGAGGAAGUACGGCAAGCCGCCUGAGUACAUCCGCCAGGUGAGUGGGAACUUCAUUGGACAGAGCCACAACGGCUAAAGCACGUUGUGACCCGGUGUAAAGUUGCUCCACCAAGGUGUAAACCGCCUUCAGCUUGGUCAACAUGCUCUGGUUGAGAUUGGAGCUCCUGGGACCUGCAUUACGAAGUCAGGUGAGCUGAUGGUAAUUGAGAUAUCUAUGGGAAAUAAACGAUGUAAAAUAGUUGGAAACUUAUGGAGUGACUUACCAAAGAAGGCGGAGACCAUCUGAGAAACAUGGCGUUUUAAGCCGGAUAGCUCGGCGGUUCUUUCAGUAAGGGUAGCCUCCGCUUGUUCGGCCCGGCUGAGCAAAGCAGUUUUUUCGUCUGCCCAGGCUUUCCUUUCUACUUCAAACUUCUUCUUCAGUUUCUCUUGUGCAGAUACACUGAGCUCAAAUUUGGAGUUGGCCUUUUGGGUUUCACUUUCCUGAGUCUUCAGGCGGUUCUUCAGAUCAGAGAUUUCCGACUCAAAUUUCUUACAGAUGGCCUGUGCAAAUUCCGGGUUACAGUUAAGGUGAGUAUAAUGCAAUAUUAAGUCCCAAGAACUUUGCAAGCAAAGACACUUGGCACUUGGGGACUAAUGUAUGCUGAAAGGCUCUAGCUACAGUGCCGGUUCAUGAAAGUAAGUCCCAAGCACUUCGCGGGCAAAGGUACUUGGCACUUGGGGGCUAAUGUAUAAACUUGAUCAGCUACUUGAUUAAUAUAAGGUAAGGAUGCUGUCUAACCCGGCCCUUGAGUGUUAUCAGGUAAGCCGGUUUUCUUACAGUGAUUACUAAGCUGGUAUUAAAGUCUACAACGUAUUUCAUCAUAAGUAAUAGACUUGGGGGCUGGCAUGGUAAGGAUAACUAUGGAGUAAGCAAGAGAAUCGUACCUCAGAUUUUUGCUGGAUUUGCUUCACCAUGUCAAUUUCCAGGUCCCGGUUGUUGUGCACUUGAUUAACGUAGCUGGAGACAAUAUCUCCAAUGCUCAAAUUAGCAUAGUCAGUGAUAUCCAGCCUGGCCCUGCGGCGUUCCAGCAGUUCUUCCUUGGCAGAGCAUCUAGCUAACACAGUGGGUCUUCCCGGCUCGACAAACUCUGUCCGGGUGAUUACAACGUCCGGAUCAUCGGCCGGUUGAGCCGGGCUAGGGAUCUCCGGAUUAUCAGGACCCUCCAUGAUUUGUUCUUCAGAUAGAGCAGUGGUGGGUUCAGGAGCUGAGGCAGACGACGGCUCAUGAGCAGAAGCCUCAUGUUCGGUCAAGACCGGCUCUUCGACCGGUUUACCUUUCUUUGCCCUCUUGCUGGGCUUUGCUUGUGCACUGAAAGUCAAAAGGUUAGUGCAAAAACAUGAGUAAGAUAAGCAGAGAAUAAGCUGAUCAUCAUUACCCGGGUGCGGUCUUGAAAGCCGGCAAGUUAGAUUGCAUGGAGUCACCGGAGGAAGGUGAAGUUUCCUAAUAGUUUGAAUCAGAAGAAUUGAGUGGUUGAUGAGUGACGCCCGCCAGAGGAUGAAAAGGAUAUAAGUCAGAAAUAACCUCGGUCCGGCGCUUCCUUGAUGCUUCAGGUAAGCCGGAGGAGAGGUCUGCAUCCUUGUUGGUCCGGGUUUGCCUCCGGCUCUCAUGAAUCUGUUGCUUCAAAAGAAAUUGAGGAUCUUGAUAAGCUAAAGGAUGUGAAAAUCUUACUUUCCGGGUUACUCUUCGGACUUUCAGUCUUGGCAAGGGCUCAGAGUCGGAGGAAAGUAUAGUUACCUCUUCAAUCACCGGGUUACUCGCUCCGGUAUCCUCCUGCUGAUAAUCAGUGUUAAUAAGAUGGUUAAAAAGAGUCUAAAAGAAUCAAGGGCUACCUCUGACUCGGAGGUGUCUUCCAGGUGAAGCAGGUCCGAGGCGCUAGGCUUACUCCCUUUCUUGCGGGGGGCGGCUCUCCUGGCGGCUUUUUUAGCCCUCCUGGCUUUUUUAGCAGCUUCAUGGUCAUACCUGACCUUUCAGAACUUAUCAUUAGCCUGAAAAACACAACAAAGAUUAGUAAGCUAAGACAAAAUCGUUAAAAUGAAAGGAGAAGCACUCAGGUCAAUGGUUUACCGCAGGAGCCGGGUUAGUCUUGCAGAAAGGGCUUAGGCCCACUCUCCCGCAAUCUGCCAGGCUCUCGUUCAGAAGUGACUUGGUUGUAUCAUCAAUAACAUCUUCAGGUAAGUCCUCUGGACUGUGCCGUAGAGGAUCAUCUUUCCGGCCUGUGUACUCACACAUCAAGCUGGGGCGGCGGCUUAAAGGAAUCACCCGCCAGGCAACCCAGACCCGGACCAGAUCAAUACCAUUUAAGCCGUUUCCCAGAAGAGCUUUGAUUUUGUUGAUAGUGGGUGUAAGUGGUUGACGUUCAGCUUGAGAUAAUUUGUCUGGCAAAGGGUGAUUUGAUUCCAGACGUAGGGCGCGAAAGCCGGGCAGAGGGUUCUCAUCAGCUGGAGAAGUAUCCUGGCAGUAGAACCACGUCUGGUUCCAGUCCUUUGGGUGGCUUGGCGGCUUAGCAUAAGGAAAGAGACAAUCUCUCCGUCGUUGGAUUGAGAUUCCACCAAGUUCCAAGCUAGGCCCGUUGGCGCAUUCAUUCUGGCGGUUCAGGUAAAAUAACUCCCUAAAGAGUAGCAGGCUGGGCUCUUCUCCGAGGUAUGCCUCACAGAACACUUGAAAGUUGCAAAUGUUCAACACGGAGUUGGGUCCUAUGUCUUGAGGUCGCAGAUCGAAAAAGUGCAGAACAUCUCUGAAGAAUUUUGAGCCAGGAGGAGCAAAGCCCCGGCUCAUGUGGUCAGCAAAUAUAACAACUUCUUCGUCCUUUGGCUGAGGUCUCUCUUCGGACGGGUCAGGCGCACGGUAGGACAUGACCUCCUUCUUAGGCAGGUAACCCAUUUUUACGAAGUCAUUUAAGGUGCUUUCAGUAAUGUUGGAUCUCACCCAGUUGCACGUAAUGGGCGCCUUGGGAGCCUUGGGCGGCAUUGUGGAAAAUGGGAGCCUAUGACAAAGGAAAAUUUCCGGUUCAAAUUUAAGCCGGAGAAAGAUUUCAGUUCAGUAUUCAAAAUGGCGGUUUAUGAAGGGGCCUAAUGAUAUAUGACUAAUCGUGUCAGGUUAUUUAAGCCGCCGCGGAUAUUAUAAGCGAUUUAAGUUAUUUAACUCUAUUAUGAGUAAGCCGGAAAUUUCACAAAGCAUGGCCUCUUUUAAGCCGGCGAUAUGAGCCGCCAUGGCUAACAGAUGCAGUUUUUGUCUAAGUGUUGCAUAAACAAGUUUCACAGAUUGCAGAGAUUAUUUUGGAUCAAACGAUCGUCCAGAAAGGAAAAAUUUCUAGACCUAAAAAGUUGAUACAGAGAAGUUCAUAAGCCCUAAAUGAGGUCUUUUUGCGGGCAAAAGGGAUCUACUAGCAUAAAAAUGGGUGAGAAACUACUACCGCAGGGAGUCUGUACCGUUUUUCGAUCAAAGGGAACCUCGGUGGUGGAACUGUGAAGAAAUCGCGAUGAACUACGAAGAACACAGAGAACUCGCGAGCCCUAAUGCGGAUCUAAGGUACGGUACUGCGAGGACUUACUGGUGCUGAUGAGCAGCAGAGGUGCGCCGCAGGUUUCUGGUCAAGACAGGUUGAUGCAGCAGCCUUGGUCGGUGAAGACGAGGUGCGCGGCGGCGGCGGCGGAGCUCGGGCUCUGGAGCAUCAGAGGAGGAAGACGAUGGAGGAGAAGAGUGACGAAGGCUUAUGGGCCGGGCCUACUUAUAAGGGAUGGCUGGUAAAUGGGCGCGAGAAACGAGGAGGCUGAAGACGUGAUUAUCUUGCCGCAGAAACGCCUCGAUUCUCGGGAUGGUCAUUAAGAUAAGAUCCGUUGGGAUAUGGCGGAAUAAAAAAUGAAUUUAAUGGAAGAUGACGUCAUGGCGGGUUACCAAGAAUCCAAAAGAUGACGUCACGGCGGGUUAUAACCUUUGCACAAGCAGAAGCCGGAAGAUUUUGAAGAUUGACAUGAACCGGUUCAAAUCAAUCUGGGGCCUAAUGUUGAGGAUAUAACCAUUAGAGUCACCCGCCCAGGAGGGGCCGGGUUACGUCAUAAUGAUCAUCACGUGAAGCCCAGUACCAAGCUUGAGGAUGGCGCGUCAGUAAUGAGCUUAAGACUCGGAGGCGGCUUAAGGCCCGUAGUGAUAAACCGCCGUUAUGGCAAGACUUGUAGUGUAAGGCAAGAAUAGUUAAGAGCCCGAGCUGGACACUGUUAUAAGCCGGCUGGGACUCUGAGAGCCACGGGGGGUCAGCCUCUCUAUAUAAAGGGACGACCCGGCGGCGGUUCAGGACAGGUAAGAUCAGAUCGAUAGCCAGGCAGAGCGGUUUAGCUCCUGGUCAUCGAAACCCUAAGUAAUACCAUCUCAACUGGACGUAGGCUUUUACCUUCACCGUAAGGGGCCGAACCAGUAUAAUCCUUGUGUCCCUUGUCCCGUUUAACCCCUUUAAGCUUCCCAACUGCGAUGGCUCCACGACUAAGUCCUUGCACGAGGACAUCUGCCGUGACAAUCCCACGACAGGUUCAGUUAACAACCAUCGAUCGAUCGCUCGGGUUCAAUAACGCGUAGCCUGCAGUGCAAUCGCUCGGGUUCAGUUAGAGCCCAACGCCUCGCUCGGGUUCAGUUAGAGCCAACGCCUCGCACACACGCGCGUACGUGUACGAGAGAAACGCGCAUCGCUCGGCCCCCGACCUCCCACCGUAACCGGGAACUCCCCAAAAUUUUCCUCCCCCUCGCUUCUACCACGGUUUUUUUCCGUCAUGGACGGCCCAAAGAAUGUCAUGCAGCUGCAUCUCCGGCCCGCCCAGGACAAAAAGCCCAUUUUCUGUCAUGAUUUUUUGUCAUAGAAGUAGGAGCCCACCACAUCUAUGAUGAUACCGGGUUUUGUCACAAUUAUCGUCAUAGAAGUGUCAUAUGUAUGACAGAAAAAAAAAUCGUUCAGCCCAAAAUGUCACGGAUGUGUCUUUUUUUGUAGUGACAUCUUCUGGUAGUGCGGGUAGUUCUGCUUCGAGGCGGAGCACCUUGCUCAGGUAGUAGACGGGACGCUGGACAGCUUGGACCUUGUCCUUCUCUGGUCGCUCGACCACCAUCACCGUGCUGACCGACCGCGAGAUCGCGGCGAUAUAGAGCAAUAGCGGCUCCUUCUCGGUCGGUGUGGCCAGGACUGGUGCGGUGGAGAGCAUACGCUUGAGAUCCCGGAAAGCCUCGUCCGCCUGGUCGUUCCAUUAGAACGGCAUUGUCUUCUUCAUCAGCUGAUACAGGGGCAAGGCCCUCUCGCCCAGCCGGCUGAGAAACCGGCUGACCGAGGCCAAGCAGCCGGUGAACUUCUGGACAUCGCGUAGCCAAGCCGGCUUGCGCAUGCGCUCGAUGGCCUUGAUUUUCUCCGGGUUUGCCUCAAUGCCGCGCUCCGAGACGAGGAAGCCGAGUAGCUUUCUGGCCGGGACGCCAAAAACGCUCUUCUCCAGGUUGAGCUUGACCUUGUACUCGCGUAGGUUGGCGAAGGUUUCCUUUAGGUCGUCGAGGAGCGUGAGGUGCUGCUUGGUCUUCACCAUGAUGUCGUCCACAUAGACGUGGAUAUUGCAGCCGAGUUGUGGCAGCAAGCAUUUCUGCAUGCAGCGCUGGAAGGUGGCGCCGGCGUUCUUCAAGCCGAACGACAUGGCGAUGUAGCAAUACGGCGUGAUGAAGGAUGUCUUCAGGGCGUCGGCCGGGUCCAGCUUGAUCUGAUGAUAGCCGGAGUAAGCAUCCAGGAAGGACAGGAGCUCGCACCCGGUAGUGGAGUCGAUGACUUGGUCGAUCCGCGGGAGGGUGAACGGGUCUUUGGGGUAGGCCUUGUUCAGGCUGGUGUAGUCGACGCACAUGCGCGAGGUCUUGUUCUUCUUCAGGACGAGGACUGGGUUGGCCAACCACUCGGGGUGAAACACUUCCAUGAUGAAGCCGGCCGCCAAGAGCUUGGCGACCUCUUCACCAAUGGUUCUUCUCUUCUCUUCGGAAAAAUGUCGCAGGGGUUGACGGACAGGCUUGGCAUCCUUGUGGACGUGGAGUUUGUGCUCGGCGUACUUCCUCGAGAUACCCAGCAUGUCCUUUGGGGUCCAUGCGAAAAUAUCCCGAUUCUCACGGAGGAAGUCGACGAGCUCGCCUUCCUAUUUGCUGUCGAGGCGGGUGCCCACGACAACGUACUUGCUGCAGCUGGGGUCUUCCGGGUUCAGCUUCACUUUCUUGGUCUCCUUGGAGGGCUUGAACGAGGCCUCGUCUGCCGGCUCCUUGGCCGGGAUCGGCGCGGCCGACACUUCUUGGGCCAAGGCGACAAUCCGGUCGAGUUGGCGCCGCACCUUGGCUACGACCAGCGACUUGGCCAACUUGGCGCCGUCUCGGGCGCAUUCCAGGGACUUGCGGUAGUCGCCGGUGACGGUGAUGAGGCCCUUCGGACCCGGCAGCUUCAUCUUCAGGUAGGCGUAGUGGGGGACCGCCAUGAACUGGGCGAGCGCGGGCCGGCCCAGCAGCGAGUGGUACAUGUUGGACAGGUCCACCGCCUCGAACCAGAUCGGCUCGCGUCGGAAGUGGUUGAUGUCGCCAGACAGGAAGUCGAGCGGGAUCCGGCCGAUCGGGGAGCAGGAGAGGCCGGGAACGAUGCCGUGGAAGAUCGUCCGGGUUGGCUCCAGGUCUUUGGCCUCGAGGCCGAGCUUGGUCAUGGUGUCGCGGUAGAGGAUGUUGAUGCUGCUGCCGCCGUUGAUGAGAACCCGAGAGAACUUGCACGUGCGCCGAGGCACGACGAUGGUGGGGUUGAGGACGAGGGUGUAACCACCCGGGUUCGGCAUGACGGCCGGGUGGUCCUCCCGAGUCCAGGUGACCGGGCGCUCCGACCAGUGCAUGUAUUCCGGCUUGGCCAGGAUGACGGUGUUCACCUCCUGCCGGAGGAGGCGCUCGCUGCGCUUGUCAUCGCCAAGGCUGGUGAAGACGACGUAGGUCGCGUUCUGGGCCGGGUAGGCGGCGUCGCGCAUCGUGCCGCCAGCUGGCGGCGGUGGUGGAGGCGGAGGCGGCUGCCCUGCUCCUGGAGCCGGGGCCGGAGGGGGCGGGAUGUCACCCCUCAGGAGGCGCUUGGUGAUGGCGCACUGCCGAAGCGUGUGCGUCGAAGGCCUUGCAGCGCUGUGGUGCUUGCAGGGAGCGUCGAGCAUCUCCUCGAAACUCAUGGCGGGUUGCCACGUCGUCUUGCUGGUCUGUCGGUGCUUGGCGGCUGGGUCGGUCGUGGGCGCCUGCUCGGCGGCCGCGACGAGGCGGUUGUCGUAGCGCUGGGCCGGCUGAUCGGCCUUGCGCUUGUUGUUCUGCUGGUUGUGCUGUUGCCGGCAGCCUGCGCUGGCCGGCUUCGGGGGGAACCAGCUUUGCUUUGCCGGCUUCGUCCACCACCACCUGGAUCUUCAUGGCAGAGUCGGCGUUGGUGUACUUGUCCGCCGUCACCAUGAGCGCGGCCAUGGUGGCUCACUUGGAGCGUAAGAACUUGUGCUUGAGGAGGGUGCCGUCCCAGCACCCGUUGACGAAGUAUUGGAUUGCUUGGACUUCGUGGACGCCCUUGCAGCUAUUCCGGAGCUCGGUCCAGCAUGUGAGGUACUCGCGGCCGGUCUCCGCUGGCCCCUGCACGCACAUGGCGAGCUGACUGGGGCGGCCGGGUUGCUUGUAAGUGCCGGUGAAGUUGCGCGCGAAGGCCUGCUCAAAGUCGACCCACGUGUUGAUUCUGCCCACCGGCAGACUGUUCAGCCAGGUUCGGGCCGACCCCUGGAGCAUGAGAGGCGCGUAGCGCACGGCGAGGCGGUGGUUACCGCCGGCGAUGCCGAUGGCGGUGGUGUAGUCGGUGAGCCAGUCCUCUGGUUUCACGGUGCCGUUGUACUUGGGGGUGUCGCGGGGGAGCGUGAACCCUUUAGUAAAGGGCUCACCCCGGAUGCAGGGCCCGAAGCACGCCGGUCCGACGGGGCCGGUCUCCUCCAGCUCUUGGGAGAGGGCGAGUCAGUCGAGGCGGUGGCGGGUGUCAGUGUCGUCGAUGGCGCGCGGGCCCAGCCGGUCGGUGACUGUGCCGUGGGGGGCCGGGUUGGCUUCAGUCAGACGUCGGCCGGGUUGGAGCAGAGGGUCGAGUCGGCGUCGGACCUCCGAGACCAGCUCGUCGCCCAAGCCGCCGCCGGCCAUCGGGGCGGGGUUGCGCCGGGUCCGGGUGCGGCCGGAGUGCGCCUCGCCAGGUGGUGAAGAUGACGUGUGCUGGAUGUCGCCAGGUCCAGCGACGCGGGCGGAGCCGGAUCUGGCCGGCUUGCCGAGUUGGUUGAGGCGGUCCUGCUGCGUGUUGGCCGCAGCGAGGAGGUCGUUCACCCUCUUGAGGCGGUCCUGUAGCUCUUCGCCUGUGAGCUGGUCCAGGCCGACCGCGGCCGCCUGGGCAGCGCGCAUGUUCUUCAUGGGAGUCUCGUAGACGGGAGGGAUGGCACCGAAGGCGCGCCCGAUCGCGCCGCCCUGGGCCCGCACGUCGGCGACCCGGCUUGGCUCGGGCGCGUCCGGCGUGAAGCCGUAGGCGGUGUUGCACUCCAGCUGAGCGGAGUCGAGGCGGCGCUGCGUGGCAGCGAGCGUCUCGGUGAGGUCCAGCAGGCGCUGGCGGUCCUCGUCGAGGUGAGUCCGGGCCUCAGCAAUGUUGGAGGUGUUGAUGUCGGUGCCAAUGGGAUGCGAAGGCUCUGCAUCGUGGCGCGCAGCGGGUUGGGCGGGCUGGCCCGCUCCGCUGCGGCCCUGGCUUCGGCAGCCUUCCUCGCUGUGCUGGACGAGGAAGCGGCGCCGGUGUCGAUGAUGAAAACCUCCAUGCAGAGGUCCAUUGCCCCGGUGGGAGUGCCGCCGCCGAGGGAAAGGGGGAGUCGGAAAAGUCAAGUACCUCACUGGGGUACUCGUCGGCCGCAGGUGCGUCAGAGAUGCACAGCGCGGCGAAGGAGGCGGCGAGUGCGUCGACAACGUCGUCCGCCAGCGUGACUGGCUCGUCGGAGUCGGAGAGGAGCCCCGUCUGAAGCAUGCUCCCAGCCAGGACCUCGAGCUGCCUCACGGUGGGCGCCAACUGUCGUGGUGGGCGCACGGCAGAUGCCAAAGGAUGGCUAAAGAUAGGAGGAGGCUCGAGGGUACUUGUGGGCUCCAGAGGCGAGGUCGGCAUGAGCGAGCGCGGGACGCAAGACAUACCCAGGUUUGGGGCUCUCCGGAGAGAUAACACCCCUAGUCCUGCCGUGUGUAGUUGACGUGUAUCAGUACAGAGUUGCUCCUAGAGUUGUAUGGAGGAAGAAGGAGGGCGAGCCAAGGCUUAGGCUGCUCCCUCUCCUCGGGUGUUGCUUGCUAUGUGCGUAUGGGUGAGUGAUCGCCUGUGCGAAUGAGAGAGUUGCCCGUAUGCAUGAGGGCUCCUGGGGGGUUUAUAGGUCAACCCCCCAGGGGUACGAUGGUAAUGUUACAAGGCCGUGGGGCCGGGUUGUCAUUGUCCGAGAAGCCGGCGCUGGGACCCGCCGGGGAUCAGGGCUCGCCAGGUUCUCCGGGCGUGGGGCCCGCCGGGUACGGGGGCACUGUUGGCCGUCUUGUCGAUAGUCAGGGAGUGGCCGGGUUUAGUCGUCUACAGUGGCGCUCCGUCAGGUCGCCGCUUGCUGGCGUCAUGGGUGACGAUGGUUGCACUGUGGCCAUGCCAGCCCUGGUCAGCGGGGCACUGUUGCCACGCCCCGGCUGACCAGAGGCAUGGGCGGGGCACUGUUUUCUUCGUCAUCGGUAGGUGGAGACUCGUCCCAUCGUACGGCCGGGAUGGGACGGGAGCUGACCCAUGGCCGGGUUGGAGAACACGCCAAGGAUGGAGCUGGCUUGUUGGGGAAGUUUUGGUGCACCGGGCUCGGCCAUCUUGAGCUGGUUGUUUGGGCCGAGCUGAGGAGUCCGGCCGGGUCAAGGAUUAGGCCAGGUCGAGGGGCUUGGCCGGGUCGAGCAACCCGGCCAAGCGUGAGCCGUCUUGAGGGGCGAUGCUGGCCCCGUUGUUUUUGAAAAGGAUUCGGGUUCCGUUGCCUGCCCGGGGUUCAUCCCCCCAACAGUCGGUAACAGCUAAGUUGGCUACAGUAAACUGACAAAUUGACAAAUAGGCUAGACCCAUCAGAUGCUUCAAAAGUACCUGCGGCAAAUUAGGUCUAGGCGAUAGCUGAUGGUCUUCCUCCCAAGUCGGCGGAGGCGAUCGCAGAUGGCCUUGCGGCGAAGUCGACGGAGAUGACGGCUGCAAAGUCAACGGAUACGAUAUAUUACAGAGAUGUCAAAACCAAUUAAUUCCACUCCACUGAAUACACCUCAUAAUCCUAUUUUGCUAGGUGCAGCAAGCAUAUCUAUUCACAUGUAUGCAAUUAAGCUAAUUGAUAACUAAAGGAAGAGCAGAAUAUAUGAAACUUCAAGAAUUCCUCCAGCAUCAUGCCCAAGGAUUACCGUAACCAAGUUGAAGCCACCAUGUUCAGGUAUAUGUAGUCAGCAACAUGAAAUUUCUUGGUUCAAUCCUUGGCUAGUAACAAUAGUUUUGCAGAAAAAAUAAACUGAAACAGGGGCUUGUAUCAUAUCAUCCAAACUGAAAUAGUGAGCAAUUGGAAGUGGCACCAAUUUUCAGAAAAAAAAUAAACUGAAACAGGGGUAGAUCCGAGGGGGGCAAAUCAGUUACAUUCAUUAUACAUCCGUGCAAACAAAGGAAUGUCGAUUGAAUUCAUGCAGUAGUGACAUGCAUGACCUUUGGUAAAAUCUAAAUUUAUCCAAUCAAUCAUGUAUUUUUGUGUAACAUCUUCUAUUUAAUCUCCACUGAUGAUUGUAAUAACAACACAAAAGAAUUUAGACGACACAAAAAAGUUCAGUCACAAAUCAAAUCUUUGGGCAUGCAUGGCCUGUUGCAUUUGGGAGAUGGGCUGCAGGGAGCCCUUUGUUUCAGUGAUCUAUUCCAGAUCCUUUCAGUGGUAAGAUGGUAAGUUCAUUCAGUACAUGGAUUUUGUCUCAACCAUCAUUUAUUUCAGUGUCUGUCUCUAUAUACUUCAUUUAUGUUUGGCUGCGUGCUCUGUUUCUAGAGCGGAGCAAUAGCUACUCCACUGCACUUUUCUUUGUGUAGCAGCAGAAGCAGAUUAACAUAUUCCACUUUUGUACAAAGGGCAGGAGCAACAGAUUAACAUUAUAAUCUAUUUUGUUUGAUGUGUUAACAGAUUAACAUUAUAAUCCUAACUACACCCAUCCACCUUGUAUUAGUCUCAGCAUAUGGCCAGGAUGCCUCCUCUCUCUUUAAGAACUAGUCACUUAACUCUGAAUCACUUAGCAGUAUACAUUAUUAUUUCCCUGUUUUUAACGCAAUCACUUGAAGAAAGCAACAUGCUUCACGACUAUAUAAAUGCCCGUGUGUGGUCUGACCAAUCUAGUAUGUACACAAAUGAUCAAUCCGGCUAAGCACAUUCAGAUUCCAACCAUGCAAGGUAUGAAUCCAUUGAUUCUAAGCAUCAUGUAAUUCCAUCUGUUAACCACCAAAUACUAACCAAUGGGAACCCGUGGAAUUUAGAAAGAAGAUUAAACCUGAGGAAAUAUUGAGCGGUCCUUCUUGCAUCGUGCCAUUGGGCUAGAGUACCACUACCAUGGCGCCAUCCCACAUCACAGCUUCACCAGGGCAAGGAGCCGGCUUGAAUCAAAUUUGUCAUUGCCGCUGGAUCACUGUUUCCCUUCAGGACUGGCAUGUAGAAGCUGGGGAGGCCUCGAUAGCAAUCUUGCAGUCAGAUUUGUACUCGUCCGGAGGAGGAUACAUGGAUGUGUUGUGGCCGUGAAUGUGCCCAUGAUCUCGACCGGUAGCGCCAGGGAAGUGGCCGACGUCAAGGUGCAGGAGGAAGAGCCAGUGCGGGAAGGGUCGUCGUCUUGCUCGGGUCAAGGCGCUCGAGGAUUCCAUGAAGGAGGUUGUCAGGGAGUGCCGCCGCUUCUUCCAUUUGUUGGAACUCCUCAUCAUCCUUGGAACACCUCCGCUGUACGCGAUGUCCUCGUCCCCGUUCGCCUGCACGCUCGGCUCCAACGGGCGGCUGGCGAGGUGGCUGUGGGGCUCAACCGCUCAGGGGGCAUGGCGAGGCGUCUAGGAUGGCUAGCUAGCUCGUAGAGAUCGGGGAUUUGGUCUUCGGCAGCGGCUGGCAAGCUCACCAAGGCCACGAAGGCGGCCAGCCCCAUCAGCACAAGAUCCACGACGGCUCGGAGAUGGUGGUGAUGGAAAUAUGCUAUAGAGGCAAUAAUAAAAUGGUUAUUAUUAUAUUCCUUAAUCAUAAUAAAGGUUUAUUAUUCAUGGUAAAAUUGUAUUGACCGGAAACUUAAAUAUAUGUGUGGAUACAUAAAUAAAUACCGUGUCCGUAGUGAGCCUUUACUAGACUAGCUCGUUGAUGAUGGUUAAGGUUUUCUAACCAUAGACAUGAGUUGUCAUUUGAUAACGGGAUCACAUCAUUAGGAGAAUGAUGUGAUGGACAAGACCCAACUGUUAGCAUAGCAUAUGAUCGUUCAGUUUAUUGCUAGUGCUUUCUUAAUGUCAAAUACAUGUUCCUUCGACCAUGAGAUCAUGGAACUCCCAGAUACCGGAGGAAUACCUUGUGUGCUAUCAAACGUCACAAUGUAACUGGGUGAUCAUAAAGAUGCUCUACAGGUAUCUCCGAAGGUGUCUGUUGAGUUGGUGUGAAUCGAGAUUGGGAUUUAUCACUCCAUGUAUCGGAGAGGUAUCUCUAGGCCCUCUCGGUAAUACACUUCACAAGAAGCUUGCAAGCAAAGUGACUAAGGAGUUAGUUGCAAGAUGAUGUAUUACGGAAUGAGUAAAGAGACUUGACGGUAACGAGAUUGAACUAGGUAUAGAGAUACCGGCGAUCGAAUCUCGGGCAAGUAACAUACCGAUAGACAAAAGGAACUACGUAUGUUGUCAUAAAGGUUCAACCGAUAAAAGAUUUUCGUGGAAUAUGUAGGAAUCAAUAUGGGCAUCCAGGUACCGUUAUGGGUUAUUGACCAGAGGGGUGUCUCGGUCAUGACUACAUAAUUCGCAAACCCGUAGGGUCGCACGCUUAACGUUCGUUGACGCUAGAGUAGUGUUGGCAUAUUUGAUGAGUGGUAACCAAAUGUUGUGUGGAGUCCCGGAUGAGAUCCCGGACGUCACGAGGAGUCUCGGAAUGGUCUAGAGGUAAAGAUUUAUAUAUGGGAAGUCAUAUUUUGGGUUCCGGAAAAAGGUGUAGUUUUUUCGGUACUGUACCGGGAAGCUUCCAGAAGGUUCCGGAGGAUUCCGGAGGUGUCCGGAAGUCCACAAGUGGGUUUACCACGACCCAAGUCAGGCUGGCAAUGGGGAUUACCCAGGCGGGUAUUGAACUCCCAUCCCCGUCCCCGCGACAGCCUGCCCAUGCCCGUCCCCAUCCCCAUACCCGUCUGCGGGGAUAAAAAUAUUCACGUCCCCAUCCCCGCCGGGUUUUUUAUCCCCAUGGGGAAACCCAUACGCACAAUUAAUAACAACCUUCGAUAGCAUUUCAGUAGAAAUAAAUAACAUUUCGGCAAUAUAAAUAAUAUGUUGUGGCUAGCUUAGGGUUUUCUUAGGGCUUUUUGGCCAAAGGGAUGGGAUGGAAGGAAAUUUGGGUGGGUAAGUGCGGCAAUUACAUGGGGUCUACUAAUUUUAGAGCCCACAUGUAAGGCCUUAAUGGGUAAGGUGGGUAAUGGGCAUGGGUAAUGCUAUCCCAUCCCCAUCCCCGUCUUGCACGCUGGGUAAGGUACUUGACCCACCAGCUUCCUCGUGGGCAUUAAAACUGGCACAUACCCGUCCCUUGAUAGAGUAAUUACCCACGGGGACGUGGGUAACGGUUAAUCAUUGCCAGCUUGAGACCCAAGGGCUAGCAUGGGCUGCGAGGAGGCGCCCUGGCCUUAUUGGGCUAGGCGCACUAAGUCCUUAAAAGCCCAUGUGGCUAGGGAAGGCAAAAAAAAGGAAGGAGUCCUAGGAAUAGGAUUGGACUUGGAGUCCAAGUCCUCUCCCCUUAGCUGCGCCCUAGGGCUUGGAGGGUCUGUUUCCCACGCCCCUCCACCUAUAUAUAGAGGGGAGGGGGCGCCCCAAGAGGACACACCAAGCCCAUGGCGCCCCUCUCUGUCCCGUUACUCCGUAGUUCCACCGCCUCGUCUCGGCGACGCUUAGCAAAGCGUUGUCGGUGCUCCACCACCACUAUCACCACCACGCCAUCAUGUUGGUUGUGAUCCUAUCUACUUCUCCUCUCCCGCUUGCUGGAUCAAUAAGGAGGAGACGUCAUCGAGCCGCACGUGUUCUAAACUUGGAGGUGUCGUCCGUUCGGCACUAGAUCGGUUGGAUCGUGAUCGGAUGGCGAAGAAUACGACCACAUCAACCGCGUGAUAAACGCUUCCGCCUAGCGAUCUACAAGGGUACGUAGAUGCUCUUCCCCUCUCGUAGCUAUGCAUCUCCAUGGAUAGAUCUUGCGUGUGCGUAGAAAUUUUUUGUUUUCCAUGCAACAUUCCCCUACACUGACAUCAUGAGCCAGGUCUAUGCGUGAUGAUAUGCAUGAGUAGAACACAAAGGAGUUGUGGGCGGUGAUGUUCAUACUGCUUACCACCAACGUCUUAUUUUGAUUCGGUGGCAUUGUGGGAUGAAGCGGCCCGGACCAACCUUACAUGACCACAUACAUGAGACCGGUUCCACCGACUGACAUGCAACUUGUUUUGCAUAAAGGUGGCUGGCGGGUGUCUGUUUCUCCUACUUUAGUUGAAUCAAAUUUGACUACGGCCGGUCCUUGAAGAAGGUUAAAACAGCAAACUUGAUAAUCACCGUUGUGGUUUUGCGUAGGUAAGAACGGUUCUUGCUAGUUGCCCGUAGCAGCCACGUAAAACUUGCAACAACAAAGUAGAGGACGUCUAACUUGUUUUUGUAGGGUAUGUUGUGAUGUGAUAUGGUUAGGACGUGAUGUGAUAUAUGUUGUUGUAUGACAUGAUCAUCAUGCUUUGUAAUAUCGACAACCGGCAGGAGCCUUAGGGUUGUCUUUUAAUUAUUGUAUGACCUGCGUGUCAAUCAUUAAGCGUCAUGUAAUUGAUUUACUUUAUCGCUAUGCGUUAGCAAUAGUUGUAGUACCAAUAGUUGGCGAGACGACCCUGACGCAACGAUGGAGAUCAAGGUGUCGAGCCAGUGACGAUGGUGAUCAUGCCGAUACUUUGGAGAUGGAGAUCAAAAGCACAAGAUGAUGAUGGUCAUAUCAUGUCACAUAUUUUGAUUGCAUGUGAAGUUUAUCCUUUAUGCAUCUUAUUUUGCUUAGAAGGAUAGCCCAAUAGGUUGAACAAUAAAUUUUAAAAAAAGUAAACAAAUUCAAACAAUCCUUGAUUGUUUUUGCAAAAAAAUAUUAAUGUUUUUCUACACGCAUGCAAGUUUUUGCGAUGGAGUCUCAUUUGUGGAGGUGUGGACAAAAAAAUCGAUGCCCCAAAAUGCUCAUGUACUAUAUUUGCACGAAAACAUGUAGAAAAUUUGCACGCAUGAAGGAAAAACAUCAAUUUCUUGCCGAAAAUUGAUGCUCCAAAAAUCGAUACUCCAAAAUGCUCAUGAAAAUUUGCAUGCAUGUAGAAAAAGCAUCAAUUUCUGUCCGAAUUUUUUGUUUUUUGUUUUUAACUAUAUUUUUGGAUUUUAGUAUAUACAAAUAGAAACGUCGGCAAAAAAUGAUAUGUGGGCUCAACCAGUAAAAGACAUGAAAGUAAGAAGGGCCAAUUGAUAAGCCCAGAGUAAUAGCACGGGCAAAAUGAAAAAACUGUCUCACAUGAGCCAACAAUUACAUACCUAAGCUUUUAUGUGGGAAGGACGAGUCGUGCCCUUAGGCUUCGCCCCUGGGUCCAAUCUAAUUUUUUCUAUGGUCCAUUAAUGUACGUAUCCAAUGUCUCACGUACUGUGAUAUAUAGGCGGUGCAUAUUUACAAAGUGUGAUGCAAUAUUGUAGCCAUUUGCUGUUAAUGUUGUAGCCUGUAGAUAAAAAAUGACCCUAAAUAUGAUCUAACUUAUGAAAAAAGUGUCAUGCUACUUUACAAAAAAAACCAUCUCUCUAAUUUAUAUCUAUAUCUAUACCUACUAAUAAAGCAAUGUGCAUUUCUCCGAUAUUUUCAUCCGUUCACCAACGUAAAGUUUUUUUCUAUCUGAGGUGGUAUUAAAUUUUUGUGCAUCCGUCUGCUAGAAAAGAUAAAAUAUUUUCCGUACAUGGGCCACACGCGUUGUGGCCCGGCGAAGCCAGCCCAAAUAUUUAUCUGCCCAGACAGCUGCGAAAGCCUAUUUGCCGCAUGCCACGUCUAAUAGUUGAAGCUUCGCACAGCACGCCGAAGACUGGGCCGGCCCAUUUUCUUUUUCUAUUGUGUUCUGUUUCUAUUUUUUCCUAUUCCUUUCUCUUUUUCUUUCUUGAUUCUUUUUCCUACCAACUUUACAUUAUUUUCCCUUUUCUCGGAAAUUUAAAUCUUAAAAAAAUCGUCCAAAAUUUCACUUUUUCCAUAUUUAGACAAAAAGUUAGAAUAUAAAUUUUUUGUUCCUAUCUUGUAAAAUGUUCAAAACUUUAAUUAGUUUUGUUCCCAUUCCAAAAUGUGUUCAAAAUUAAAAAUGUUCCCAUUUUUAAAAAUGUUUGUGAAUCACAAUAAAAAAUCAAAAUUUUCAAAGUAAGUUGUAUUUUAAAAAAUAUUCCAAAUUUAUAAAACUUUCUUGUUUUAGUGAAAUGUUCACAAAUUCAAAAUAAUGUUUGUGGUUCAAAAACAUAUGUUCUGAACUUUUUCUAAAUGUUCAAAACAUGUUCACACAUUCAACAAAUGUUCGUCUUUUUUCAAAAGGAUCAUGUUGUCAAAAAAUGUUUAAGAAUUUUUUUAAGAAAAUCUACCUAUUUCAAGUGAUGUUCGUCUUUUUUCAAAAAUGAAUGAAAUUUUACAAAAUGGUUCGUAUUUUUUAAAACUGUUUGGGGUUUCAAAAUUAUUCAUGUUUCCAAAAAUAUUCGGCAAUUCAUAAUAUUAAUUUGAAAUUUGGAAAAAUUCAGAAAAAAGAAAAACAAAAACUUGAAUCUGAUGCUACAACAUAUUCUUAAAUAUUAAUUAGUUAGCAGGACCCAUUUGUUCGAGUGACUAGCAGUCGAUGGUCGAGUUUUUGAGGCCGCGAGUUCGAUCUUUCAAUACAUCUUUUUUUAUUUAAUUUAGAGAAAGCCUAUUUUCCGCAUGCAGCGCAAAAUAGUUGGAAGUUCACACAGCACGCCCAAAGCUGGGCCCGCCCAUUUUCUUUUUCUCUGUAUUCUUUUUUUUCCUGUUCUUUUCUCUUUUUCUUUCAUGAUUAUUUUUUCCUAACAAUUUUAGAUUAUUUUCGUUUUUCUCGUAAAUUAAAAUAUUGAAAAAAUCGUUCAAAGUUUCAAUUUUCUUCCAUAUUUUAGAAGAAAACAAAUCAGAAUUUAAUUCUUUUGUUCCUCUUUUGUAAAAUGUUCAAAUUUUUAAAAAAUUUCCAGAUCCAAAAUGUGUUCAAAAUUUAGAAAAUGUUUCCAAUUUUUCAUGAAAUGUUUGUGUAUUACUCCCUACGUAAACUAAUAUAAGAGUGUUUAGAAUACUAAAGUAGUGAUCUAAACGCUCUUAUAUUAGUUUACAAAGGGAGUACAAAUUAAGAUUUUCAAAAUAAGUUGCAUUUAAAAAUAUUACAGAUUUUAAACAUUGUUUUCCUGAAAUAUUUGCAAAUUCAAAAUAACGUUCGUGGUUACAAAAACACAUUUUCUGAACUUGUUCUAAAUGUUCAAAACAUGUUCACACAUUCAAAAAAUGUUCAUGUUUUUCCAAAAGUUUCAUGUUGUCAAAAAAUGUUUAAGAAUUUUGAAGAAAAAUCUACCUAUUUCAAAUGAUGUUCAUAUUUUUCCAAAAAUGAACGACAUUUUUAAACAUGGUUCGCAUUUUUGAAAAUUGUUCGGGGUUACAAAAUUGUUCAUGUUUUCAAAUAUAUUUGGCAUUCAUAAAUAUUAAUUUAUUUUGAAUCUGACGCUGCAACAUAUUGUUAAAUAUUAAUCUGUCGGUUAGCAGCCCGUGGAUGACUUUUUGAGGUCGCGAGUUCGAUCCUUCAACACGUCAUUUUUUAAAUUUAUAUUAUGCCUUACAAACAUAGGUCGUUUUGGUGCUUGUCAAUGGGCCGGCCCAGAUGUGAACUAUUGGGCGUCCCACACGCUAUUUGACGAUAAAAGAGAAUAUGUUUGUUUGCUAUAAUUGAAAUAUAUUGUGCGUACGUGUCAAUGUAAGAGAAUAUGUUGGUUUGACUCUAAUUUUGAAGAACUGUGGGCACGUGAGCAUUGAAAAAGAGAAUAAACCCUAGUAAAGAAGGUAUUGUCUGGUUAUGCAUGGAUAGCACAUAUGCACGUGCGUUGCAACAGGAGAAAUAUUUUUUCGAGAAGCAACGAGAUAAAUAAAUUAUGUGUUCACCAAAAACGGUAUCAACAGUAUCCACAAUGGUGGGGCGACAGAGCGAGGAGCUGUGGUCUUUUCGCGAGUCAUGUUUGUCCCGCGAGAUCUUGAUAGUGGUGACAUUAGUCGGCAUGGCGGUGACCAGACAACUUGUGUUUUUUUCCUUCAGGUUCACCUCCGUGUUUGGGCAGUGGUUGUCUCCUCAUUUGGUAGCUGCGCGUCAAAUACCCAAAGUGUCGCACAAGUCGCCCAACACUGGGCCGGCCCAUUUUCGUUUUAUCCUGUAUUCUGUCAUUUUUCUCUUUCUUUCUCUUUUUCUUUCCUAAUUAUUUUUACGUUUUACCCUUACAAAUUUUUCAAAAAAUGUCAGAAUUUCAAUUUUUGGUUCAAGUUUUCGGUAAAUACUCGAAUAUCUAAAAAAAUAAUUGUUUUAUAAAAGUUCAGAACUUUGUUUUUGUUCUGAAAUUUGUUCAAAAUAAAACAAAAGUUCCCAAUUUUCAAAAAAGGUUUAUAUUUUAUGCAAUUAUUCACAAUUUCCAAUGUUUCUUUUUGCGUUUAGAAAAAAUGUUUCAAAUUUGAAAAUGUUUUUUUGUGAAAUGGUUACGAAAUUAAAAUAAUUUUCUUAAUUGAAAAAACAUUUUCGAAAAAUUUCUGAAUGUUCAAAACAUGUUACCAUUUAAAACAAUUGUUCACUAAUUCAAAAAAUGUUCAGUUUAUUAUAAAAGGUUCAUGUUUUCAGAAUUUUUUGUGAAUUUAAGAAAAUAUAUUUCAAUUUAAAAUUUUGCUCAUGUCUUUUGGGAAUAUUCAGAAUUUUCAACAACUAUUUGAAAUUUCAAAAAAUGUUCAUGUUUCAAAGAAUAUACGCAAAUUCUUUCUUAUUUUUUAUGAUAGGUUUGAAAAAAAUUAAAAUAUGUUCCAAAUCUGAUACUGCAUUAUGUUCUUACAUAUCCGCGCUUGCCAUUGGUCAAUAGAACAUGUUUGUUCAACUAGCUAGCAGCAUGUUGUCAAGUCUUUGAUUUAUGCGCUGCAAUUAGUAAUACAUUUGGUUACGUCGUGAUAGGAGAUGCAGACCAACCCCACCACUAUCAAGAUCUCGUCGGCCAAACAUGAUCCAUGAGAAGAUCGCAGCUCCUAGCUCUGUCGGCCACCGCUACGGAGACUAUUUUCGGAGGACACAUCAUUUCUCUCCUGUUGCUUCUCGUAAUAAAUAUCUCCCGUUACAACGCACGGGCAUAUGCGCUAGUAAAUAAAAAAUAAAAAGUGGUACAAUGGGAUUUGAACCCAAGUGUACCAGGUGGAGGGACGUGUUGCUAGCCAGUGGGGUGGCUUCUAUGUCAUGAAAAUUAGUUCGUCGGAUUGUUUCUUGCAGCGAACCAGUUUGAAAAUCCGACAUGGCUUGGAUCCCGCGUCAGGAUUUGUGCAAACGAAUCAAGGGUCACGGUGAAAACUCUCAUAGCUGCGGUCUCUAGCUAACAUUUCCAAUAAUUAAUGUAAGUAUUGUACACAGUCAUUUUUUUGAUGCAGUAGCAUAUCUUCAAGAUAUAUAUAAUUAAUGUAAUGUUGUAGCCUGUAGAUAUGCAAUUAAUGUACACAUUCAUUUUUUUGAUGCAGUACAAUACCUUCAAGAUAUAUAUAUAAUUAGUGUAAUGUUGUAGCAUGUAGAUGUGCAAUUAAUGUAUACGUUCAUUCUUAGAUGCAGUACCAUAUCUUCAUAUCUUCAAGAUAUAUAUAAUUAAUGUCAUAUUAUAGCAUGUAGAUGUGGAACUAAUGCAUAUAUUCAUUUUUUUAUGCAGUACCAUAUCUUCGAGAUAUAUCAUAUAUUGUACUCCCUCCGUUCGGAUUUACUUGUCGUAGAAAUGGAUGUAUCUAGACAUUUUUUCUUAGUUCUAGAUACAUCCAUUUCUGCGACAAGUAAUUUGGAACGAAUGGAGUACAACUAAUGUAUGUAUAAACAUGUCGAUGUGAAGUUACUGUACACACUCAUUGUUUGAUGUUAUUUCGUAUCUUCAAGGUAUAGCCUGUAGAUAUAGAGUUAAUGUGCACAUUUAUUGUUUGAUACAAAAUCGUAUCUUCAAGAUAUAGAACUAAUGUAUGAUGCAGCCUCUAGAGUGCAAUUAAUGUACAUAUUAAUUGUUUGACAUGGUGCCAUAUCUUCAAGAUAUACAACUGAUGCAUGCGCCCAUAUCAUCAUCUCAAACAAGGCUAUAUAAACCAAGCCAUAGCUAACGAAGUCAUGUAUCCCACACAUUCACAGAAAAGCCACACAAACAAUUAUAACAUCAAAGGGAUAAAGAAGGCUCUAGUGUAGCAGAUACAAAAGACAUAGCCAUGGCGAAACUAAUGUGCUUAUGUUUCAUCAUCCUCACUAUUGCGGUAGCCGUGUCGGCUGACGAAUGUGAGGGUGACCGACAAGCCAUGAUCAAGGAGUGUGCUAAGUAUCAACAAUGGCCAGCAAACCCGAAGCUAGAUCCGUCGGAAGCAUGUUGCGCCGUGUGGCAGAAGGCAAACAUCCCAUGCCUUUGCGGGAACCGGCUCCUCUACCGUGCCUUGUGGCACGGCAGGGUGCUACAGUGUUCUACCUUUGGGCCUUUAUCAGCCAUCAGAUCUAGUAUAGAUGUCUCAGAUCUUUUGCUACAGAGAGCAAAACAGUGCAUGCGCUACAGUUCAGGAACAAUGACUUUUAGCACAGUGUUUAAACAGUGAACUUGCUACAGUAGCCGUGCCGUGCCUUCUAUUCCUUCCACUGCGCGAGCACUGUAGCACCUGCCGUGCCACAAGGCACGGUAGAGGAGCCGGUUCCGCCUUUGCGCUGGUGUCACCAAGGAGAAAGAGAAGAUAUAUUGUAUGGAGAAGGUUGCCUACGUUGCCAAUUUCUGCAAGAAGCCCGACUUGAUUUCCUAAGGCACCACAACAAAAUAUUUUCUAGCUGAGAAAACUGUAUUGAUGGACCCUACCUGAACUAGACUAAUGAAUGGUGUGUCUCGCCUUCACCGAGGGUCACGGUGUCUACCCUGACUACUAAAACUAUAGUACCAGAAUAAGCAUAGAUGUGUAUGGAGGCAAAUUAGAUAUUUAGUCAUUUUCAUACAUCUUACAAAAACUAAUCCGUAGGAAGUUUUGUCAAUUUUUUUGGGCUGAACGUUGUGCAGAAUAUGGAAACCUUUUUUUACGCGACUCACAUGUACUAAAUAAAAGCAUAAAACAACCUCUACAUAUAAAAAACCCUCUAUAUAAGCAGGUAAGUUUUGUUCGUUAUUUGC